rnacentral:lncRNA from 1 species
UCAGAAACUACUGGUGCUGCUGGAGUCUCUUCGUCUUCUUCUUUGACCGUUGGUGUAAGCCAUUCCGAGCCUACUGAGCGCAAAGAUGGUGACUCAGUUAGCAUUGAGGUUAAGACUUCAAGUUAAAAGAGACAAAACUCAAAAGGAGAGAAGAGAACCUCACUCUACUCUUCUUAGAAUUUGUCUCUCUAUCUCUCUCAACUUCUUCUUUUCUAUCAAACUUUCAUGAGCUCAUGAACAUGUAGAGAUUUUUUUCUGGGGUGGAGAGACAACAACAAGAAGCAAAAGCAGAGAGAGACGAAAGCAGCUCUAGUUUUUUUUUUUGUGUUAUGUCUCUCCUCUUAUGUCUCUCUUACCAAGUUCAUAAGAUUCCUUCACACUGUCAUCUCUGUUUAUCUCUUUUUUCUUUUAACUUUCCGGAUUGAUUAUUGUUAAUAAAUGGAAUUAUAUAUUCACGAAGAUCCCUUGUUAGUUUAUAGAAUAUGGAAAUUAAGAAUCAGAUUUUUCUUAUUGGUUGCGUUUGUUUUCAAAUUUACAUGUUAGAUAAUUGUGUAAAUCUCAUGUUAUUUUCAAUAGAAUACAUAUUUUUUUCGUUUCUUUUAAACCUUUUUAAAAAUAAUUGUAAAUUUUCUUUUCAUGCAUAAGAGGAACUUGAAUGUGUAAAUUUGUUUAACUUUGUAUUUGCAAUUUGUACAGAAUAUUUGACCAAAUAUAAUAUCUACAUUAAUAAGACUAUUUUUUCAUUUCUAAUGGUAAGCAAAAUUAAUAUGUUGAAUAGUAAAUGCAAACGCAAUAAUAGCACAACCUGAUUCCAGUUGUUUUUGGAACAGCAUUAUGGAAGAGAAAGAGCAUGGAAGGUAGAACAGAGCAGAUCUCGGGAUCACUGUUAAUGUGGAAGUAGAUGUCAGUAAUUCUCGUACUUCGUUCUUUGUGUUGGUGAUUUAUCAUGUGCAUGUAGCUUUUUCGUUGCGUCUAGUUUUACUCAAACAACAGAAAAAUCAUAAUCAUGGGUUUGGUCACUGAAACAUCACAACAAAAGCUUUCAACAACCCAAAAACUACUACUAAUCAUUAAAUGCUUUUUCUCUGAGUUACAAACGAUCUACCAUAAUUAAGUCUGUACAAAGAUGUAAACUUGCUUUUAUACAUACGAGUUACGGUAGACUUAGUUAAGUACAUUACAUAUAUACACAUAUGUAAGCUUGUGUUUGAUAUAUAUAACUGCUUUUAUUGGGUCUGAUGAUUUAACAAAUAAAGUGAAUUUGGUCAGCAUUGGAAAGGGGACUAAUCGAGUUCUAUGAAAGAAAGUCAAAACCUUAAGCAGAUUUAAGAAGAAGAAAAGAGUUGUGAUGUCAGUUGACAAAAGUUAAGGCAAAAGGAGGGAGACAUGAAACAGUGAUUGUGCAGUUAAAGACCAAACAAGUCAUGACCAAAACACAUGUCCAAAGACCAAAAACACCGUCAUGCUACUUCACUAAAAGUCCAUCUCACUUUAGUUAUACUACUUUUAACAAACAUGCAAAAUUUUAUGCCAAAUCCCGUAUCUUUAAUCUUAAUAUUUUUUUCCAUCAUAUGUAUAUCUUAUAUUCUUACUAAUGCCAAAUUUACAAUUGUCAUGAAAGUUUAUAUAACCGAACGUAUUUACUUCUAGUCAAAUAUCCUUUUUGAGUAAUUAAUUUGAUUUCAUUAUUAUACACACAACAUCUUUAUAUACCUAAUGAGUGUGUUGGAAGAAGCAUGGACAAAAAAAAAAGGUCUUUAAUACAACUCGCAAUAACACCUUUUGCUAAUCAAAACCAUAACUCUUUUUUUCUUUUCAAAGCCACAACUUAAAAAUUACAAAAAGAAAAAGAAAGAAAAACAAAACAUCACGGUAAGCUAUAACCAACCUUAUGGUGCAGGUGCAUGAUACAAUAAGCAGAAUAUAUAUAUAUAUAAUAAAGUCCAUAACAUGCUGUUAACAAAAUGCAAAUUCUCAUGGAAUAACGUAACUACUUAUUAUAUUAUUACAUAAAUAUGAAAAUAAAACAGAAAUAUCAAAAAGAAUGUUCUAUUUCUAAUAGAGCGAGUAGAAGCCUGUAGUGUCUGAAACAUCUCCAAAAGCAGCGACAGAAGAAGAAGACGCAGAAGAGAAAUCUUGCGGCUCCAUUGACAUUGAAGCGGCAGCACCAUAGUUAGUAAUCAUGGCAGAAAGAUCACACGAACCAAACUCGUGAUGAUUCAUCAUCAUCAUCAUCAUAUCACCAUCUUCAAAGUAACUAUUAUUAAACCCUCCGUAUGAGUCAGAGGCCUUGCUUGCCGGAGUUGUGAAAUCAGCUCCGGUUUGACUUUGGGUAGUGGUGGUUUCCAAAGGUGGUUUAAGGCAAUGGUUUGGGACAAUGCAGUCCAAGUAACCCGAGUUGUUACUGGAGUUACUUCCAUCGAAAGAAAAGAAGUUGUGUUCUUCGUCUAGUGAAGAAGAUAACGAGCCGUUAGAAGACGAGUUUUGAGGACUAGAGCUAAACGCUUGAAUAUCUGCGUUUUGAUGACGAACGGGAGUUUUGAAAGAAACGGUGGGUAUAUGUUUAGGUUGCUGAUGGUGAUGAUAGUUUUGAUAAUGAGGAUGGUGAUCAAUGACAAACUGUGGAGAAGAGUUUGGUAAGAAAGAUUGGUUGUUGUUGUAAGGAGAGACGAUGAGAGAGUGGAGAUUAGGGUUUGUGAGGAUAGUGUGAACAUCAGUUGGAGUGUAGGCGAAGUUAGUUCGACCUUGAGUGCCUCUCAUCGAGAGAGCUGCUCUAUCGUAAGCAAGAGCGGCUUCAUGAGCAGUGUCAAAAGUGCCAAGCCAGUGACGUUCUUUGGUGGUUGGAUCUCUUAUCUCAGCUGCGUAACGACCCCAUGGACGUCUCCUGACUCCUAGGAACCUCCCUGGCUCUGCUUGCUUUGAUCUCCGGCCUCGUCUCUCUCCAGUUGUGGUCGUUGUGGUGGUGGCUGUGUUCUGGUUGAUUAUAGCAAACCCCAUUUGAGUUUGGGAUGUUUCAUAGGGCUUAAUAUGAUCUAAGGUUUUGGAAGUUGACAUGAUGAUGAAGAAAUGGAUUUUUUGAAGGGAGCCUUCUUUUAGGGUUUUGGUUGAAGAGGUGUUAUGAUGAAUUAAGUUUUUUUUUUUUUUUUGCUUUGGUUCUAAGGUGAUGGGUGUUGUUUGGGAAUGGAAGUGAAGUGAUGUUAUAAAUAGAGAGACAGUGAACUUGAUAGAGAGACUUCACUUUUGAUUCAACUGCUUUUAGACUACCUCUUUUUUUUUCUCCUUUUCCGAAGAUAUUUUAUUUAGGCGUCAACAGAAAUAAAUUAACGUUGGAACAUUGGUUAGAUUUCUAUAAGAUUUAAACAAAUUCUAAACAGCUUAAUUGCAUGGUUUUAUUAAUCUGUUUUCUUGCCAUUAUAGUUCACCGGUCAGAGUCUUAACUUUUGACUGUAGUGUAUAUAUAUGUGCAUUGCGUACGGAUGGCUACUUAUGAAAGCCUAAGAAGGAGGCCAAAAAUCAUUGGAACUGAGCACCUCCAAGGGGUUCUACCCAUUUAAAUUCUAAAUAUGAAUAUGUAUAUAUUGUAUAUAUGUAUGUAAUUACGGUAGGGGUUCUAUACUAUUUAGUGAACUCAACAAUUACAUACACAUAUACGAUAUAUAUACAUAUAUUCAUAUUUAGAACUCCAAUGGGUAGAACCCUCGUUGGAGGUGCUUUAAUGCAAAAUUUGGAAUGUCACAGUAUGAUUUAGAGAAAAUCAUAAGAAUAUAUUUAGAAAAUAUUUGUUAAAAAACACUCUGUGAUGUAUAUAUUACUUCAUGCUAUUUGAAUAUUUUAUUUCACUAUAAUGAAGCUAAUUAAGCAACUCAAAUAAUCUGCUUAGAGGUCACGUGCAAUGUGCAUGAUAACCCUACAUAUAUAUCAUAAGGUCAAGGGUCUACGUUAACAAAAUCGAUAAUAUAAAUGGUAUAUAUUCCAGGUGAUAUACAUUGCUAAUUACAAUAGGUUGUGUAAGAAAUUAACUGUACUAAGGACUAAUGUGCCAUGAAUUUCUUACAAAAUUUCAUCAACAAUUUGUUAUAUUUAAUAUUCAGUAAGCUUAACUUUCUCCCAAUACGUUUUAUAUGUAAAAUAAAAACAUUACAACGGACAAGCAAGCGACAUGAACAUUCUAGUUUUUUCCUUUCAUACUUUAAUGUGGUUUAGUUUGGCUAAUCAAAUAUAAGUACUAAUGUAAUUAGCUUACCUGUAGAUGCCUCCUGGUCAAAGCACAUGGUGACCGCAUUUUAAGCGGAAAUAGAAAUGAGAAUAUAUAGAUUUUUUUGUCAUCUUGCAAUGAUUUAUUCAAUGGGAGUGGUUAAAUGUGGUUUUUAAUUAAAUAUCCCAGUGGACAUUCUUUUGUAUCGAUGUCCUUAUAUGCAAACAAACACAAGUGAGCAUCAAUCUUAGUCUCAUUGUGUUUGUAAUUUUAUAGGAUUAUAUAUAUAGGUAUACAUGCAUGAGCUUGAGUAGUUAUUCGUCGUAUGUGAUUGCAUACAGACAUUAAUGUCUUACCGACAAACAUGAAAUCAAGAAAAUGUUCAUAGUCAACUAAAACACGGCUUUAACUUAAAAAAACGCGACUUUAACUUAGAGUUCAAAAAUCUAAUUAAUAAUUCAAAAUUCACUAUGAGCCCUAACAUCGAACUUGAUUUAACACUAGAGACUUUUAAUUAAACUUAAUUAUCAAGUGAGCGAGAAGACUUGCGUCUGAUACGUUGUGGAUUGAUAAUACGUCUCUAGUUUUUGUUAGCAUAUUGAAAAGAACUAGAUCAUUACCUAGGAUAUGGUUCCUAUUAACUACAAACGGGCAGGUAAAAGAAAUAGUGUUGCUAAAUGUUACUUCUUAGUUCUUACCGAGAUUUCUAUUUUGAUAUAAUACUACUUUUAGCUGAAAAGGUGUCGUAAGCCAUAGGAUUAGCCAAAUUAUCCUCCUUUUCUCUCCUUCUAUGUCACAUAAGCCACGUAAACUAUAACUUCUUUUGAAUGAAAUGGUUUGCCUUUUAACCGAAUGGGUUACGGUAUAAAAGUGUGAUGAACUCCUUGUAUUAAGGCUUGGAACUGUGACAAUUGUUGGCGAUCUUUUGUGCACAUUGCUGAAUGGCAUUGGGAAUGAAAAUUAUAUUCUUUUCUUAUAAAAGUUAGUCAAACAAAUAAUAUUUUAUAUAGUUCUACACAUUUUGGCUCUUUUAGGAUUUUAUCUUUUGACUAAUACAACAGUAAUAUAACCGUGGUCGGACCAUGAUAACCGCUGUCACUAUCUUUCGGGGUGUUAGCAAUACAAUUUCCCAAACACAACAAAAAUGUUCUGCGCAACGAUUAAUGAUAUUUAGUUUUCAGAAAAUAAAGUUGUUGUGCAUAUUUAUAUAGGGAAAUUUAUUAUGCCGAGAUUAGUUAUACGAUACCAUAUGAACUAAACAAUCUGCAUAGCUAGGAAUGAUUUGUAUCAACUCCAAGAAUAUAUUAGAGAAGAAUAAUUCUUAUCCGCAAAUUACAUAGAGUUCUAAAAUGCAAUGAUUGUAAGUUUGUAAUAAAUGUUUAGUUUGGUGUAUUUAUUAAUAUUCUUCAUCUCUUUUGAGAACUAAGGUUGGAGACAAGUUUAAGCUAUAUAAGAAUCUGACGACCCUUGACUCAUCCACUCAUAUUAUGAACUUCAUGUGGGACUAGCCUUCCAUUUAACUAUCAUCUAGCAUACAUAUACUUUGCGUUCAUCACCAGUGAAACUAAAAUCAGUGAUAAUGUUAUCAAAUUACAGCUAAUUCUAAUUGAUUUUUAGUGGUCAUUUACAUCCUAUAUAUAGUAUUUUCUUAAGAACAUGAUAAACUAUAUAUGAACUAUAAGCUGGUUCAUGAUUGUAUUUACGUAAAGACGCAGAUCAGUUUCCUAUCUUAUAAAUUAUCAAGAGCCAUGGCCAGCAUUGAUCAUAACGUUAUGAGAUUACAAAAACAACACCGCAUUAGUUAAAUGGUAAUAGUCCCAUGUCUUUUUAUAACCAAAUACUAGCAAGUGUAUACAUGUGAUUGAUAUUGGAUUCAUGUAGUGGUUGAGAGAUACGAAGUUAGUAUAAAUUUUCCUCAAUAACUCGGAGAAAGAAAACAAUACUGUGGGUUUUUGAAAUAGGGUAAAUGAUUCAUAUUAACAUAUGAUACGAGAGAGAAAACUUAUGAAAAAUCCAAUUGGCAUUGCGCACGGCACGAUAUUGGGAUUGCACUAUUGAACGCUUUUGGGUGAAAGCUUUUAGUCAAGUUCCAUGUGAUCGAGGCUUUCUUGGGUUUAGGAAUGGAGAAUUUCUUCAGAUUUAUCAAAAAAAAAGCAAAGAAAAACACAGAAUAUUUUGAACAGCUAAUGAAAAGCCAAAACUUUUUCUUUCGAAAUUUAAUAAUUUUUUAUGUUGUUUAAAAUUUCUUUCUUUGUCAAAAGGAUGUCCCUGGAUUUAGGGGUAAAGGUCGUUUUCGAACGAACUUGGACUUUGACGAGAGUCCAAACAGUGUGACUGAAAAGGCAAGUGGGGCUUCACUAUUAGUUUGCCUUGAAUUAGUAUAUCAUGAAGAUGCAAAUGAAAUGGUUACUAUUAUUACAUUCUUCUGUUCACAGUAAAUUUUAAUUCGGCAGCACAUCCAGCUUGUGAAAAAAAAAAUUUGAUCCAAAACUAUUUACAUCCAUGAAGAAACCAUUUAGAUAUACUUUUAUAUUAAAAAUGAUUUUUUUUUUUAAUUUUAGCUGUUGAUAGAAAAGGAAAAAUUGUAAUGUUCCAGUCGUUAAUUAUUUUGUGUAAACCAAAUGUAAGUUUAUAUUUUGUGUAAACCAAGUGUAAGUUCAAUAAUCAAUAUCUCAACUUUUUUUGAUUUUUUUUUGUUUUUUGUUUGUUUUCCUUCAGUACUUUACUAAAUCAGAGAGGAUGAUACUUCUUUUUUUUACCACACUCGUGUACAGUAGAUUAAUAACCACACUCGUGUACAGUAGAUUACUAGUUCUAGAAUAUAGGUAAUUGGAAAGUUAUAAGCUCUGAUCCUUUUGUUCACUAUUCGUUUUCUUAAACUAAAGUCAGAUGAUCAAACACACUCGUGGCACCUAGAGCGACGUGAUACAUCAUAAUUAUCUCCUAAAUUAUGUUCGUGCGCUCCAUGUGCCUUUCAACGUCUCUCUAUUUCUUUAAUUUUUAUAUAUAAAAAGGUACAUAUGAAUAAUAAUUGGCUAAUUGCGUAUAUUAUGUUAUUAUGUUAUUUUCUUCUAUAUAAUAUAUUAUAUGUUAUUCUCUAUAGUAAUUCUUUCAAAUUAAUAAAAUAACUACUAUCAGAUAUGGAAUUUUUUUCAUAGUAUUUAUGAUUAGUUUAAGAUUUGGAUUUUAAUUUCAAGGUUAUGUAUUAUAAUUUAUAAUUUAAAAUUUUAUUAUUUUUUAAAACAAAGAAAUAAAAUGUUUCAUAUUUAUGAUUACCAAAAAAAAUAUUUAUAUGGAAUGAUGCAACACAAAGAAUUAAGCCGAUGAGUAUAAGGUGAUGUUAACUGGAGGAUUUCGUUGGAGUGGAAGAGUUAUGAGUAUCGGGUGGGAGAACGUGUUUUAGGCCGUGAUUCAUUUUUCGUUUAUUUUGGUUUGGCUGUUGCUCGUUUUGUUUAGAAACUUGGUUCUGUUCUUAAUUUUUUAAACAUUUCUCUCAGAGUUAAGGAAAAAGAAAGAAUUAAACCGUUGUUUCAGGGUUGUCUCGGAAGCUGUAGAUUUUACCCCUUGCUUUAAGGUAUGAGCCGCUUUUUUUUUCGGAGUUCGCGGCAACCAGGGUCCCACUCCUAUCAUUCAUUCCCUUGCGGCAUCGACGCUUCGCCAACUCCAGUUCGCCUUUAGGACCUUAGUUUGUUGUCUUAGAAUCUGGUUGUUUACUAGGUGCUCUGUUUAGUUUAUUUUUAUGCAUUUUGUAUCUUGUUUUUCUUUGUGCUUCCGUAAAAAAAUGAAAAUUUGGUAAUAUAAUUUUAACAUUUUACCAGCAAAAAGAAUUAAACAAGGCAACUUUAAAAACCAAACAACAUUGGAUAACGAGGGGAAGGACCAAUGAAAACUAGACAAGUUAGCUAAAAGAAGCCCCACCGAACCUAGUAUUUGCAUACUAUGUGGGACACUGUCCAUGACACGAAAGAUACUGUUGCCGUUCGGGAUAUUUGAGGAAACAAAGUAAGCGUGUGACCUACUAACUAAUACAAUACUCAGCUUAUUGUCGUAAUCUGAGCAAUGCAGGUCCCGAUGGACUGUACGGCUACGAUUACCCACGUAACAGAGAGAGAAAUGAUCGUCUGAUUUGAUUUGUAUGGUCAAAUAGAAGAUCUCUCUUUUACGGACCGUCCGAUAUUUGAUUGGACGGCUGAUACGCACCUCCCGUUUCUUCUCUUUAGUUUACCGGAAAAACUGACCUGGUAUCUUUAACCGAAUUUGAAUACCGGUCCUAGACUCUCAAUCGGUACUGUAUAUCUCAAUAUGUAAAACACACAAUCGAACAGGUUUGCGUAUUUCAGGUGAAUGUUUUCUAUUAGUGACCCAAAUUUUACCAAGUUAUUGUGCCUCGUUGUAUUCAGAAGAUAUAACAGCUAAGAGAACAAGGAUAAUUGCAAACUAAUCAAAUAAUUUCCCUAGAGAAGCUCAUUUGCAGCCGGUCAAGUGAUGGUCUAGUAUUAUAAAUAUAAAAGUAUAACAACAAUGGAAGUUUUCAUUUUCAAUAACCAUAUAUAGUAUGAUAUUUCUUCAGAAAGAAUGUAAGGUAUCACAAACUACUUGUUUUAUCCUCUAUUCAUGACUUUGAUUAGUUAAAAUUGCAAUAUCUUGGUUGUUGUAAACCUCAUAAACCGUAAAAGAAAAAACAACGUCGUUUUUCUUGGAAACCUAGCGAAAUCUUUUAUCUUCUCUAAGAUGGACAGAUCUCGGAUCCUCCAUUGGGUGCCGAGGCACGGGGUUCCAGGUGGAUCACAUGGACGUACUAUAUGUAUGCAUGUGAGCCGUUUCUUAAUUAUGUUUUGGGAGACAACGCCGCUAGUAGACCACUUGCACUGGCUUCAAGUUCACGACACCUGCUGGGCUUACGGUCUCUCAUGCCACAUGAACUCUACAUUUCGGAUUGCUGGUCUAUUAAAUGGAAUGGAGUCCUUGAGUCCGGUUCACUUCUUCCUCAAUUUGAGGCACCUUGAUACUUUCAGACAAUCUGGCUUUCUUUCGCCUCAGCGAUUGCUUUCACUUCUUAACAGUAUGCGGGUUGGUGGUAGAUGAAGAUUUUCACGCUUUUUGUAAUCUUCUUACUAAGAGAACUCCGACGGGGAUGAGAAUUCGUAGGUUUGUAGUUUCGGAAAUGCGACUUCAGUAUGUUUAUCUAUAUGCUGAUGCUGAGGAGUUUGAAUCUGCAUUAUUUAGUGCACUGGAUUUUACCCAUGUAGCUAUAGAAAUUCCCAGUUAUCAUUUUCUAGUAUACGCCAACCACAGAGGAUUUUCUGCCCAACAAAAGAGGAACGUGUUGCUAUACAUAAAUAUAGCCACCUCAUGUUUGCUACUUCAUGGGGUACUUUUUCAGGGAAUUGAUUUUUUUCGGUGCAGAGACAGUGCAGUGGGCAGCUUCCUUAACAUCGAAUUGGGGGUUAAUGCCAUUGUCCGAUUUGUGGAAUAGCUCGGUCUUCAUGUCUUUGUGUGAUCGUUGGCCACGUUUGCUUUGACUCUCUAUUUUGCCUAUUUGGUUUAAUAAUAUUGUAACCAAAUGAAACUUUCCAUACACGGGAUCCUUUUCAAUAGUUAGAUAACAUGGAUGUUUGUUGGAAUUAAUUGUCUAUAUUUUAUGCAAGUUUGUUGGAGCCUAUUGUUUAUAUUUUAUGCACGCAUACAAAAUAUGGAAGGCAACAAUGCAAGAAAAGAGAUGAUUCUAAAAAUGUUGAAGAAAUUUUUAGGGCUGUUCAAUAUGGCAAAACCGAACCGUACCGAACCAAACCGAACCGAAAUAGAUAAUAUGGUUUGGAUUUGGUAUAUACCAUACAAACCGAAUGGAUUUGAUUUUUAAAAAACCGUAGGAUUUGGAUAUGGUUCGGUAUAUAACCGAUAAAACCGAAUAAACCGAAUAAAACCGAUCUAAAAAUAGAAACAUGUAAAUAUGUAUAUAUUUUAUAACAACGUAUGAAAAUCAUAAGUUAAUUUUUUUGCUAAUAACUAUUACCAUAUUUUUUACAGUAAUAAAAUAGUCCUGAUUUGUAAAACACUUGAACUAUAAUUAAAUAACAAUUCAUCGCAAACAUGCUUCUUAUUUUCUUAGUCUUCUUUUGAUCUUUUUGCUUUAAUUUAGCAUUGACUAAAUUGAAAUAAAGAUUAUAAAUUUGAUGAUAACAAUUAGUGGAAAUUCUUCACAAUUUUUUUUAUCUAUAAACGAAUAGAGUUUCGUGUUUAAUAUAAGAAACAUGACUUUAAUGAACGCUAAAUAUGAAAGAAUAUAAUAACUUAUUUUUUGUGCUUCGUGCUUCUGUUUUAUUUUUUGUUUUUUAUUUUUACUAUCAAAAUUUUGAGCUUUGAUUUUAAUUAUAGAUUUGAUUAUUUUAUUAGAUGAUAGAAACAUUUUUUUAUUUUUGUUCUUUUAUUUAAACUUAUAAUAUUUUUUAAUAAAUGAAUGUGUUGACAACAAGACUCUAAAAUUCAUAUAAUAUGAUCCCAAAAUAAAGAAUUAUGUUUUUUGGUAUAAAAUCGAAUAAACCGAAAACCGACGGUAUAUGAACCGAACCGAACCGAAGUAAAUAUGGAUUUAGAAUGGUAGUUAUAUUUUACUAACCGAAAUACCGAAAAACCGAAAAAACCGAACCGAAACCGAACCGAUAUCCGGAUUGAACACCCCUAGAAAUUUUGGAGACAUAAGAUCAAAAAAAAAGUGCUAAUAUCUGGAAAGAAUCAAUGACCAAAGAAAUGUGGAAAGAUGCAACUACUUAGGUUUUUUCUUUACAUCAACUUAGUUUUAUUUAUUUGCAAAGAUAUUCUAAUAAUAAUUUUGCUAGUCUUUUUAUUGUUGAUAUGGAAAUGAACUCCACUAAAAUCUUUCACAAAAAUCAAAAUGUAUUUCAACCCAUUCUAUUUAAAUCCUUCUCAUCGAUUGAAGAAUUCACUCAAAUUCAUUAAAAGAAUCCUAAUUACGGUUAUAUUCAACUCCACUAAACUUCGCAAACCAAUAACACCUCCUAUUGUAUUAAAUUUUAUUCCAAAAAAAAAUCAGUUCAGAAAAAAAAACAAUCUUGGUUGUAGUGUUGUAAUCAACACCGCCAGUUCCAAGCCUCCAACUUCAUGACAAGCCCACUUAUGAGAGCAAUACAUCUUCUUGCACUAAAUCAUCAUUUUAUAAAGUAAUGAGGUAAUAAUCAAAAGAACUAUGAAAAUGAGGGACUAAUGUCGAAAAAGUGAGAAACUUUGGUUACCUUCGAAGCUUGGACCUACGUACAUCAGAGAGCUCGAAAGAGGGAAAGAGAAGGCUGCUGCUAGGGCUCAAUCUCUCUUUCCGUUUUAGGGGUUUAAUCUCUCUACUCUAUUCGAAAGCUAACGUCUUUCGUUCGAAGGUUGUGACGAAAAAUGUAUAGCGGAUCUAGCGAUGGCGAGAGCCACGACACAUCUACGCAGAGGAGGAUCCCUCCGGCUUCCUCAAUGCUCUGGGUUAGAAACCUACGGCGGUACAUUGGUUCCGGAGCUGGAUUAGGGUCCGAAGCUCUAAUGGGUAUGUCGUUAAGUUGUUCUCUUUCAUAGAAAGUUUGAAUUUUUUAAUCGCGUUUCGAGUUCGUUGUAUGAUGAAAUGAGUAAAGUUUCUGAAUUUGAGGUCUGUUCUUUGUAUUGAAACACUAUGUAAACUGUGAUUGAUAAAGGGUUUUGUUUUCAUUGUCUUGUAGAGCUUGAGACGAAGAGAAUCUUGCUCGAGAUAUUCAAAGACAAGCAACAGAAAAGUCAGGAAGCAGGCACGAUACCAAGCUUCUACAAGAAGGCAUGUCCCUUUACACUAUAAGAUGUUUGUUUUUGCAUUUUCACGGCAUUACCCUUUUAAUCUUGCAUGGUCACUCCUUGUUCAGAAACCAGAAGAAGGAUCUAUUAGUCAAAGAGUCCAGAGGCUUGCUAAAUACCGCUUCUUGAAGGUAUACUUUAGAUUUCUUCAUUGCUUCGGAUUGUUUAAUGUCUUUGCUCACUUCAUUAUGUUGAUUUAUUUCCACAGAAACAAUCGGAUCUUUUGCUAAAUUCUGAUGAUUUGGCUGCUAUGUGGAAUUGUUUGAGAGAGAAUUGUGUGAUUGAUGAUGGCACAGGUGCAGAGAAGGUACAUGCAUAUAGUUUGAAAAAUUAUGUUUAUCUAUGUUAACGAUGAAUCUGAUAUUUUGCUAAAUCUUUGUUCAUGUAGAUGAACUAUGAAGACUUCUGUCACAUUGCCUCCGUAUGCACUGAACAAAUCGGCCCCAAGUGUCGUCGGUUUUUCAGCCCAUCCAAUUUCAUGAAGUUUGAGAAGGAUGAGGCUGGGAGGAUUGCUAUUCUACCGUUCUAUCUUUAUGUGAUGCGCACGGUGAGUAUCCUCAUGUGUUUUUCACUUGUCCUUUACUUUAACCGGCCAUAGUUUAUACUUAUUCUGAUAAUCUUAUUUUUUAUGACUGUUAAGGUGUCGCUUACACAAGCUAGGAUUGAUAUGAGUGAGCUUGAUGAGGAUUCUGAUGGUUUCCUUCAAUCUCAAGUAAGUAGUCAAGUGGCUCUAAAGCUUUAAGUUUAGAAUUUGCUCAAGAAGCUUUAAGGAGCUCUCCUACCAGCUAAAGGUUACUAAAUCUAAUCUUCAGGUUCCUUACUAAUUGUCUACUUGCUGUUAUUAUAGGAAAUGGAGUCAUAUAUUUCUGGUUUAAUCCCUAAUUUGGCACAACUGAGGGACAUGCCGGAUGCAUUUACUAACACGUAUUGCCGCAUAGCUUCUCAAAAGUUUUUCUUCUUCUGUGAUCCCCAUAGGCGAGGUAGGCACUUAAGAUAUAUAAUUACGAGGCAAUGAGAAAUUUGCGAAACCAUGUGUUGAAUGGGAUCUAUUUAUGCGUUCAGGAAAAGCAUGUAUUAAGAAGAUACUGCUCAGCAACUGUCUGCAGGAACUAAUGGAAUUGCAUCAGGUCAGUUUAGAUGAAGUAUUGGUGAAAAACAGUUGUGUGAUCAUCUAUAGCUUUCCACUUCUAGAAUAUACUUUUUACUUUGGCUUCAUUUACUGAAUGUUCCCCGGGUACUUUAGGAAAGCGAGGAGGAAGUCACAGACACAGAACAGGCUGAAAAUUGGUUCUCUUUGACUUCAGCUCAACGUAUAUGUGGUGAGUGUGCUAUUUAAAUAUCUGGAAGCAACUCUCGUUUUGGCUUGUGAAAAACUCAGGUGCAAGUUGAUCUAGAGUUUUCUAUUUCUUUUGUAGAUAUGUUUCUUGCACUUGAUAAAGAUUGCAGUGGAUCACUGAGCAAACAAGAACUUAAAGAAUACGCAGAUGGGACCCUAACUGAAAUUUUCAUCGAAAGAGGUAAAUAAUCAUAUACUUUUUUGGUCAUUGUAUACGUUUCGUGGUACUGAUAGUUGCCAAUAGUGAUCGAGACCCUUGCUUUCUUGUAGUGUUUGAUGAGCAUGUUCGCCGUGGCAAAAGCGGCUCAGGCAAUUCCAGGGAAAUGGACUUUGACAGCUUCCUAGAUUUCGUUCUUGCGUUGGAGAACAAAGACACACCAGAGGGCUUGACAUACUUAUUCCGCUGUCUUGAUCUUCAGGGGAGAGGCUUUCUCACAACCGCUGAUAUUCACUCUCUUUUCAGGUAAAUGAAUCUCUCUAUCAAGCUACUGAAUUUGUUCCUUUUUAGUAUAUUUUCUUUUUAAAGACAUGGAAGUGAAGAAGGGAAGCAUCAAAGAGUUUUGUGAUGUUAUCUGAUACAAUCUUCCUAUAUAAAAAAAAAAUCUCUGCAUUUCCUGCUUGCGGUAGCUGAGCUUUGUUCCGCGAGUCUCAUAUUAUGCAAAGACAUUAGCGCAUUACAAAACAUACCCGUUAUAAUUCCACUGUCUCUCUUCUAAAUUAAGUCUUAUUUGUUAAACUUCCAGAGAUGUUCACCAGAAAUGGAUAGAAGGUGGGAACUAUGAGCUGUGCAUAGAGGACGUUCGGGACGAGAUCUGGGACAUGGUGAAACCGUCUGACCCAUUGAAGAUCACUCUGGAUGAUCUGUUGGGGUGUAAACAAGGUGGAACUGUUGCGAGCAUGCUAAUAGAUGUGCGUGGCUUCUGGGCUCAUGACAACCGUGAGAACCUUCUUCAAGAAGAAGAGGAACCACCUGAGGAAGAGUCUCAGUGAUGAUAAUGUUAUUUUCCGUGUUGUAUCUAAUCAUCGAGGUCACGUGUGUCGGACAAAGACCAAAAGUCUCUCUACUCUCCAAUCUGAUGAGUUUGUAUCUUUGUAUAAGAAGCUUAUUAGUUGUAAGAAAAUGGCUGCUGAUAUUGUCACUUGACUUCUUGCUUGAAAAUAUGAUUUGAUUACUGAUUCUUUUUUGUUCUUGUUACAUUAGUUCACAAAACAUAGAGGGUUUUCAUUCAUCUCUUGAGGAUUACAAAAUGCAAGUCUGAUUAUUGAUCUGACAUGGACUCAUCAUAACACCAUGUCAAAAAUCAUAGAUGUGUUAAAAACUUUUUACUCGUGACCAUUCGGGAAACAAGAGGAACAAAUAGAAAAGAAAUAUACGGGAAUAAAAUAGCAAGAAUGAAAAAAAUGGUUGUUCCUUCUCAAAUUUAAUAAGGAAUAAUUUUGUUCUUUAAUUCUCUACAAAAAAAAGAACGAGAGGGAAUGUGAGAGAAUUAUUAUUCCUUAUGAAUGGUGAUUUUUUAUAGGAAUGUUAGGGAAUGCAUUAUUCCUAAUCAUUCCUUAGUCACCAUUCAUAAUUUUAGUGUUAAGGUUAAGUAAGUAACCUCAAAAGUACAAUAAGAAAGUAAAAAAAGUAAAAUAAGAAGACAACACCCUGAUUAUUGAUCUGACGUGGGCUCAUCAUAUCACCAUGUCAAAGAUCAUAGAUGUGUUAAAACUUUAAAAAGCAUUAUUCUGCGUACUUAACUUAUAGGGUUAAGUAAACUAGUUAGUUAUAUAUUAAGUCAAACCCACAAUGCACCAGCCUGCUUAAGCAUAGGGAUUAAGGAUCCGUUAAGGUGUAGACUCAUGACCUCGUUGGCUCCACCGACCAACUCUCCUCCUAUAAAAACAGCUGGAACCGCCGGGCUACAACCUAGCCGCAGAAGCGCCUGCUCAAUCUCCCUUCCUCUAGACACCUCGUCUAGCUCGUAAACCGCUGGAUUCGCUCCAAAAUCGCAGAGCAAAGUCUUGACGGUGUGAGACAUACAACAUGAGCUUUUGCUGUAUAUCACCACUGGUCUCUCCAACACCAUCUUAGUUAUCAUCUCCAUUUUUGUAUUAUAUGUGGUAAUAGGACUAGGAUCAACUCUUUAGAUUUCUUCUGUACGUUGUUUAAACAAGUUUAAUAACGAAAGACAAGAUUUAAGGGAAAAGAAAACUCUUGAUUGGACUCGUAGAACAAGGUUUUGUGAGUUUGUUGUGUGGAUAUGAAAUUGGUUGCAAGUGCUUGUUUAUAUAGGGGUGGAGAAGAUGAUUAUUAUUGGAUUAGAUCGGACAAAAUGUGUAAGAUUUUGUUUCUAACGAUAUCACUUCUGACAGCGACACAAGUUCAGUUUUAUUUAGGAUCACUAAAUGUAAGUAAAGAGAAUCUAAUGAUUUCGAAAGUUUAUUUUCUUAUAUACGAAAUUGUCCUUUAGUAGUAUUUAGUCAUGGCUAAAAGGUGAGAAUGUCCUUAGCUCGUACGGCGGAUCUCAAUUAAUAUAAGAAAAUCAUAAACCAUAUUAUAUUGAUUAAUAGUAAAAGAGAAGCAUAAGUUUUUGUUGUUCUUGUUUAUAGCCUACAUACAACUCAUUGUGGCUCAGCAAGUUAAUUAAAAGCGGUUUUGAUUUACUGAAUCGCGUGGAUUGUAAUCAGACUAAUAUUCACGGAUUUUGUUCGUAUGUAAAUUUUGUGUGAGUGUGUGGAAAGAGGUCAGCUCACUGGAUAGAGGUCAAUGGAAAUGGACAAUGUGGAUUAAUAAGUACUAACUAAUUAGUAUAGUUAUGUCAGUCCACUUAGUUUGUAGCAAUAAGUGCGUUUUUUCAGAGCCGAUAAAAUGUAUCAAAAUACAAAAUAGCAUAGUUAUCAUAAUUUGAAUAUAAAGAAAGAAAAAUGUGUAUAUAUCAUCACGUACAUGAUCACUUGAUGGGCAUUGAGCUCAAUCUAGUCAUAGUACCAUUAACAAUUUAAAGCCACGCAUAUUUUUUCAUGGAGUAUGAUUUUAAAAUUUUAUUCAAAUGUUAAUCUAAUUAAUUAGCGCUAUAUACAAAAUCAUCACAGUUUUUUCAUAAAUCAAAAACAUUCAAGCUUCCUAAAUUCUUUUAUUCCAAGGCUUAAAAGUGGAAAUGAGUUUCUUGCAUAUAUGUUUUCUAAAACAACAAUGGAAUAUGUAAAGCUUAUCAAAUAGGCAUCUUGUGAGUUGGAGAAAUAGUUAUCCAAAAUAGGGUCUCUUUUUGGGGAUUUUUCUUUACGACACGUCUCCAUCUACGUGAGGAUUCUAUUCUCGACUCGCCACUUCCACAUUAUGUAACUCGCAAAAAGCUUAUUUUGUAUAAUUAUAAGAGAGAGAAAGAGAGAGAUUCUAUAUAAUGAACUAAGCACUUCAAUAGCUUUCAUUGUGGCAAACGAAUCUUAAGGACAACGAGUGGAGAAUACGGAUGAAAAUAAAAAUAAAUUAAUACUUGUACGUAUAGAUGCCCUCGAGGCUCGAGGUCCCCGUUUCCAUAACCUUUUCCCAUGCAACAUGCAGAUUCAUUAGAUGUCCAUCAUUCGGUUUGGAAAUACAUAGUUUCACCGAUCAUGGUUUAAUAUUGGUUUAGAUCUAGAAAAUUCAUUCUAAAUUUAUAUUAAUGUUUUGUUUUUUUUUGGGCACAUUCAUGCAUAUAAACAUCAAAUACAUGGAUAUAGCCCAUGAUCUUUGAGAUGGGAGGAAACAAACAACAAAACCAAGAUCAGUUUAUAUAUAUGUAGAUCUUCUACCUAGACGACCAUGUCGUGAUCUGGUCCCAUGAUGGUCGGAUAAGAUGCGCGUGGCCUAGACGGUCCAUUCCAUAGCAACAUGCCAAACAUUAUUUUGAGAAUCACUAAAUUAAAAGAAUUGGUGGUCUCGACUAUCGGCAGCAUUACAAAAGGAGACAUGGCUGGUCUGUGGUGAUUUUCCAAAUACCUAAUCUGUUUUGGAUAGAGUUUCUGUUACUGCAAAGCUGUGUUUAAAAAUGCAAACAUGCAUGAUUCUAGCCUAUUUUGUGCUACUAAAAAAAGUCAGGCAGGUCUGAUUAUACAUAUACUGUAUUACUAGUUGUCCAAAAAAAACAUAUACUGUAUUACUAUCUCAAGAAAACGUUUACCGCCAUGUUGUGAUCCCAUGCAAUUGUCUCAUCCGUCCUAGUAUACGUGAGCGAGAGAAGGCGCAAAGAGGUUAUCGAUCGUGCUAGUAUAGAUAGUAGUAAAACCUCAUAAACAUUUUGUACAAAGAGGGACAAGGCUAAAUUGGGAGAGACCAUUAGUCAGGAGGUAGGCCAGAAGAGUGCAUGUAUUAACAAGUGUUAAUUAGUUUUUGAAAUUAUUAAGUAACAUAGAUUUACAAAGUGAUUAAUCAAAAUCUGAAUUUUUGUAACCCUAGCUAUUAUCACCCAUGAUUUUAAUAUUUACGACAUAACUUAUGGCUCUUUUGACGUUUUACGAUUAUAUUGAAUCCUUUUUCAACGUGUUGAUGGCUACAAGCACGUAAAAAGAAUAUUAAUUAUCCAAUAAACAAACGAACCUUUAUUUUCCAACUGCAUGCAGAUGCUAUCCUUUCUACACUUGAUGACAUAUAUACUGUAUAUGCGUAUAUGUCAGAAUACGAAAUUUAAUAGAUUCGAUGAUGGUAGCAAUGUACGACUCUUGGACCUCAUAGUUUGGCCUGCUAGAAGACCAAUGGCCAAUUUAAUUGGGUUCAUGCAUGCAUGGUGGAAUCUCGAAGUAUGUUUUAUUCUUUUUGUGACAGUUCCCUACAAUUAAUAUUUUUUAUAUUUAGUUUGAAAAACUUAUCACCCACAUAAGACGAAUUAUACGAACACUAGUUUAAUCCCAACUACUAACCGAAUCAUUUUUAAAAGAAAUUUUGUUUUGAACUAUUAGUAUAAAGUACGUUAUAGGAUAAAAUAUAUGGAAAUCAUUAGAUCAAUAUACAUAUAUAUUCUUUCUUGUGGGGUUUAUAUGAUCUAUUAAUAAAGUAAAAAUUGAAAAGAAUGUCAACUUUCUAUACUAAUUAACAAGAUCGAUCAAGAUUUAUUAGAAAUUAAAAGUUAGUAUUCUGUCAUGUAAUUUGAAUAUGUCAUGAGCAGUCUUUUAUAGAAUAUGUGCUAUUAUAUUUUAUUUUACAUGUAUGCCACGCUAUCCCAUAUAUAUUAUUUGAGAAGUAUUACAACUUCUUUUUGUAGUCACAUGUCAUCACUAUAAUGAUUCUUAGAAUCAUUAGAGAAAUAUGUUGGUUCAUCUGAUUACAUAAUAAGUUUUUUAUUAAACUAACAAUAAAUUCAUCAUUAAUGUACUUUAUUAUUUCCUUAAAUAAAAUUUACGGAAUUGCCUAAUGUGGCUAAAAUAUAUAUGGCAAUUAAUGAUUUUGAAUAAUAGAAAUUUGAUAAAAAAUAGUGUAUCUUCUAUCAUAUUUGUUUAAUUUUAAGCUAUUAAAUAAAUUAAACAACCACAAUAACCAUAUAAUAAAAAUUUAGAUUUUUAUGUAUAUCUUAUAUUUUGAAUUUUUACAAACGGCCAUAAAUUACUAAAACUGUUAAAAGUUUCACAUUCAAAUUUUAUGGUCCAUGGUUUAAAAUUUUUGUUAUGACAAAAUACAAAUGAUUACAAAAAUUUUAUAAGUAAAAAGUCUAAUUUAAUUAAUUAUUAAGAUUAAUAUAUAUAUCGUUUUAAAUUAAACUAUACACCAUAUAAAAUACAAUAUUUUAGUUUCAAAAUUUACUUUGAACAACUUUUUUGAUAAAAGUUUUGAACGAUCAUUGACAAAUUAUUUUUUUUUCAAAAUUAUAAAUUACUAAAACUAUUAUUCCCACAAUGAAAAAAUUUGUUAUCAGUAAUUUAAUUUUUUCUCUAUAAAAGAUACAAAUGAUCAAAAAACUAUAUGAGUAGAAAUCAUUAUUUAAUAGACAUUAAUAAUAAAAAUAUACUAAAAUAUAUUAUCAAUGUUAGUAUCAUUUAAAUUUAAUAACAUAUCCUAUCAAAUAUAAAAAAAAUAUUUUUUUGGAUUAAUAAAAUUGAUUUAUAUGUUCACACCAAUUUAAUUAUAUAUAUAUUUAAUAGUUACUGACUUUUACUUAUUUAAUAUAUAUUUAUUAUUUUAUAAUAUGUAAAAAUAUUUAAUACAUAAAAUAAUUUAUAUAUAUAAUGUUGAUACCGCGCCUUGCGCGGAUCUUAAUCACUACAAGAAAACAGGGGGAUUCUGAUGGCCGAAAUCGUCGGUAAUUCGUCGGAAUCGGUCUAUUCCGACGAAUUUCCGACGAACCCGUCUGUCGGUAUCGUUUCGUCGGAAAAAAAAAAUUCGUCGGAAUUUCGNNNNNNNNNNNNNNNNNNNNNNNNNNNNNNNNNNNNNNNNNNNNNNNNNNNNNNNNNNNNNNNNNNNNNNNNNNNNNNNNNNNNNNNNNNNNNNNNNNNNNNNNNNNNNNNNNNNNNNNNNNNNNNNNNNNNNNNNNNNNNNNNNNNNNNNNNNNNNNNNNNNNNNNNNNNNNNNNNNNNNNNNNNNNNNNNNNNNNNNNNNNNNNNNNNNNNNNNNNNNNNNNNNNNNNNNNNNNNNNNNNNNNNNNNNNNNNNNNNNNNNNNNNNNNNNNNNNNNNNNNNNNNNNNNNNNNNNNNNNNNNNNNNNNNNNNNNNNNNNNNNNNNNNNNNNNNNNNNNNNNNNNNNNNNNNNNNNNNNNNNNNNNNNNNNNNNNNNNNNNNNNNNNNNNNNNNNNNNNNNNNNNNNNNNNNNNNNNNNNNNNNNNNNNNNNNNNNNNNNNNNNNNNNNNNNNNNNNNNNNNNNNNNNNNNNNNNNNNNNNNNNNNNNNNNNNNNNNNNNNNNNNNNNNNNNNNNNNNNNNNNNNNNNNNNNNNNNNNNNNNNNNNNNNNNNNNNNNNNNNNNNNNNNNNNNNNNNNNNNNNNNNNNNNNNNNNNNNNNNNNNNNNNNNNNNNNNNNNNNNNNNNNNNNNNNNNNNNNNNNNNNNNNNNNNNNNNNNNNNNNNNNNNNNNNNNNNNNNNNNNNNNNNNNNNNNNNNNNNNNNNNNNNNNNNNNNNNNNNNNNNNNNNNNNNNNNNNNNNNNNNNNNNNNNNNNNNNNNNNNNNNNNNNNNNNNNNNNNNNNNNNNNNNNNNNNNNNNNNNNNNNNNNNNNNNNNNNNNNNNNNNNNNNNNNNNNNNNNNNNNNNNNNNNNNNNNNNNNNNNNNNNNNNNNNNNNNNNNNNNNNNNNNNNNNNNNNNNNNNNNNNNNNNNNNNNNNNNNNNNNNNNNNNNNNNNNNNNNNNNNNNNNNNNNNNNNNNNNNNNNNNNNNNNNNNNNNNNNNNNNNNNNNNNNNNNNNNNNNNNNNNNNNNNNNNNNNNNNNNNNNNNNNNNNNNNNNNNNNNNNNNNNNNNNNNNNNNNNNNNNNNNNNNNNNNNNNNNNNNNNNNNNNNNNNNNNNNNNNNNNNNNNNNNNNNNNNNNNNNNNNNNNNNNNNNNNNNNNNNNNNNNNNNNNNNNNNNNNNNNNNNNNNNNNNNNNNNNNNNNNNNNNNNNNNNNNNNNNNNNNNNNNNNNNNNNNNNNNNNNNNNNNNNNNNNNNNNNNNNNNNNNNNNNNNNNNNNNNNNNNNNNNNNNNNNNNNNNNNNNNNNNNNNNNNNNNNNNNNNNNNNNNNNNNNNNNNNNNNNNNNNNNNNNNNNNNNNNNNNNNNNNNNNNNNNNNNNNNNNNNNNNNNNNNNNNNNNNNNNNNNNNNNNNNNNNNNNNNNNNNNNNNNNNNNNNNNNNNNNNNNNNNNNNNNNNNNNNNNNNNNNNNNNNNNNNNNNNNNNNNNNNNNNNNNNNNNNNNNNNNNNNNNNNNNNNNNNNNNNNNNNNNNNNNNNNNNNNNNNNNNNNNNNNNNNNNNNNNNNNNNNNNNNNNNNNNNNNNNNNNNNNNNNNNNNNNNNNNNNNNNNNNNNNNNNNNNNNNNNNNNNNNNNNNNNNNNNNNNNNNNNNNNNNNNNNNNNNNNNNNNNNNNNNNNNNNNNNNNNNNNNNNNNNNNNNNNNNNNNNNNNNNNNNNNNNNNNNNNNNNNNNNNNNNNNNNNNNNNNNNNNNNNNNNNNNNNNNNNNNNNNNNNNNNNNNNNNNNNNNNNNNNNNNNNNNNNNNNNNNNNNNNNNNNNNNNNNNNNNNNNNNNNNNNNNNNNNNNNNNNNNNNNNNNNNNNNNNNNNNNNNNNNNNNNNNNNNNNNNNNNNNNNNNNNNNNNNNNNNNNNNNNNNNNNNNNNNNNNNNNNNNNNNNNNNNNNNNNNNNNNNNNNNNNNNNNNNNNNNNNNNNNNNNNNNNNNNNNNNNNNNNNNNNNNNNNNNNNNNNNNNNNNNNNNNNNNNNNNNNNNNNNNNNNNNNNNNNNNNNNNNNNNNNNNNNNNNNNNNNNNNNNNNNNNNNNNNNNNNNNNNNNNNNNNNNNNNNNNNNNNNNNNNNNNNNNNNNNNNNNNNNNNNNNNNNNNNNNNNNNNNNNNNNNNNNNNNNNNNNNNNNNNNNNNNNNNNNNNNNNNNNNNNNNNNNNNNNNNNNNNNNNNNNNNNNNNNNNNNNNNNNNNNNNNNNNNNNNNNNNNNNNNNNNNNNNNNNNNNNNNNNNNNNNNNNNNNNNNNNNNNNNNNNNNNNNNNNNNNNNNNNNNNNNNNNNNNNNNNNNNNNNNNNNNNNNNNNNNNNNNNNNNNNNNNNNNNNNNNNNNNNNNNNNNNNNNNNNNNNNNNNNNNNNNNNNNNNNNNNNNNNNNNNNNNNNNNNNNNNNNNNNNNNNNNNNNNNNNNNNNNNNNNNNNNNNNNNNNNNNNNNNNNNNNNNNNNNNNNNNNNNNNNNNNNNNNNNNNNNNNNNNNNNNNNNNNNNNNNNNNNNNNNNNNNNNNNNNNNNNNNNNNNNNNNNNNNNNNNNNNNNNNNNNNNNNNNNNNNNNNNNNNNNNNNNNNNNNNNNNNNNNNNNNNNNNNNNNNNNNNNNNNNNNNNNNNNNNNNNNNNNNNNNNNNNNNNNNNNNNNNNNNNNNNNNNNNNNNNNNNNNNNNNNNNNNNNNNNNNNNNNNNNNNNNNNNNNNNNNNNNNNNNNNNNNNNNNNNNNNNNNNNNNNNNNNNNNNNNNNNNNNNNNNNNNNNNNNNNNNNNNNNNNNNNNNNNNNNNNNNNNNNNNNNNNNNNNNNNNNNNNNNNNNNNNNNNNNNNNNNNNNNNNNNNNNNNNNNNNNNNNNNNNNNNNNNNNNNNNNNNNNNNNNNNNNNNNNNNNNNNNNNNNNNNNNNNNNNNNNNNNNNNNNNNNNNNNNNNNNNNNNNNNNNNNNNNNNNNNNNNNNNNNNNNNNNNNNNNNNNNNNNNNNNNNNNNNNNNNNNNNNNNNNNNNNNNNNNNNNNNNNNNNNNNNNNNNNNNNNNNNNNNNNNNNNNNNNNNNNNNNNNNNNNNNNNNNNNNNNNNNNNNNNNNNNNNNNNNNNNNNNNNNNNNNNNNNNNNNNNNNNNNNNNNNNNNNNNNNNNNNNNNNNNNNNNNNNNNNNNNNNNNNNNNNNNNNNNNNNNNNNNNNNNNNNNNNNNNNNNNNNNNNNNNNNNNNNNNNNNNNNNNNNNNNNNNNNNNNNNNNNNNNNNNNNNNNNNNNNNNNNNNNNNNNNNNNNNNNNNNNNNNNNNNNNNNNNNNNNNNNNNNNNNNNNNNNNNNNNNNNNNNNNNNNNNNNNNNNNNNNNNNNNNNNNNNNNNNNNNNNNNNNNNNNNNNNNNNNNNNNNNNNNNNNNNNNNNNNNNNNNNNNNNNNNNNNNNNNNNNNNNNNNNNNNNNNNNNNNNNNNNNNNNNNNNNNNNNNNNNNNNNNNNNNNNNNNNNNNNNNNNNNNNNNNNNNNNNNNNNNNNNNNNNNNNNNNNNNNNNNNNNNNNNNNNNNNNNNNNNNNNNNNNNNNNNNNNNNNNNNNNNNNNNNNNNNNNNNNNNNNNNNNNNNNNNNNNNNNNNNNNNNNNNNNNNNNNNNNNNNNNNNNNNNNNNNNNNNNNNNNNNNNNNNNNNNNNNNNNNNNNNNNNNNNNNNNNNNNNNNNNNNNNNNNNNNNNNNNNNNNNNNNNNNNNNNNNNNNNNNNNNNNNNNNNNNNNNNNNNNNNNNNNNNNNNNNNNNNNNNNNNNNNNNNNNNNNNNNNNNNNNNNNNNNNNNNNNNNNNNNNNNNNNNNNNNNNNNNNNNNNNNNNNNNNNNNNNNNNNNNNNNNNNNNNNNNNNNNNNNNNNNNNNNNNNNNNNNNNNNNNNNNNNNNNNNNNNNNNNNNNNNNNNNNNNNNNNNNNNNNNNNNNNNNNNNNNNNNNNNNNNNNNNNNNNNNNNNNNNNNNNNNNNNNNNNNNNNNNNNNNNNNNNNNNNNNNNNNNNNNNNNNNNNNNNNNNNNNNNNNNNNNNNNNNNNNNNNNNNNNNNNNNNNNNNNNNNNNNNNNNNNNNNNNNNNNNNNNNNNNNNNNNNNNNNNNNNNNNNNNNNNNNNNNNNNNNNNNNNNNNNNNNNNNNNNNNNNNNNNNNNNNNNNNNNNNNNNNNNNNNNNNNNNNNNNNNNNNNNNNNNNNNNNNNNNNNNNNNNNNNNNNNNNNNNNNNNNNNNNNNNNNNNNNNNNNNNNNNNNNNNNNNNNNNNNNNNNNNNNNNNNNNNNNNNNNNNNNNNNNNNNNNNNNNNNNNNNNNNNNNNNNNNNNNNNNNNNNNNNNNNNNNNNNNNNNNNNNNNNNNNNNNNNNNNNNNNNNNNNNNNNNNNNNNNNNNNNNNNNNNNNNNNNNNNNNNNNNNNNNNNNNNNNNNNNNNNNNNNNNNNNNNNNNNNNNNNNNNNNNNNNNNNNNNNNNNNNNNNNNNNNNNNNNNNNNNNNNNNNNNNNNNNNNNNNNNNNNNNNNNNNNNNNNNNNNNNNNNNNNNNNNAUCAUGCCGAGCAGGUCUUCGGUGUUUUGUUUGCACUUCUGGUGGAAAAUAAUUUUCAGCAAAGAUUGCAGUUUCUUCAUUGAUCACCUGUGCCACUAUAGAUCCUUCCACCCUGCUUUGAUUUUUGACCAUCUUCUUCAGAUGAUGCAUAUAACGCUCAAAAAUAUACAUCCAUCUGUACUGCACAGGACCACCAAGUUCCAAUUCUCUUGCGAGAUGAAUAGCAAGAUGUUCCAUUACAUCAAAGAAUGAUGGAGGAAAUAUCUUCUCAAGGUUGCACAUGCUGACUGGUGCGUUUGUCUUCAAAUUAUUAAUACCCUCUUCAGUCACUACUCUGCUGCAUAAGUCGCGGAAGAAAACACUAAUCCCUACAUAGAUAAAAGACAUAAUUUUCGUAAGUAUUAAGUUUUUAUAAGCAUAAUUGUUAAAUAUAAAAAUAAAUUAAAUUGUAAAAAUAUAAUAUACCUGCAAUUGCUUCAUGAACAUUACGUGGCAAUAAUGCUGAAAAGGCAAACGGAAGGAGGCGCUGCAUAAUUACAUGACAAUCAUGACUCUUCAAGCCAGUAAACUUUCCUUCGCUUCUAUCAACGCAGUUCCCCAAAUUUGAUGCAUAUCCGUCAGGAAAUUUCACUUUCUCUGUAAUCCAAUCAAAGAACUCUUCUUUUCUAGCACCAUCUAGCCGAUAAAUGGGAAAAGGGGCCGUACCGUUCUCAUCAACGUGAAGUUCAGAACGAUCACAAAUAUCGACUAAAUCCAACCUUGACUUCAAAUUAUCCUUCGUUUUACCUUGGAUGUUAAGGACUGUGUUCAUCAGAUUAUCGAAGAAGUUCUUCUCAAUAUGCAUGACAUCUAAAUUAUGCCGCAAUAGAUGACUCUCCCAAUAUGGUAGAUCCCAGAAAAUACUCUUUUUGUGCCAGUUAUGUAGCUCUCCAACCGCAUUGACUCGAAUGUUUUCAUGUCCACCUACAUCUGGCGUCCUUUCUGCAUCAAAAUACCUAAACUGCUUCAACAAAUCUUUCCCACUAACUUCCUCAGGUGGACCAUCAAACACCUGCUUGUUCUUCGUAAACGAAGUCUUACUCCUGCGGUAUGGAUGAUCAGGUGGUAGAAAUCGUCUGUGACAGUCAAACCAACACGUUUUCCUUCCGUUCUUUAGUUGGAAAGCAUCUGUGUCAUCUUGACAAUAUGGACAUGAUAGCUUCCCAUGUGUUGUCCAUCCAGAUAACAUACCAUAUGCUGGAAAGUCACUUAUUGUCCACAUAAGUACUGCCCGCAUCUGAAAGUUUUCUUUGCGCGAAACAUCGUAUGUCUCAAAACCAUGCGCCCAUAGUUGUUGCAACUCAUAUAUUAGUGGUUGAAGAAACACAUCUAGUGAUCUUUUAGGAUGAUCUGGCCCGGGGACUAGAAUUGAGAGAAACAAAAACUCUCGUCGCAUGCACAAGCUCGGCCGUAAGUUGUACGGUGUCACAAUAACUGGCCAUAGAGAAUACUGCCUUCCAUGCUUUCCAAAUGGGCUGAAACCAUCAGUAGAUAAUCCAAGAUAAACAUUUCUUCUCUCUUCCGCAAAUUCUGGAUAUGUUGACUGGAAAUGUUUCCAAGCCUUUGCAUCUGAAGGAUGUCUAAUCUCACCAUUUGUGGAAUGCUCUGCAUGCCAUCUCAUUGCUUUUGCUGUGCGCUCACACUGAUACAACCUCUUCAAUCUUUCCGUCAAAGGCAAAUACCACAUUCUUUUGAAUGGGAUCGGAACUCUUCCCCUCGUCUCCUGAUAACGAGGUUUCCCACAAAAUUUGCAUACAUUCCGUGUCUCAUCCGCUCUCCAGUAGAUCAUGCAGUUGUCAAUACAUACAUCUAUCACUUCAUACGGUAGUUGAAGACCUGCAACAAGUUUCUGAACCUCGUAGUAUGAACCCGGUGCAAGGUUAUCCUCAGGUAGAAUACCUUUGACAAAAUCAGUAAUCGCAUCCAUACAUUCUUCAGCCAAAUUAUAGUCUGUCUUAAUACCCAUUAAUCUAGUUGCAUAUGAUAAGACUGAAUGACCAUCUCUACAAUUUUGAUACAAAGGUUGUUUUCCUGCAUCCAACAUGUCAAAAAAUCUCCUAGACUCGGGGUUUGGUUCUUCCCCUCUAUAAUGAUCAUGUACCAUCUGCUCAGUACCUACACCAUAAUCUAUAUCCGUUCUAGAUUCUUCUAACCUAAUAUCAGGCUGAGGUUCACUAACAGGCUGAGGUUCGCUAGUACUACCAUAUUCAUAACCAGUUUCCCCAUGAAGGUACCAAACUUUAUAAUUACGUGAAAACCCUUUCAUAUACAAAUGAGUCCAAACAUCAAAUUCUUUUAUAACCUUAUUAUUAUUGCAAGAAGAGCAGGGACAUCUUAACAUACCACUUUUUGCAUCCGGUUGCUGUUGAACAAGCCUCAUGAAUUCUCCAAUCCCUUGAACGUAUUCUUCCGUAAGCAAAUUGGUGUUCGGAUCCAAAUGAGGUUUAUCCAUCCACGAACGAUAAUAAACUUCUGAAGACAUGAUUUUUACGGAAUUGUUAUGACUAAAGAGAAUGAAGAGAGAAUGAAGUGUGAAUGAGUUAAAUGAAGAGGGGUUAUGUAUAGUUCGUCGGAAUUCCGUCGGUAUUUUCCGACGGAAUUCCGACGACUUUGCUCUUAAUCGGAAUGUCAUCGGAAAUUAGUCGGAAUAUACCGACGAACUUCCGACGACUACAACGGUUACAUUUUUUAUCGGAAUGUCGUCGAAAAGUCGUCGGAAAAUUCCGACGAACCAAAUUUGGUCGGAAUUCCGUCGGAAAUGGCCGACGGAAUUCCGACGACUUAAUUUUUUUGGAUUUGGUCGGAAAUUUGUCAGUAUUCCGUCACAAAUUUCCGACGACCUUGGUGUCUGUCGGAUCCUCCGUCGGAAUUCGGUGUGUUUUCUUGUAGUGAAUCUAGUAUAUAUAUAAACCAAGUAAAUUAAGUUGAUAUAAGAUGUCCUUUAAAAAAGUAUAAGUUAUACUUGAUCAAUGGCGAUGAUAAUAAUAAAGAUUGCGAGGACGGAUCGUGGCAUCACAUAUUACCAUGGCACGAAUCGUCCGUACGUUGCGUGGUUGCAAGUUGCAACUCAAUUUGCAUACAGUUAUCGAUUUUUAAAAGGGAGAUGCCAAGAAUAAGUUAACCGGAACAAUAAGCUUUGUAUGAUAAUAUUGAAUUGUACAGGAGAGGGGGAAUGGUAAACUCUUUCUCUUCUCUCUCAAAACCUAGUGAGAGAGAGUGAGUCGCGGUGGUUCCCUUGACAAGUACGCUUUGACUCUGGUAUACGGUAGUCUCCGAGAUGCUGUGUAGCCGGCUUUGGAUUCUGGUGGUUCGCGCUUUUCUCUGGUGGAACCAUCUAGCGUAGUAGUUUGAUCUCGGUUGGUGUUGAAGUUGUGAUAUGAAGAUCAUGGGGUUUUGGUCUGAGUUUUUUAGAUGAGAUCUCGAUUUUAAUCGAUUGAUUCUCUCUGAAACUCAUAUUGUGUGGCUUGCUACUGAAUUUCCUAAACCUCCAAUACAGUUGUUGGCGGUGGCUUUUCGGUGGUUGUGGGUGCAGUUCCGGUGGAAUCCGGUGUUUAAUUGCUCUGUUUGGUUGGUGAUGGCUAUUAUGUCGGAGAAGACGAUGGAGGGUGGGGUUCUUGGUGUGACGCCGGUGUGAUUCGGUGGUUCCGGUGCAUCGCCGUGUGGUCUCCGGCGUAGAAUCUCGAAUUGACGAAAGCAGUGGAGGAGAAAGGACACGUGGUCCCUCGUGGUGUGAGUUUCAGACACGUGUUCCGUUUCUUUCUGAUCUCCACACGUAGUUGGGUUUGCCCUUUGGGCUUUUGUCUUUGUUUUAUGUUUUUUAUAUUUUUUGUAUGGCUUUUGUUUGGGGCUUCGGCCUGUUAAUAAAAUCAGAUGGAAAAAAAAAAAAAAAGUUAACCGGAACAAUAAAUUUAUAUUUACAUGUAUUCCGGUAUUGGUCUAUUUAUCUAUCUACUGUUACGUGGAGCAAUGAGAUUGAAAAGAUGAGUUUGGCGUCAGCUCGAAAAAUGAUCAAACCAGCGACAACAAAACGCGUAUUCUCUCACGAAGGAUCCGAAUCAUGUUCUACAAUUUUUAUUUCUUGCAUCAAAUUCUAAAAUUCCGAUUUUUCAAAAUAAAAAAAAAAAUCCAUUUUCGAAAAAAGGAAUUUCCCUUUUGUGGAACAAAUUCACCUUUAAAGAUAUAAACAUGCAGAUUCGUUUGCAUCGAAAAUAUACAUAAACCAUAUAUUAUUGUUGGCUAUAUAGUAAUCCCAAAGGGCAACACGAGUAUUUAUAAUGUUAUAGAUAGGUCUAUUUAUUUAUGAUUGUAUGGUCUUAUCCCCUUGAUUUCCAAAGAUUUAGCUAAAAGAAAAGAAACUACAGUUGGUAGUAGCUUGGUAGAUAACCCUUUAUACGACUACGAGUUAUGCAGAAUGCGGACAUUUUGUAAGAUCAUGUACAACGGGGGUUUUUAAUAAAUCCUAAAGUACAAAUCCUUCACUAUUAACCAUAUAAUAUUAAUAUUAAACUCAUAUUGCUUGAGGAUCAAUCCUUUCCUAAAUUUUUUUUUGCGUGAAUUCUUGUUGACGUGGCAGUUGAGUUUUGUCUAUCGCGUGAAGGGUUUCCGGUGUUCGUGUCAUUUGUAGUGGAGAGGAGAAAAAAAAAAGUUUGUUUCUGCGAUUGGUGAUUCGCUCUCUCCGGGUAGGAUUGAUGAAUCGACGGGUUGUUAUUUUCUUUCUCCUCUGAUUCUUUGGAUUUACAUAGGGUUUCAUGUGGUUUUCUUCGCAAAUUAGGUUACGGAAUUGGGGAUUAGGGUUUUCAAUCGAAUCGGGUUUCAUCACGAUUUGUGUUUCAAUCGAUUUUGGGUAUCUUUCGUUUGUAAUAGAGGUUUCAAAUCGAUAGAGGUAUCAUUCGAUAGGAGUUUAAUAGGGUUUUGAAUCGGAUUAAAUUUCACGAGUCUUGUGUUUCAAAUUUAUUAUUUUUUUAUUCUUAAGGAUUCCUAAUGAAUAACACCAUUGGACAUACUUAUUUGAUUAGAAUCCUAAACUAUUUAGAAAAAAAUAAUAAUAAUAUAAUAUACCUACGGAUUCCAAUGGUGAGUACACCAUUGGAGAUGCCCUAACGUUUUUUUUUUUGCUAAAUACAUAUUGUUACGUUGUUAAGUAUAACAAUACAAUUAUGUUAAAUAAAUGAAAAUAUGAUAAUUAUACUAUUAUAGUGUUAACCAUUGCAGCGUAUUAUUUGCACCUAACUUCAUAGUUUUUUUUGUUUAUGCAAAGUUACACAGAUUUCAUUGAUCCACAAACAACGAUUUAACUACUUUUACGGUUUUACCUUUAUAUAGUUGCUGUUAAUGUUCGAUGAGUGUUUUAAAUUAGUAAAAGAAUAAAUGUUCGAUGAGCGUACAUAUCUUCCGGAGGUCUAAGAGAGACUACGCGCCAAUUGUAUCUCCAAGGUAUUUUCUAAGAGUUGAGGCACAAAGGGCCUCCCAAACAUGGCCAUAUUGACAAAACACCAACAUGUUCGUAGGUUAGUUAACUCUUAACUGUUUUCAAAGAGCCCAAAACUCGUUAGUUCCACCGAUAUGACAUAUACUUCUAUCUCUGUCUUUUAAAUUUAUUAUAUUCGUCUUUCAAAUUUAUUUUGCAUAACCGGGGCUUAAUUAAACUAAACCCCAUGAAGCAGAACUAUCAAUUGUUAAUCCUACCUCCGUUCCCGAAAUUAAGAUGUUUUAGAUUUUUUUUUUCCACAAAGAUAGUUUUUUUAUAUUGUUAAGGUACUUUUUUAUACUUUUGAGGAACAUUAAUUGAGAAUAUUUGAAUUGAUUAAAUUUCAUUGGUGGAAAGUUAUUGGAAAGUGUAUAAUAAAAUAAAACAUAAAUUAAAUUAUAAACAUUUAUUAAAUUCUUAAUAAACGUGGAUACUCUAGAAAAUCUUAAUUUCAGGAACAGAGGGAGAGGGAGUAAGUAUUGGCCAUGGUGUGGUGUAGAUUAUUUUACCUCAACUAUCAAUACCAUAUAUUAGAUCGUGAUCAAAUGUAUAAUUGUCAUCAUUCUUAUUUGUGUGUGUGUAUAUAUAUACAUAUAUGUGUGUGUGUGGUUUGACAUUGCAUUGUCAUGAACAAUGGAAUCAUUAAAUUAAGCGAACCCCUCCAGACCAUUAGUCCAAUAAUAGUCCUGAUUACGUGUAACAUAACUUAACGCAUAAAUUAAUUUGGUCCAGUUUCCUUUUAUUUAAUUUUUGUCCGACCAUGCUCUUACUGUAUUCAAUUGAAAAUUAGGAAGUGCUAAUGUCUCUGUAAAAUUUAAGAACAAGUUAGACCAUUUCCAACAAUGAUCGUUAACACAAAUUUUCAAAAAAAAAUUGUUAUAAAAUUAUGUAAGCCUCAUUUCAUCUAUGUUUUUGUGCCAAUAAAAACUCUUAAACAUCUUACCUAAGGAUUCGAUUUGCUGAGCUUUUUAACUAUUCGCGGGUUCCACUGACACGUGGCGAUCCGCGAUUAGUUAGUUUUUUUAGAAAAAAGAUUCGAACAAAAUAAUAAAAUAAUCAUAACUACUAUUUUUAAGAAUUUGUGCUGUGAGUAUCACCAUUAGAUGCCCUUAAUGGAGUUUGGUCAACAAUGAUUGACUACACUCGAUAAUGACACGUGUCAUAUGAUGAGAGGAUCGACGGUGGUCAGCUUAGAAAGGAGCGGUCCUCUUUGAUCACGUAACAAGUCCAUUAUGUUUCUCCGACAGUGGAGGCAAUUAUCCACAACGCUCAUGUGCAUUGUCUGUUAUGAAACUCCUCCUAGCUGUUACACUGCCACGCGUCGUCAUAUGCCAAAUAUUAAAUCAAAUUAAUUUAUAAUUUGGAAAUACAAGUUCAAUUUGAAUACACUGUGUUCGAAGAUAGAUGAUUUAACGUUUUUAAAAACUUCCAGUUUAUGUGUUAUAAAGUAAAUAUUUUCAGAAAAUCAGUUCAAAAAAAAAAGUAAAUAUUUUCAGAAAAAACUGAGAUUCUCUUUUUAAAAUAGUUUACUAGUAUUAUAAAUCAGUGGUGUAAGGAUAAGAAACGGUCUUCGAAAGUGACAAAUUUGUUAGUUUAAAACUUUAAAUUUUAUGUUGAUGACUCGGUGUGUUUUUGCUUCAAAGUCUGAUUUGCUAGAUUCGAGCACUACCACUAAUAUACGUUGGACGUUAAUUUCUAAAUUAAACUAAUUUACUAUUAACUGAUAUGAAAUCUUAUGAAACGGUUAACAAAUAAGCUGGAGGAAUAAAUGUAGGAACUCUAAAUGUAGCCAUUUUCUUCCUCUGAUAGUGCCUCUCUGAGUCAGCUUGGUUGAUGUUUCUUUUAAGCCAGCAUUUAAAAUUGGAACUUUUCCUUUCUAGAAAACCUACUUUGUAAUUUUAAGAAAAAUAAUAGAAGAUAUAAACUAUUCUAUUAAAACUGAAAUACAAAAUAAAAUUUAUCUAUAGAUUUUCAUUCUCAUUUUGACUAAUUCUAACUAGUUCAUUUAUUAUUUUUAUUUAAGUGUUUUAUUACAAUUUUUACAUUCAUUUUUUACUCUGCAAAAUUACUUCAUUAAUUGUAUUUACCAUAAUAGUUCAAUUUUUUUUAAUUUUAUAUACUAACCAUUAUAAUUUCAUAUGUCAUUUAAAUUAAAUUGCUCUAUUAGUGAAAAGAAUUCAAACCGAUUAACAAAAAUAUUUUUAUUUGUUUGCAUGAUCAGUUAGACAUAACAUUCAUGUAUACGUUUGGAUAUAUAUCGGUUUUAUGGGUAUCGGCUUUUUAAAUUUUAAAAUUAAACUAUGUUCGGUUAUUAUAAAUUUUUAGAUAGGGUUCAAGUUAGAUUCUUUCGAGUCCAAGUAAGUUUUUAAAAAACCUAUAAAUAUCUAAAUAAUCUAUAUGUUUAAAAAUAUUCAAAAAAAAUCUAUAUGUUUAAACUAUCACUAAACAAUUUAUAAAAAGGUAAAGCUCUAAUUAUCUUUAAAGUUGCUAGACGUUAUAAUUUGACCAAAUGUGUUAAUUCAAAGACGAUACCUUCUUUUUAUAACUUUUAGUUUUUUAUGUCAAUGUAGGGGGUUUAUUAUGCAGGCUAAUAAGUUGCUUUACACUAAACACUAAUGUUAAGUGGAGUAAUAGUCAAUGAUUUGUAUAUAUAAUUUUAUUAAUGAUAUUUGGAAAAAUAAGUACAUUUUUACGUAUUAUGUAUUCAGUAAUACAUUUAUGAGAAUUUAUCAUCGCAUAUUCGGAAAAUAAUUAAAUACAUUUCUUAUUGUUUUGAAGGAGAAAAUAAAAGAAACUGUGGGGGUUUGUGAAUGUUUAUUUCACAAUUCACAAGGCGUGAGAGCAAAAGCAUAUCCUCUAUGUGGGGCCUUCUUUCCGACCGUAAUGAUUCUUAUUUAUCUUCUGAAGCCGUUAAUUUAGCCUUUAAUUUAUACUAGUUAGCUUCAAAAUGUAAUUAGCCUCAAACUGUAUAAUCACAUGUAUGAUAUACUUAUUUUUUCAUAACACAUUUCAUCACUUUGCAUAACAGAUACCAUUUCUGGCCAGAUAAACUUGUAUAUUCCAGUAUGUUUCACCUUAUGUAUGUGAAAAUUUAAACAGCUUAUUUUAUAAAAUUUAUUUUUCGAUAAGAUAAAUGUUUUAAGCAGGGGGAUUAAUUUAUGUUGGCAAUUAAUCUCACAUUUAAACAGAAACUUAUUCCCUUAAUCUAACUUUAACUUUUCGAUUAAGAAAAAGAUUAUCCCUUUGAUGGUUUUAUUACAUGUCAAACCAUUUGUAAUAAAAUUUCAUAUCUUUUUUUUUCUUAUAUUUUUCCUUUUACCUUCCCCUUCUCGCGUAGCACCCACAUCCAAAAAAAAGAAGAGUAACCUCGAUUUGUUGAUCUGCCGCUGGUCUCGAUCUCCCACCAAAGAUCUCGAGAAAGAGAGAGAGACGCAUUGAAAAAAGGCUGCGGCUUUUGGUCUUUAUUACUCUAUUUUCCUGUUUGGUUUCACAGUAAAAAAAAAUCUCGAGAUGUGUUGAGCUUUAUCAUGUUGGGAUAAUCUCCGGUUGAUUGAUUCUGUCGGAAAGGUUUCUUUGUUUUAUUAGAAUUUCGAUAUCUCCGAGGACUUAAGCUUCGGAGAUGAGUUGGUGUUGUUUGCCUUGCUUUGGAUCUUCUGCUAAAGACGCUGAUUCGAAAGAUUCGUUGAAGAAAGAAGUUUCAGCUAAAGACGGCUCUGUUACUCAGCAGUCUCACCGUGCCAGCUUAGGUGAACAUUUUUUUUUCAUAUAAAGCCUUUUGGGAUCUGUUGAGUUUUGGUCUCUUAGAUCGAUUUAGCCUUCUGGGUUCUCAUAAAGUUUGUUCCUUUUGGUGAUGUUUCUGAUCUAAAUUCAUAUUCUGUAGCUUCACGGCUACAAAGCUUGUAGGACUCUAGUUCAUGAGAGAUCUAAUGUGUUUUGUGAGCUUUGAUUAUAGUUAUCUAUACAUGGAAUGCAAUUAGGAGAUGUCAAGUUAGUUUUCUAAACGCUAUCCAUCAAACAAGGAAUCAUAAAAACGUUAGCUUUAGGGUUUGGUUUGAGGAAUGAAGAGUUCUGGAUAAGGAUAUUCUAUAAUUCUAGACAUCACUAGUUCAAUGUUUGGUCUACUUCUACUAGUCAGUUACUUCAUAAGCUGCUUACUGCGCAUUGCUUUGUAACGAAAAGUACUAACCUUUCCUCUCUUUGGUGUAGACAAAUCAAAGUCUCGAGGAGGUUCUGAACAUAAGGAGCUAACCGCUCCAAAAGAAGGGCCAACCGCUAACAUCGCUGCACAAACGUUUACUUUCAGAGAGUUAGCUGCCGCCACUAAGAACUUUAGACCGGAAUGUCUUCUUGGAGAAGGAGGCUUCGGACGUGUUUACAAGGGCCGUCUAGAGAGCACAGGACAGGUAAUGAUCCUUGAAAAUCAACAUGAUAAUCAAACUCAAGUGUUUUACUAUUAUGUAUUUGGUUUUGAUGAUAUGCAGAUAGUAGCUGUUAAGCAGCUAGAUAGAAACGGUCUACAAGGAAACAGAGAGUUUCUGGUAGAGGUUCUCAUGCUGAGCCUUCUGCAUCAUACCAACCUUGUGAAUUUGAUUGGCUAUUGCGCUGAUGGUGACCAACGUCUUCUUGUUUACGAGUAUAUGGCACUAGGCUCCUUGGAAGAUCACCUACACGGUAAGCUUAUCGAUAUUUCCCCACUCUAUUACCAUAUACAGAAACUAGGGCGUUGUCUAGUCCUAUUGUAUUUGAUAUAUUGGGAAAGUUUUUAGCAUGUGUUUGAUGUAUUAUUUAUGGUAAAAGUAUCAUAACCUUGCAAAUAGUUUAUAUGGUGAGUUUUUGUUCUCUGUCAGAUCUUCCACCAAGUAAAGAGCCUCUGGACUGGAACACGAGGAUGACAAUAGCUGCAGGAGCAGCUAAAGGACUUGAGUAUUUGCAUGAUAAAGCAAACCCGCCUGUGAUCUACAGAGACUUGAAAUCAUCUAAUAUUCUUCUAGGAGAUGGCUAUCACCCAAAGUUAUCUGAUUUCGGGUUAGCUAAGCUAGGUCCUGUGGGGGAUAAAACACACGUCUCAACUCGUGUUAUGGGCACGUAUGGCUACUGUGCACCAGAAUACGCCAUGACAGGGCAACUGACGUUGAAAUCAGAUGUUUACAGCUUUGGAGUUGUGUUUUUGGAGCUCAUCACUGGGAGAAAAGCUAUAGAUAACGCUCGAGCACCAGGAGAGCAUAACCUCGUCGCAUGGGUACGUUUAAAAAUCUCAACUUUGCAUAUCUUUAAAACAUAAAUUCUCAACCUUUACACAUAAAGUCUCAACCUUUUUGUAUUCUAAUGUUAUAACUAAGUUUUGGGUCGUUGUGGGUUAUGUUUUGUAUCGUUACACAGGCUAGGCCGUUGUUUAAGGAUCGUAGGAAGUUUCCAAAGAUGGCGGAUCCAUCGCUGCAAGGGCGUUAUCCAAUGCGUGGUCUGUAUCAAGCGCUUGCGGUUGCAGCAAUGUGUUUACAGGAACAAGCAGCGACAAGACCGUUGAUAGGAGACGUGGUGACAGCUCUAACUUACUUAGCUUCUCAAACCUUUGACCCAAACGCGCCAAACGGCCAAAACAGUAGAAGCGGUGGCGGUGGCGGGCCGCCGUUUAUCAGGACGGGGGAUGAAAGGAGAAGCUUAGGAGAUGGGAGUAGUUUGGAUAGUCCUGCGGAGACUCGUAGCCGGCUAGGGUCACCGGGGACUCACAAGAACUCUCCUGAUUACAGGAGAAGGGAUAUGGUGAGGGAAGUGAAUGCUGGAUCAGAGGCUGGGAGCGAGGCUGGAGGAGGGUCAGGGAGGAAGUGGGGGUUAAGCGAUGUGGAAGGGACGGAGUCACAGAGAGGGAGUCCAGCGAGUGUUGGGAGGGGAGGGAGAGGGACUCCGAGGAACAGGGAUUUAGAUAGAGAGAGAGCGGUGGCGGAGGCAAAGGUGUGGGGAGAGAAUUGGAGGGAGAGGAAGAGAGGAACCAAUGGACCGGGAAGCUUUGAUAGUUCAAAUGACUGAGAAGGGAAAGAUUUUAAAAGCUUUUGUAUGUUUGAACAUGAGAUAGGUUUUGUCUUUUAUGGCAAGAGGCUUUGUGGUUAUAUGGAACAUUUGUUGGGUCUGGUCGGGUCAGUUGUCGGAUUUGAUGUCUGAGUCAGAGGGGAGACUCUUCAAUGUAUCGUGGUUGAAGCUCAAGAACAAGAAGAAUGGUGAGUAGAGGGAUUAGGAGGGGAAAGAAAAUGGUUCUUUAAGUCAUGUUUUUGUUUUUAUUAAAUGGGUUGUAUAUGUAAUAGGGGAGGGAGAGUCUUGAGUCGAUUUUAAUGUUGUACUGUUUUUAAUGUAUCAUGUGUAUGGAUUAGAGUCUAUGGAAAGAGAGAAAAAAAAAAAGAAACUCCAGCUAAGUCGGCUUCUUUUCUUUGUGAUGAGAGCUACGGUUAUGUGCUCUGUUCAAAUCCGACCACAAAAGGAGACUUCACUACUAUGCCCACAUCUUCUUUCGGCAAAGACUAAUAUUUCACCAACACUGUCACCAUGCAUAUUGUAUUAAUUGGUUGUAACCUAAUAGUAGAAGCUUUCAUCUGUAGAACUGGCUCCCAAGAUGGUCUCAAAAGUCUUUUAAAGGGACGGAGAAUGUCAAGUGGCCUGCAUCUAUGUUAGUAAGAUGUACACGAAACGAAUACAUUUUUUGCAGCCUUUGACUUACAUUCUCCACAUCCCACGUUUUUUUUGUAAUUUCUUAAGAAGUUUAAACUCAUGAACCUUGUUUAUCAUCAUCAAAAAUUUAGAUCUAAUGAUAUUACUCAUUUAGUUCCAGUGUAUAUGUCACUUAAUUUUUUCUUCACAAGAAAUUAUAAAUAAUUAAUAACUAUCUAUUUCUACCAGUAGUUGACUAUUAAAGUUCAAUAGUAUUCUAAAUUUCAUUUUAAAUAUAUAGAUAAAUCAAUAUAAAAUAAAUAAACUUGUAAAAACACUUCAACCAGAUACCAUUUGCAACCUAACGAAUAAUAUUUUCUUUUUCUUUCUCGAAGCUCAUGUGAUUUUGUUUCUAUAUAUUAUUUCCAUUUUAAGUAAUAGUGAAAUUCUAAAAGAAGGAUAGGUUUGUCGUACCAUCACGUGGGCCGGUGAGCAUGGUGGGCGCAAUGUAACUGAUUCAAGCAACGAACACUUGACCUUUUAUUACUAUUGCAGGCUGCAACUCUCACUAUACUUUCAUUGCCUCAAGAAUGAUCAAUCUGUUAUAAAUUAAGCAUUGAAAUGAUCAUCCACUUCUUUACCAAACUCAAGCACUAUGAUCAUUCACUCCUUUACCAACUCAAGCACUAUGAUCAUCUACUCAUCAAGCAUUAUGAUCACCCACUCAUUUACCAAACUAAGCACCAUCUUUGUUAUUUUAUGUAUUGUUGUUCACUAUAAAUACCAUCACUCAUCUCACUCUUUUGUACACCAUAAACAAGAACAAGAGUUUAUAAUCAAAGAACCAUUACAUCUUCUUCUUCUUCCUUAUAAUAAACUCUCUCCCUCAAUGGAGGCAAUUAUCCACAACGCUCAUGUGCAUUGUCUGUUAUGAAACUCCUCCUAGCUGUUACACUGCCACGCGUCGUCAUAUGCCAAAUAUUAAAUCAAAUUAAUUUAUAAUUUGGAAAUACAAGUUCAAUUUGAAUACACUGUGUUCGAAGAUAGAUGAUUUAACGUUUUUAAAAACUUCCAGUUUAUGUGUUAUAAAGUAAAUAUUUUCAGAAAAUCAGUUCAAAAAAAAAAGUAAAUAUUUUCAGAAAAAACUGAGAUUCUCUUUUUAAAAUAGUUUACUAGUAUUAUAAAUCAGUGGUGUAAGGAUAAGAAACGGUCUUCGAAAGUGACAAAUUUGUUAGUUUAAAACUUUAAAUUUUAUGUUGAUGACUCGGUGUGUUUUUGCUUCAAAGUCUGAUUUGCUAGAUUCGAGCACUACCACUAAUAUACGUUGGACGUUAAUUUCUAAAUUAAACUAAUUUACUAUUAACUGAUAUGAAAUCUUAUGAAACGGUUAACAAAUAAGCUGGAGGAAUAAAUGUAGGAACUCUAAAUGUAGCCAUUUUCUUCCUCUGAUAGUGCCUCUCUGAGUCAGCUUGGUUGAUGUUUCUUUUAAGCCAGCAUUUAAAAUUGGAACUUUUCCUUUCUAGAAAACCUACUUUGUAAUUUUAAGAAAAAUAAUAGAAGAUAUAAACUAUUCUAUUAAAACUGAAAUACAAAAUAAAAUUUAUCUAUAGAUUUUCAUUCUCAUUUUGACUAAUUCUAACUAGUUCAUUUAUUAUUUUUAUUUAAGUGUUUUAUUACAAUUUUUACAUUCAUUUUUUACUCUGCAAAAUUACUUCAUUAAUUGUAUUUACCAUAAUAGUUCAAUUUUUUUUAAUUUUAUAUACUAACCAUUAUAAUUUCAUAUGUCAUUUAAAUUAAAUUGCUCUAUUAGUGAAAAGAAUUCAAACCGAUUAACAAAAAUAUUUUUAUUUGUUUGCAUGAUCAGUUAGACAUAACAUUCAUGUAUACGUUUGGAUAUAUAUCGGUUUUAUGGGUAUCGGCUUUUUAAAUUUUAAAAUUAAACUAUGUUCGGUUAUUAUAAAUUUUUAGAUAGGGUUCAAGUUAGAUUCUUUCGAGUCCAAGUAAGUUUUUAAAAAACCUAUAAAUAUCUAAAUAAUCUAUAUGUUUAAAAAUAUUCAAAAAAAAUCUAUAUGUUUAAACUAUCACUAAACAAUUUAUAAAAAGGUAAAGCUCUAAUUAUCUUUAAAGUUGCUAGACGUUAUAAUUUGACCAAAUGUGUUAAUUCAAAGACGAUACCUUCUUUUUAUAACUUUUAGUUUUUUAUGUCAAUGUAGGGGGUUUAUUAUGCAGGCUAAUAAGUUGCUUUACACUAAACACUAAUGUUAAGUGGAGUAAUAGUCAAUGAUUUGUAUAUAUAAUUUUAUUAAUGAUAUUUGGAAAAAUAAGUACAUUUUUACGUAUUAUGUAUUCAGUAAUACAUUUAUGAGAAUUUAUCAUCGCAUAUUCGGAAAAUAAUUAAAUACAUUUCUUAUUGUUUUGAAGGAGAAAAUAAAAGAAACUGUGGGGGUUUGUGAAUGUUUAUUUCACAAUUCACAAGGCGUGAGAGCAAAAGCAUAUCCUCUAUGUGGGGCCUUCUUUCCGACCGUAAUGAUUCUUAUUUAUCUUCUGAAGCCGUUAAUUUAGCCUUUAAUUUAUACUAGUUAGCUUCAAAAUGUAAUUAGCCUCAAACUGUAUAAUCACAUGUAUGAUAUACUUAUUUUUUCAUAACACAUUUCAUCACUUUGCAUAACAGAUACCAUUUCUGGCCAGAUAAACUUGUAUAUUCCAGUAUGUUUCACCUUAUGUAUGUGAAAAUUUAAACAGCUUAUUUUAUAAAAUUUAUUUUUCGAUAAGAUAAAUGUUUUAAGCAGGGGGAUUAAUUUAUGUUGGCAAUUAAUCUCACAUUUAAACAGAAACUUAUUCCCUUAAUCUAACUUUAACUUUUCGAUUAAGAAAAAGAUUAUCCCUUUGAUGGUUUUAUUACAUGUCAAACCAUUUGUAAUAAAAUUUCAUAUCUUUUUUUUUCUUAUAUUUUUCCUUUUACCUUCCCCUUCUCGCGUAGCACCCACAUCCAAAAAAAAGAAGAGUAACCUCGAUUUGUUGAUCUGCCGCUGGUCUCGAUCUCCCACCAAAGAUCUCGAGAAAGAGAGAGAGACGCAUUGAAAAAAGGCUGCGGCUUUUGGUCUUUAUUACUCUAUUUUCCUGUUUGGUUUCACAGUAAAAAAAAAUCUCGAGAUGUGUUGAGCUUUAUCAUGUUGGGAUAAUCUCCGGUUGAUUGAUUCUGUCGGAAAGGUUUCUUUGUUUUAUUAGAAUUUCGAUAUCUCCGAGGACUUAAGCUUCGGAGAUGAGUUGGUGUUGUUUGCCUUGCUUUGGAUCUUCUGCUAAAGACGCUGAUUCGAAAGAUUCGUUGAAGAAAGAAGUUUCAGCUAAAGACGGCUCUGUUACUCAGCAGUCUCACCGUGCCAGCUUAGGUGAACAUUUUUUUUUCAUAUAAAGCCUUUUGGGAUCUGUUGAGUUUUGGUCUCUUAGAUCGAUUUAGCCUUCUGGGUUCUCAUAAAGUUUGUUCCUUUUGGUGAUGUUUCUGAUCUAAAUUCAUAUUCUGUAGCUUCACGGCUACAAAGCUUGUAGGACUCUAGUUCAUGAGAGAUCUAAUGUGUUUUGUGAGCUUUGAUUAUAGUUAUCUAUACAUGGAAUGCAAUUAGGAGAUGUCAAGUUAGUUUUCUAAACGCUAUCCAUCAAACAAGGAAUCAUAAAAACGUUAGCUUUAGGGUUUGGUUUGAGGAAUGAAGAGUUCUGGAUAAGGAUAUUCUAUAAUUCUAGACAUCACUAGUUCAAUGUUUGGUCUACUUCUACUAGUCAGUUACUUCAUAAGCUGCUUACUGCGCAUUGCUUUGUAACGAAAAGUACUAACCUUUCCUCUCUUUGGUGUAGACAAAUCAAAGUCUCGAGGAGGUUCUGAACAUAAGGAGCUAACCGCUCCAAAAGAAGGGCCAACCGCUAACAUCGCUGCACAAACGUUUACUUUCAGAGAGUUAGCUGCCGCCACUAAGAACUUUAGACCGGAAUGUCUUCUUGGAGAAGGAGGCUUCGGACGUGUUUACAAGGGCCGUCUAGAGAGCACAGGACAGGUAAUGAUCCUUGAAAAUCAACAUGAUAAUCAAACUCAAGUGUUUUACUAUUAUGUAUUUGGUUUUGAUGAUAUGCAGAUAGUAGCUGUUAAGCAGCUAGAUAGAAACGGUCUACAAGGAAACAGAGAGUUUCUGGUAGAGGUUCUCAUGCUGAGCCUUCUGCAUCAUACCAACCUUGUGAAUUUGAUUGGCUAUUGCGCUGAUGGUGACCAACGUCUUCUUGUUUACGAGUAUAUGGCACUAGGCUCCUUGGAAGAUCACCUACACGGUAAGCUUAUCGAUAUUUCCCCACUCUAUUACCAUAUACAGAAACUAGGGCGUUGUCUAGUCCUAUUGUAUUUGAUAUAUUGGGAAAGUUUUUAGCAUGUGUUUGAUGUAUUAUUUAUGGUAAAAGUAUCAUAACCUUGCAAAUAGUUUAUAUGGUGAGUUUUUGUUCUCUGUCAGAUCUUCCACCAAGUAAAGAGCCUCUGGACUGGAACACGAGGAUGACAAUAGCUGCAGGAGCAGCUAAAGGACUUGAGUAUUUGCAUGAUAAAGCAAACCCGCCUGUGAUCUACAGAGACUUGAAAUCAUCUAAUAUUCUUCUAGGAGAUGGCUAUCACCCAAAGUUAUCUGAUUUCGGGUUAGCUAAGCUAGGUCCUGUGGGGGAUAAAACACACGUCUCAACUCGUGUUAUGGGCACGUAUGGCUACUGUGCACCAGAAUACGCCAUGACAGGGCAACUGACGUUGAAAUCAGAUGUUUACAGCUUUGGAGUUGUGUUUUUGGAGCUCAUCACGGGGAGAAAAGCUAUAGAUAACGCUCGAGCACCAGGAGAGCAUAACCUCGUCGCAUGGGUACGUUUAAAAAUCUCAACUUUGCAUAUCUUUAAAACAUAAAUUCUCAACCUUUACACAUAAAGUCUCAACCUUUUUGUAUUCUAAUGUUAUAACUAAGUUUUGGGUCGUUGUGGGUUAUGUUUUGUAUCGUUACACAGGCUAGGCCGUUGUUUAAGGAUCGUAGGAAGUUUCCAAAGAUGGCGGAUCCAUCGCUGCAAGGGCGUUAUCCAAUGCGUGGUCUGUAUCAAGCGCUUGCGGUUGCAGCAAUGUGUUUACAGGAACAAGCAGCGACAAGACCGUUGAUAGGAGACGUGGUGACAGCUCUAACUUACUUAGCUUCUCAAACCUUUGACCCAAACGCGCCAAACGGCCAAAACAGUAGAAGCGGUGGCGGUGGCGGGCCGCCGUUUAUCAGGACGGGGGAUGAAAGGAGAAGCUUAGGAGAUGGGAGUAGUUUGGAUAGUCCUGCGGAGACUCGUAGCCGGCUAGGGUCACCGGGGACUCACAAGAACUCUCCUGAUUACAGGAGAAGGGAUAUGGUGAGGGAAGUGAAUGCUGGAUCAGAGGCUGGGAGCGAGGCUGGAGGAGGGUCAGGGAGGAAGUGGGGGUUAAGCGAUGUGGAAGGGACGGAGUCACAGAGAGGGAGUCCAGCGAGUGUUGGGAGGGGAGGGAGAGGGACUCCGAGGAACAGGGAUUUAGAUAGAGAGAGAGCGGUGGCGGAGGCAAAGGUGUGGGGAGAGAAUUGGAGGGAGAGGAAGAGAGGAACCAAUGGACCGGGAAGCUUUGAUAGUUCAAAUGACUGAGAAGGGAAAGAUUUUAAAAGCUUUUGUAUGUUUGAACAUGAGAUAGGUUUUGUCUUUUAUGGCAAGAGGCUUUGUGGUUAUAUGGAACAUUUGUUGGGUCUGGUCGGGUCAGUUGUCGGAUUUGAUGUCUGAGUCAGAGGGGAGACUCUUCAAUGUAUCGUGGUUGAAGCUCAAGAACAAGAAGAAUGGUGAGUAGAGGGAUUAGGAGGGGAAAGAAAAUGGUUCUUUAAGUCAUGUUUUUGUUUUUAUUAAAUGGGUUGUAUAUGUAAUAGGGGAGGGAGAGUCUUGAGUCGAUUUUAAUGUUGUACUGUUUUUAAUGUAUCAUGUGUAUGGAUUAGAGUCUAUGGAAAGAGAGAAAAAAAAAAAGAAACUCCAGCUAAGUCGGCUUCUUUUCUUUGUGAUGAGAGCUACGGUUAUGUGCUCUGUUCAAAUCCGACCACAAAAGGAGACUUCACUACUAUGCCCACAUCUUCUUUCGGCAAAGACUAAUAUUUCACCAACACUGUCACCAUGCAUAUUGUAUUAAUUGGUUGUAACCUAAUAGUAGAAGCUUUCAUCUGUAGAACUGGCUCCCAAGAUGGUCUCAAAAGUCUUUUAAAGGGACGGAGAAUGUCAAGUGGCCUGCAUCUAUGUUAGUAAGAUGUACACGAAACGAAUACAUUUUUUGCAGCCUUUGACUUACAUUCUCCACAUCCCACGUUUUUUUUGUAAUUUCUUAAGAAGUUUAAACUCAUGAACCUUGUUUAUCAUCAUCAAAAAUUUAGAUCUAAUGAUAUUACUCAUUUAGUUCCAGUGUAUAUGUCACUUAAUUUUUUCUUCACAAGAAAUUAUAAAUAAUUAAUAACUAUCUAUUUCUACCAGUAGUUGACUAUUAAAGUUCAAUAGUAUUCUAAAUUUCAUUUUAAAUAUAUAGAUAAAUCAAUAUAAAAUAAAUAAACUUGUAAAAACACUUCAACCAGAUACCAUUUGCAACCUAACGAAUAAUAUUUUCUUUUUCUUUCUCGAAGCUCAUGUGAUUUUGUUUCUAUAUAUUAUUUCCAUUUUAAGUAAUAGUGAAAUUCUAAAAGAAGGAUAGGUUUGUCGUACCAUCACGUGGGCCGGUGAGCAUGGUGGGCGCAAUGUAACUGAUUCAAGCAACGAACACUUGACCUUUUAUUACUAUUGCAGGCUGCAACUCUCACUAUACUUUCAUUGCCUCAAGAAUGAUCAAUCUGUUAUAAAUUAAGCAUUGAAAUGAUCAUCCACUUCUUUACCAAACUCAAGCACUAUGAUCAUUCACUCCUUUACCAACUCAAGCACUAUGAUCAUCUACUCAUCAAGCAUUAUGAUCACCCACUCAUUUACCAAACUAAGCACCAUCUUUGUUAUUUUAUGUAUUGUUGUUCACUAUAAAUACCAUCACUCAUCUCACUCUUUUGUACACCAUAAACAAGAACAAGAGUUUAUAAUCAAAGAACCAUUACAUCUUCUUCUUCUUCCUUAUAAUAAACUCUCUCCCUCAUAUUAGUGUUAUUUGCUUCAUACGGGUAUUAAAUUCUACUCUUAUUUAAAUUUCUCGAUACUAUAAAUUAUAAGUUAUUUCAUAACACGUUAUCAGCACGAUCACUCUACGAUUCGGUAAAAUUUAUUUGUAUCAUUUAUACCCUGUUAUAAUGGUCGGUAUACCGCCUCUACUAUUAUUUAUAUCAUGUUAUAAUGGCCGGAAUACUGCCUAUAUUAUUUACUAGUAAUUUAAUUUAUUUAUUGGUCGGCCGAGCCGCCUUAUAUCCUGUUUAUUAUUUAUUGGUCGGCUGAGCCGCCUUAUAUUCUGUUUAUUAUUAAUUGGUCGGCCGAGCCGCCGUAUAAUUUAUUUAUUAUUCUGCAUUGAUCGGCUGAGCCGUCGCAUGAUUUGUUGUCAUAUAACAUAAAUAUUUCAUUGUCAUAAUUUUUCACUUUUAUGAAAUUUUAUAGAUUUGAUUGACCGUUUAAUACGAUAUUUUCAGACUAAUUUUUGGUGCACUCGAUUUAACCCCAACGGUCACAAAGAAAUUUUUUCAAAAAUUUCCCCUUUCUCCAACGGUCAUGAACAGUAAUUUUCAUCUAUAAAUACAACUCAUUUUCACUCCAUUUCAUCAUCCAAAACAUUUCAUCUUCUCUCAAAAAUUUCAAAUCGCUCUCCUCCGAUUUUUCAUUUCAAGAAAGAUGAUUCGCGCACUUUUGUUUUUAUGUGCCAUUUUUAUUUGUGUUUCUAUUUAUGGUUUAUUCGUUGGAGAAUUUACUCCGAGUGAAUUUAAGAUGAAUAUCGGUUUAAUUUUAUUUACAUCGCUUCUCCUUGUAAUUUCUUGUAUGAUUAAUGUAAACGGUUUUUAAAUUAUGAAGUUCAUAAUAAAUGAUUCAUUUUAAAAUUGCGAAAUUCUAAAAAAUAAAUAAAUAUAUAUAUAUAUAUAUAGUCAUUUUAGACGAAUAUAUAUAUAUAUAUAUCAACGCUUGUCUAUAUGUAAGAAUAAUAGUUAUUUGAUGAAUUAAAUUUUGCUUAUUAUACUUUAAUAUGCUUCAUGGUUUAAUGGUAUUAAGGAAACAUACUUUAUGAUUCAUGGUCUAACAUCAUAAAAGAAAUUAUUUGUAAUCGGUUAGUUUUGUAGUCGAUUAGUCUUUGGUCUAAUAUCAUAAAAGAAUUUGGAUUAUAUGUUGAUAUUUACUAAUGUAAUGGCCAUGUUUAUAUGAGCAAAAUUUAAAGUUUUCAGGAUUGUGUAUUCUCUCGGAAAGAUAUGUACAAGUUAUCAGCCAAUUCAGAAACGUGAACAGCUGAAACUUUCAUCGCCGAUAUACUUCUGUUUAUAAGAUAAGUAUUUUUAUGCUUUAUAUACAAGUUUAACAAACUUGAUUAGAUAAAUCAAUUUGCAUGAAGUUGGCAGUGAUAUAAAUUUGUUCAUUAAAUUGAUUGAUAGGUUAAACUUUGUUAAAAAGCAUGAGAGUAAUAAUAUAGUCUAUAUAAUAAUUACUAUGAAAGUUUUAUUUAUUUUCUGAUAUAAUAAGACACCUUUGUUAAUACAUAUUUAUAUAUAUUUGAAAUAUUUUGAUUUUAUUACCAUUUAUAUUGAGGAUUUUAAGUUUAAAGCUUGACUCUAAAAGAUCCAUAAGUUUUGGAAGAUAAUAUAUAUAAAAAAGGUAUUAUCACCUGAAGUGAUUACCUAAAGCUCAUUUUGUAUUUUGCAUUUAAAGAUUACAAGACCUGAAGUGUGUAAAUAAAGCCAACUAUGUUGGAUGUUAAGUUUAAAAGUAAAAUUUCUUCAAUAAAUUUUUUAUGAUGCAUAUAUAUGAAAAAUAUCUAUUGAUAAAUCACGUCUAGUUGAUUAUGAUUCAUUCUCCUUAAGAGAAUAUGACAUUUAUACCCUUUUAGACGUGAGCAUUGGUCAAGAAAAUGAACAUAAAAGUGGUUUUAGACGUAAGCAUAAAUGAGGUCAAGGUCCAAAGAGUUUCUUUAUAGAACUCAUACUCUCACUUAAAGUUGAGAAAAUAAACAUGGUAAUAAAGAAAAGAAAUUAUGAAUUCAUCUGAAGAUAAAAGAAAAUUUAUUGUGUGUACAAUACAAGGUAGUAAAAACUUAUAGAAUGCUUUAAAAAAGGAUAUAUAUGAUGCUCCAGAAGUAUACAUAGUAUUACUGCACAUAAAAAUUUAAUUUAAAGUUCUUAAGAAUGCAAUUUAAAGUUCUUAAGGUAUUGUAUUUUUAUAAGUAUCAAAAGUUAAAACGAUCUACGAAAAAUACAUAACCCAUGUAGGAUAUGUUGUUGAUUAAGAAAAUGAGAUACAUUCGAGAUUGAUAAACCUGUAGUAUUAUAAUCUCGAGGGGAAGAGUUAAAGAAUCUCACUUUUUAUGAUAAGUCAAACAUCCAGAAGAUUAUGUUUACACUAAAACUAAGAUUGAUGAAUUUUUCUCAAAGUAAAUCCGUAAGAUUUUGAGACACUUAUGUUGAGACAAUAAGCAAACGAAAUGAUAUAUACAUUUCAAUCAGAAAUAAUUCUCAAAGCAGUAUAAGUAUUUUAGAGAAAAUAUCUACAGCCUCUUAUAUAUUGUACUACACAAAGAUUAGUAUAAUGAAGAUAAAUGUAUAGUAAACUAGAAGUUUACAUUUGGCAUGAAUCAGUUAGACCAUUUUGGUUCAUUAAUAAUGCGAAUAUAUACUUAAAGGUCAUAUGCAUAGUCAUAUAAGAACCAGAAGAUUCUUCCGAAUGAUUUGACAUAUGUUGCUUACCCAUAAGAUAAAAGGGUAAUAUGGUUUUCACCAGCCAAAAUAAGAUAUUGGCAUAAAUAACGAAGAUGUUAGUGGACUGAUCACCCACUAUGCAUUUUUAUAAUAUUGGUGAAUUCACUUCUUAAAGUCUUUAACGACUAUAGCACAUUCACUGAGAUAAGUGCUAAACAUUUUGAGCAACAUUGGAUCGCAUCAAGCCAAUAAAUAUUCACUAGUUCUCCCCAUCAUUGGUAUAGAAUCAGAAACCAAUCAUUUUCAUCUAAGAAUGUUGGAUGUUGCUCCGCCACAGAGCUUCAAAUGAAGAUGUGUUUUCAAAUGAGGUUGGAAAUAUAUGUUGGAUAUAAAUCUCUAUUGACACUUAAGAAUCCAGAGCCAUCCCCGAAAACUAUAAGUAAGGCUAUACAUGAAUUCUAAAAGUGAGUUAGUACUUCCAACAUAAGGGGGAGAAAAUAAACAGCUGGAAAAGAAAAUAAGUUGAAAUGAAUUAUCAUUGAUCCUCGGGCUAAACACAAUGUGAAAUAGAAGUCCAAAAGAUAAUUCAUUUCAAAACUUACUAAAGCAGUUGCCAGACACGACCCAUAUAAAUAUAGUGAUCAAGUCACAUAUACCAGCUGUAAAUGCUCCAAUAAGAAUAAAUGUUCUACAAGAACAAUAUCAAACUGCUAGUCACGCCUGCAGCGUGGUAGACAGAUUGGUUCCAAAGAUAAAUCCUCGUAAAUGAAAAAGGAGCAUAUAUUGAUAAUGGUCAAAACGAGGCAAUAUAGUUUUGUAUGAUCUCCAGAAGAGAAAUUAAACAUGACUGACGAAAAUUCAGGUACCUGAGACAAAUGAAGAGAUCUCAAUAAGUUAUGUCAUGUAUGAAACAAAAUGGAACCGAUAAGAAAAUUGACGUCGAUGAUAUUAUACAUGCAAAGUAGCAGUUGAUAUAAUAAAUGAGAAAGAGGAUCAUGAAAGAAAGUCUAUUGAAAAGUGUACACAAAGAAAUGAUUGGCCAAAUCAGAAAGAUGCAAUAGACAAAGAUAUAAACUUCUUGUGAAAUAGAGAAGUAUUUGGACCAGUAGUCCAUACACUAAAAGGUGUAAAACAAGUGAGAUGUAAAUGAACCGUUGCACACAAAGAAGGAUCAAUAUGAAAUUAAUUGUGAAGAGACAUAAUUUCAUGUGGUAGAUGCAACUAGUUUCAAGUUCCUUAUAGUCUGGUAAUAAAGGAAGAACUUGAAUGAAACAAUCCACUUGAAAAAUGUUAAUCCCUGAAAGUAUAAUCCAUGAAGGAUUGAUGAUAUCAAAAUCAUGUUCCCGGGAACUCUGCAUAUUCGAUCGAAUUGAAACAAACUAUUUUAUGGGAUAUAUGAAAUAUUAUAAGGUUAACAAAUGUAUCCAUUUGUAUUUAUCAAGAGAUUAUAAAUCAAUAGAAUCAUGAUUUGAAUAUAAUCAAAACUCCUGAAGAGUUAUAGAAAAAUUAUAUUUUGGAAGAAAACUCUUGACAAUACUAUAUUGUUUUAUGUAUUCUAAACUGGAGAUCUAAAACUAAGAUGUUAUCAUAAAGAUCCUUAAAGUAUUUUAUUUAAGACGCUCGUAUAUGUUUGGUCCUGAAAUACCAUACGUAAGAGUGUUAUUUAAGAAAAUUAUUAAUCUUUUUCAUUACUGAAAGAUGUAAUUUCAUAUGAAAAGAAAGAAAAUCAUAAUAGUAACUUCUAUAGUUACAAAUGAAUAAUUCGUAUGUACGAGACGAAUUUCUAUACGAUUAUAUGUAAGAAAUUUGGUUUGAAAUCCAAAUAGACCAAUAAACUAUUGUCUAAGUCAAAAGAGAAUUAUGGACAAGAAGUCUAAAGGCCCUAGAUAUCAUAAUAGAAAUGAAUAGAGUUUAUUCUCUUAAGCUUAAUUCUCUGAAGAGAGUUGAUUGGAAUGCAUAUCCUGAAGAUAUUGUUUCCAGGGAAAGAAAUAUGAUAGUAAGUGUGGUUGUACUCUUUUUCCUUAUCAUGGUUUUUUUUUUAUCCCAUUGGGUUUUUCCAUGACAAGGUUUUAACGAGGCAACAAAGAACAUACAAAAGAUAGACAACCAAAGAGAAUGUUACAAUUUGAGAGAUGAAAAUCUAUCAUUGUUCUAAAGGUUCUAUGACUACUCAUUCGAGGGGGAGCUUACGUAGUUGUACUCUUUUUACUUUUACUACGGUUUUUCCCAUUGGGUUUUCCAUGACUAGGUUUUUAACGAGGCACCACGUAAUACAAGAUGGAUGAUCAAGGGGGAGUGUUAUAAAUUAAGCAUUGAAAUGAUCAUCCACUUCUUUACCAAACUCAAGCACUAUGAUCAUCCACUCCUUUACCAACUCAAGCACUAUGAUCAUCUACUCAUCAAGCAUUAUGAUCACCCACUCAUUUACCAAACUAAGCACCAUCUUUGUUAUUUUAUGUAUUGUUGUUCACUAUAAAUACCAUCACUCAUCUCACUCUUUUGUACUCCAUAAACAAGAACAAGAGUUUAUAAUCAAAGAACCAUUACAUCUUCUUCUUCUUCCUUAUAAUAAACUCUCUCCCUCAUAUUAAUGUUAUUUGCUUCAUACGGGUAUUAAAUUCUACUCUUAUUUAAAUUUCUCGAUACUAUAAAUUAUAAGUUAUUUCAUAACACAAUCAUAUAAUUUUGUAUUUGCCACGCCAGUACCUAACAAAAUAAGAAGAAAGAAUAUUUUGAUAACAACAAGAAAAGUAGCUUUAAACUUUAUUACGUGAUCUUUAAUCUUGUAAUCCAAAAAAAUCCCAUUGGUAAACAAAUAGGUCAUUUAUUAACCUCUCUUGCAAAUAUUACACAAUUUACAAAGACAAAGAAAUGUCUUUUGGGAAAUAGAAGGUCUGAAAAUAAUGAAUGGAUGACAUGUGAUUGGUCAAUAAUUCGGCGCUCUACUCUCUGUUACGGUUGGUAUCCAUGUCAUCCCAUCCCAUCUCCCUCACUCACCACUUUCUUCACCUUAUCUCUCUCCCCCUUAAAUUAUUCCAUAUUUCUUUAAAUCUCACGACCUCCCACGCUAACAACAUUCUCAAGGAUAGAUAGAGAGAGAGAAUAAAAGCUCCAAGCUUUCUUUUUCUUUCUCUCGUCAUUCCUGCAAAUAGGAAGGUUGUAGAACAAGAAGUGGGGUCUCUGUUUUCAUUCCUGGCCUUGCGAUUCAGAUAAAACUUUCGGCUUCAAAGCCCAUUCAGUCCAAUCCAAAUCCACUUCCUCUCCACACAUAUAUAAAGUAUAUAGUUAUAGAGAGAGAAAGAGUUAAACUUUUCACAUCUUUAUAUCUCUCUCUCUCUACCAGCUUCUCUCCUCCUGUUCUCAUGGAAGCCUCACCCAAUGAUCGCCUUCACUUUGGCAAAAUGGGUUUCGGGUAAAAACAACAAUCCUCUGUUUCUCUUUAUGUAUUUUACUCUCUUAGUCUAUCAGAUCAGUGCUUUUGUGGGUCUUCUCUCUUUUUCAAUGUGAUCCGUAGAUUCCCAUAAUUCUAAGCUCUGAAUCACAAAGUCUCUCCCUUUCUCCAAAUCUGAUUCAUGGGUUUUCAUCAGUCUCCGGUUUAUGAUCGUAAUCGAUUGAUAGAUCUGUCUCGAUCCAGAAAAGUUUAUAAUUGGACUCUCUCUCUGAUCCAUGUAGAUCUUGUGUCUCUUCCAUGUGUAUUAGGUGUCAGCACUACAGGAGGAGAUGCCAGAUCAGAGCUCCAUGUUGCAACGAAAUCUUCGAUUGUCGCCAUUGUCACAACGAGUUCGCUGUAAUAAUCUCAACUCAAAACCUUUAAUUACUGUCCUAAAUUACUUCCCCUGUUAUGUCUUAACCGUAAAACCUGAGUUUUAGUUAUUAAAAGUAACUUCCUUUUUUUGAAUAACAGAGCACUUUGCGCAAUAUCUACGACCGUCAUGAGCUUGUUCGUCAAGACGUUAAACAAGUACGAUCUAAUUCUCUUUAAUUGAGUUAUGUAAUCUCAGCAAGUUUUCAUUUUUACUAUGUGAUCUCAGCAAGUUUGCAUUUUUUUCUAAUCUGUUGCACCUUUAUGGCUGUUUUUUCUCAGGUGAUUUGUUCGGUUUGCGACACAGAGCAGCCGGUAGCUCAAGUAUGCUCCAACUGUGGUGUCAACAUGGGAGAAUACUUUUGCAAUAUCUGCAAGUUCUAUGAUGAUAAUGUAAACAAUUUUUGAUUUUCUUACACAUUUUUCUAAUCUGUUGCAUCUUGGUGUUUGGUUCUAAUCAUUUUUGCUGUAUUGUUCUGUUUCAGACUGAGAAACAACAGUUCCAUUGUGAUGACUGUGGAAUCUGCAGGUGAGAGAUUAUUUCCUUCAUACAGUAUAAUUGGUGAUUCGUUUUAAGUUUGUGUCGUUAUUAACAAUUUCAUUGUGUCUGUUGCAGAGUUGGUGGACGUGAGAACUUCUUCCAUUGCAAGAAGUGUGGUAAAAACUAAAAAAACAACAAACUUGAUCAUUUUCAGUUUCAUUCACACACAACCAAGUGCUAAAAAUCAUCCAUUAUAUGCUUAAUAGGAUCUUGUUAUGCAACUGGUCUGCGCAACAACCAUCGCUGCGUUGAGGAUUCAAUGCGACAUCACUGUCCCAUUUGUUUCGAGGUAUGUCUGUUAUGUCAAGGCGUAGCUUGAGUGUGUGUUUCUGUCUGCUAAAUGUAUGAAUGAGAUACUUUUGUUGCUCUUGCAGUAUCUCUUUGACUCUCUUAAAGAAACAACAGUGAUGAAAUGUGGACACACGAUGCACUGUGAAUGCUACCAUGAGAUGAUCAAGCGUGACAAGUAAUCUAUUUACUCUUUUUUUUCUUGUGGUUAUAUCUCUGUGUUUAAACCUUUUAGUGAUGGGGUUUUUGAAUGUGUGAACUUUUUGCUGUGAAGAUUUUGCUGUCCUAUUUGCUCGAGGUCAGUGAUUGAUAUGUCAAAAACAUGGCAGAGGAUGGAUGCAGAGGUUAGUUUUAACAUCUUUUGGUGAAUUAUGUUUUAAUCAGGGUUCUAAAAAACGGUCCAGGCAGCAAAUUUUUCAUAACGGAAACAAUUUUCUUAAAUCGGUUUAGAUCAGGUGUAAAUCGGUUAAAUCAAGUAUUAGUGCAGUCCAUAAAUCAAUUUUUUUUUAUCUAUUUAUAUUUUAAGUAAUGUUAAAUCAUUUCAAAUAUCAAAUUUUAAUUCAUUUGUGUUUGUUAGAUUGAAGCCACAUCUAUGCCUUCAGAUUACCAUGACAAGAAGGUACAUAAUUAUAUUUCUUCUCUGUCACUCAAGGUCUCAAUCAAAACCGUUUUAUAAGUUACUCAGAAGAAGAUUAUGUGUGGGAUUCACAGGUGUGGAUACUAUGCAACGACUGUAACGACACAACAGAAGUGUACUUCCACAUAAUAGGACAGAAAUGUGGACAUUGUAGAUCUUACAACACCAGAGCAGUCGCACCUCCUGUUCUUCCUCAAUGACUAAAGAUCUUUCACUUGUUGCCAUCUAUUACCAGAAAGCAAGCAUGAACUUUUUGUUGCAAAAAACUUUCUUGAUGAUCGGUUAUAGCAAGAAAAGUUGAUCAAUAUGAUUGUUGGUCACAAAAGCAAAACACAUAUCUGUUUUCUUCAUGAUUCUAUUUGUUGUUGGUCAAACCAUUUAUAUUUGGGUGUGGGAAAGCCAGGAUUAUUUAUGUAUAAUAUACUCUUUAAAUAUUCUUGAUCCAGGAAAUUUACCUGUGAUAUGCAAUGUGUGUUUUCUAUUUUUGUUUCAUUCAACAAUCUCGGAUUCACAGAUUCUUAUCUCUUAUAAUCUCAUAAGUACACAUCCCAAACUCAUUUUAAAUAAAACUUUGCAACUAGAAUUGUUCACCAAGCUCUUGACCAGCCAGCCAUCCAUCCCUUCCUCUGAUAACUUUCUCAAAGGAGUCCUCAACCGUGUCUUUCACGUAACUAGGUGUCUUCUCUUCGCUAUACAAUCCAGUCUCUGGAUCAAGAAUCAGUUUACUCUCUGCGGCGUAAUACCUUCCUAUCUUCUUAACCGAAGGAAAGAUCUUUGCGAUAGAAUCAAAAAAUCCAUUAUCUCGAUAGGUACUUUCAAGAAAUUAGGUUCUCUGCCAAGAAUCCUAAAAAGAUUGAUCUUGUUCUUGCCCAACAAGCAAUCCGCUAAAUCCUGCUCGCUGGUGGGUUUACCGUUUACGCACAGCUUACUAUCUCCGAACAUCAGUUAAGGCUUCCCAUCUUUCACAAUCUCGACUUGACCACCUAAGCUCUUGAACAAAACUUUUGGUCUCACAAUGCUGUAAGUAAAACUCGAGUCUUUCAAUUCUGUUUCUGAGGACAUACAUGUAUUUGCAUCUGUAGCGAGAUUUCACGUACUCAAUAGCUAGCAUUUUCCAGCCUUGAAGCUUUAUCAGCUUUUUCGAAGUAGAAGUAGAAGCAGAACAAAGCUUCAAUCAUAAUCAUCAACCUUACCUUAAGAGUUGAGAGUAAAAAGAUAUUCAAGACAUACCUUGUUGCCGUGAAGAAUGACUUCUCUGAGAGCAAAAGUCACUACGCGGCCUGUAUCUAUCACGUUAUUAUGUUUCUGAGUCCAAUUUGUAGCCGUAAGUGGUAACGUUAAUAAAUAAUAAUUUUGAUUUUCUCUAUGGCUAUUAUAAAUUAUGAAGUGUUUGACUGCUAAAAUCACACUUAUUAAGAAUUUAAUAAAUUUUUAUAAUUUAAUUUAUUUUUUUUAUUUUAUUAUACAUUUUCUAAUAAUUUUUUACCAAUAAAAUUUAAUCAGUUCAAAUAUUCUCAAUUAAUGUUUUUCAAAAGUAUAAAAAAAUAAAUUAACAAUAUAAAAAAUUGGAACAAGAAAAAAAUCAAAAAAAUCUGAAUUUGAGUAUAAAAAUCUAUACAAGUCGAUGUAUAAAUAAUAUUUAGAAAAUGAUAGAAACCACAUGAUGAGAGAGUCGCAGCUUGACAAUGCUACAAAAUCUGAGGAAACAUAGUUGCACGGACCUGACUCAGCAUUGAUAUUUCGACACGUGUCAACUUGUCUGAACCCAUAUGUUGAUUUAAAAAUGAACCAAACUUGGGUUCACUCCUAUGGUGAAUCUCCUAAAUUCACCUCACUAUUGAUUACCAAUCAAAUAGCCAUAUAAGAUUAAUCAAAAAAGGUAUUAAAAUUUAAAAAAAAAGGAAAACAGCUUUAAAAAGAAAAGGGAAGACGUCGACUUAACGACGUUGAUCAAAACACCUCCUCGGCUGCUGCUUCUUCAAAUUCAGAGGCUUGUUCUCAGUGCCUAAAAAAAUACAGAUUGUAGUUUUCAAACAAAGGUUCGAGAUCUGUGUUUGAACGGUACGUCGCGUUACUCUCUUUUAUCCUUAUUCAAAUUUAAGAAUCGAUGUUUUUAGAUUAGGUCAAUUCCCUAAAACAACAUAAUUAACCUCAAGUAUAGUUAUUGUUUGUUAUAUAUCUCAGGAUCAUAUAGUUUUAAGCUUAGAGUUGUUAGAUCUUUUUUAAUCACAUAUAUGUAUGAUCAUGGGAAUAUGAGAGAAAAAAAAGGAAUAGAGGAGGUCACGGAUGCUUUGUAGCUUACCGCCAGUGUGUUAAAAAAAUUGGAGUUAAGCAUUACAGAAUCUUUUGAGUGGCUUUUUCAGACUUUUCUUGGAGCAAUGUCUGGAAAACAGCCGCAAACAAUUCUUACUGACCAAUGUGCAGCAAUGGAAAAUGCAAUAGGAAAAGUCUUCCCUGAAACAAAACAUAGGUUAUGUGUUUGGCAUAUUUACCAAAAUGCUACAAAGAGGUUGAGUUGUGUAUUUCAUGGACCAAACCAUUUUGCCACAGACUUUGGAAAAUGUGUAUAUGACCAUGAGAAUGAAGUAGAGUGGUUAUCGGCAUGGAGUGAAAUGCUCGAGAAGCAUGGAUUGAUAGAGAAUAAAUGGCUGAAUGAUUUGUUUGAGUUGAGAGAAAAAUGGGCAAGGGUAUAUGAUCGUCAAAAUUAUAACUUGUUGCGCUUCUUUAAACACUAUGAGAGAGUGUUGGAUGAUCGACGCUUUAAAGAAUUAACUGCUGACUUCAGUAUGAUGCAUACCUCGCCGGUAUUAUCAGCUCCUGUAGAAAUGUUGCAACAUGCAUUGGAUGUGUAUACACCAGAAGUCUUUACCUUGUUCCAGAAGGAAAACAUAGCUAUAGGUGAUUAUGUUGCCAAAAGGUUUAAUAAGUCUGAGAUGGUGAGUGCUGAAUACAAUGUAUCUUUACGUGGUGUUGGAAGAAAUCAUUUGGUUAACUAUGUUGCUGCAAACGAAACGAUACAUUGUAGUUGCAUGAAGUUUUCUUUUGGUGGAAUCUUAUGUCGUCAUGCAUUAAAAGUGUUGGCCAAGAAGGAUGUUAGAAGAAUUCCACCUACUUACAUUCUGAAUCGAUGGAGUAAAGAGGCUAAAGCACGAACCAUAUCCUUUUAUCAUUCAGCGACACCUAAUGAUACAGUGAAGCAAUCGAUCGGAAAGCGAUAUAGUCAUAUAUGUCGUACUUUCCGUGAGAUUGCGUCUGUUGCUGCUGAACAUGUAGAACUGACGUUGUGUGUAGAUGAAGCUGCCUCUCAGUUGCUUGAAAAAUUGGUGGAAAAGAAAAAGGAACUUGUGAAAGCUAAUAAAUGGAUGGUCCACUCUUUAGAUUUUGAACUUGUGGAAGAAGAAGAUGAAGAAGAAGUUCUAAACGCACGUGGAAUAAAAAGAAAAAAACCUCCUGGACGACCAAAGAACCAAAAAGCCGGACGCCAUGGUCGGUAUAUGAAUGUGCUUGAAAUAAAAAAUCGUGGUAUAUCAAAAUCAUCCAAUAAUGCUACAGCCAAAAAAAAGUUGUCAUUUCAGGUAUUUGAUAUAUAGUUUUUUUUGUUUGUCCAAUCUUCAUCGAAUUUUGGGACUUAAUCAAUCUACAGAUUUCAUGACUCAAGUCUUCCUCUUGAUACUCAGUUACCUGUUGCUGCCACUAGUCUCACCUUAGGCAAUGAAACUUCCUUUUCACAACUGCUCCAAGUUAAUACUUCAUUCUCUAGACCACUUAUAUUUGAAUUAUCUAUCAUUUUUUAAUUUGUGUAUGUGUCAUAUUUUGUAGGGAUUUGACAAGAGUUGUGGUGGAUCACCGUAAAACUCUGUUAUUUUAAAUAUGAAAGUAAAUAUGAAAGCAGAUAUUCGUUACCUGUUGCUGCCACUAGUCUCACCUUAGGCAAUGAAACUUCCUUUUCACAACUGCUCCAAGUUAAUACUUUAUUCUCUAUACCACUUAUAUUUGAAUUAUCUAUCAUUUUUUAAUUUGUGUAUGUGUCAUAUUUUGUAGGGAUUUGACAAGAGUUGUGGUGGAUCACCGUAAAACUCUGUUAUUUUAAAUAUGAAAGUAAAUAUGAAAGCAGAUAUUCAUUAUGUUUUGUUUUCGUUCCAACUUUUGGUGUUUCUAGCAUAUUCUUGUUUUUACACUUAUUAUUAUCUUCAAAAAUUAAGGUCAUAUUCAGCUUCAACGUCUCUGUUGAACCUUUAGCAAAGCACACACAAUGUCCCAACACUUCAUAGACUGCUCUGUUCUUGUAUUGAAUAUAUUAGUAUUCCCAGCUAAGUAGAAAAGUGUACAACAUUGCGACAAAAUAGUUUGAGAACGUGGGUUGUUUUUAUCCAUGUACAUGUUCUUGUAACUUAUGUCAAUGUGUAUACUCUCAUUCAUUCAUAUGUGUAGAAACUAUAUAUAAGGGUUGGAAAAUAAACUGGUCCAAGUAGCUUAAAACAAGCAUUUAUACAACACCAUGAAUGAAUGAUCUUCAGUAGUAGGUAAAUCAGAGUAAAAUGAACUGGUUUCAGGCCAUUCUGGUCAUAACCUCUUGAACAAGAAACUUUGUAUCUUUAUAACACGAGGCUAAGUUCUUCGUUUUAGUUGCAUUCUUCUUAAGUCUAUAUGUUCUCCCUUUUUUUUAAAGCUAUUUUCCUUUUUUUUCUUUAGUUUUAAUAUCUUUUUUGAUUAAUUGUCAAUUUGAUUGAUAAUCACUAGGAAAGUGAAUUUAGGGGAUUCACCACAGGGGUGAACCUAAGUUUUGUUCAUUAAAUAAUAGAUGGUCAUAUCUUAUUAGAUCAAACGUGAAAUAAACAUUUUAUUGGAAGUAUAACAUGUAAUUUAUUCUUUUUCUCAAACGUAAAAACAAAACAUGCAGAAACGUCGGAAACCAUAUUGUGCAUCUGUGUGCACUAAUGUUUUAUUGGAAACACAAUAGAAACAACAACAGAGAUUCAGAUCAGGUUCACCAAUUUUGUUCAGAUCCUUAAAUGGCUCAACGAAUUGUUCCCAUCACGUUUUCUAGCCACAUUGUGGUUAGAGGCUUCUGGAGUGGUUUCCCUGUACUUGGGAGGGUUUUCUUCAGACAAAAGCUCUUUAAUAGAUGCACAAAGAAAGAUGCAACCGAAGUGCGUGGCUCUUUACCUCCAUUUGCCAAAACUCUAUGCUCCACACUCACAAACUUGUCAUUCGUUAUAAGCUGCAAAAAAAAAAAAAAAAACACUAUGAAGACCUUGUUUAAUUACUAAUUAUGGACUGUUUGAUUAUAAGUGUAAACAACAACUUGCCUGAAGGAGAUCUCCAACUUACCUCAUAUAGUGAUGAAAGAUCUUUUUAGGAAUUCAAUCCAACUUGUGCUUUAGAAUAACAAUGAAUCAAAACGUAUCUUUUAUUCAAAAAUGCAAAAGAGUCGCACAAUAACAACUAUUAGAGAUCACAAGGUUAAUAAGUAAAUGAAGCCUGUUUAAUAUUGCUCUUGAUCUUUCUCUCUCGAUCUUUCUCUCUUGCUCGUUAUUGUCUGUGCUUUCGGAUGAUGAUUAAAGCCUUGACUACCUCCCUAUUUAUAACUCCAGCCACCGUCAUUAGAUUUCAUAUUCCUGAUUGUAUUCAACGCUUUUGUCUCUUGUCGAACUUGAAAAAGAAACUAAUGUGAUUAUUCCUUUUGUUGCAGGUCUUCAAACGUUGCUGGACUUGUGUGGGCCAGGAAUUGGGCCUCUACUUCACAAUUCUCCACCUAAGGCACAUAUUACUGUCCACACCUUAUGGCCCAACUGUUUUUACUUUGUUUUGUCUCUGGAAACGUCGAUGAACCUGGAGCGUUUCUUCUCCUUUCUCGAGUUACUCGAUAGACCAGUCCGCCUGAAGAUCCUUAAUCGCCAUCAAUCACCAUCGUCAUGCUCCUUGUUCUCUCCGAAGCGGUGAUGAAGUCUAUCAGCGAAUCCUCUUCGCCAUAGAUCCGAUGUAGCUCGUACGCCACUACCUUUUCCUUCACCCCCUUUUACGGCUUAGAUUCUUGAGAUCGACUUAACUUCCAAAUCCUCAGCUCUCUCUCUCUCUCUCUUCCACUCUCAUCAGCUACUCCUACAUGGUAAGGGAUCCAUAAUCCUUUUUUUUAAAAAAAAGCUCGCGAGUUCUUCUUUUUUUCUUGAUGAUUAACGAAUCGGUAUCUUGCAUGUUGUAGAUGAUGGAUGAACUGUUUCAACCUUGUCGAAUCUCUUAACAUUUACACCAAAAAAAAAAACCUUGUCGAAUUAUUACACUGCUCCUGGUAAGAUUCUCUGUCUUGAGUUUGCUUUAAAUGUUAGUGUAUCUCUUUUGAGUAUGACAGUGAGAUGCGAUUCUUCGACAUCUCGGUUUUGAGUUAUAUGAACCUUUAGAAACUUUCACCAUUUUUCAUACACCUGUCUCCCUUCAGCUCUUGAUAAAGCCACUGUCUUUAUGCUUUAGCUGUUUAAGACUAUGUCUAAUGAACACUAUUUUGCUUCCCUUGUAGCUGAGAUACUCGUCUCCCUCAGCUCCCACAGCUGUUUAAGACGUUCUCUGAAGGUAAUCAUCUUAUUAAACCAAUGUUUCCUUAUUGAUUUUAUCAUCCUUUGCUUACUCCUUUGUGUUUGAUAUAUCUGAAGCUUCUCCACCUUGAGCUAAGAACCCUUAUCCCUCGCCUCUCCUUCCCCACAGGUAACGUUUCCUUGGAACUCUAAAGUCCCUUCAUUGUUGUUUAAGAAAUAACUGGAGUACUUAACUCAUUAUUUCUUCUGUGGCGAGGUUACAACAAUGAUGUUACCUGUGGCGCCUAGCCCUUCUAGGCGAUGUUUAAGAGAUCACAACAGAGAUCAAACUUAGGCCCAGGUACGGCUUUAGUUAGGAAAUCUGCUGGAUUCUUAACCCUAGCUCCCUCGUCAAAGUUAAAACCAAACGUCAAAAAUUCUCACAAAACAUAGAUCUCACGGUGUUUUGCUUAAGGUUAGAGUACUAUCUACUCUUAUCUAGUCUCAUAGGUUCUUCUUCUUAUUAUGACUUCUUGUGUUGCUUGGUUACCCACUUACCGUCUAGAAUGCACUGCGAAUGCUUAUCUCUGUAGUUUUGGUGCUUCUUUUCUUUUAUACACUAAGUGAUUGACGCUUACGUAAUCGACGCUUAAUAAUAUAUUGUAGCUUGAGGACUCCUGUGAUCAAGUUGAUGUAUAAUCUUUGUUUGUAACUGAAACAAAUCUAAUAUGUAUUGAAAUUCAUUUUUAACAUGUAUUUUAUUGCUCUUUAGGGUAUAGUUUGUGUUUGCAUGUUCUUUACGUUAUUGAAUGCUUUAUUUGCAUGUUCAUCAUCAUAGUAAUUUAGUUUUUGUUAUUUUUUUUUUAUCACAGUUUCAAGUGGUCUUCAAGGCGAGUGCCUCGGUGCGCCAUGGCGCAAGGCGCAAGGCACAGACCUCAUCGCCAUGGAGCGCCAUGCGCCUUUUUAAACACAGCUUACUAGUAUGGAUCUUAGAUAGGUGAACCUUGCCUUCUACUAUAACGUCUCUUAUGAAGUGGUAUUUGUUGUCUAUGUGUUUAGUUCUUUCGUGAUGAACAUGAUUCUUUGCUAGGGCUAUAGCACUUUGUGAAUCGCAGUGUAUCUUAACACUUUCUUGUUCAAAACCCAACUCUGCACAUAACUUUCUUAACCAUAUGGCUUCUUUCGCGGCUGUGGUAAGAGCCAUGUACUCUGCUUCAGUCGUUGAAAGAGCUACCACUUCCUGUAAACUCGAUUUCCAGCUAACUGUGUUUCCCCAAACUUGAAACACAUAUCCAGUUACUGACCUUCUCCUGUCAAGGUCAGUUGAGUAGUCGGAAUUGCAAAAAACUUCAAUACUAAACUUGUAGUGUUUAGUAAACGUAAGACACCUUUUGUACCACCUUUUAGAUAUCUUAGAACCCACUUUACAGCUGACCAAUCCUCCCUUCCUGGUUCUGACAUGAAUCGGCUUAUGAGUCUGACUGCAAAGCCUAAAUCAGGUCUUGAACCGACCAUGGCGCACAUAAGACUCCCAACCGCACUUGCGUACGGUAUAUCUUGCAUGUACCUUCCUUCUUCUUCCUUUUGGUCUUUUGUAAGACUCCUCAAUUUAAAUUGAGUGGAGGUUGGCGUAAUCACUUCCUUUGCUUCAGUCAUCCCAAACGAAUUCAGAACCUUCUCCGAGUAAUUCUCUUGAGAUAAUACUAAGGUUCCUUUCUUUCAGUCUCUUAUGAUAUCCAUUCCCAAUAUCCCUGAAGCUUUUCCUAAGUCUUUCAUCUCAAACUCUUUGUUUAAGCUCUCUUUCACGUUUCUGAUUUCUUGUUUAUCUCCCGAAGCUAUAAGCAUAUCAUCGACGUAUAGAAGUAAGUACACGGCUUGUUUUGUGUUCACGUUUCUCAUGUAAACACAUGGAUAUUCCUUGCUUCUUACAAACCGCUGGAUCUUCAUGAAACAAUCAAACUUAAGAUUCCAUUGCCUUGGAGAUUGUUUCAAUCUAUAUAAUGACUUCUUUAGUAAACAGACUUUAUUUUCAUCUCUUUAUGAAUCCUUCUGGUUGAUUCAUUAAGAUUCUUUCUUCCAAAUCUCCAUGAAGAAAACUGUUUUAACGUCCAUCUGCUCAAGCUCAUAAUCCCUGUUGACCACGAGAGACAACAUCAAUCUGAUCGACACAUGCUUCACGAUAGGUGAAAACACUUCAUUGUAGUCAAUUCCUUCAUUUUGAAAAAAUCCCUGUGCAACCAAUCUUCCUUUAUACCUUGGAUCUUCGACUCCAGGUAUUCCGGGUUUCAACUUGAAGAUCCAUUUGCUACUUAAAACUUUUGCAUUCUCGGGUUUUUCAAUCAGUAUCCAUGUGCCAGCUCUUUGAAGAGAGUCCAUUUCAUCCCCGUCAACAUUCUUCCAAAACUUGCUUUUCUUGCUCAUCAUAGCUUCUUUAAACGACUUUGGCUCGUCGAUUUCUAUCUCUUCAGAUGCGGCUAAAGCAUAAGCUGCAAAAUCAGUAUCUUCAAACCUUGAAGGUGGCUUGAUUGUCCUCCGAACUCGGUCUCGUGCAAACAUAUAUCCCUCGAGUUCUGGUUCUGCUUCUGAGUCUUUAUCUUCUUCUACAAAACUGGUUUCUUCUGAGCUUUCUGAUUCUUCUGUUUCAGUAACUCCACCUUGAACCAAUGGUUCUUCGGUUGUACUCGUAGGUAGUGUAGGGCCAUCUAUUAGGUUUUCCCUAAACGUCACUCUUCUUGUUUUCUUUUCUAAUUCUACCUCUUCUCGAUGGGUCACCGUGUGUUUAAACAUCUCUUCCUCGUUAAACACUAUGUUCCUACUAGUGACACAUAUUCUCUCUUCAGACAGCCACACUCGAUAUCCUUUUACCCCGAAUGGGUAACCUAAGAAAACGCCCUUUACGGCCCUAGGACUCGUCUUUCCCUGAAUCGUAUGAACAUAGGCAGAGCAGCCGAAACUCCUUAAGUGAUUCAACUCAGGUUUUACACUUGACCAUACUUCUUCCGGUAAACGGUAAUCUAUGGCAGAACUUGGUGAUCGGUUAACAAUGUAGACCGCUGUUGAUGCAGCUUCAGCCCAGAAUUCUUCGCCUAACCCAGAUUUUGCGAGCAUGCAUCUCACCUUCUCCAUGAUUGUCCUGUUCAUUCUUUCAGACACACCGUUUUGUUGUUUUAAGAAGAAAUAAAAUGAUAUAAAAUUAUUAUUUCAAAAAUAAAAAUUAGUUUUAGUAAAUUAAAAUAAUUUAAUACAAUCGGAUUUGAAAAAUAAAUUAAAUAAAAACAACAACUGAUAACAUAUUACUUUUAAAAUUAAUAAACUUACAACUAGCUGUAAUAAAAUUAUAAUUUUAAAAAAUAAACAAUUAUUAUUUCUGCAUGUGGCAUAGAAAACAGUUAGUUUUCUUUGUAAAGCUAAUGGUAAAAUUUAAAAAAAAAAUAGUAUUAUUUUUUUUGGUUGACGCCUUAUAUUUUCCUAAUUAAACCUCAUUUAAAAAAGAAUAUGAGUACGUGGUAUCUAUUUUAUAUAAAAAUAAAAGUGGAUUGGUUUGUUUAUUUAAAUUAUUAAAUAGUAUGAUUAUUGGCACAUGUCAAAGUUUAUUUAUUUUUAUAGUGUUGGCAUGAACGGAAAAGAAUACGCGAAAAACGAAACAUCUUGUAACGUGGAAAGUGAUUUAAAAUAUAUAUAUAUAUAUGUGAUUAAUUAACAUGUAAGCUUAACUUUUUUUUGUUUGUUUGAUAUAUUUAAGAGAAAAACCCAAGUAAUAGAAAUUUUGUUAUUGUACAUUUUGUAAAAUUUUUAAUCAAAAAUACAAAAAUUUAAAAAUGUUAUCCUUUGGUAAAACAAUGGAGUCAUUUUUAUUUCAGGUCAAAUCAUUAUACGAAAAUGACAAUAAAUAUCAAAAAAUGAUAAUAAAGUACAAAUCAGCAAAUAGUUAUUCUAUGAUAAAUAUACAAAAAAUAUAUUAAACUUGCAAUAAUUAAUAUCAAUUGAUAAAUUGUCAUUUUUCCGUGUUUUCAAAUCUGAAUCACGAGUUUCUAAAAAUAGAAACAAAAGCUUUCAUUGUGUUUCUAAGAUGAGAUUUUUCAGAAACUCGAUUACAAUGGCAUAAAUUGUAAUUUUUUUUGUAAAACUAAGGGUAACUCUAAAAAUGUUAAUAAUAUUAAUUUAUGUUUUUGUUGGCACCUUAUAUGGUGCCAAAUUAAACCUCUUUUUUUCAAAAUAAUAUGAGUACGUGGUAUCUAUGUUAUACAAAAACAAAAGUGGGAUUGAUUUGCUUAUUUAAAUUAUUAAAAAGUAAUUGAUUAUUGGCACAUGUCAAAAUUGUUUAUUAAUUUUAUAUUGUUGAGAUUUAAAUUUUAACUCAGUAAUUCAGGUUACUAAGAGGAUAAGUAGAAGUUUAUGGGCGAAAUUGCAUUACCAAAGUGAAAAAAUAUAUUAAAAAGGUCGAGUGGUGUUUAGACGUCUACCUAAUCUUCAAGUUCCUAAUCGGUUUUUAAAUUCCUUGAGGAACAAGAUAAGGCCACUGACGACUAAAAUGAAAGAGUUAAUGUAUCCAUUGCAAACUUAACUCAUCGAAUCGAAAUGGUGACUCGGUAAAAAAAAUCGAAAUGGUGACUCGGUAAAAAAAAUCGAAAUGGUGACUAUCGAUCAAACAAGAAAUGGUAAGUAUGGAUCAAAGAAGGUAUAUGGACAAGAUUCCAUGAUGAACACCAAAGAGAUACUAAGACUGACGAGUCGAUGUUACUAAGAGACUUGGCUAUAAACCCUUUCUCUUUCAUACAUGGACAGCUUUUAUGGAAUGGUUGGGUCUGAGGGACACUAUCAGCACCUUAACUCUUCGCCGCUUGGUUGCUCAAGCGACCUUAUACUCGGUCUGGUGGGAGCGUAAUAACAGGCUCCACAACUCAAUCUCUGUUCCGCCAGCAAUAACAUUCAGGAAGAUUGAUAGACUUGUUUGCAAUGCCAUUUUAGCACGAAGGGAGCGUAAGAAAUUUCGUAACCUAAUGAUACACUGGCUAAAGUAUGACUGAAGAUUCACGUGGUGGCCAUCCUCUGGUUUCUUCUUUUUUUUUUGGCAAAGGAUAGUUGGACAGCUUUUAUGGAAUGGUUGGGUCUGAGGGACACUAUCAGCACCUUAACUCUUCGCCGCUUGGUUGCUCAAGCGACCUUAUACUCGGUCUGGUGGGAGCGUAAUAACAGGCUCCACAACUCAAUCUCUGUUCCGCCAGCAAUAACAUUCAGGAAGAUUGAUAGACUUGUUUGCAAUGCCAUUUUAGCACGAAGGGAGCGUAAGAAAUUUCGUAACCUAAUGAUACACUGGCUAAAGUAUGACUGAAGAUUCACGUGGUGGCCAUCCUCUGGUUUCUUCUUUUUUUUUUGGCAAAGGAUAGUUGAAAUGUUCUAACCUUUUGUAUUAAGCAAACAAUCUUAUUUUCAUAAUGAAAUUCAUAUACUUAUCAAAAAAGAAAAAUUGCCUCAUCACCAAUCUGAAAUUUUUGAAAAUGAAUUGAAUUGAUGAAUAAACAUCCGAAAUGCAUAAAUUAUAUUCAGACAAUGCAAUAUAUAAAACAUCAUAGUUAUAUGUUUAAUAGAAAUGCCUUCGAUUUACCAUCAAUAUGCAAAUUUCUCAAUUUUGUACUAAAAUGUCAAAUCUGGAUCAACAAGGACCGAAUCUACUUCUAAUAUCAAAUCAUGAUAAACUACGACAUAAUAAAGCAUUGGAUUCUGUUAAUAAAAAAUAGGAAAAUUGGGUUUUUAGAGUAAGAAAAUGAUAACUACGUACUCUUAUACUAAUAUAUUUAUUUUGUGUCAUUUUUGCCUAUAAUAUCAUUUAAUAUUUUUGAAAAUAAAUUUAAUAAACAGUUUUACAAACAAAUCUUUUUUUAAAAAAAUAGUAACUAUUGAUAAAAUACCUAUAUGAACUUAGUGGUAUCUUUUUCAGUUAUGUUUAAAUCAUAAUUUUCAGAUUAUGUUUUAAAUAAAGUAGAAAUGACAUUCUGCGAAGUAGAAAACGAAAUCCACUUUUUUCUUAAAAUCUACAAUGUUUAGAAUACAUGAUCUACGUAAAUAAGAGUAUUCUAAAAAUAUUUAGAAUACACAUUCCGCGCUUAACCUACCGAUCUAAAAUCUUUAAAAAUCAAAAUCUACACAUUAAUAUAAAUCUAAAACACGUAGAAACUGACUUCUACAGAUUUACUGUAAAUCUAAAACAUGUAAAAAUUAAAAUCUACACAUUACUAUAAUUCUAAAAACCUGUAGAAACCGAAUUCUACAGAUUAGCUAUAUUCUACGGAUAAGAAAUCAGUUCCUAAAUAUAUGGAAACAAAAUAUUUGGGAAUAUUCACUUUAAUAUUUUGAAAAAAUCGAUUUUUAAAACAAAAACUUAAAAAAUGAAAAAAACGUGGUAACCUUCUUCUCACGCCGUCUUCAAUAUUCCAUUGAUUGUUCACAAAAUUUUCACAUUAUUUCUACCAAAUCAGUCUGAAAUUGAGUGAAUUAUGGUUUAUGAACUUGAGACUUUGAUUUUCUCCCCCCUUUGUUCGUGAAGGACAUGAGAAAUUUCGUCCCAAAGAAAUCGAGUUUAAAGAGUUGAAAUCAUGUUUGGUCGGUUCAAAUCAAGUGGGAAUCAAACCGUAUAUAACCGAAGAAAAUCAAGAAAUCGAUUUGGAAUAUUUACCUGGGCACGAGAUCGAUCAGUCUAUAAUUCAAGAUCGGUCGAUCUGUAUGAAAUCGACCUUUGCCGAUCGAGUGAAAUGGACCAGGUCGAUCAGUAUAUGCUCUACAUUUUUUUUGUUCUGCAUAAUGAUCAUGAUCGAUCGAUCCAUUCGAUCUUGUAAUUUCGGAUCGAUCGAUCCCGCUUGAUCGAAUCCAUUAUUUAUUAUACUUAAAAUUACAAUUUUAAUGGCAUUAUUGCCAUUUUAAAAAUAAUUAGCCUAAUGUGACAUAAAGUAUAUGAGAUUAGUCUAAAAGAACAUAGUUAUUUUUGCUCUAAAAAACAGUUUUCCCUAUAAAAUUAUACUUUUGUAGUGUACAAAAUAAAACUUUUUGUCGCUGACUAGAAACAUUUUGUCCACCCACAUGGAUGCCUGCCAUACGCUGAAAAUUUUAACAUUAUUUCCCUAUAUAAGUUAUAAACUUAUAGUAUUCUUCAAUAUAUAUAAUAUAUUUUUCAAUUAUAAACUCUUACCGAUUAGUACCAGUCAUGUUUGUUAACCAUGAUGCAUAAGUCGUUCAAAUAGGGUUUAAUGCUAACAAAUGAGAUCUGAUUCAAGAUGAAUCGAAGAACUAUCAUCUAAUAGAAAAGCAUGUGAAUUCUCACCGUGGCGGGCUCGUUACUAUAAGAAUCGAAUGGUAACGUUGUUUUGAAAGUAUAAUAAACAGUGCAAAAUAAACUUGCAAUAUGAUACAAUUCAUAUGCAUUAGACCUGUUUUGAAAAACGUGUUCGGUUUUAUUUUUUAACUAGGGGCAUUGCCUCUGCGCAAGCGCGGAGUUGUGGACAGAGUUCUUGUUUCAUCUCAAUAUUUGUUAGGGUUGUUAUAGCUGUGAAUUUUGCGUUUUGGGUUGAUCAAUUUUUUUAAGUUUUUUUAUUGUUAUAGGUUAGAGUUGUGAUGGUGAACUGUGUAUGCACUGUUCUCCACUCAUGACGGACUAAACUGUGUUAGUAAUGUGAUUGAUAUAGUUCGUGGUGUUGUUUGCUGUGUCACUGAGACUUAUUGUUUGUUUGUCUUUUUAAUUUGUUACUUGUACUAUUGAGAUUACAUAAAUUAUAUUAAGUUUGUUGAGAGUACUUUUUGUUUUUGUAUAUUUUUUCUCUAGUUUAGUUGUGUAAGUUGUAUGUAUUAAGUAAUAAUUUUUUUAUUCUUAUUAUGUUGGUUAUAUGUUUUAUUUUUAUUUUUAAACUUGUUGCUUUUACCGGACAUUUAAAACAAAUACAUGAAUACUUGUAGAAAUAACUAUAAAAUGAGUGACAAUUAGUAUUUGGGUCUUAAUGAGUUUUAAACGAAUAUAUGUAUUUUUCGUAAGAAGACAAUAACAUUGGCAUGUUGACAUCGAACAUGUAAGCUAUUUUCAUAAGACAAGAGGAGUGAGUAGGUGGAGAUGUUGUUGUCGCAUUUGUGUCUGUUGGGAUUGUCUCUUGUAUCUCCUGGUGUGGUUGUGUUUGUUUCUCUUUUAUUUGAUGGGUAAUAUGUAAACAAAAAUCAUUGUUAGUUGUAUUUAUCAGAGUUUGUAACUUACUCUGCUUUUUUUGUUUAGGUAAGUUCACUGAUCUUGGUUGUCAUAUUCGUCUUCUUCGUAAGUAUAUGCGAAAGUAAGUUUGUAAAUUGUUAAAUAGCUGGCCAUGUAGUUGUAUUUGCUUAGCUGGCUCAAUGUAUGUAUCGUUAAGUUUUAGUUGAGUUGAUUGGUUUGGUAUAUUUGUUUUGAAGUUUAUUUGUAUUAGAUAAAAAGAGAGGUGAUCAUUAAUGAUUUGUCUUUUUGAGAUUCUUGUUUUUGGUGUUUUGAUUGUUUGGGUUAUUGUGGUUUCUUUUAAGCUGUAAAAUAAAGAUUUGUGUAAAAUUAGAUUGAUAAGUAAGGGAAAUAAAUAGAUGACCACAAAUCUUGGGUAGGAAAUAUUUUUGAUUAUUGAUGUUAGCACAAUAUAGAUAGUAAUAUAAAGAGAAUUAUGUGUUGAUUGUUUCUUAUGGAUCAAUGAGGAGAGAGAUAACGACUCGAGUUGUUUCUUUGGUGAGGUCAAAGCCCUGUACAGAACGGAUUUUCCCAACUACAUCUGCGAGUUUAAAUAUCAGUUACGAUAUCGAAACAUAAUAUAAACCCAUAUGCAAUAUGAUAAUAUACAUGGGAGUUCUAGGUUUGUGUUCACAAUCACUCGGAGAUUAUCGAACAGUCUAAUCUUCACUGGAGAUUGAUCUCAGGAGCACCCGUGAUGACUUCAUCAAUAAUGGUUAGUGAGAUGAAACCAAUGAGGAAUGGAUGAUCAGUUAUCUUGUACAUGCUUGAGCACCUAGCAACCUCAAAACGAUUGACUUUCACAUUGGAACCUCCUUUCAAAGAUGGCAUGUAAUGAUGAGCACGUCCGACAGUUAGUAUUUGGGUCUUAAUGAGUUUUAAACGAAUAUAUGUAUUUUUCGUAAGAAGACAAUAACAUUGGCAUGUUGACAUCCCGACAGGAGUAAACCAAUGAAUCACGGAAUCUGCAAAUAAUAUUAUUCAACAAAAAUUCAGAAAAUUAAUUAAAAAAUUAAGUUAAAUAAGUGUGAUAGAUCGAAGAUUAACUUAACUUUUCAUCAAGGAAGAGAACCGUGAUUCCCGCAAACUCCCUGUCUUUCUUGAAGUUCAGAGAAUCCUAGAAGCGGAGGAAGCCAGAGGCUAUGCUAUGACUACUACGACCAAGACGGAGAGACUCGAAGGUUGAGUGACGUACGCCGGGACGCCGGCUUAACGAACUGGAGAGGCAGAGAUAAACAUUUUCUAGAAGAUGGUUAUUUAAUUUGUUACUUGUACUAUUGAGAUUACAUAAAUUAUAUUAAGUUUGUUGAGAGUACUUUUUGUUUUUGUAUAUUUUUUCUCUAGUUUAGUUGUGUAAGUUGUAUGAAUCUAAGAGGAAUCAAUGAGUUUUGUGGAGAUGCAGAUUGGGUUCAUCAAAGAUGAGAAUCAUAUAUAUAGGGUUUACAGAGGGGCUACAAAUCAGGAAAAUUUAUGAUCAAGCGGUUUAAGAUGUGGACAUGAAGAGUUUACCGGUGAAAAAUAGAUUACGAACAGACACACGGCACAAGUCUGUAACUCAGACUUGUUUGAGACAAUAAUGAAAAGAACUCAAACUCAUGUUAAACGACAACAUUUUACAAUAUGAGAAAACUAUAGUUGUUGCAAACUUGAGUUUUUUUUUUCAUAUAUGAAUCUCAUUUAAAAAAGAAACCCAUAAGACACUUGUAGGCCCGACCCUCAGAGGAAGCGGAAGAAGUAAGAGUUUCCGACCUUCAUAAAUAUAUAUUAGGUUCGGUCAUCAAUGUACAAAGUAUCAUUUAGCUUAGUGGUAUAAAUGUUGGUGUUUAUAUCUCAAUAACCCGGGUUUGACCUAUGGACUUGACACUUUUUCACAUUUUUUAAAAAUGGGGCCUACAAAACGCUGACGUGACACGCUGAGGAGUGAGCAAAAAAACUCAACAAUUAUAAUAUAGAUUAUUUUGUAAAAACUACUUUUUUGUAAAAACUAUUUUUUUGAUAGAAUGUGUGAGUGGUGAAAAAUGUGAAUUUCAAUAUUAUUUUUGAAGUCUCCACUGUACUGUUGCACCAGUAAAUAGUCAAUACCUAAAAGGGCUUUUGGGAAUAUGAUGGGAAUCAUAUUCCAUCUAGCAUUUUAAAAAUUUAAGCCUAGACAGUUCUAAACGGGUUUAAAUUACUAGUUUACAGUUUACACAUAUAUAACAAAAGUUACAAGAUUACUUUUUUUUUGUCAAAAGUUACAAGAUUACUAAAUCGUUUAAUCAAAUGGUCGAUGAAAUUGACAAAAACGUUAGACCAAAGAAAGACAAAAACUCUAAUCAAGGUAACAUGUUAUUAAAAGCCCAACGGCAAUAUUGGUUACAAGUGGAUAUACUAAACCCAUUACAACAUUACAUUAUACCCAAAACUGGCCCAAGAAUACAGAGGGUGUAAAGCAAGGUAAUGCUGAAUAUUUAUGUGUCAUUAAUCGUGAGUUUAGAGCUCAAUAUAUACAACUCGACUUUGGCCUUAUCUACUUAGCCGACAAUAUUAAAGAUAAACCCUCUAAUAUUUACAUCAUUAUCUAAGUAUAACACAUCAUUAUCACAACACUCCCCCUCAAGUUGGAGUAUGCGUACUACAAAUGCUCAACUUGGACAUAAGAUGACUGAACUGAACCUUCCCCAAAGCCUUUGUUAAAACGUCCGCCAAUUGCUCCUUAGUACCAAUAUGUGCUGCAGUAAUCACUUCUGACUUCAGAGCUGAUCUACGUAAAUAAGAGUAUUCUAAAAAUAUUUAGAAUACACAUUCCGCGCUUAACCUACCGAUCUAAAAUCUUUAAAAAUCAAAAUCUACACAUUAAUAUAAAUCUAAAACACGUAGAAACUGACUUCUACAGAUUUACUGUAAAUCUAAAACAUGUAAAAAUUAAAAUCUACACAUUACUAUAAUUCUAAAAACCUGUAGAAACCGAAUUCUACAGAUUAGCUAUAUUCUACGGAUAAGAAAUCAGUUCCUAAAUAUAUGGAAACAAAAUAUUUGGGAAUAUUCACUUUAAUAUUUUGAAAAAAUCGAUUUUUAAAACAAAAACUUAAAAAAUGAAAAAAACGUGGUAACCUUCUUCUCACGCCGUCUUCAAUAUUCCAUUGAUUGUUCACAAAAUUUUCACAUUAUUUCUACCAAAUCAGUCUGAAAUUGAGUGAAUUAUGGUUUAUGAACUUGAGACUUUGAUUUUCUCCCCCCUUUGUUCGUGAAGGACAUGAGAAAUUUCGUCCCAAAGAAAUCGAGUUUAAAGAGUUGAAAUCAUGUUUGGUCGGUUCAAAUCAAGUGGGAAUCAAACCGUAUAUAACCGAAGAAAAUCAAGAAAUCGAUUUGGAAUAUUUACCUGGGCACGAGAUCGAUCAGUCUAUAAUUCAAGAUCGGUCGAUCUGUAUGAAAUCGACCUUUGCCGAUCGAGUGAAAUGGACCAGGUCGAUCAGUAUAUGCUCUACAUUUUUUUUGUUCUGCAUAAUGAUCAUGAUCGAUCGAUCCAUUCGAUCUUGUAAUUUCGGAUCGAUCGAUCCCGCUUGAUCGAAUCCAUUAUUUAUUAUACUUAAAAUUACAAUUUUAAUGGCAUUAUUGCCAUUUUAAAAAUAAUUAGCCUAAUGUGACAUAAAGUAUAUGAGAUUAGUCUAAAAGAACAUAGUUAUUUUUGCUCUAAAAAACAGUUUUCCCUAUAAAAUUAUACUUUUGUAGUGUACAAAAUAAAACUUUUUGUCGCUGACUAGAAACAUUUUGUCCACCCACAUGGAUGCCUGCCAUACGCUGAAAAUUUUAACAUUAUUUCCCUAUAUAAGUUAUAAACUUAUAGUAUUCUUCAAUAUAUAUAAUAUAUUUUUCAAUUAUAAACUCUUACCGAUUAGUACCAGUCAUGUUUGUUAACCAUGAUGCAUAAGUCGUUCAAAUAGGGUUUAAUGCUAACAAAUGAGAUCUGAUUCAAGAUGAAUCGAAGAACUAUCAUCUAAUAGAAAAGCAUGUGAAUUCUCACCGUGGCGGGCUCGUUACUAUAAGAAUCGAAUGGUAACGUUGUUUUGAAAGUAUAAUAAACAGUGCAAAAUAAACUUGCAAUAUGAUACAAUUCAUAUGCAUUAGACCUGUUUUGAAAAACGUGUUCGGUUUUAUUUUUUAACUAGGGGCAUUGCCUCUGCGCAAGCGCGGAGUUGUGGACAGAGUUCUUGUUUCAUCUCAAUAUUUGUUAGGGUUGUUAUAGCUGUGAAUUUUGCGUUUUGGGUUGAUCAAUUUUUUUAAGUUUUUUUAUUGUUAUAGGUUAGAGUUGUGAUGGUGAACUGUGUAUGCACUGUUCUCCACUCAUGACGGACUAAACUGUGUUAGUAAUGUGAUUGAUAUAGUUCGUGGUGUUGUUUGCUGUGUCACUGAGACUUAUUGUUUGUUUGUCUUUUUAAUUUGUUACUUGUACUAUUGAGAUUACAUAAAUUAUAUUAAGUUUGUUGAGAGUACUUUUUGUUUUUGUAUAUUUUUUCUCUAGUUUAGUUGUGUAAGUUGUAUGUAUUAAGUAAUAAUUUUUUUAUUCUUAUUAUGUUGGUUAUAUGUUUUAUUUUUAUUUUUAAACUUGUUGCUUUUACCGGACAUUUAAAACAAAUACAUGAAUACUUGUAGAAAUAACUAUAAAAUGAGUGACAAUUAGUAUUUGGGUCUUAAUGAGUUUUAAACGAAUAUAUGUAUUUUUCGUAAGAAGACAAUAACAUUGGCAUGUUGACAUCGAACAUGUAAGCUAUUUUCAUAAGACAAGAGGAGUGAGUAGGUGGAGAUGUUGUUGUCGCAUUUGUGUCUGUUGGGAUUGUCUCUUGUAUCUCCUGGUGUGGUUGUGUUUGUUUCUCUUUUAUUUGAUGGGUAAUAUGUAAACAAAAAUCAUUGUUAGUUGUAUUUAUCAGAGUUUGUAACUUACUCUGCUUUUUUUGUUUAGGUAAGUUCACUGAUCUUGGUUGUCAUAUUCGUCUUCUUCGUAAGUAUAUGCGAAAGUAAGUUUGUAAAUUGUUAAAUAGCUGGCCAUGUAGUUGUAUUUGCUUAGCUGGCUCAAUGUAUGUAUCGUUAAGUUUUAGUUGAGUUGAUUGGUUUGGUAUAUUUGUUUUGAAGUUUAUUUGUAUUAGAUAAAAAGAGAGGUGAUCAUUAAUGAUUUGUCUUUUUGAGAUUCUUGUUUUUGGUGUUUUGAUUGUUUGGGUUAUUGUGGUUUCUUUUAAGCUGUAAAAUAAAGAUUUGUGUAAAAUUAGAUUGAUAAGUAAGGGAAAUAAAUAGAUGACCACAAAUCUUGGGUAGGAAAUAUUUUUGAUUAUUGAUGUUAGCACAAUAUAGAUAGUAAUAUAAAGAGAAUUAUGUGUUGAUUGUUUCUUAUGGAUCAAUGAGGAGAGAGAUAACGACUCGAGUUGUUUCUUUGGUGAGGUCAAAGCCCUGUACAGAACGGAUUUUCCCAACUACAUCUGCGAGUUUAAAUAUCAGUUACGAUAUCGAAACAUAAUAUAAACCCAUAUGCAAUAUGAUAAUAUACAUGGGAGUUCUAGGUUUGUGUUCACAAUCACUCGGAGAUUAUCGAACAGUCUAAUCUUCACUGGAGAUUGAUCUCAGGAGCACCCGUGAUGACUUCAUCAAUAAUGGUUAGUGAGAUGAAACCAAUGAGGAAUGGAUGAUCAGUUAUCUUGUACAUGCUUGAGCACCUAGCAACCUCAAAACGAUUGACUUUCACAUUGGAACCUCCUUUCAAAGAUGGCAUGUAAUGAUGAGCACGUCCGACAGGAGUAAACCAAUGAAUCACGGAAUCUGCAAAUAAUAUUAUUCAACAAAAAUUCAGAAAAUUAAUUAAAAAAUUAAGUUAAAUAAGUGUGAUAGAUCGAAGAUUAACUUAACUUUUCAUCAAGGAAGAGAACCGUGAUUCCCGCAAACUCCCUGUCUUUCUUGAAGUUCAGAGAAUCCUAGAAGCGGAGGAAGCCAGAGGCUAUGCUAUGACUACUACGACCAAGACGGAGAGACUCGAAGGUUGAGUGACGUACGCCGGGACGCCGGCUUAACGAACUGGAGAGGCAGAGAUAAACAUUUUCUAGAAGAUGGUUAUAUCUAAGAGGAAUCAAUGAGUUUUGUGGAGAUGCAGAUUGGGUUCAUCAAAGAUGAGAAUCAUAUAUAUAGGGUUUACAGAGGGGCUACAAAUCAGGAAAAUUUAUGAUCAAGCGGUUUAAGAUGUGGACAUGAAGAGUUUACCGGUGAAAAAUAGAUUACGAACAGACACACGGCACAAGUCUGUAACUCAGACUUGUUUGAGACAAUAAUGAAAAGAACUCAAACUCAUGUUAAACGACAACAUUUUACAAUAUGAGAAAACUAUAGUUGUUGCAAACUUGAGUUUUUUUUUUCAUAUAUGAAUCUCAUUUAAAAAAGAAACCCAUAAGACACUUGUAGGCCCGACCCUCAGAGGAAGCGGAAGAAGUAAGAGUUUCCGACCUUCAUAAAUAUAUAUUAGGUUCGGUCAUCAAUGUACAAAGUAUCAUUUAGCUUAGUGGUAUAAAUGUUGGUGUUUAUAUCUCAAUAACCCGGGUUUGACCUAUGGACUUGACACUUUUUCACAUUUUUUAAAAAUGGGGCCUACAAAACGCUGACGUGACACGCUGAGGAGUGAGCAAAAAAACUCAACAAUUAUAAUAUAGAUUAUUUUGUAAAAACUACUUUUUUGUAAAAACUAUUUUUUUGAUAGAAUGUGUGAGUGGUGAAAAAUGUGAAUUUCAAUAUUAUUUUUGAAGUCUCCACUGUACUGUUGCACCAGUAAAUAGUCAAUACCUAAAAGGGCUUUUGGGAAUAUGAUGGGAAUCAUAUUCCAUCUAGCAUUUUAAAAAUUUAAGCCUAGACAGUUCUAAACGGGUUUAAAUUACUAGUUUACAGUUUACACAUAUAUAACAAAAGUUACAAGAUUACUUUUUUUUUGUCAAAAGUUACAAGAUUACUAAAUCGUUUAAUCAAAUGGUCGAUGAAAUUGACAAAAACGUUAGACCAAAGAAAGACAAAAACUCUAAUCAAGGUAACAUGUUAUUAAAAGCCCAACGGCAAUAUUGGUUACAAGUGGAUAUACUAAACCCAUUACAACAUUACAUUAUACCCAAAACUGGCCCAAGAAUACAGAGGGUGUAAAGCAAGGUAAUGCUGAAUAUUUAUGUGUCAUUAAUCGUGAGUUUAGAGCUCAAUAUAUACAACUCGACUUUGGCCUUAUCUACUUAGCCGACAAUAUUAAAGAUAAACCCUCUAAUAUUUACAUCAUUAUCUAAGUAUAACACAUCAUUAUCACAACACUCCCCCUCAAGUUGGAGUAUGCGUACUACAAAUGCUCAACUUGGACAUAAGAUGACUGAACUGAACCUUCCCCAAAGCCUUUGUUAAAACGUCCGCCAAUUGCUCCUUAGUACCAAUAUGUGCUGCAGUAAUCACUUCUGACUUCAGAGCAUCACACACCCGAUGACAACCGAUCUCUACGUGUUUAGUACGUUCAUGAAACACCGGGUUCGUAGCUAUAUAUAUCGCAUACUUACUAUCACAGUAGAGACGAGAUGGAGUCUUCUGCGUGAAACCCAAAUCCCUCAAGAGCUGUCGCAGCCAUUGCACUUCACGACUUGCAAUAGAGAUGGUGCGAUACUCUUCUUCGGCCGAAGAUUGCGACACAACCUUCUGUUUCUUGGUUUUCCAAGAAACUGGAGAACCUCCUAUCAUGGCAACAUAAGCAGUCAAAGACCUUCUCGUUAGUGGACACACUGCCCAAUCAGCGUCGCAGUAGAUGGAGACCUGUAGAUCCGUUUCUGAUUUGAGCAAUAUCCCCUGCCCGACUGUCCCUUUGAGAAACCGCACAACUCGCAGUGCUGCUUCCAUAUGACCUUCUCGCAGUUUCUGCAUGAACUGAGACAGUAUAUGUACUGAGUAGGAUAUAUCAUGUCUCAUAUUAGUAAGGUAGAUAAGCCUCCCUAAAAGACGUCUAUAACGCGCCGGUUCAGCCGUAAAGGAACUGUCGUCUGUAGCGAGGUGAUGAUUCUGUUCCAUGGGAGUUUCAGCAGACUUUGAAUCAACCUGACCGGUCUCCUUAACAAUGUCCAAAGCAUAUUUUCUUUGACUCAACACAAAACCUUCUUUAUUACGCCCAAUCUCGAUUCCAAGAAAGUACUUCAACCUCCCUAGAUCUUUCAUGUGAAAACAUUCACCAAGAUAACCUUUAAACUUUGUAAUUGCUUCUCCAUCGUUCCCACAAACAAUGAGAUCAUCCACAUAAAUCAACACUCGAAUCUCAACAGUACCACGUGAGUAAAUGAACAAGGAGUAGUCGGACAGAGAUUGAACAAACCCUGCCUUGACCAGUGCCUUUGUGAGCUUCUCAAACCAACACCGAGGAGCCUGCUUUAGUCCAUAAAGGGAUUUAUGUAACCGGCACACUUUGUUUGGAUCUGAGUUAUUAACACCCUGCGGAAGCUUGAUAUAAACUUCUUCAUCUAAAUCACCAUGGAGAAAAGCGUUGUGCACAUCCAUCUCAUGUACCUCCCAAUCCUGAGUAACUACUAUCUUCAAUAGACUUCGUACCGUAGUCAUUUUCGCAACUGGAUCAAACGUUUCAGCAUAAUCACAACCAGCUUUCUGACGGUUUCCAAGUACCAGCAACCUUCCCUUGAAUCGUUCCACAGUCCCGUCAGCAUUAUAUUUGAUUUUAAAAACCCACAUUGUUCCCAAAGCCACUCGGCCAUGAGGCAAGUCAACCACACUCCAAGUAUUUGCGACCUCUAGCACAUCAACUUCUUUGUAAACAGCUUUUGUCCACCUCUUAUCACGCAUGGCUUCUUUAAAAUUCUUAGGCUCACUGUCAGCACAAACAGCUGCAAGAAAAGCUUUGUGUCCACGAGAAAAAUGUUCAUCUGAAAUAUAUUCAGUAAGUGGGUACAAUGUAUUACCUGAGACCGGGUCGAAGAAGACACUGAAAGAGCGAUCGGUGGUGAGGACGUGAGGGGUACUAUCAUUGCACGCUGCCUUGUAAGUAACGUAAUCGUUUAACCUCACAGAAGGUUGCUUAACACGUUGUCCUCUACCAAGCAAGCACUCUGUUUCCGGCGGAGCAUUUGCUGGAGCUUCUUCUGGAGCUCCAUUGUCUUGUUCAUUAGUACUCGAAACCUCUGGCCCAACUUCAAUGAUUGCGGAGUCCUGAGAGGCUAAUGUUUCCUCAGACUGAUCGCCAUUACUCCCCCUGACAUCGACAACCUCCACUUCGUUUGUUACCAACUCAUCAUCAAAACUCUCCAUACUGACAGGAGAAGACUUCUCUGCGACAACUUCAGAAAAUGGAAACUCUUCCUCUCUGAAAACUACAUCUCAAGACACAAAGAACUCACUGGUUUCCAAAUCAUAUAACUUCCAACCCUUCUUCCCGAAAGGAUAUCCGACGAACACACACUUUCUACUGCGAGGAACAAUUUUGUUCUUGUCGCGUAAUUGCUUAUGUGCAAAGCACAGAGAGCCAAACACUUGUAGCUUUGAGUACGAUGGAGGCGAUCCGAACAACACUUCAUGAGGACACUUUCCAUUGAGUAUUCUGGUUGGAGUAAGAUUAAUGACAUGAGCCGCUGUAAGAACAGCUUCCCCCCAGAACUUGAUUGGCAUCUUCGCCUAAAACAUCAAGGAUCUCACUACAUUUAACAGAUGACGAUGUUUCCUUUCUACUCUACCGUUCUGCUACGGCGUUCCCACACAGGAAGUUUGUUGAAUUAUCCCUUUCGAUUUGAAAAAUGAGCCAAGGCACAUAAACUUUGUGCCAUUAUCACUUCGAACCUUCUUGAUUCGCUUUCCAAACUGUGUUUCUGCGUAAGCAUAAAAAUUCUGCACCACUUCUUUAACUUCUGAUUUCUCGAGAAGCAAAUAAGUCCAUACAGUACGUGAAUAGUCGUCUACCACGGUUAAAAAAUAUGAGGCUCCGUUAGAGGCCUGAAUCAACUCAAAACAUGCUUUAGUUUUAUUAGAACUUUCGGGAAACAAAUCUCUUGCUUGCUUAGCCUUAAAACAGACCUCACAUGAAUCUAAACUUGCAGAAUAUUUAACACCAGAAAACACAGAUGAAGAAGAUAAAACUGAAAGCCCUGGAUGUCCGAGUCGCUGAUGCCACAAAACCUUAUCCUCAACCUUUGCAGCUUUGUUGGCACGAGCGGCUUUAACGUCUGUAAAAUAGUACACCCCAUCACGUUCCUCACCUGCUCCAAUAAGCGUCCUCGAACACCGGUCCUACAAAAUGCACAAUGUAUCUGUGAAAAACGCAAAAAAAUUUGAUUGCUUGAGGAGUUUCAAAACAGAGAUCAAUGAGCAAUUCAGGUAUGGUACGUAUAAAACGCCAUAUAAAGAGAUACAAUCAGAUAAAGGCAACACGCCUAUCUUCUUUGCAACCGUACUACUUCCAUCAGCAAAUCCAGUCUUGCAUGAAGAUAUAUCUUCAAGAUUAAUAAGUAGAUUUAUAUCACCAGUCAUAUGGUGCGAUACUCCUGUAUCGAGUAUCACAUCUCCCAACUUCUUACCAGACAUUUUAUCUGAACUACCACUGGGCUUCUCCUGCAAUAUUUGACUGAUAGCUCUCCAUUGUUCUGCGGUAAACUCAGGGAUAGUUGCACCAGGAUUGGCACUGGUAGCGUAAGCAGCAUUCAACUGACCUCUUCCUCUGCUUGCUCCACUGCGUCCUCCUCCUCUACUUGUACCACGAGUUCCACGUCCUCCUCGUUCUGUAAACCACUCAGGAUAGCCGAUCAACUGCCAACAUGUGUUCUUAUCAUGACCGGUUCUCUCGCAAUUUGAGCAACUUCUAUCUUUUCCUCUAUUUUGUGAGGUCAAUGAACCAAACUCAUCACGCACUCCUCCGCGUCCUCCACUCAAAUCACCAUUAUUAUUGUCACGCCAAGACACAAAACCAACAGCAUCCUGCUGCUGUUCCUGUGUCUUUGUUGAAUUCAAACGAUCCUCCUCUCUAACUAUCUUGUUAUGCACCUUUCCAGAAUCUGGUAGAGCGUCUGCUUCGAUUAUGGCCAUAACAACAUGCCCAAAACGUGAUUCAUCUAGUCCCAUAACAAACUGAUGAACACGCUCAUCCUCUCUUUCCUUCUCGUAGAGAGCUGCUGCAUCACAGGUACACGCAGGUGGUGGUCGAUAUGUCUGCAACUCCUCCCACAUCUUUGCAAGUCGCCCAUAGUAAUCGAUCACCGCGUCUCCAUCUUACCUACACGAGGCAAGCUUUGCCAUCAACUGAUGAACUCGCACCUUAUUCCCCACCGAGAACCUUUCUUUUAGAUUCUCCCAAAGCUUGUGUGCGUCAGUAAUAAAAGUCACGGUCGACCUUACUUUUGCUCCAAUCGACGUUCUCAGCCAACCGAAAAUCAUGGAAUUGACACUAAGCCAACUCUCUAAGUCUGCGUGUCCCUCAGGCGGCUUCAUCAACGUACCAUCGAUGAAACCUGCCUUCCUCUUGGCUUGAAGUGCGUUCAACAUCUCCGUCGCCCACUCAUUAUAAUUUUCACCUUUCAACUGAACAGAGGUGAUCAAAACUCUUGGAUUAUCAGAAGCUAAAAUUGAAUAAGGAGAGCUUGCUCCUUUUACGCCGGACACGCCCGCCACAACUGUCUUGUCAUCUCCCAUGAUCGUAGAUGAUGAUCACAAAGAAAACAAGUUAUGAAAAGAGAAACAAGAAUAGAUCUUUAGUUAGAUCUAAGCUCUGAUACCAUGUAAAGCAAGGUAAUGCUGAAUAUUUGUGUGUCAUUAAUCGUGAGCUUAGAGCUCAAUAUAUACAACUCGACUUUGGCCUUAUCUACUUAGCCGACUAUAUUAGAGAUAAACUCUCUAAUAUUUACAUCAUUAUCUAAGUAUAACACAUCAUUAUCACAAUAGAGGGCUUGGAGGUCGCCGGAAACGUAACCUCCUAUCAUAACCGACCGGAAUAAAAGAUCUUGCGAUUUCCGGAACCAGCACCAACUUUCUAAGUAUUAAAAGAUCUACCUAAUCCAAUGGUCAAUAUUAAAAAAUACAUCAAUAUAUUAGAAUAGAUUAUUUAUCAUUAUCAAUUAUAUAUUGUUUCAUAUUAGUUUAGAAAAUUAAGUUGAUUUAUCCUUUACAUAAACUAUGCAUUUUUAAUAUUAUUUUCAUGAAAAUCUAGUAAUAUUCUUUUUAAACAUAUUUAUGUGAUUUAUUUUCAUCAAUUUGUCAUAGUAUCGGAACAAGAACAAAACUAAAAAAUCAAAUACUUCUAUAACUUUUAUUCUCGUGUUAUUGCAAAACAACAACGCUUCAUACAUAACUUAUUUAUUCACGACUUGAAGAAGAAGGUUUUCAUUCAAUCAUAGCCUUGCUGUCUUUGCAAAAUCGCAAAUCAGCAAACUUAUUUUCUAUUCAUUUGUUUCUCAAUUUGAAGCAAGGAAAAUUCAUUUUACAAUUCAAGCAUUCAUUCAUCAACUUUCGUAUGGAUAUUAGUUCAUGAAAGAUUCAGAUUUCCUGACGGCAGUCUAACGGCAGCCGAUUCACCCUACCGUGAAGAUUGGACAGUAAGCAAUAUUCUCAUUGUAACAUGGAUAAAACAAACAAUCAAACCAAAAAUCAGAUUAUCUAUCUCAACUCGCGAAAUCACAAGAGUUAUGGGAUAUUCAUCAAGCUUCCGCAACAUUAACAACCAUUGUUGUUUCACAAGACUUUGAGUUAUUUUUACUACUAUAUUAUGAAGAUUAUCCAAUCUCAUACGUAUUACCACGUAUGAGCUUGAGAGAGGGUAUUGAAAGAUCUAGAAGAUCGAACUAAUCCAGUGGUCAAUAUUAGGAUAUACAUCAAUAUAUUAAAAUAUGAAACUUAUCAUUAUCUAUUUAUAUAUUAUUCCAUAUUAGUUUGGAAAAUUAAGUUGAUUUAUUAUCUAUAUAAACUAUGCAUCUUGUAACAUAAUUUUCAUGAGAGUCUAAUAAUAUUAUUUCUAAACACCUUUGUGUGAUUUACUCUCAUCAAUUUGUCACUAAGUUUUCAUGCGGUCUUUUUCUUAUAGAGAAAGCUCCCAUCUCUACUGAACCUGCAGGAAAUCAACAAAGCAAUAUCGAGAAGAUUGAUUCCUCUAUCCAUUAAGGAUCCUUUGCAAAAGCGUAAUUAAGGACACAAAGAUUGAUUCCAAUCUGGAUAGAGAAUCAACGGACUCAAAUUAGUUAACUAUGCAAAAAUAAUUGAUUAGUAAAUCAUAAGAAACAAACAUGAUCAUCGUUAUUUUUUUAGAAUAUAUUUUUAAUGGCCAAUUUUUCCCUCUUUUUGUCUACUUUACAAGUUUAAUGCCGAUGAAAAAUGUUUGAUUAUCAAGAUCUUCUAUAUAAAUUGCAUCAAUACGCUGUAACAUUAAUGACAUCCUAGCUAAAAUUGAAGACUACAAUUAUCUUUUUCUAUUGGUAUAUUUGGAAGACAAAGAAUGACAAACUCUUUAAUGGAAAAGUCAUAUCCCCAAUUGAACUCUCCAACUUGCGUGCCUUGAAGCAAAAUAUUGGAGAAAAAUUAAUGAAAAUGAGGAAACUAAUGAGGAUAAUAAAGGCCCCCUACUACAAAGAUUGGGACAGUGCCCCCUUGGAUACUUCGAAUCUCUACAAUCAAAUUAAUGCUUCAUGGAUCGAUAAUGGUAGUGGUAGUGGCUUAGGAUGGAGUCUAAAGGAUCAAAUGGGUACUGAAUCUCUCGGAUUACGGGCAUGCAACAGAAGCCUCUCAGCCUUACAUGCUGAGAUAGAAGGCUUACUUUGGGUAGCUUCAUGCAUGAAAGACAGGAGGAUAACCUUGAUAUGUUUCGAGACGGACUGCUUGGACCUAUUGGACAUGGCUACGAAUCCGAUGGACUCGCCACAUUUCGCAUCGUAAAUUGAUAUUCUAAAAAAAAUACAUGAGGACUUUGAAGAUGUGAGCAUAAUUCAUAUUCUUCAAAGUAGAAAUGGCCGAACAGACUCAUUAGCGAAAACAGAAAGGACCAGAUGCUAUAUUUUCUUCCGUAUAUAUCAGACAUGGACAGACGUAUGAGCUAUUCAGAGAACCGGCUCGUCUGAGUACAACUUAGUGUAGUAAAAUGGGUAGUUGGCAAAAAAAAAAAAAGAGGAACAAUACUAAGCUUUGCAUUAUUAUUUUUUAUUGUUUAGGGCUUUGCAUUUUUAUUCUUUUUGCAUCUUCUAACUCUAAAAGGCAGAAAAAGUAUAUUGUAGGCUUCGGAUCUCCAUCAUCUAAUUAAUCGAGUAAUCUAACAAGGUGCAAACACUUCCAGGCACAUCUUCACGUCACCCUGGAACUCCAUAUUACAAGUUGUAUAACAGGCUACAAGUUUUUUAGGAUGCUCUGCACAUUUUCUUUCCUCGCAAUUAAAUUUUCAGCAUAAGGAAAGUUGAUGCAAAUCUUACAUCAAGACUUGCUAUGCCUUUUUUCUUCGUAAAUUUCCUCAACAAAGAUGGAAUCUUAUAAUGGACUUAAAUGAAAAUAGUAAAUUUACUGUAUUAGUUUCAAAAGAUGUCCAAAAUAUUUGUUGAAAUCUUACAUUACUAUACAUUUAUGACUUCUAAAUGAAUGCGCUGAAUCCGCUGAUAACCAAACGAAUUAUUCUUGGAUUCACCAGCCAAUAGGAUUGUGUUAUUUCAUAUUCGAUAUCUUUAAAAAACAAACAAAAUAUUAUCAAAUUAUAUUAUAUUUUUAAAAUUAAAAGGUAAAAAAAAAUAAAAAAAAUAAUAGUAAUUACAAAAAAAAAUAUUUUUAACGUCGUCAGCAAAACAUUAAACCCUAAAUCCUAAUCCAUAAACCCUAAACCCUAAACUCUAAAUCAAAAUCAAUAAACAUUAAAACACUCAAGGGUUUAGGGUUUAGAAUUUAGGGUUUAGGGUUUAGGAUUUAGGGUUUAGGUUUUAGGGUUUUAGAGUUUUUUAUUUUGAGUUUAGGAUUUAUCCAAUGGUUUACGGUUCACCCAAAGGUUUAGGGUUUAUCGAAGGGUUUAUGAUUUAGGGUUUAAUGUUUUGCUGACGACGCUAAAAAUAUUUUUUUGUUAAUUUUUUUUUCUGUAACUACUAUUUUUUUUAGUUUUUAUUUUAAAAACAUAAUAUAACUUGACAAUAUUUUGUCUUCUUUUCUAAAAAAUAUAAAAUUUGAAAUAAUGAAAUCUUAUUGGUUGGUGAACCUCCAUAGGAUAGGAAGUGAACCGAGGAACUCUAACCAAACUACACGCAGCAAGUAACCAACCUACAUUUAAUAGUUGUUCUGAACUUCACAUAUUCUUUAAAAUUUACCACUAAAUUCACUUGCAAUUCUUUAAAGCAAUUUACUUUAUAACCUAUAGAUACUAUAUAUAACGUAAUAGUCAAAACUUAUUGUUGAGACAUUAUUAGAUACAUAAAAACAUAUAUUUAAUAAAAAUGAUCCAAAUAAAAAUUAUACAUAAAAUAGGUCAUGACUUAUAUAUUUUAAUAGAUAAAAUGUUUAUAACUGAAUAGGCUUGCAUGAGCUUGGUUGUUGUUAUCGGAAGAUAGUGGAGCUCGAACUACCUCACUUUUAUCUUUUCGACUUUUCAAACAAAAACUGAUCCCAUGUAUAAUAAAGCACAAGUCAUUUGAGCCAUCAAAAUUUGACUUGUGUAACUUUUUUUUUAAACCUUAAAAUUUAAAAAAAAAAUCAUAAAUGUUUUUUAAAAGUUAAAUUUAAAAUUGUACAAAAAAAUAAAUCUGUAUGACCACGUUUGUUUGAUUGUAGAUGUUUAGUAAUUGCAAAAAAAGUUCCUGUUUUUUCUCUAAUUAUUAUCAUAACAUGUUGAAAAAUUCAGCAACUCUCAAUAUUAACUGUUUCAUCUCCUUUCAUUCAAAAUUUUCUGUAUUUUUCUCUCCUCUUCUUCUCUAUCUAUUUCAUCUUCUUUGUCUUUUUUUUUUUUUUAAGUUUUGAGUAUGAGAAAGAUCUUUAUUCUUCUCUUUUAAAAAAAAAAUCUCUAUGAUUCUUUAUUUAGAAGUAUAAGUUGAAGAUUCUAUCAGAUUCUACAAAGGAAUCAGAAAUCAUAGUUUUCUUUCAGAGUACUACCAUCAGAGACAUGAAAUGAUUUCAAUGUGAAAAUCUUUAUCUUGUGGAAAAAGGUAAACACAUUUACAUUUGUAAUUUUGAUAUAUAAAACUGUUUAAAUAAACGAAACUCAGUUUUGUAUACAUUUUUUAUAUACAAAGAAAUAGAUCAAGCUUUUGUGAAGCAAAACAUGAUAAAGGUUAAAAGGGAGUUUGAAAAAUGAGAGUGCUGUUAAUCUCUAUUAUAUCAUAUACUAGGAUAGGCCCGCCCUACGGGCGGGAAUUGAUGGAUCAAGUUUUAGAAUAUGUAUGUGUCAAUUUUAUACACUAUAAAAUAAAUAAAUUAAUCGGAUUUGGUCAAAAGAAAAUGAAAUAUUGAUUUCUAAUACUAUUAUAUCAUAAUUUUGUGAGGGUAUAUAAAAUAAUGGGUAAUGAUGUUUUUUUUUUUGGAGAAAUCUUUGUUAAAGUUAUUGUAUUUGUUUAGUAGAAUGUUAGAUACUUAUAAUAUUAACAACGGUGAUUUUUUGGCAUUUGUUUGUUUUUUUUUGUGUGAUAUUUUUUUGGUUAUAUUUGCUUAUAUAUUAUAUAAUUGAUCACACUAUUUCUUUUAUUAAUAAAAAAAGAAAUGGAGAAAUAAGAAACAAAAAGAAAAAUUAACAAAGGCGACAAAUGUAUUAUUUAAAAUGGAUAAAUUAAGUACAACUUAUUGUUCUUAAAAAUGAGAAAAUAUUUCUACUAAAAUAUUGUAUCUCGACAUGUAUGGCAUCUUACGUUCAUUCGGAUCCAAUCAAUUAUGCGUUGAUAAUGAUAGAUAUGGUUGCAUUGCAAUAAAUUUAUAAACCCGCCUUUUACAAUCUGCUCAAUGCAUAUAGUGCAAGGUUCAUCUUCCUCCGCUGGUGAGGGUGCUCUUCUUUCGGUAUGCAGGUUUUUUGAAGCUAUGUGAAUUGCUUGGGGAUUGAAAUAUGUUAUAUAUAGUUAUAGAUGUGUACCCUUGUAAUUAUGCAUUAUGGAUUAUUAUGUAUUUCAGUAAUUUUGUAAUUAUAUUUGUUAUAUCUUGUUAGGUUUUUUUUUUACAAUUUUCUGAUAUUAAUCUUUGGUUGUGGUUUAAUCAUUUUCAAUAUUAAUUUUCCAAAGCUCAAGUUUUGUGACUAAAAAAUGAAAAGGUUAUGUAAGACUCACUCCUUAUUUUAUUUUUUGUUAACCUGUAAUGGAGUUAUGUAUUUAUACAAAUUUUCACUAAAUCCAUCAUAUUCGUCCUUUUUAUUUUCUUUUGCAAGGCUGGGUUCGGUGCAACAAAACAAAAUUCAAUUACUUGCAAGUCAAGCUUGUUGUUACUGCCAUCAAGUCACUUAUACUUGUUUCUCGACCAUGGUUGAUAAGAGAUUUGGACUUAUAAUGAUGAUAAAUUGACUUUCGUUACAUUUAAACGAAGCUACAUAUGUAAUUUGUAAAACAUUUGUUAUUUGUCUUUUUAUUCUUCUUACUGAUAUGACCUUCUUUUUAUCUGGGACAUUUGAGAACGGCCACUUUAUUACAAAUUUGAUUAACAACAAUAGAUUUCAUGAAUGAAAUCCGAUAAUAAGUGGAAACUAAGAAGCUUUGGAAUGCUUGAAGGACCGGUUUUUGUAAAAUAUAUAAUUUUGUGUAAAUUUUCUUUAUGUUAAGUUGGGGUCGAGUGUUUGAAUGGGUCACAGCGAAAGCUUGGAAUGCUUGAGUGGUCUCUCUGGCUUCUUCAGCUAAUAUGACAGAAGCAUGAUUUGUGGACGCCAUGUUUUUUUUUCUCUUUUGAGAUAUUGUAAGGACGUAGUUACUUCGUAUGCUUGACUGUGAAUACUUUUAUAUUGUUUUGUGUCUGUGGUGCUAUGUUUAAUUAUUCAAACGGAGAUAUAUGUUUUUACUACGGGUAAUUGAAGAUUUCAAUAUUCUUGCUAAUAAUUGACAGCUUGAAUUUUAGCCGUAAUUAUAGUAUUCGAAUAUGGGAACAAUAUUAUUUUUGAGUAUACGGUUUGAGGCGUAGUUGAUGUUGUUGGUGUGAUUGCUAAUAAUCCGGUUAAUCUUGAUACCUUCGUUUGUUGAUAUGGAAAUAAUAUUGAGUAAGAUAAUCUUGGCCUAUAGGGCCAUUUAUUUAUAGUAAAUAUAUUUUACUAAAUUUAAGGCCAUCAGUUAAGGCUUUAGUUAUUUUGUAUUUUAAUUAGACCAACAACAGAAUUUGAGUAAUUGUUAUCUAGCUAAUACCGUGUGAAUGAAUGCUUCACUUGAGGUCGGACUUGUAUAUUAUUAUAUAAGUGAGUGCUUAGAUGCACGUUAGUAGUGUUUAUUCUUGGGGGAUUCUAUUUGUUUAUGAGUUUUUUUUAGUAAGCAUAUGGUAGUAAAUUAAGAUGUUCUGGAUAUAUUGGACCAUUGAAACAUAAUAUUUGUGGGUCACAGACUCCAAAAUGAAGCCAUCAAGCUUUACAAACCUUUGAAAAACUGAGUAUUGAUUUCAUCAGAGUAUUAGAAGGAAAAACGAUAGAAAAGAGGGAGUAUGAGUAUUUUGAAAAUUUGAUGCGGAGUACACUCGAUUACGAUAUCUUUGUCGAAGCUAAGAAUUCUUCAGGAACACAUUGGCUGCUUUCCCUGCAAUGAAAGUGAUAAAGUCAGUAUUAGAAAUAAAAACAAACCUGAGAUAUCACACCAUCUAAACCUACUUAAUGCUAGUCUUUGCGCUCGAAGGCCCUUGAAGAUCUCUUUCUAGACAAUAUUGGUUACUGCAUCCACACCGUCUAAAUCAGAGGUAUCGUCUAAUAUCCUAAGCCCCUCCGGUGUUGUUACUCGUGAUAGCGCCACAUACAACUGGCUGUGAGUGAAGACUGUCCUAGGAAGAUAUAAAGCACCUGAUUCAAACUCUGUCCUUGACUUUUAUUGAUUGUCAUCGCAUAGAAAAGACGAAGCGGAUAUUGGCGGCAGCAUAACGUGAAAGGAUGCAUGGUGUCAAGAGGAGAGAGCUGUAUCCGAGGGACCAAUAUUCCCAGUCAUGAUCUUUUGUUAUGAUACAUUAUAUGUUAAGUAAAAUGAUAUGAAACGUAGACAUCGAAUUUAAUUGUCUGAACCGUUGGUCUUUGUCUUUUUGUUGUAUUUUAUUGUAGCGAAGAGUUUACACAUCAAAAAUGAAUACUCAAGUAAUAUUAAUAGAAUAAUACUCCAUUUCAAGCAGUAUUUCAGUGAUCCAAAUAUAAAUAAAAAUCUUAAAUACAGAACAACUGGAAAACGUGAUAGAUUUAAUAAAGCUUGUCUGUAACCAAAUAUAAAAUAACCAAGAUUCAAAGAUUAAGUGGUCAACAAAACAUGGAUAAAAAAACACAUGCGUAAGCAUUACUGAAAGCGGAAAAUACUGCACAACUUCAAGUAUCCAAUCCUCUCCACCUAUGCCGUACGUGCCUUCUUCUUAAUUCCUGAGGAUCCUUGCACCUGACUGCUACCACCAGUCUCCACCUUAACACCAACCGAGAUGGCACCACUGUUGUCGUCUCCAUUGUCAUCAUCACCUCCCUAUUCAGAUCAAAAUAACCAAUUAAUAUAUACCGUGAAGCUAACUGACCGUAAUUUAGUACAUGGAACUUACAUUGACAACAAACUGACGGAGCGGCAUACGGUCACCUUCACUAAGGAUGCAGGAGAUCGUAAAAAUUUGAUGGUUUUCAGUGAAGUUGUAUGCACUGACCUUGACCUGGAACUUGUAGGUUUUACCCUCCAUGUCUGCAACAGAUGGAGGUGCCUGAGUGUCCCACGGGUUCACACCAUCACCAGCAUGAGGAAGCAACCGUUGAAUGCAAUCUCAUGAGUAAAAUUUCAAGACGAAGAUGCAUGACAGGCAGAGUAAGAACAUACCAAAAGAUGGCAAGCUUCAUAGGGUCUCAUAUUAUGCAGUUUUGUCAUAACCCAAUCAAAACAAACAAAGAGGCCUUCAGCAGUUUCAUCUGCAAUGGACAUCUCCACCCGAUACCUAGCAGUCAGUUAGCACGUAUCAAAACUCAAAGUUGACUAUGUGUGUGGACACAAACGCCAAUGAAAGUAAAUGCGGUGUGAACAAAUUGAACAUACAUCAGUCUUCAGAACACCAACAACAUUAGUAUUAUUACAAUCCAGACAUGUGAAAGCGAGACAGUGCGUUGGAGCUUCUUGGUACAGUUGGAGCAAGAAACGUAGCACCAUCCUUUGUCCAGCUUGAUACCAGUGACCUUCUCAGUGCAGAUGAAAUCAAUCUCCUACAUUCGUAAAUCAGCAGCAUCAAACUUUUAACUUUAAUUCAUUCCAUACUCAAAUAAUAAUAUAUGGUUGUUACACCUGAGAGGAAGCAGAAUUGACAAAUUCAUUGAGAUCAGCUACGCUCAGGGAUUCCACCUUGUCGUAGCCCUUAAGCAAUGGAGCUGCUGGCGCAAGCCCAGUGUCUUGGGCAACCACUGCGAUGGUUUCCUUGUCAAAGUAUAUGCGUGUGCCUGAAGUGGCAUUCAGAAACAGAUGACCUGAAAAAUAAAACUGCUUUUAAUGUACUGAGAAUACUUAAAAGGAGACUAUGUGAUGUUAAGCUCAAGUAAUUACCUCCCACAAUUUUGGGGUUGAUACUGGUUGCAACCAGAACCCUUGGAUCACCUCCCAUUGAUUCAAGUUGAUUGUGGAGCUUGACAGGCUGUGAGUCGAACAUACUCAUAGUGACCGAAACAUCACUGAUAACACGUACAUAAGAAAAGUGAUAAAAAAAUGUAAUAUUUUUUAAAUAGAAAACCAGUAUUAAAAUCUAAAUGGAUCAAUAUGGAAGAAUUAGCUACUUAUCCAUUUUAAUGGUUGUCAUCAAACGGUUCUUGUCAUGUGGAGGGUCGGUGACAGUGCUCUUCGCAGCAGUUACCUCACCGAUAAUGUCUGUGGAAUGAUAAUUAUUAGAUAACUAAACAAAAUAGACAAAUUUACAGAUAAGAAGAGCAGUACCUGGAAGCUGAGUGUUUGUGUUGGCAAGACCGAGCAGCUCGCGAACCGGAAAGAUUCCACACCUAUCGGAAUAGCCGGUUCGGUUAUCUCAUCAAAACAUGUUGAAUCGCUGAAACGAAUCAUCAUAGAGGAGUCCGACAGUCGGUAAUUCUGAUUACAUCGGGUCACAUCAAAACCGGCUAGGGAAUAUAGCGAUUAGCGAACCCACCUUCAGAUUAGGCAUGUGAAUUGCAAGCCGGUUCACAUUCACCGUCGCCGGCAUCAUGGUCGACUAAACAAAAAAUGAUAAAAAAAUCCUGUAAUAAAGAUUCAACACGACGGACGGUUCUGAAGAAAAUAUUAAAAACAAUCACUAAUUAGUUCUGAAGAUCUAAACAUGAAUUGUUGAUAGAACAAACCAAGGUACUUAUGAACUCAGGUAAAGGUUCAGAACAAACCUGGGAAUCAAGCAGAAACAUAUCGACUCCCAUGAGUUCGCUACCCCAUCGGACGUUCAUCGGCUCCAAGAAGCAGAGCAACCGGACUUGAAUGGUGGAGGAGCAUCGUCCGGUCUUCAAAUCGAAAAGGAAGAUCGCCGCGUUAGCCAUAUUCAGGAUAUAAGUUUCAUAGAGUGACGGAGACAAAAUAUAUUCGAAAACCCUAAUACAAAUUGAAAUAAUGUAAGGCCAGAUCCGAUUAAAAAACCAACGUAAGACAAAGUUUAAUGAAACACAAAGUGUUUGGUUUUUUUAAUGAAACGCAGUGUAUUUGGUUUUGGACACGUGUCGACUCCUGACGAAUCCAUUUAGUGACGUGGCUCACUGCAGAAAGAGAGAGUCUCUUCUUUAUGUUAUUAGAUGUGAGGCUCGGUUGGGGAAACAUAUUCCAAUUUAAAUACUAAGUGUUUAUGUAUAUAUUAUUCUAAAGUUUGUUAACUCUACUAAUCUACCUAUGAUUUUUUUCUUGCCAAUAUAAAAAACGUUUGUACAGGUAAAUAUUCAUUUAAGAGAUUUUAAUGACAGUUUACAUACAUUCGAUAUUAAAAACAUUAUAUGAAAUCUAUUAUUUUAUUCAAUGUGCUAAGCUUAUGAUCCAAUGUGUUAUCUAGGUUUAAAAAAUAUGUGAUUUUGAUAAAAAAAAAGUAUGAUUAAAAUAAUAAUUUAUUUUUGAUAUGUUGAUAAUCAUAUCAGUUUUAAGAUUUGAAAACUUUUAAUACAGUAAAAUUAAUUGAUCCGUGCGACCUCACGGGAGAUAAUACUAGUUAAAAAUAAAAGAAGAAGCGGAGAUGCAGGGUAACGAUAGCCUGUACCUUCUCGCAUGCUAAGCGAGCGCUCUACCAUCUGAGCUACAUCCCCAUGACACUGGUAAAGUGUAACUAAAACUUGUCAGUAUAUACCUAGUAACUAGGUUAAGACUAUUUAUAAUUUAAAAAAAAAUAAGUUUUCAAUGAUCGUUCAAAACUUUUAUCAAAAAAAUUGUUCAAAGUAAAUUUUGAAACUAAAAUAUUGUAUUUUAUAUGGUUUAUAGUUUAAUUUAAAACGAUAUAUAUAUUAAUCUUAUUAAUUAAUUAAAUUAGACUUUUUACUUAUAUAAUUUUUGUAAUCAUUUGUAUUUUGUCAUAACAAAAAUUUUAAACCAAAGAUCAUAAAAUUUGAAUGUGAAACUUUUAAUAGUUUUUAUAAUUUAUAACCGUUUGUAAAAAUUCAAAAUAGAACAUAUACAUAAAAAUCUAAAUUUUUAUAUAUGGUUAUUGUGGUUGUUUAAUUUAUUUAAUAGCUUAAAAUUAAACAAAUAUGAUAGAAGAUACACUAUUUUUUAUCAAAUCUUUAUUAUUCAAAAUCAUUAAUUACCAUAUAUACUUUAGCCACAUUAGACAAUUCCGUAAAUUUUAUUUAAGGAAAUAAUAAAGUACAUUAAUGAUGAAUUUAUUGUUAGUUUAAUAAAAAGCUUAUUAUAUAAUUAGAUAGACUAACAUAUUUCUCUAAUGAUUCUAAAAAUUAUUAUAGUGAUGACAUGUAACUAAAAAAGAAAUUGUAAUGCUUUUCAAAUAAUAUAAAUGUUGUUGGUUUAGGUAACUGAAUAUUGUUCGUGAAAGUGACUAAAUGAGUGGGGAUGAUGACUAAAGAUUUUUUUUUUCCCUUAGUGAUUACAAUUUGAGUAAAUGACAGCUAAAGAAAUUAAAAGAGAUCAACCGAAUCUCUUGGAGGAUGCUUCCGGGUCUUUGAUUGGUAAGCUGCUGAGACCGGUUCAAAGCUAAAAACUAUUUGCAAGGCAUCUUCAAUUUUUUUUUAUCGCUAACAUAUUUAGUGUGGUAGAAUCUUGUUUAUAAAAUUAUAGUUCUACUUUCUGUGAAUAUUUCCGAAUUCCGAACGAAAUCUUAUUUCAAUUUUUGUUGUUGUUGAAAUGUUAAAAUCUUUUAGCUGAAAAAAUAAAUCAAGACUAAUUUAAGCACAUGACUGGUCAAGUCGUAAGCACACCUACCAGAGAGAGAAUUGAGGCAUGUGGUUCAAGAAACGUUUGGGGCUCGUUCUCUCACGUUUUAUUUUGGUUCCACCUACCUACUUAAUCACCCAUCUUUUGUUUUCUUCUCCCUGUCUUGCUCCUUUAUUUUCUUCUUCUUUUAAUUAAAAACAAACAUAACUUAAUUAAUUAUAAAAAUGUUUUAGGUUACAAACUAGUGGUUACUGAUAAGUGAAAAGAAUAGUAUAUAAAUCACAUUUAAAAUCAAUCAAUUUGAGGUUUAGGGUGCCGCUAAUUCUUUUAGCAAAGUAUGCAUGAUGCGGUUUAUUUUCGUCAGAUAUUCAACGGGUAAUAGGCCUACAAAUUAGUUUUUUUUAAUAAAUUUUAUGUGGGUCAGAUGACCAAUUGAUUUGGUCAUUUACUCUGGUAGUCCGUUUUUUUCUUUCAAGAGUGAAAUCUUUUUAAUAAAAAAAUGGAAUUUUCCCCGCUUAAUUGAUAACCAUUUGUUAUCAUUGAGGGUUUUCUAAAAAAUGGGGUUGACAAAAUAUGAAAAAGAAUACAUUAACACACUCUUUGAUUCUAAAAAAAAAUUGUCUGGAUUGUUUUUUUGUUGAAUCAGAGAAUAGCAAUUUGUUUGGAUUGUUUCAUGUAUAUAUGUCGUAUAUGUAAACAAGAAAAACAGUUACAAGGUCAGAAUAGAAGAUCAUUAAAUGAUUUGGUAACGUAGUGUUCGAAAAAUUUUGUUUUUAAAAGGGUUAUGUACUUUUGUUGUAAGAAUAAGGAUCUCUGGUUAAUCAUCAAGUAAUUAGUGGACCUAAUUUUAUAUUUUAUAUCAAGAGUAUUAAAAAUAACGAUUGUUGGUAAAUUUGUUUUAAUUUUUUUAAUAUGUUUUCCUGUUUUACAUUAAAAUAUCGAGUUAGAUAUUAGAUAAUAUAAACAUUAAAUUUGGACAAUAUAGUCAUUUCACUUAUGAGUAUGUGUAGUUUUCAAAACAAUAAAAAGAAAGUGUAGUUUUCAAAAUAUAAUCUCAUCUAAAUGUAUUUUUCCAAAUUUUUCCUAUUUUAUGUCUUAAUUAUAGUAUCAUGUAUAUACAAUAUUUUGAAAAUAAAAUAAAAAUAUAUAAACUGUAAUAUAAAAUAAUUUAAUUAAGAAAAUAUAAAUAUAAUAAUGAAAUAUAUUCUUAGACUUUUACCAUAUAUAUAUAUGGAUGAUUUUACCAAAAAAAUAUAUAUGUGAUUUCUCAUUAGAAACAUUGAAAAUAUAUAAAAUACAAAUAAAACUACUGAAUAUUUUAUUUUAUUAUUUGUUUUGUCCGUAAGUUUAUAAUAUUAUCAAUAAUAAUUACGAUACUAUUUAAUAGUUUCCUGGAGAAUAUUAUUUAAUAGUUUACACGCUUAACGGCACCAUUUUAAGAUUCCUCCAUUAAUAUUUAAGAAAUUGCAAAAUGAACCAUUUAACUUCUAAAAGUUUCUAUUUAAAUUGAUUAAUUACACGGCAGUCCUUCUCUUUGGCCUGUAUUUCAUGCUUUCACCCGUAUUCCUCCUUAUAUAUAGUGACAGAGUUAGGUGACUCAAGACACAACAAAAUAAACACUCAAGAAAAUAAAGAAGGAAGCAUACAAUGUCGGGAACAUUUGACCGUGCCGAUGAAGUAAAAGCAUUCGACGAGAUGAAAAUCGGCGUGAAGGGUCUCGUCGACGCUGGAAUAAAAAAAAUCCCACUCAUAUUCCAUAACCCGCAAGCCACGGUAACUAACCCUAAGCCUCCUUCUACGUUGACUAUCCCAACAAUAGAUAUGGGAGGUGGCGUGUUCGAGUCCACGGUCAAAAGAAAGGAAGUGACUGAGAAGGUUAAAGACGCCAUGGAGAAGUUCGGUUUCUUCCAGGCGAUAAACCAUGGGAUUCCACUCGAGGUCAUGGAGAAGAUGAAAGAUGGGAUCCGUGCGUUUCACGCGCAAGAUCCAGAAGCGAGGAAAAGGUUCUAUAGCCGUGAAAAAACCAAAGCGAUUAAGUAUAACUCUAACUCUGAUCUCUAUGACUCUCCUGCUGCGAGCUGGAGAGAUACCUUAAGUUGUUUUAUGUUCCCUGAUGUUCCCAAAACCGACGAUUUACCAGAUAUUUGUAGGUACGAACACGGCUUCUCUUGUUUUAAAUUAAUCUAUGUACUAACUUAAUUAAUUAGUGUCUUUUUUAAUGGGUUUUGAGAGUUUAUUUAUGUUGAAUGUUUCAGGGAGAUCAUGUUGGACUACUCAAAGAGAAUGAUGAUGUUUGGGGAGUUAAUCUUUGAGCUCAUAUCAGAAUCCUUAGGGCUGAAUCCUAACCACCUCAAAGAAAUGGAUUGUGCAAAAGGUUUGUUGAUGCUUUGUCAUUGCUACCCGCCGUGUCCUGAGCCAGACCGAACACUCGGUGCCACUCAGCAUACAGACAGAUCUUUCAUCACUAUUCUUCUUCAAGACCACAUUGGAGGACUUCAAGUUCUCCAUGAUGGAUACUGGAUCGAUGUUCCUCCUAAUCCGAAUGCUCUUAUCCUUAAUGUUGGUGAUCUACUACAGGCAAGUUGUUGUCUACGCAUAAUCAAACGGUCCAUAAGUAAGAAAACACGGUCUUCGUAGGUUCCAAUUGAUGACCAUGUCGAAUGAAAAAAAUUAUAGUGAAUUCUUUGCUCUUUAACAUUUAUACCAGUUAUGUUAAAUUUCUGGUCAAAUUAUUGAUAAGCGAAACCCACUCUUUUCCUUUAAAUUUUUCAUCUGCAACUCUUGAUGAGAAACAAAAUGAACAAAAAUAUAUACUUUUUAUUUUUCAGUUCGUCGAAUGAAAUUAUUUUUUCAUUUUGUUAAUUUUUUCCAUUCAUUUGGUGUUCACCAAUCAAGGUCUUUUUUUCAGCUUAUAACGAAUGACAAGUUUGUGAGUGUGGAGCAUAGAGUUUUGGCAAAUGGAGGUGAAGAGCCGCGCACUUCGAUUGCAUCUUUCUUUGUGCAUCCUCCUUCAACAAGUCCUAGAGUAUAUGGACCCAUUAAAGAGCUUUUGUCAGAAGAAAACCCUCCCAAGUACAGGGAAACCACUCCGGAAGCCUCUAACCACUAUGUGGCUAGAAAACGUGAUGGGAACAAUUCGUUGAGCCAUUUAAGGAUCUGAACAAAAUGGGUGAAUCUAAUCUGAAUCUCUGUUGUUGUUUCCUUUGUGUUUCCAAUAAAACAUUAGUGCACACACAUGCACAAUAUGGUUUCCGAAAUUACUGCAUGUUUUGUUUUUACGUAUGAGAAAAAGAAUAAACUACAUGUUGUCCCUCCAAUAAAGUGUUUAUUUCACGUUUGAUCUAAUAAGAUAUGACCAUCUCUUAUUUAAUCCCCUCUAUUACCAUGUGAGAAGUUUUCAAAAAGAAUAUUGAUAUAUCACUCUCUUGUUGUUCCUUCUUACGAUGUAUGCAUAACAUUUAUUUUUGUUAGAUAUUACAAAGAUUUUAUUACUAAAUUGAUUACUAUGUAAUCAUCUAUAUAUUAAUUGAUGAUCAUUUAAAAAGUUGUAAUCUUAAGUUUGUACUAAUUAAAAAGAGAUUAUGCUUAGAUGUCACUUAAUUAUGAUAUGUCAAUUUAGCUAACGUGACAACUUAAGAAUCAAUUGGAAAAAAUGUUUGUCGAAAUCUAAUUACUAGGGAACAUUUAUAUUAACCCAAAAUAUAAGAAGCGUGUAUUUUUUCCUUAAAUAAAAGCUACGAAAUUAUCUAAUAUGAUUAAUAUAUAUGGUAAUUAAUGACUAUGAAUAAUACAGAUUUGAUAACAAUUUUUGCAUCAUUUUUCAUUUUUUUUUAAUUUUAUAUUAUUAAAAAUAGAUUUGCUUAUAUGUUAUAUUUUGAAUUUUUUAAAAUGACUUUCAAUUACAAAAAAAUGAGGAAACAUUAUAUGUUAUAUUUAAAAUUUUUAAAAACGACUUUAAAUUACAAAAAUGAGGUAACCUUAUAUGUUAUAUUUUGAUUUUUUUAAAAUGACUUUAAGUCCAGACGACUUUACAGGAAGUCCAGACGACUUUACAGGAAGUCCAGACGACUUUACAGGAAGUCCAGACGACUUUGUUAGAAGACUUCCAAGAAGUCCAGACGACUUCCAGACGACUUCCAGACGACUAACAGGUAAGUCAUCCCAGAAGUCUUCCAGAUCUGAAAAACCUGCAUAUUAAAUCCAGAUCUGAAAAACCUGCAUAUUAAUUUACAAGAUUUAUAAAUUAUUUUUAAAAUAAACUGGUACCAGACGAUUUAAACUUCAGUCGUCCAGACGACUUCCAACAUCUCAGACGACUCAGACGAUUUACUGGGGCUAUAUUAGUAAAAAUGGCUUCUAUUUUUUUGUUUGGUCACAAGGGGUUGAGCUGUAAUUUCACUAGGCUUUUAGGUUAGUUUUGCAUUUGAUUCAAGUUUGGGUAUAGGUUUGGGAUUAAAAUCAAGUUGUGGGUUAGUUUUGGCAAAAACCCCAAUAAGAUAUGACCAUCUAUUAUUUAAUCCCCUCUAUUACCACGCGAGAAGUUUUCAAAAAGAAUAUUGAUAUAUCACUCUCUUGUUGUUUCUGCUUACGAUGUAUGCCUAACAUUUAUUUUUGUUAGAUAGUACAAAGAUUUUAUUACUAAAUUGAUUACCAUAUAAUCCUCUAUAUAUUAAUUGAAGAUCAUUUAAAAAGUUGUAAUCUUAAAUUUGUACUAAUUAAAAAGAGAUCAUGCUUAGGUGCCACUUAAUUAGGAUAUGUCAAUUUAGCUUACGUGGCAGCUUAGGAAUCAAUUGAAAACAUGUUGGUCCAAAUCUAAUUACUAGAGAAUUUUAUAUUAACUCAAAAUAUAAGAAGCGUGUAUUUUUUCCUUAAAUAAAAGCUACAUAAUUACUUAAUAUGAUAACAUAUAUAUGGAAAAUAAUGAUUAUGAAUAAUAAAGAUUUGAUAACAAUUUUACACUACAAGAAAACAGGGGGAUUCUGAUGGCCGAAAUCGUCGGAAAUUCGUCAGAAUAGACCGAUUCCGACGAAUUUCUGACGAACCCGUCCGUCGGUAUCGUUUCGUCGGAAAAAAAAAAUUCGUCGGAAUUUCGUCAGAACUUCCGACGACUUUCUGACGAAUACCGAGAAACGUCAUUCUGACGAACUUCCGACGAUAUUACGAUGCGGAUACACGAGACCAGAGUUCAUCGGAAAAACUACGUACCGACGGAGAACGUUCCUCGGACACUUCCGCCAUUAUUAGCCAAGAAAUAUAUAAAAUAUUUAUUUAAAAAAUAUAAAGAUAAAUAAUAAUAAAAAACUUACAAGUUCAUCCUCCUUAGUAGACAUAGAGCAAGCACCGAGGUUGUGCACAUACAUACCUUUCCCGCCACGAUCGCUCUCAGGAAAAGAGACUCAUGAACAANNNNNNNNNNNNNNNNNNNNNNNNNNNNNNNNNNNNNNNNNNNNNNNNNNNNNNNNNNNNNNNNNNNNNNNNNNNNNNNNNNNNNNNNNNNNNNNNNNNNNNNNNNNNNNNNNNNNNNNNNNNNNNNNNNNNNNNNNNNNNNNNNNNNNNNNNNNNNNNNNNNNNNNNNNNNNNNNNNNNNNNNNNNNNNNNNNNNNNNNNNNNNNNNNNNNNNNNNNNNNNNNNNNNNNNNNNNNNNNNNNNNNNNNNNNNNNNNNNNNNNNNNNNNNNNNNNNNNNNNNNNNNNNNNNNNNNNNNNNNNNNNNNNNNNNNNNNNNNNNNNNNNNNNNNNNNNNNNNNNNNNNNNNNNNNNNNNNNNNNNNNNNNNNNNNNNNNNNNNNNNNNNNNNNNNNNNNNNNNNNNNNNNNNNNNNNNNNNNNNNNNNNNNNNNNNNNNNNNNNNNNNNNNNNNNNNNNNNNNNNNNNNNNNNNNNNNNNNNNNNNNNNNNNNNNNNNNNNNNNNNNNNNNNNNNNNNNNNNNNNNNNNNNNNNNNNNNNNNNNNNNNNNNNNNNNNNNNNNNNNNNNNNNNNNNNNNNNNNNNNNNNNNNNNNNNNNNNNNNNNNNNNNNNNNNNNNNNNNNNNNNNNNNNNNNNNNNNNNNNNNNNNNNNNNNNNNNNNNNNNNNNNNNNNNNNNNNNNNNNNNNNNNNNNNNNNNNNNNNNNNNNNNNNNNNNNNNNNNNNNNNNNNNNNNNNNNNNNNNNNNNNNNNNNNNNNNNNNNNNNNNNNNNNNNNNNNNNNNNNNNNNNNNNNNNNNNNNNNNNNNNNNNNNNNNNNNNNNNNNNNNNNNNNNNNNNNNNNNNNNNNNNNNNNNNNNNNNNNNNNNNNNNNNNNNNNNNNNNNNNNNNNNNNNNNNNNNNNNNNNNNNNNNNNNNNNNNNNNNNNNNNNNNNNNNNNNNNNNNNNNNNNNNNNNNNNNNNNNNNNNNNNNNNNNNNNNNNNNNNNNNNNNNNNNNNNNNNNNNNNNNNNNNNNNNNNNNNNNNNNNNNNNNNNNNNNNNNNNNNNNNNNNNNNNNNNNNNNNNNNNNNNNNNNNNNNNNNNNNNNNNNNNNNNNNNNNNNNNNNNNNNNNNNNNNNNNNNNNNNNNNNNNNNNNNNNNNNNNNNNNNNNNNNNNNNNNNNNNNNNNNNNNNNNNNNNNNNNNNNNNNNNNNNNNNNNNNNNNNNNNNNNNNNNNNNNNNNNNNNNNNNNNNNNNNNNNNNNNNNNNNNNNNNNNNNNNNNNNNNNNNNNNNNNNNNNNNNNNNNNNNNNNNNNNNNNNNNNNNNNNNNNNNNNNNNNNNNNNNNNNNNNNNNNNNNNUAAAAAAAAUACUAACCAAGUGCUAUGGCCUCGUCGUGGGUUGGUUUGGAGAAACGGGAGAUGCUCUCGACCUGGUUGUUGAACCAAUAGAUGAACCGGCAUGACCCCCGGAUCCUGUUGAGCAGCAGCGUGAGGGGCAGCGUGAGGGGCUGAGGGAGCUGGAGCGAGAAUAUAUACGGGAACCGAGUCAUGAGACGAUCCCGAUGCACGGGAACUGCUCACCGAACUACGUCGAAGACGGGCUGCGGGGCGGGCUUCAUCCUCGGCCCUAAAAAAAAAAAAUUAACCCAUCAAACAUAUUUUCAAAUCAUUUCUAUUUUUAAUGUUUUCAUUUAUAUAUUUACAAAAGGUUUUAUAAACGUUUUAAAAAAAACUAUUAAACCUUGUAUAUGUAUAUUAUACAAAAUUAUAAAAAAUUUAUAAAUAUAGAAAAAUGUUGUUAAAAAUUUAUAAAUGAAGAAAAAUGUUGUUAAAUAUUUAUAUUUUUUUUAAAAAAAGGUUUUAUUAUACAUAGUUUAUUAGUGGAAACUUAUAAAAAAUUAUAAAAAAUUUUAAAAUUUUUAUUAUACAUGAUUUACAUAUAUAUAUAUAUAUAUAUAUAUAUAUAUAUACAAAAUUAUAAAAAAUUUAUAAAUAUAGAAAAAUGUUGUUAAAUAUUUUUAAAAAAUUUUAAAAACGUUUUAUUAUAUAUAUUUCAUUACUGGAAACUUGAAAAACGUUUUUAAAAAUAAAAAAAAAAGUUUUAAAAAAUCAAAAAAAGUUUUUAAAAAUCAAAAAACGUUUUUAAAAAUCAAAAAAUGUUCCAAAAAAAACUAAAACAACAAUCCAAACAACAAUCCUAACUUAUAUAUCCUAAACUAUCCAUUCAAUCCUAAAAUUUUCAAUCAAACAACCUAAAAUCCGAGAUCAACUUCCAAAACCCUAAACAAUUGAUAAAAAAAAAGGUUUGGGAUGAUUCUUACAUGAUUUGGGGUUUGGGGAAGAGAUAUGAGGGUGAGGAGAGGAUUCGCCGGUGAAGAGAGGUGGAGAAAGGCCGGAAUCGCCGGAGAGGGGGAGAAAUCGCCGGAGUGUUUGUGUUUUGUGAGAGAGAGGCCGCGGAGAUAACGAAGAAGGAAGAAGAAGGGUUUUUUUUAUAUCCGAGGAUUCCGACGGACACGGGUUCGUCGGUAUUCCGUCGGUAUAAUUAAAAUAUACCAAAUGCCGAUUCGCGAAAAUUUUCAAGCGGUUUGGUUCUCCCGGGCUAAUUGAAAUUCCGACGGAAUGUGUCCGUCAGUAUUUUCCGACAGACACAUUCCGUCGGUAUAUUCCGACGGAAUUCCGACGACUUAGUGUUUAGGGUGUUGAUUUCAAGUUUCUAAAUGCAAAAUCCAAAUCUUUGAUAAUAUAUAUAGUAUUUGCAUAAAGAUUUAACAAUAAAAAUGUUUUAUAACACGAUUUUACACAACAACAUUUUUUGUAGUGUAAGCUUAUAUAAAUAUGAUUGUAUAAGUAUAUAAUGUUAAGAUGAGAUGUUAUGAAAACAAUGAUAUGCAUACAUAAAUAUUUUAAUGAGUUGUUAUAUUUGAACGGUUGCGAUCUAAUACUAUACUAAACACUUAUUAUGUGUUAUUUUCAUAGUUUUGGCAUCUAAAUUUAUAGAUUUUUAUGAUUGAAACUUUAUAGAAAAACAUGUCGUCGGUAUUUUCCGACGAAAUACCGACGACCUUUCCAAUUUUCAAUGAAACCCGUUGUCGUCGCUAUGUCGUCGGUAUAUUGCGAGGGAUUUCCGACGGACCAUUAAAAAAAAAAAAAAAAAAAAUAAUCAGAAUCUUCUGAAUCUUCAUCAAACUCCCCAACCUCGGCUUCCGGCUCUGAAUGUACGACAGCAUCAUGUCCAAACACAGUCAAAUUCUCAACGAGUUGAACAUUUUCCAAAUCUUCAACUGCCUGGGCGUUGCUGGUAGACUCUGGUUGCAAUGGUUCAUCAUCAUCAGAAGUUCCAUCCACUCGUCCUCUUGGGUUGAUUUGCGUUACAGUAACCCAUGGAUCGUCUCUGUACGUCACCCGAGGGUAACUGAUGUAGCACACCUAUACAUAUCAAUUAUACAAAGUAUUAGUUCAAUAUAUAACAUUAAUUAAUUAUAUUGGUAAAAAAUUAUGAAUAUAUUGACAUACCUGAUCAGCUUGCGAACCAAGAAUGAAGGGAUCAUAAUAUUGAAGUUUCCGCCGCGAAUGAACUGAUGUAACACCAAACGCAUCAAUCUUCACUCCUCUAUCUGGGGUGGUGUCAUACCAAUCACAAUAGAAUACUACACAACGCAAUCCAACCAUUCCAGGAAAUUGGAUUUCCAAUAUUUCUUUUAUGUUGCCGUAGUAGACAUCGUCACCAGAAGAAGAUGAAACACCAGCAUCAUAUGUUGUCUUAGAAUGACCUUUCCUUGUGAAUGCAUAUCCUCGCGUACAAAAUUUAGGAUAUGAUUUGACCACAUAGUUUGGUCCCUGCACAAAUUCGCGUAUCCAAUCAUCGAACACAAGACCUCUGGCCAAACCAUCAUUCACCUAUAAAAAAAAAAAUAUAUGAUUGCAAAAUUAAUUAGUUUAUAUAUAUUAAAUUUAAACUAAUCAUUUGCAUAGGGUAAUAGGAUAUAUGACUCACAUAACUACGAAGCCACGCAGCAAAUCCGUUAUCUCUAAGUUGUCGAAGCUCAUCUUCUGUUGCAUGCCUGUGAGUCAUACGCAACUCCGCCAUAUAUACACUAUAUACAAAAAUAUUAUCAAUAUGAAAUAAAUUUAUUGAAUAUUAAUCUAACAAUAAAUGAAUAAAUAUUUUUACCUCUCAUAUUGUAGAACAUCUUCACAGUUGGUGAGCAAAUAUGUUUGCAAAUGAGCGUGCUCAGUGUCCGUAAGUCUCCGCUUCGUGAAUUUUCCACUAAGUCGUCCUAUUUCCUUGAACAUGCUUGGGACAGUAACAUGAUAUGUUGCUCUCUCCCCUCUAUCAUCAUGCCGAGCAGGUCUUCGGUGUUUUGUAUGCACUUCUGGUGGAAAAUAAUUUUCAGCAAAGAUUGCAGUUUCUUCAUUGAUCACCUGUGCCACUAUAGAUCCUUCCACCCUGCUUUGAUUUUUGACCAUCUUCUUCAGAUGAUGCAUAUAACGCUCAAAAAUAUACAUCCAUCUGUACUGCACAGGACCACCAAGUUCCAAUUCUCUUGCGAGAUGAAUAGCAAGAUGUUCCAUUACAUCAAAGAAUGAUGGAGGAAAUAUCUUCUCAAGGUUGCACAUGCUGACUGGUGCGUUUGUCUUCAAAUUAUUAAUACCCUCUUCAGUCACUACUCUGCUGCAUAAGUCGCGGAAGAAAACACUAAUCCCUACAUAGAUAAAAGACAUAAUUUUCGUAAGUAUUAAGUUUUUAUAAGCAUAAUUGUUAAAUAUAAAAAUAAAUUAAAUUGUAAAAAUAUAAUAUACCUGCAAUUGCUUCAUGAACAUUACGUGGCAAUAAUGCUGAAAAAGCAAACGGAAGGAGGCGCUGCAUAAUUACAUGACAAUCAUGACUCUUCAAGCCAGUAAACUUUCCUUCGCUUCUAUCAACGCAGUUCCCCAAAUUUGAUGCAUAUCCGUCAGGAAAUUUCACUUUCUCUGUAAUCCAAUCAAAGAACUCUUCUUUUCUAGCACCAUCCAGCCGAUAAAUGGGAAAAGGGGCCGUACCGUUCUCAUCAACGUGAAGUUCAGAACGAUCACAAAUAUCGACUAAAUCCAACCUUGACUUCAAAUUAUCCUUCGUUUUACCUUGGAUGUUAAGGACUGUGUUCAUCAGAUUAUCGAAGAAGUUCUUCUCAAUAUGCAUGACAUCUAAAUUAUGCCGCAAUAGAUGACUCUCCCAAUAUGGCAGAUCCCAGAAAAUACUCUUUUUGUGCCAGUUAUGUAGCUCUCCAACCGCAUUGACUCGAAUGUUUUCAUGUCCACCUACAUCUGGCGUCCUUUCUGCAUCAAAAUACCUAAACUGCUUCAACAAAUCUUUCCCACUAACUUCCUCAGGUGGACCAUCAAACACCUGCUUGUUCUUCGUAAACGAAGUCUUACUCCUGCGGUAUGGAUGAUCAGGUGGUAGAAAUCGUCUGUGACAGUCAAACCAACACGUUUUCCUUCCGUUCUUUAGUUGGAAAGCAUCUGUGUCAUCUUGACAAUAUGGACAUGAUAGCUUCCCAUGUGUUGUCCAUCCAGAUAACAUACCAUAUGCUGGAAAGUCACUUAUUGUCCACAUAAGUACUGCCCGCAUCUGAAAGUUUUCUUUGCGCGAAACAUCGUAUGUCUCAAAACCAUGCGCCCAUAGUUGUUGCAACUCAUAUAUUAGUGGUUGAAGAAACACAUCUAGUGAUCUUUUAGGAUGAUCUGGCCCGGGGACGAGAAUUGAGAGAAACAAAAACUCUCGUCGCAUGCACAAGCUCGGCCGUAAGUUGUACGGUGUCACAAUAACUGGCCAUAGAGAAUACUGCCUUCCAUGCUUUCCAAAUGGGCUGAAACCAUCAGUAGAUAAUCCAAGAUAAACAUUUCUUCUCUCUUCCGCAAAUUCUGGAUAUGUUGACUGGAAAUGUUUCCAAGCCUUUGCAUCUGAAGGAUGUCUAAUCUCACCAUUUGUGGAAUGCUCUGCAUGCCAUCUCAUUGCUUUUGCUGUGCGCUCACACUGAUACAACCUCUUCAAUCUUUCCGUCAAAGGCAAAUACCACAUUCUUUUGAAUGGGAUCGGAACUCUUCCCCUCGUCUCCUGAUAACGAGGUUUCCCACAAAAUUUGCAUACAUUCCGUGUCUCAUCCGCUCUCCAGUAGAUCAUGCAGUUGUCAAUACAUACAUCUAUCACUUCAUACGGUAGUUGAAGACCUGCAACAAGUUUCUGAACCUCGUAGUAUGAACCCGGUGCAAGGUUAUCCUCAGGUAGAAUACCUUUGACAAAAUCAGUAAUCGCAUCCAUACAUUCUUCAGCCAAAUUAUAGUCUGUCUUAAUACCCAUUAAUCUAGUUGCAGAUGAUAAGACUGAAUGACCAUCUCUACAAUUUUGAUACAAAGGUUGUUUUCCUGCAUCCAACAUGUCAAAAAAUCUCCUAGAUUCGGGGUUUGGUUCUUCCCCUCUAUAAUGAUCAUGUACCAUCUGCUCAGUACCUACACCAUAAUCUAUAUCCGUUCUAGAUUCUUCUAACCUAAUAUCAGGCUGAAGUUCACUAACAGGCUGAGGUUCGCUAGUACUACCAUAUUCAUAACCAGUUUCCCCAUGAAGGUACCAAACUUUAUAAUUACGUGAAAACCCUUUCAUAUACAAAUGAGUCCAAACAUCAAAUUCUUUUAUAACCUUAUUAUUAUUGCAAGAAGAGCAGGGACAUCUUAACAUACCACUUUUUGCAUCCGGUUGCUGUUGAACAAGCCUCAUGAAUUCUCCAAUCCCUUGAACGUAUUCUUCCGUAAGCAAAUUGGUGUUCGGAUCCAAAUGAGGUUUAUCCAUCCACGAACGAUAAUAAACUUCUGAAGACAUGAUUUUCACGGAAUUGUUAUGACUAAAGAGAAUGAAGAGAGAAUGAAGUGUGAAUGAGUUGAAUGAGGAGGGGUUGUAUUUAUAGGAAAUUGCUUACGGACCUCCGACGACUUUCCGACGAAAUUCCGACGGAUGUAAAGAAGUCCGUCGGAAUUCCGUCGGAAUUGUCCAAUCCCAAACGGCUAUACAACGGUCAUAUGUAUUUGUCGGCAACGGUCACAUGGUUCGUCGGAAUUCCGUCGGAAUAUACCGAUGGAAUUCCGACGACUUUGCUAUUAAUCGGAAUGUCGUCGGAAUUUCGUCGGAAUAUACCGACGAACUUCCGACGACUACAACGGUUACAUUUUUUAUCGGAAUGUCGUCGAAAAGUCGUCGGAAAAUUCCGACGAACCGUAUUUCGUCGGAAUUCCGUCGGAAAUGGCCGACGGAAUUCCGACGACUUAAUUUUUUUGGAUUUGGUCGGAAAUUUGUCAGUAUUCCGUCACAAAUUUCCGACGACCUUGGUGUCCGUCGGAACCUCCGUCGGAAUUCGGUGUGUUUUCUUGUAGUGUUAGCAUCUUUCUUCAUUUUUUUUUAAUUUAAUAUUAUUACAAUAGAUUUUUUUCUUAUAUGUUAUAUUCUAAUUUUUUUUAAAUGACUUUAAAUUACAAAAAUGAGGAAACUUUAUAUGUUAUAUUUUAAAAUUUUAAAAACAACUUUAAAUUACAAAAAUGAGGUAACCAUAUCACUAUAAGAGAACGUAAGAGUAACGACUACCAUUUACGACUACAAAUGUGUAGUCGUAAAUUAACUUCAACGUUACGUCUAAGUUACGACUAUGUUAAAGUUCGUCGUAACUUAGACGUAAUUUUGCUACUAAAAGGGUUAGUCGUAAAUUGGUUGUAAACUAACUUCGCAUUUACGACUACACUUUCAGGUAGUCGUAAAGCGGUCGUAAAUUUACGACUAAAUUACAUCGACCAGCUACCAUCUGAUUAACAAACAAUUUACGAGAAAAGUAGUUACACAUUCAUGGUUAAGUUAUUAUUAAACGUAAAUUUCGUUGUAUCAUUGUUACCUACCAAAAUCGAAAUUUCCCUAUAAAUAUGAUCUUCUCCCUCAUUUUUAAGAUGCACAAAAAAAAAGAUGAAAAAGAGUAAAAAAAAUGUCUAGAAAUAUCUAUGAGCUUCGGGGGUGGAUAUAUGCGCAUAGAGAUUCAAGGGGAAGAGUAACCGAAGAAUUUCUCAACGGAGCAGAGAUAUUCAUGUACCAGGCCGGACAGACGUCUCUCACACUGGAAACAGGUAAAAUGUUCUGUUCAUGUCGUAAAUGCAACAAUACCAAGUUUGCUGCUAGUGAAACGGUUUGGAAACAUAUAGUAAAUAGAGGAUUUACUCUACAUUACUAUAUUUGGUUUAACCACGGAGAAGGUGAUAAUAGGAAUGAAGCUAGUAGUAGUAAUUAGGUUGAAAAUGUUCGUAACAGAGAUGAACCACAUUUGCCUUCUAAAAGUUAUAACCUUCAAAAGGAUCAUAUGGUAGAUCAUGAUAGGAUGCAUGAUAUGGUUACAAAUGCAUUUCGUGAAACAAGAUCAGUAAUAGAGGAGGUAGAAAACGUAGAGGAGCCUAACUUGGAUGCAAAAAGAUUUUAUGAAAUUCUAGCAGCAGCUAAUGAGCCAUUUUAUGAAGGUUGUUGAGAAGGUCUUUCUAAAUUAUCAUUGGCAGCUAGGAUGAUGAAUAUAAAAACUGAUCAUAACUUACCUGAAGUUUGUAUGGAUGCAUGGGCUCAAUUGUUUAAAGAGUAUUUGCCUGUAGAUAAUCAGUGUGCUGAAUCUUAUUAUGAGAUUCAGAAACUGGUUCAUAGCUUUGGCUUACCUUCGGAGAUGAUUGAUGUGUGUAUAGACAACUGUAUGAUAUACUGAGGAGAAAAUAUAGAAUUGUUAGAUUGUAAAUUUUGCAAGAAAUCACGAUAUAAACCGCAAGGACGUGGGCGGAAUAGGGUGCCAUACCAGCGGAUGUGGUACUUACCUAUUAAGGAUAGACUGAAGAGAUUAUAUCAAUCUGAAAAGACGACAGCAGUGAUGAGAUGGCAUGUAGAUUAUACUCAGAAGGAAGGCGUGAUCAAUCAUCCCUCUGGUGCAAAAGUGUGGAAACACUUGAAUUUGGUGUACCCUGAUUUUGCAAGCAACCCCCACAACGUUUAUCUUGGGCUCUGCACAGAUGAAUUUAGUCCAUUGGGAAUGUCUGGAAGACAAUACUCGUUUUAGCCAGUCUUUUCGACGCCAUACAACCUUCCACCAGAGAUGUGUAUGGAAAAGGAAUUGCUUUUCAUGAGUAUACUGAUACUUGGGCCAAAGCAUCCGAAGAGGUCUCUUGAUGUUUUUCUACAGCCUUUGAUAGAAGAAUUGAAGGAAUUAUGGUCAACAGGCGUGCUGACAUAUGAUUGUUCCACGAGAACAAACUUUACAAUGCGAGCAGUUCUUUUGUGGACCAUUAGUGAAUUUCCUGCAUACGGGAUGUUGUCAGGUUGGACGACACAUGGGAGGCUAUCUUGUCCGUAUUGUAUGGGAAGCACAAGAUGUGGUUUGGGGUUUAGAAGUGUAUAAAACUUAUGAUGUUUGGGAUUUGGGGUUUUGGUUUUAGGAUAUAAACACAAACUGAAGCUAAUUAGUCGUAAGGUACGACUCAGUUACGACUAAUCUAAAAUGCGUCGAGGCUAAUUAGUUGUAACGUAUGACUCAGUUACGACUAAGUUAAAAUGAGUAGAAGCUAAUUAGUCGUAAAGUACGACUCAGUUACGACUAAUCUAAAAGGUAUCAAAGCUAAUUAGUCGUAAAAUACGACUCAGUUACGACUAAUCUAAAAUGAGUCGAAGCUAACUGGUCGUCUCGUUGGUCCCUACUUAGUCGUAACUUACAACUCAGUUAUGAUUAAACUGUUUGAAUGGUCCCUAAUUGGUCGUAAUAUCUUUCGAAAUUUCCUAUGAAUACUCACCAGUUUUCUUUUCAAAUCAGAGAUAAUUUUUAAAAAUAUUUGAAAAAGCGAAGAAAGAUACUAGAACACAGGUGGGCGGAGACAAGGCGAGACCUAUGUAUAAACGUAAGUCUCACAUUGUCUCUCCCCACCUGUGAUUUCAGUAUCUUUCUUGUCUUUUUUUCAAAUAUUACAGCGGCCGUCUCACAAUGGUCAUAAAGGGCUUCGUCCCACAUUGAUCGUAAAUUUACGUCUCUUUUACGACCGCUAGUCUCUCAUUGGUCGUAAAUAAAAAUAUUAUUUAGUCCCUAAUUGGUCGUAAUAUUAUUUGGUCCCCAUUGGUCGUAAAUUUACGACUCCUUUACGACCGCUAGUCUCUCAUUGGUCGUAAAAUUACAACCAAUUUACGACUAACACCAAAACUCUAUAUAUACUCAGACCUCGAGAAACCAUUUGGUUGCUCAUUCCCUUCUCUCUAACAACGACUUCCCUUCUCUCUCUAGGUAAGUUUUUUUUUUUUUUAGUUUUAGGUGGUUAGUUAGGUGAUUAGAUUAGGUUUGGAAUUAGUUUAGGAUCGAAGUAGAUUAGGAUGGAGUUAGAAUAUGAUGAAAUUAGAAUAGGUUUAGAUUAUUUUUAUAUGAAAAUUUUGAAUUUUUUAUAACCAUCUAUUUUUUUUUCAGAUUGACGAUAUUGCUAUGGCUGGCGGUAGACAGAGACUUAGGAACCUUGCGCCUAAAAACUCUUACGCGAGGACCUUUCUCGGACAGCCGAAUCCAUCAGCUUCUACCUCCGGCACAUCAUCCGGCAAAGAGAAUGUGCCUGAGAGCCAAGUUCCUACUGCUCCGUAUGUGCCCCCACAUGCAUAUGACCCUGACCCUGCAGCUUACUAUCUGCAGUCUGAUAACCUUGCUCCAUUCUAUCCCCAGUACGAUGAGCCUCCACAGCAGCCUCGGUAUGAUCAGCAUCAUCUUCCAAACCAUCCUCAACAGCAGUCUACUGCUCCGACUCCUGCAGCUGCUCCGACUCCUGCAGCUGCUUCGGCUCCUGCAGCUGCUUCGACUCCUGCAGCUGUUCAUCCAGAUUUGAUGGUGCCACCGAAUGCACCAUAUGCAAGAUAUACAGUGGAAGACCUUCUCCAUAUCCCGGGACGAGAAGGUUUACAUAUGAUCGAUCCAGAUCGACCACCCAACACUUACUGGUAAUUUUAAUAUAUUAAAGUUUUAAUUGCAUUUAAAUAUACUAAUUAUACAUAUUGGUCUAAAUAUAUGUAUUCUUUCAAAUUUUGUAUGUUUUUGACGGACAAUUGUGUGUGACAGAGCGUUAGAGGUAUCAUCGGGGCAAACUUUCGGGAAGCGCAUCCGAACUGGUCUCUUACACCGAACCAUGUUCGGAGGACAUGGUUCAAAUGCUUUGCGGUUAGUUUUAAAUAUAAUUUUAUUUAUUUUUGAUUUAAAAUAAUAAUUUAAUUAAUUAAAUUUUUUUAUUAAUUAUUUUUUGUAGCAAAAAUGGAAUUGGUCCAUUGCUGUCAACGAAACGAUGAAGGCAGCGUUCUACGAAAAGGCGAUUGCUCGCCUAAAGAACACCGUUGGUGAUUGGAAGGACAAGUGGAGGGUUAUGGGGGAUGACUCAAAAGAAGCCUACCUCAGCAAUGACGUUUGGAAGGGCUUGAAGGCUUAUUGGAAUUUUCCUAAGUCAAUUCAAAGGUCUCUCACUUGCUCUACGGCUCGGUUGGCCCGUGAUGAUGAUGGUAACCUGCCAAUACCUCAUACUUCCGGACAGAUUCCACACGCUGGGACGACACUGCAAAUUGUAAGUCUUCGAUCUUUCUUAAUUUUUAUUAAAUAUAUAUUAAUUAAGUAUUUAUUGAAUGCGUGAGUUUAAUUAAUUUUUUUUUUAAUACAUGCUGCCCAAGAAGGAGCACCACCAUCUCUGGCCCGACUUUACAAGACGACACACCAGCAUUCUAAUGACACCUUUUCGCAUCCUCAAGCAGAGAGGAUCUGCAACAAUGUUGAGGCUCGGAUCCAGGACGUCCAGACUCAGUUGUCGCAACAAAAUCACACCGGUCCAGCUGUCCACCGUCGAACAAGACAAAAAUUUUGAGCAGGUAAAAUAUUCAAUUUUUUUAAUAUAUGUUUAUGUACAUUUUUUAUUCUUUACCUUAGUUUUACAUAUGUACUAAUUAAUAUCUAUUUAUUAAUUGAAGAUUGUCCCGAAGAAAAGGGGACGUAUGGUCGGGAUCGGGACUGUGAACGAUGUCCCGAGGACGAGAGCUGAACACACUGCAAGAAUGGAAGAAGAUUCCUCUCUCCGGAGGGAUUUGACAGCUGCCAACCGAGUCAUAGCCGACCACAGGGACAAAUUUACGGUUAUGGCAAAUAUGUUCGAUCUGAUGAUAGAGUCAAACCCAAACAUAAAUCCGGCUCUUGCCUCUAGGUGGCAGACUCUACGUCCGACCUUUAUCCCCGACCCCACUCCGAAAGAGCAGGCGGAUUUAGAGUGACGUGCGGAUGAGCAUAGUUCCGACUUCUUCGACGAAAUAAAUAUUAAUGCUUAGUUUUUUCGGUCUUAAUUAAUUUGUAUUUUGAAUGUUUUAUAUAAUGGAUAUUAUUAUGUUUACGAAUGUUAGAUAUUUUUCUUUUAAUUUUAUCAAAUUUUAAAAAAUUAAAUCAAACUAAAUUUAAAUAAUUUAAUUUUAGUUAAUAUAUAAAAUUUGUAAAUAAAUAUAAAAUUCAAAAAUAAAUAAAUAAAGUUGGUCAAAUUUACGACCAAUGAACAUCUAAAGUCGAUGUAAAGUGGUUGUUACCUUACGACUAAUAAACAUCGACAUUAGAGGUAAAUUGGUCGUAAAGUUACGACAUGUGUACGACUAAUAUGUCAGACAUAAAUGUACAUCACCUUUACGACUAACGUUAAUUUUAUCAAAUUUUAAAAAAUUAAAUCAAACUAAAUUUAAAUAAUUUAAUUUUAGUUAAUAUAUAAAAUUUGUAAAUAAAUAUAAAAUUCAAAAAUAUAUAAAUAAAGUUGGUCAAAUUUACGACCAAUGAACAUCUAAAGUCGAUGUAAAGUGGUUGUUACCUUACGACUAAUAAACAUCGACAUUAGAGGUAAAUUGGUCGUAAAGUUACGACAUGUGUACGACUAAUAUGUCAGACAUAAAUGUACAUCACCUUUACGACUAACGUUUUUACGAUUAACUUACGACCAACUGUUUGAGUCGUAAAGAUACGUCUGAUUUACGACUAACAUGUCUAGUCGUAAUAUUACGACCAAUGUGCCUCUAAUAAUUAAUUACGACCAGCUUCUAACGACCAAUCGAUUUUCAAAGUUAAUUGGUCGUAAUGCCCAUAUUACGACCAACUAGCUACUAAUACUGUAGUCGUUAAGGUCAUGUUUUCUUGUAGUGUAUAUGUAAUAUUUUUCAUAUAUGUUAUAUUUUUUCUUAUAUAUUAUAUUUUGAAUUUUUUAAAACGACUUUAAAUUACAAAAAUGUAAGUUUUCCUUAAGCAUACGACUAAAAGCAUUAAAACGACAUGUAUAAGUUCGAUGGUUGAUCUAAAACCUUUCAAAACCAUAUGGAAGAUAAAUGUCAAAAUAAUUCAACUGUGAAAAUAAUACUGUUCACUUUUUUCAAGAAUGAAUUCGGUGGAAAAAAUAAAGUUUUUGUGUCAUAAUUUGUUUAAUGUCCAAUCUGAUCAAUCCACGAUAUAUUAAUUAAAGUUUAGUUCUACAAUAUUUUAAUAAAAAUUGAUCCGGUCCAUCAGUAAAAAUUAUAUAAUAAUAACAAAAACAUUGUAUAUGUAUAAAUAAAAUGAUCAAAUAUAUAUAAAAAAAAUUAUCGAUAAUAUAUACAAAUUAAUUCACUCUGCGCAAUGUCUUAUCCUAGCUCAAUAGAAAACUUAGAGCAACAACAUCGGUGCAUAGAAUUUUCCCAACACAGUAAUAAUAUACAUUUAUUGUUUUAUUAUUUUUAAAAAGAAAAAAGUGUUAAGCCAGUUGAAUUAGGAUCUAGCAACGUAGUUUCUCUUUGAUUUUGGUGAAUUUCUUCUCGAGAGAUGUCUUUUACCGUAUCUCUCAUUUACUUACAUUAUUAUAUGCUAAGAGCAUCUGCUCUUGACAUCUCUCACACAAUCUCUCAUCAAAUAAAUACAAAAAAAAUAAAAAAAAGGAUGAAAGAGAAAAAAAAAAAAAAGAAUAAAAGAAGAGAGACAUAUGGUCGUAAAGGUAAUCUAACAAAAAUGGGAAGAGAUUUUCUACACUUGUCAUCUAGUAAGUGAUUAGAAUUUCUUUUUAUUUAAAAUUUAUUUAAUUAACUAAUUUAUAUUAUUAUUAAAUGAUGAAAGGUUACGAGAAUAGACUUACCCAAUGCUGAUGAUCUAAGAUACUACAUCAGAUACCAUUAAUGCUAAUGUUUUUAGGGUAUCCGCAAUGAUUAAAUAUCCAAAAACACAAAUCAUUAAUAUUUUAUUACAAUUAAUUUAAGUAAUUAUUUUUUAUUUACCAUUUUAAAAUUAAACUAGUAUAAAAUUGGCACAUGGAUGUGUGAAUUUUUAUAAGGUUCUAAAAAUAUAGGAGUUUAGAACUUAUUUGACACUUCUCUUAUUUUUUUACAUUUUUGAUUAUUUUUAAUUUUGAAAACUUGUCUUAAAAAUCUUCGUUGGAGUUUCUCUUAUACCAUCAGAAUUGAUUAAAAAGUUUUUUGUACAUUAAAAAAUAGAAGAAAAUGAAAAAAAGAAAGAAAAAUAGUAGAGAGGCACACAGAUCGUCUAUUCGUGAAGAAACGGCUAGAAUUGUAGCAAACUUUGUGCCAUUUCUCAGUUUACUAUUAUACUAUUAGUUACUGUUUUUUGCUCAUAAUUAGUUUUGUUUGAGAGAUUUUAGUGGGUCUCUGCCGGGCGCCCUUAGAGCAUCAUUUGUAGUUGAUUUCUCAAAACUAAUGAGAUGAUUGGUUGGACUUCUUGGAAGUCUUCUGACAAAGUCAUCUGAACUUCCUAAAAGUCUUCUGACAAAGUCGUCUGAACUUCUUGGAAGUCGUCUGGACUUCUUAGAAGUCGUCUGGACUUCUUAAAAGUCGUUUGGUCUUGUCUACUCAAGUGGAAUCCAAACUUGUCUUUGUAGAGGAAUGAUCUAUAAUAGUUUUGUUUGUGGUCUGUUUUGUGAAUUGCAUGUCUACUCUUUUAGUUGUGAAUUUUUUGUAAAAUCAGUAAUAAUGUUUUCCAAGAUGUAUUAAAUGUGCUAACAAUGUGUUUACACAUUUACAAAUCAAUGAAAUAAUAGACUUCAGUAGCCUUUUUCUUAUCUUUGGAUCUCUCAUAUGCAAUAAUAAACUCCAAUGGCCUUUUUCUCGCCAGACGACUGAAAUGUAAGUCGUCUGGGGAAGUCAAACUUCUGAAAUUAUCCAGUCAAAUGCAAAACUAACCUAUGACGACUGAAAUGUAAGUCGUCUAGGUUCUUUGGAAAUUUUUUUGAAACCAAACAAAAACAGACGACUUAACUUUCAGUCGUCUCAGGUUACAGAUUUCAAAGUCAAUUGCAAAAAUAACCUCUGCGUUGACCAGACGACUUCCAGGUAAGUUGUCUACAGCCAGACGACUUCCCAAGUAAGUCGUCUGACGAACAGAUCUGGAAAAAAACUCGAUGUCAUACCUUAAAUUGGUGAGAUAAGUUCCUUAGCAUACAUAAGGCUUCUCCAAGCACACAGAAUCACAAACGAAAGUAACCCACCCAGAAUCGUUAGCUUCUAUGACUCUAUGAACCAUAAAAAAUUUAGAAUCAAAAUCUUGGGUUUUUUUAGCUCAUUGUGGAGAGAAAGUGAGAGAUAUGUUGUGUUUAGUUCACAAGAAUGGAAAAAGAAGAAGGGUAAAUCGAUUUUGGGAGCAUUAAGAGCUUCAAAUUGGUUGUUCAUGGGGGUUGUGGUAUUGAUGACAAUGGCAAUCUUGUAAUUACUUGAAGAUGAUGAGGGUGAGAGAGUAAAAAUGUCAUUUUCGAAAGAAAAAAAGAAAAAAAAAAUUGAUGGCAUUUUCGUAAAAUAUAUGAACUUGUGGGGUGAAUAGGGCAAAACCAAUUUAGGUUAGUUUUAUGUUUGAUUUUAAGUUAUAGGUCAAUUCUGCAAAAAAGCCACUAUAAUUUAUGUUGUAGUUUUUAUUGCUGUAAUUUUAUUUUUCCUGCUGUAGAUAAAUAUUACAAUUUCUAAAACACUGUAAUAGUUGUUUUAAGAAAAAAAAAUAAAAGAUGAAAAAAGACAGUAGAUGUUAUUGCAAGACAUUAACUUUAAAAAUAAAGUUACAACAAGAUUGGUUAGAAUUAGUGGUUUAAAAAUAAAUAAAGCCAAAAUGCUAAGUUAAAAACCAACCAAUCACAUUAUCUAAGUCUCCCAUAUUAUUAUAUUAAUAAUUUGACUUAUUAAUUAAUUUAAAGUGUAAAAUAAAGUUAAAUAAAUUAAAAGAAGACACGUUGGUACUAUAGUUUCUUAAGAAUUGUGUCGAGUCUUUUUCUGCACAUAUUCUUUACCUUUUGAUGUUUCUAUCUCUUACUGUUUAGUUGUUUAUUAAUUUUUGUAGCGACAGACUCUUCAAAAAAAACACCGAUGCGAGUGCUUUUAGAAUCUGAUGUUAAAAUCUCAUUGCUAAAUAUAAAAAUGACAUAAAAUAUAUUACAUGUUUAAAGUCUGUUAAUAUCAUAAAAAUAUUACAGUUAUUGGGGGUGAUUAGUUGAGCUUAAUCUACAUACUUUAGCUUUAUUUUUUUCUAAAUCGAAACUUUACCAAUCAUGCUUUACCUUUACUUUUUAAAGUUAAAGCCUACAUCAAAUUUCUAUUAAUUUUUACCAAUCAUGAUUUACCUUUAUUUUUAAAACUACAACAAAAUAUAUAAAGCAAACAUUUUUUUUAUGUAUUUUAGUUAAAAAACUUACAUCUUUCAUUUAUAAGCUGUAGAAACUGUAGAAUAAAAAAUAUCUAUAAUAUCAAAUAAAUAAGAUAAUCAUAAUAAAAAAACAUCUAUAAUUAUUUUACUCUAAUUUUGGGUGCUUUUAAAUUAUUGAAAUAUUUUAAAUAAUGAAUAUUAUUUACAUAUCACAUUUUAAAUGACAGUAUACUUUGAUAAUUUUAACAAAUAUUCAUAUAAAUUAUUUUAAGUGAUAAAAAUAAUAAUUAUUUUAUAUAUACAUCACAUAUUUUAUUUUAAAAUAUCUGCCGUCUAUAGAUUACAGGUAGAACAAAUUUAACUACAGCAAAAGUCUCUGCAAAAAUAAUCUAUAGUAACAACUUUACAGUUACAACCAAUUAAUCUACGGCUAAACUUUUACAGUUAAAAUUCUACAGGCACAGUCGAACCAAUCAUCACCAUUAUGUCUAUUUGAUUAUUGUUCUGAAAAUAAGUUUUUUUAGUGUUAAAAAUGAAAAACAUAAAAAUAAGCUAAUAACUUGAUUGUUUUUAUCUUUAAGUUAACUAGUUUUGAAUAGUUACAUAACUGAAAAUUAUCAUGUAUGAUUUUAUUAAAAAUCAAAAUAUUUAUAAAUUUAAUAAUAUUUUAUAGUUAAUUAUAAGUAAAUACAUACAGACAGCACUGUACCACACUAACAAGUAAUAGUGUGUGAAAGUUGCGUUAUUCGGAUGAAAUAAACGGACAAAAAUAUAUUUUUGUGACUGCAUUACUUUGUAAAAAACAUUCUUGAGAUUGCAUUUUUACUUCUUACUGCUGACAUUUAUAGUUUUAAAAUCACAUCAAUUCCAAAUAUGCACCGCACUAUGGUUGCUGACAUUUAUAUCUUCAAAACGAUAUCAAUUCCAAAUAUGCACCGCACUAUGGUUUCCGUUCAUAACCUAAAAGAUACACAUCUCGAUGAUAAUAAUUUUUAAUAAUAUGAUAUUCAAUCUUCUUUAUAUAUAAAAGGGUUUUUUCCUUCAAAGCGUGCCAUCUAGGAUCCAGGUUAAUAAGUCGUUGCUUGACGUUGCGACAUGUGUCGCUUUCCUUCUCUACGCAGCCUUUCAUUAAUGUAUGGCGUCAUGGGCUUUUCGUUUAUUGUGUUAUGGGUCCUGGAAUCGUGCAAACAUCCGGCCUGAAAACAGAAACUCUCUCCCCCUAACACUAAUAUUGUGUAGACUAACCCACGAAGAUCGUCUCCCAUCUUCAUGCGGCGGGAGGCGGUGACGUUUGCACUUCUUCUCAUGACCAUAACAGACUUCUUAAUGGAUUCAUCUAAGAGCAACAUUAUCAAGACAUUUGAACACUUCUUAUGGGCGAUCCUUACCCAAUAUUGGCCCAAAAUUAAAUAUAAAGUCCAGUUAAAUGAAGGAGACGAUUUUUAGGUAAGAAGUUUUUUGACUUCGUUCUUCUGUCACGUGUCAUUCUAUGAUACGUUUUGUGAAGCGGUAGAGGGUCUCGUCAUUUUGCUCUGGAUCUAUUCUCUCCGUCUCCCUCUUCUCUCUCUCUCUCUCUCUCUCGAUCCGUAGACGGCAAUUCGCUGGAAGUGAAGAAUCAUCGGUCCACAUCGAUCGAUCGUUUAAUCUCGGCAUCGAAUCUGCACCAGGUUCAUAUUACUCUCUCUCUCCGUCUCCCUCUUCUCUGUCUCUCUCUCUCGUAUCGAUUUUGUGGAUAUAAUUCUGGGAUUAUCGAUUAUGUGUUUCUAAUAUUUUGCAUGCUUUGGAUUUGAUCAAGGUCCACGGAGUUUGGGUUUAGGGUUUCAUCGUCUCUUCCUUCUCUCGCUGUCGACGGGUACUUCCGCCGCCGUCGUCUAUUCUCAUCCAUCUCGCCUCUCUUCUUUCUCCGGUUGGAAACCAUCUCCGCCGCCGUCACCAACAUGUUUGUCUUCUUUCUCCGUCCUCCGUUAGCUAUAUAGAGGAAUCAUUUAAACAAAUAGAUUGGUGAUUCGCCUUUUGGUUGUAUAUGAUUGUAGAUCUAUUCUCUCCGUCUCCCUCUUCUCUCUCUCUCUCUCUCUCUCGAUCCGUAGACGGCAAUUCGCUGGAAGUGAAGAAUCAUCGGUCCACAUCGAUCAAUCGUUUAAUCUCGGCAUCGAAUCUGCACCAGGUUCAUAUUACUCUCUCUCUCCGUCUCCCUCUUCUCUGUCUCUCUCUCUCUCAUCGAUUUUGUGGAUAUAAUUCUGGGAUUAUCGAUUAUGUGUUUCUAAUAUUUUGCAUGCUUUGGAUUUGAUCAAGGUCCACGGAGUUUGGGUUUAGGGUUUCAUCGUCUCUUCCUUCUCUCGCUGUCGACGGGUACUUCCGCCGCCGUCGUCUAUUCUCAUCCAUCUCGCCUCUCUUCUUUCUCCGGUUGGAAACCAUCUCCGCCGCCGUCACCAACAUGUUUGUCUUCUUUCUCCGUCCUCCGUUAGCUAUAUAGAGGAAUCAUUUAAACAAAUAGAUUGGUGAUUCGCCUUUUGGUUGUAUAUGAUUGUAUAGUGAUCUGUUGGUUCGUGUUUCUGAUGGACUUUUGUUUACCGAUGAAUAUGAUUGUAUAGUGAUCUGUGUUUUUGAUUGUAAAGCAGAGGUUUUUUAGUGAAUUUUUCGUAUACUUGAUUGAUUAGGGAACUUUAGUUAAAAAAAUAUGCUUGAUUGAUUAGUGAACUUUAGUUAAAAAAAUAUGCUUGAUUGAUUAGUGAACUGAAUUUUGAGUUCUAUACUUGAUUGAUUAGUGAACUGAAUUUUGAUUGUAUAGUUGAUGGAGAGCCACGUUAUAUGUUGUGAUCUAUACUGAAUUUUGAUUCUAUACUUGUUGUUUCAGAUACAUUGGCUUCAUCAUUGACAUGUGUUAUUUUAGUUGGUGUGUAAAUUGAAGUAAGUGUCCUCCGUUAGCUAUAUAGAGGAAUCAUUUAAACAAAUAGAUUCGUGAUUCGCCUUUUGGUUGUAUAUGAUUGUAUAGUGAUCUGUGUUUUUAGUGAAUUUUUCUUAUACUUGAUUGAUUAGGGAACUUUAGUUAAAAAAAUAUGCUUGAUUGAUUAGUGAACUUUAGUUAAAAAAAUAUGCUUGAUUGAUUAGUGAACUGAAUUUUGAGUUCUAUACUUGAUUGAUUAGUGAACUGAAUUUUGAUUGUAUAGUUGAUGGAGAGCCACGUUAUAUGUUGUGAUCUAUACUGAAUUUUGAUUCUAUACUUGUUGUUUUAGAUACAUUGGCUUCAUCAUUGACAUGUGUUGUUUUAGUUGGUGUGUAAAUUGAAGUAAGUAGGUUUCGACAUUUAAUGAAAACGUUGUACUGACUUUUUUACUUAGUUUGGUUUCGAAGGAGUGUUACUUGGCAAAGUUUUGUAGUUAGUUUGCUUGGUUUUGUAGUUAGUUUCGAAGGAGUAAUAAAUAUUGAUUAGUUAUGUGUAACGAGUAUAAGUAACUAAUGUGUAUCAUAUUUACUUACUUGUUUGCUUUGAUUCUUUAUUUUCCGAGUAAUAAAUAUUGAUUAGACCCUGGUAGUUGAUUGUUAGAGAAACAUUUAAGCUCUCUGAUGGUUGUUCUCUCAAAUUUCUUUAAAUAGCCGCAACAAGUUUAAUUCUUGUUGUGGUUAUCCCUUACUCUCUUCUUUCUCUCACGUAUCUUUCUUUUCUAUUCAUGUCCUUCUAAUCGAAAUGGAUUCAAGGAAUCCAUUGAAUCCCUAUAGUGAGUCCCCUAGUUAUAGCUAUCUUCUCCAUAGCCAAAACUUUCAGUAUGGAAGCUAUCCUUCUACUCAGUAUCCAUCUGAGAUACCUCCUUAUAGUUCACAACACGUUCAACAUUCACUCAGUAUAACGAGAGAGAAUUUCAAGAAAGCGAAGAAGAGGAUACAUUCACCGUUACUCCGAAUUCAAAUCUCGGCACUGCAAUGGAUCGUCGAUCGAGCGUUCGUAACAGACAAGCCCAUGAACAAUUAAAAUUCGAUUUGAUUGAAAAUAUUUGGGCUAAAUUUGGACAUCUUCCAAAUAACCAAUGAUUUUUAAGUUUCUGUGAAUUGAAUAAAAUGUGUGUUAGCUAUUAUUUUUAAUUUUUUUUAAAUAGAAUGUAGUAAAAUGUUUGUAAUUUUAAUUUAAUGAAAUAAAAAGUUUUUUUUAAUAUAUUGAAUAUAAAUGGAUAAUAUCUUAAUUACUAUUUAUAAAUAAAAAUAAUAUUUUUAACCUAAGAACCUUCGAAAAGUUCUAUUGAUAAUGUAGUAUUUUAGUUAAGUAUCUUACAAAACUUCUUAGACUAAAAAUAGUCAUUAAAUAUUCUAAGAUGUUUGUUAAGAGUUGCCAUUGAUAAUGUUGCUCUUAAUCAUGUUGAUUUAUUCUCCCAGAAAGUAUCUUCAAUGCGUUGAUUAGGUCUGAAAGACGGUGUGUGUUCAGUAUAAAUAUGUGAACAAUCCUCUUCUUGGACUCAUCUUCUCUUUCAAUUCUCUGAAAGGAUCUCCGGUUAAGCGAGGCGGCGAGGGUCGACACGCUCCUCCUGUACGCCAAGGUACUUCCGGCUUGACUUUGUAGUUUUUUUUCUUAACCUUUCAAGCGUUGUUGAUGUUUUGAUUAUGAAACUUUCAACAAUAGUUCUUCACCAGAGAUCAAUACGCUCAUGUCUCCGUUAUUCCCCAUAUUUUUUUCUUAUCGUCAAAUAUUUAGGAUAUGAUCAUUGUUGUGAUUGUUGAUUCUGUUUCACUUUGUUCGUAUAUUUUUAUUCAUCAAAUAGUCCGUAUAAGGAAAUCAAUAUGCUUAUGUCUUGAUUAUGAAAAAAUUAACAAGGGCUUUAGUUUAUUGUUGAUGGUUAAGAUAUAUAUUUUGUUUGUUUAUGUUUCCAAUUUGUCAUGCAUUGCAGGCGACUCUCACCCAAGCCACCGUGAACGUCCAACCGCUGAACACAUUCAGGCAUCUUUUCAAUGUACUAUGUUAGCGACUUUGAGGUAACACAGUCACACAGAGCAAUUUAAACUUCAAGCUGUCCGACUCUCAUGUCUCGAUCGGUUCAAUAGUGGUGUGUCUGUCACUAUGAGUGUAUCGACUCUCACACUGUAUCGUUUCACAAACAACUUAAAGGCUACAAGGUUGACCCAUGUGUGGCUGUUGCAACAUGCAUUAAUCUGAAGCUUAUAGGAGGUAUCAGUUCAUAUCUGUUUUGUUAAUUAUGAGUUUCAUCCUAAUGUUAUUUAUGAAAACUAAUCGAGCUUCAAUUUGGAGGUCAUUUGUUCAUCAAUGCCGCCUGGAACUCAUUUCUAUUUUGACAAGGAGUCUGAAUCUGGCGGUAGUUUCAGUCUCCUGUUCUCGAAUAGCUGUACCUAACAGAAUGACAUCAUCCCAUGUUCUCGCAAAGGCAGCACAGAGCCACGGGUAUACCACCAUCAGAACCUCCAGCCACUAACAGUCUCUCCAUUGACCUCCGUCUAGCGUUUCCGCUACCUUAUGACUAGAUGCCCUGGUAGCGGCAACGUCCAAGCACAUUAUAUUCAAGGAACUCUAGAAUUAUUUAUAUAAAAACAAUUCAGUAACUGGUCUACACCGUGGUUUUCAGAAAAAAGUUUACGUACGGGCCUGUAAGCAUUUACAUUAUUACAAAAAACUCUUUAAUUUUCGCUCUAGCUUCGAACUUACGUUACAAGGUAACAUAAAAUUAUACAAAUAAGGAAUUAGCCACGAAUUGGCUACAUCAAAACAUGUCAAACAUUCGUUAUUGCUUGAUAAAAAAGUACAAGUUAAUACUCGCAUAACCCUAACUAAAAAAAACAAACCAAUACAAAAGCAUUAUUUCACGUUACUAAAAGGCCACAAACACGACUCACGCAAUUAAAAAAAUCUGAAAAAUCCAAAAGCCUCUAACGAGGUCCCACGAAAUGCACCCAAUCACUAAUCAUACUACAUGUUCCAAAGUUCAUAAGAGCACCUCCAAAGGUGAGUUAUCUAGGUCUGGGCACGGAUCGGAUAUCCGGAUUUUUAAAGGUAUUUGUGAUUUGCUUCGUAUGUCACGGAUAUCUAAUUUUUCAAUUUGCUUUGCAUCGAAAAAAUAUGGAUAUUCGGAAAAACGGAUAUCUGGAAAAUAAAUAGAUAUUUGCGGAUAUUUACGAAUACUUACGGAUAUCUCAUAUGUUUUGAUUAAUACAAAUAAUCUUAAAAUUUUGAUACAAAUUUGUUUUGUAAAAUAUUUUUUGCAUGAUAUAUAUGAUAAAAAUUAAAAAACAUAGUGAAUCUACAUAUUUUGUAAAUUUUUUUGACCUUAGUUAACAAUUAUAAUAACACAAACUUAAGAAAAAAAAUAUAAUUAUCAUAAAUGUGUUCUCUUCCUUUUAUGUAAUACAUUUAUAUAAGUAAUAAUGUGAAUAGAAUUUAUCAAAUCAUAUGUUAGAAUAAUAAUUAUAUAAUUUUAUACAUUAAAAACUUUAAAUAUAAUCAAGAUAUACAUGUAUUUAUAUAUUGCUGGAUCGGAAAUCCGCUUCCCAAAAUUUUAAUUUUUGUGAUUUGCUUCGAUUUUAACGGAUAUUGAUUUUUAGUAUUUGCUUUGAUUCGAAAGUUUACGGAUAUCCAGAAUUUUCGGAUUUAAUCGAAACAAAUAACGAAUCGAAUCAAAUUUAACGGAUAAAAUGUCCAGCCCUAGAGGUACCCACUUUAGUUUCUUAUUGAUAAAAGUAUUAAUACUUUAACAAUGGUUUAGUUUUUAUUUAAUUUUUGAAUUUUAUUAAAAAGCUAUUCUGUUAAAGAAGGACAUCUGUAUUGAAGAGUCUUCUGACACAAAUAUUUUCUUUUUUUUAAAAAAAGAAAAUUGGUUAGAACUCAUCAGUAUCAAUAAUCUACCGAUGGAGAUGCUAUAAGGUCCAACCAAACGUACCGACAACCAAAUACAAAAAAAAUAUUUGUAUAUUAACAAGAUUUACACCUUCAUGUUUCAGACUCCGAUACAGAAAAAAGUAAAAUUUUUAGUAAAAUAGUAACAAAUGUAUAUUUCCUUCUUGUUUUUAAAAGUAAAAUUUGUAGUAAAAUAGUGAAAUUAUUUUUAAAAUAAACAAACAAUUUCACUAAAAUUAAAAUACAUUUGUAUUGUUUCGUUCAUUUAUUUACCCUCUGACCCUAGUUUAUAAUAUCUUCAUGACGUUAAUAAUACUGAGAACAAAAUUUGGGUUCACCCCUGUGGUGAAUCUCCUAAAUUCACCUUCCUAGUGAUUACCAAUCAAAUUCACAAUUAAUCAAAAAAGGUAUUAAAACUAAAGAAAAAAAAGAAAAAUAGCUUUAAAAAAAGGAAUACGUCGACUAAACGACGUUCAUCAAAACAUCUCGUCGACUGCUGCUUCUUCAAACUCGGAGGCUUCUUCACAAUCCCUAAAAAACACAGAUUGUAGUUUUCAAACAAAGAUUCGAGAUCUGUGUUUGAACGGUACAUCGCGUUACUCUCUUUUAUCUUUAUUCAAAUUUAAGAAUCGAUGUUCUUAGAUUAGGUCAAUUCCCUAAAACAACAUAAUUAACCUCAAGUGUAAUUAUUGUUUGUUAUCAACAAGGAAGAAGAAGAUGGAGAAGAAGAGCAUCUAGUUAAAAGAUAUGUUUUUUAUUGGAAUUGAACUUUUGAUUAAAUCUACGGACGAAGUGGAUCUAAGAGAAGUUCCCAAGAUGAAGAACAAAGAAGGGUAGCAGAGAACAAGCUACAAAGAAGAAGAGACUUGAGGCGCAAGAAACGGAAGAGUGAAGAAGAAGAUUACUCUCUUCUCUCUCUCCAAGCACAAGAAAAGAAACGACGGAGUAAAGAGACUGUGUGUGCUUGUGUAAUAAUGAAACACAAGACAAAACAGAGUGAGUGUGAGAACAAAAACAGAGAGUGAGUGAACAAGAGAAACACAGUGAGCCGUACAACUAGAGUUAAGAAGAAUGCUUUCACGUCUCUGUUUGUAAGACAUUAUAAAUGUGUAUUGUAUGUUUUUAUAAGGCAAUAUAAUGUAUUUUAUAGAAGUUCCACAUCACGAUGUAAGGAUUCAUCGAGUAAGAAGGUGAGAGAGAAUAGCUAUUUCUGGUUUGGUAUUCAUGAAUAUGCACUACAAAGAUAAGGACCAGGAUCACGACUAAGGGUUGAAUAUACGUCGACAAAGUGAAGCAGUAAGCCAGUGCUUCAUUGUGAGGAGAGAAUGAAUUUUUUUUUUUUUUGCUCUGGUUUGUUCUUCGUAGGUCACUAGAGGAAGAGAACAUCUAUGAAAGAAAAGGGAGAACAUAUAGACUUAAGAAGAAUGCAACUAAAACGAAGAACUUAGCCAGAGACGUUGAAGCUAAUAUGAUCUUGAUUUUUGAAGAUAAUAAUAAGUGUAAAAACAAGAAUAUGCUAGAAACACCAAAAGUUGGAACGAAAACAAAACAUAAUUAAUAUCUGCUUUCAUAUUUAAAAUAACAGAGUUAUGUUAUACGGUGAUCCACCACAACUCUUGUCAAAUCCCUACAAAAUAUGACACAUACCCAAAUUAAAAAAUGAUAGAUAAUUCAAAUAUAAAUGGUAUAAAGAAUGAAGUAUUAACCUGGAGCAGUUGUGAAAAAGAAGUUUCAUUGCCUAAGGUGAGACUAGUGGCAGCAACAGGUAACUGAGUAUCAAGAGGAAGACUUGAGUCCUGAAAUCUGUAGAUUGAUUAAGUCCCAAAAUUCAAUGAGGAUUGGACAAACAAAAAAAAACUUUAUAUCAAAUACCUGAAAUGACAACUUUUUUUUGGCUGUAGCAUUAUUGGAUGAUUUUGAUAUACCACGAUUUUUUAUUUCAAGCACACUCAUAUACCGACCAUGGCGUCCGGCUUUUUGGUUCUUCGGUCGUCCAGGAGGUUUUUUUCUUUUUAUUCCACGUGCGUUUAGAACUUCUUCUUAAUCUUCUUCUUCCACAAGUUCAAAAUCUGAAGAGUGGACCAUCCAUUUAUUAGCUUUCACAAGUUCCAUUUUCUUUUCCACCAAUUUUUCAAGCAACUGAGAGGCAGCUUCAUCUGCACACAACGUCAGUUCUACAUGUUCAGCAGCAACAGACGCAAUCUCACGGAAAGUACGACAUAUAUGACUAUAUCGUUUUCCGAACGAUUGCUUCACUGUAUCAUUAGGUGUCGCUGAAUGAUAAAAGGAUAUGGUUCGUGCUUUAGCCUCUUUACUCCAUCGGUUCAGAAUGUAAGUAGGUGGAAUUCUUCUAACAUCCUUCUUGGCCAACGCUUUUAAUGCAUGACGACAUAAGAUUCCACCAAAAGAAAACUUCAUGCAACUACAAUGUAUCGUUUCGUUUGCAGCAACAUAGUUAACCAAAUGAUUUCUUCCAACACCACGUAAAGAUACAUUGUAUUCAGCACUCACCAUCUCAGACUUAUUGACCCUUUUGGCAACAUAAUCACCUAUAGCUAUGUUUUCCUUCUGGAACAAGGUAAAGACUUCUGGUGUAUACACGUCCAAUGCAUGUUGUAACAUUUCUACAGGAGCUGAUAAUACCGGCGAGGUAUGCAUCAUACUGAAGUCAGUAGUUAAUUCUUUAAAGUGCCGAUCAUCCAACACUCUCUCAUAGUGUUUAAAGAAGCGAAACAAGUUAUAACUGCUCUUCAAGUAAUUUUUCAAAAUAUUAUUCAUACUUUCACUACGCUGUGUGCUCAUCAUAUUGGCUGUAAAAUUUUGACGACCAUAUACCCUUGCCCAUUUUUCUCUCAACUCAAACAAAUCAUUCAGCCAUUUAUUCUCUGUCAAUCCAUGCUUCUCGAGCAUUUCACUCCAUGCCGAUAACCACUCUACUUCAUUCUCAUGGUCAUAUACACAUUUUCCAAAGUCUGUGGCAAAAUGGUUUGGUCCAUGAAAUACACAACUCAACCUCUUUGUAGCAUUUUGGUAAAUAUGCCAAACACAUAACCUAUGUUUUGUUUCAGGGAAGAAUUUUCCUAUUGCAUUUUCCAUUGCUGCACAUUGGUCUGUAAGAAUUGUUUGCGGCUGUUUUCCAGACAUUGCUCCAAGAAAAGUCUGAAAAAGCCACUCAAAAGAUUCUGUUGUUUCAUCAUAUAAGAGAGCAGCACCAAACACAAUAGUUUGCUUAUGAUGAUUGACCCCGACAAAUGGAGCAAACUUAUCAUAUUCGUUGGUCUUGUAAGUUGUAUCAAAGCAAACGACAUCUCCAAAAAGAUUGUAAUCACUAAUUGACCGAUCAUCUGCCCAAAAAAUAUUAGUGAUCAUAUCGUCCUCAUCAAGUUGCAUUGAGUAAAAAAAAGAUGAAUCAUCCUCUUUCUUUUUUUGAAAGUACUCCAAAACCGCUCCAGCACCUCCCUUUUCCAUUGCUGCCAUUGGCUUACGGUAUAUGUAAUUGUGCAUGUCUUUUCUAUAAAACCCAGAUUUGCUUGCCCCCCAAUUUCUCUGCUCAUCAUUUCAAUGGUUGCUUUUGCUGAAAUUCCUGACAUAUCGGCAUCAUCAGCAUGUUGUUUUUGAGAGAUAGAGAUUGCUCGGUUACUCUUCAUCAAAUGCUUCAUAGGUGUCCUCACUAAAUCAUGGUUAUGAUUCGGCUCAAAAGUCAUAAUCUUAUAUCUUCCGUUACUCUGAAGGUAGCAAGACAUGCGAGCUUUACAACCACACCUUGUGGUUGGUCGUGAAUAUGCUUUCCUGACCUUAGGUUCCUGUCUAAGCCCCUCUUUUGAGCAUACAUAAACCAUCCUUACUAGCUUUUUGUUUUUUUUCUCGAAGUCUGUUGUCUCCUUACGUCGAAACCAUGAUUGCCUCCAUACUUUCUAUAAGCAUUAUAUGCAGACUCAUCAGAACUAAACUCCAUUCCACUACAGAGUUCAUAUUUAUUCUGAUUUUCAUUGUUUGCCUCUAAAUCAUCAGCAUCUUUAGUCUGAAUAUAAUCAUCCUUGUUGCCUAUGCCCGCUUCUUCAUCGAAAUCACUGACUGAAACAUCGUCAUCACUGAAUGAGGCAUCUUCCUCAGAUAAAAACUCAUCCAUAUUCUGACUUAACAAACUGGUUUCACCUGAGAUUUGAGUACUAAAUUCAUCUUGAAUAGAGGAAACAGUUUCUUGAUCACUUGAAUGACUACUCUCCAUUGCAACUAUAUAGCAAAAUACAAACACCAGUCAGAGAUUAUCUUAGAUAACAUAGAAGAAUUAAACUUUAUUUUAAUGAAGAUUCUAAACAAUUGAUGUUUUAAACAUAUCAAUUUAAUGCCAAUCAUCAAGUUUUAUCAUAUAUCAUGACCUGGCCUUAUUUCAAUCAUAAACCACAUCAAUUUAAUGCCUUCCCACAACCAAAAUGUAAUGUAUUCCGAAAAAGUAAGAGAAUCAGUAGCUACAAUUUAGUAUAUUAGUUCCAAUUUGUCAACCUGAUAUUUUUAGUUCUUUUUCCUUUCAAAGCUUAAUAGUUAAAUAAGUUUGAAUAAUGCUUAACUCCAAUUUUUUUAACACACUGGCGGUAAGCUACAAAGCAUCCGUGACCUCCUCUAUUCCUUUUUUUCUCUCAUAUUCCCAUGAUCAUACAUAUAUGUGAUUAAAAAAGAUCUAACAACUCUAAGCUUAAAACUAUAUGAUCCUGAGAUAUAUAACAAACAAUAACUAUACUUGAGGUCAAUUAUGUUGUUUUAUGGAAUUGACCUAAUAUAAAAAAAUCGAUUCUUAAAUUUGACUAAGGAUAAAAGAGAGUAACGCGACGUACCGUUCAAACACAGAUCUCGAAACUUUGUUUGAAAACUACAAUCUGUGUUUUUUAGGCACUGAGAACAAACCUCUGAGUUUGAAGAAGCAGCAGCCGAGGAGGUGUUUUGAUCAACGUCGUUAAGUCGACGUCUUCCUUUUUUUUAAAGCUGUUUUCCUUUUUUUUUUACUUUUAAUACUUUUUUUAUUAAUCCUACAUGGCAAUUUGAUUGGUAAUCAAUAAUGAGGUGAAUUUUGGGGAUUCACCAUAGGGGUGAACCCAAGUUUCAUAGGGGUGAACCCAAGUUUGGUUCUUUAAAAAUCACACCGAGUGAGAUAUAAUUAUUAUAAAAAUCACACAGUCAUCAUUGACAACUUGACCACAUCCACGUUUGUUCCUCGAUACAAAACAAUGUUAUUAUCCACUUUCCUUGCCGUUUCCAUUUUUAACGUAACAUCAACGUUUUUAUAACUACGCAUAUGAAUCAUGAUUGUGUGUUUUUCCAAUAAUGCUUGCAAAUAAUUUGAUGUUACUUGUCUGUAGUAAAUCCUAUGCGUAUGCAAAUCCAUCGUAGAAUUUGCCAAUCAAUUAUUCUGAAAAUACUAAUUUAAAAUAGUAAAUCGUAUGCGUAGGUAAAUCCAUCAUAGAAUUUUCCAAUCAAUCAUUCUGAAAAUACUAAUUUAAAAUAGUAAAUGAUCUAAUAUACAAUCAUCAGUCCAUUCUAGAUACAUUUCUCUGAAUUCAAUAAUGAUAGGUUACUGUUAGUUAGGAUAACAUUUAAUUGUUUUGAUACUAUAAAUGUACUAUAAUUGUGCAUAAAAUUCAGAUCGUAUGGUAAAGAUUAUUUUGAACUUUCUCGAGAAUAUAAAAGACAAUAGAGCGAAAGAUUCUAUAGUUGUUCUUUCGGUAUUAGAUGAUGUAUUUGCAGCACAAGACCUGAAGCCUUGGGUUCACUCGAUUCUCUGCAACAAGAUCAAAAUUAACUACUAAAAAUAUGUAAAUAUGCAAAAUAAAAUACAAUUAAUCUCUGGUAAAACUGAUAAACAAAGCUAAAAGAGAAAACAACGUUACUGGGCUGAAUUAAUUGGAUCAUAUAACUCAAAUCAAUAUAGUGAACAUUUGUAACAAACGCCGGAUCAUAGAAUUUACUUAAAAUAGUUUUAUUUGACAACGAUAUGUAGCUUUGUGUGACAAUACUAUUCGAUUGAAGUGCAUGAUCAAAUUGUACUCAACCAACUUGGCAUAUACAAAUCAUUAAAGGGUAAAAUAAUACAAAUCAUUAAAUGGUAAGAUACUGUUUUUUUUUGUUGUGACAAAAAAAAUAGUAAAAUAAAUAACUGAAUUUGUCUGACAAAUUUCAUAUUGUUACGUAUUCCUCUCGUUUUAAUUAAUGAGAUACAAGUUUGUGAACGUAAAAAAAAAGCUAGAAUAUCUGGUUCACGCUUUUCAAAAGAUACAAGUAUAUCCAUGCGAAGGUGUGUUACUAUUUAAUAUUGAAUAAUUUGUUUAUUGCUUUAACAUGUACUAAAGAUCACUUGCUAUUCAUAUGAAUCACUCAUUUUUUUCUCCAUGGGAACUCUACCACUAGAAAUACUUUUCAGUAUAUUUAAUUGAACGGUACUCCCUCUGUUUCCGAAAAAAUGAUUUUUUAGAGUAUUCACACAUAUUAAAGAAACAAUUAAUUUUUUACAAUUGAAUUUAUUAUUUAUUUUAUUAUACAUUUUUCAAUAAAUAUCAACCAAUACUAUUCAACCAAUUCAAAUAUUUUCAAUUAAUGUUUCUUAAAAUUAUACUCCAUCUGUUCCUGAAAGUAAGAUUUUCUAAAGUAUGCACGCUUAUUAAGAAUUUAAUAAAUGUUUAUAAUUUAAUUUAUUUUUUACUUUAUUAUACACUUUCCAAUAACUUUCCACCAAUGAAAUUUAAUCAAUUCAAAUAUUCUCAAUUAAUGUUCCUCAAAAGUAUAAAAAAGUACAUUAACAAUAUAAAAAAUCUAUCUUUGUGAAACAAGAAAAAAAUCUAAAACAUCUUAUUUUCGGGAACGGAGAUAGUACAACUUUUCAACAUUAACUACCAAAACUACCUUAAAAAUUAUGUUUUCUCUGUCGUUGACGUAGAAAAAAAUAUACGUUUCCAUUGAUAAUUCAAUUUUCGUGGACGCAUUUAGCCAUCAAUAUUGCCAUCAUUAACGUAGAAAAAACGAAAAGAAAAUUAUAAGCGGCUACAAGUAUGAGAACAUUUUUGGUAACGACACGUGGAAUGUCCACGAGGGCACAGUUUUUAUCCAUUAACCUUCUCUUUUCUCAUCUUCGUCUCUUAUAUAAACCAAACCUAACAUCCUCAAAACAAUCCACAAAUCACUUUUGAUCUUUAUUUCGGAUUAAAGGAUAAAAUCACAUUCAUCUUUAUCCCCUUUGCCUUUUUGAUUCUUCGAUUUCGCGUAACAAAAAAUGGAGGUUUCAGUGAUUGGUAACCCUCAAGCGAAGAUCUGCCGAGCUGAAUUAUCCUUCAGGGAGCUCGGGUUUAGACUUGGGUCCGGUGAAUCGAGAAAUAAAGUUUGUUUCUUGACCCACCAAAGCUCGAAAUGGAAGGAGAUCAGGAUCCGGUGCUCUCCGAGAUCCGUGAAAUGCGAAGCCAUCGUCUCCGAUCAAGCUCCGUUUCUGAAACCGACUCCAAACCCUAGAUCGGUAACCAUUCUCUUCUUCCUUCGAUUGCUAUUGUUUGAGAUCAAUUGAUUUGUUUCUGAACUCGAUUUCAAUUGCAAAAUUGCGUUUUUCUCUAAAUCAGGAGAAAAAGGUCUCUCCUUUUAUCCCGUGGGAUUGUUAUUACCAAUAUGAGAUAAAAUUACAAGGGUGUAUGUAAUUAAAACAUGUUUUUUUUUGUCUUUGUUGCAGCAGCUUGAGAGCGUGAAACUAUUCGUUGGGCUUCCUCUAGACACAGUUUCAGACUGCAACAACGUGAACCACAUGAAAGCUAUCACCGCUGGGCUCAAAGCUUUGAAGCUACUCGGCGUUGAGGGAGUUGAGUUACCUGUCUUCUGGGGAGUUGUUGAGAGAGAAGCUGCGGGGAAAUACGAAUGGUCAGGGUACUUGGCUGUGGCGGAGAUUGUUAAGAAGGUUGGACUCAAGCUUCAGGUGUCACUCUCUUUUCAUGGGUCCAAAGACCCGGAGAUUGGUCUUCCUGACUGGGUGGCAAAGAUAGGGGAAGGUGAACCUGGGAUGUAUUUUACAGACAGAUAUGGGAAACAGUACAAAGAUUGCUUGUCCUUUGGAGUUGAUGAUGUUCCUGUUCUUGAUGGGAAGACUCCUAUGGAGGUUUAUGGUGGUUUCUGCGAAAGCUUCAAGUCUGCUUUCUCAGAUUACAUGGGGAACACUAUCACGGUAUUGUUUUGCACUUGCAUUCUCAAUAAUAAUUUAGGCCUGCAGAUUCGGUUUCUUCUGUUAGUUCGGGUCGGUCGAAUAAAUUUUGGUGUGGUUUUUGGUUAGUUCGGUUUCAAAAAUUUUACCGAAUUUUCGGUUUUGUGGUUAGUUCGGUUAAAUUUUCAGCUUAAAUUGAAUAAAAUCUGAAAAAUUUCGGUAAUUCGGUUUUUUCGAUUAGGAUUUUGGUUAGUUCGGUUCGAUUCGGAUUGGAAUUUCAGUUAAGAUUGAUACUGUUUUUUUUUUUAAGAAAACGAACUAACCGAUUAUCGACCGAAAAAACGAGUUUUUUUUUUUUGUUUCCUGAUUGAACCGAACUAUCAAACCGAACUAACCAAAUUCCCAGCCCUACUCAAUAUGUUUACUCUGGUUUUAGUUUCUGAUUUUUUUAUUCAUUUUGUUUACAGGGAAUCACAUUAGGUAUGGGACCAGACGGAGAGCUAAGAUACCCUUCUCAUCAACACGAGACUAACCUCUCUGGAGCAGGAGAGUUCCAGUGUUACGACAAACACAUGCUAUCCGCUCUGAAACACUACGCUGAGUCCACAGGAAACCCUCUUUGGGGACUCGGUGGUCCACACGAUGCUCCUGCUUACGACCAACAGCCUCAUUCCACUUCUUUCUUCUCAGACGGCGGGUCAUGGGAGUCUCAGUAUGGAGAUUUCUUCUUGACUUGGUACUCGUCUCUUCUCACCUCCCAUGCGGACCGAGUCUUCUCCGUUGCGUCAUCAGCAUUUGGUGGAAGUGGAGUGUCAGUAAGUGGGAAGUUGCCUCUCUUGCACCAAUGGAACAAGCUGAGAUCUCAGCCUUCUGAGUUAACUGCUGGGUUCUAUAGCUCUAAUGGUCACGACAGGUACGAGGCAAUCGCAGAGAUCUUUGCAAAGAACUCUUGUAGAAUGAUAAUACCUGGAAUGGAUCUUUCCGACGAGCACCAGUCACUGGCCUCUCUCUCUAGCCCUGAGUCGUUACUUGGUAACAUCAAAACGUCAUGCAAGAAACAAGGAGUGGUUGUUUCAGGGCAAAACUCUUCUGCUUCUGUCCCUGGUGGGUUUGAGAGGAUCGUUGAGAAUCUGAAGGAUGAGAGUGUAGGAAUUGAUCUGUUUACUUAUCAGAGAAUGGGAGCUCUUUUCUUCUCGCCUGAGCAUUUCCAUGCUUUCACUGUCUUUGUUCGGAACAUGAACCAGGUCGAGCUGUCUUCAUACGAUCAAGCGGGAGAGGAUGAGGCUCAGACAGUGAGCUUAGGUUCAGGCACUGGUGCACAUAGUUUGCAAACUGCUUGAUGAGUAUUAAUAUUUGUACGCAAAUAAGAAAGAAUGUCUCCUGUUAUUUAGCAUUUAUAUAGAUUUUGUCGUAAUCCUGUACAAUUAUUUGUAUCCAUGUACUCAUAAAACAUGAAUCCUGAAGUUUAAGACAGGGAUCUCUUGUUUCCUUGUAGUACUCUUAAUUCAAUUAUAACCCUCUUCUAUUGUCUAAAGCCUUGUUAGUAACAUCUUCAAAGUUUUUAUCCACCUCAAGAUUUCCUGAGCUUCCUUUGACAUUCGGCAAUGUUUGUUUAGAACAACUAACUUCAUGGAGUUGCUUUCCCCAUCCUGAAUCUUCUUGCCUUCCUGCAUCUCCACUAUAAUUGAAUCCUCUUCUGUUAUUGUCUACAGCCUUGUCAAUAACAAUAUAAAACCUUCACAGUUUUAUCCACCUCAAAAUCUCCAGAUUGAUUCAUAUACAUUUUCAGGUUCGAGUUUAUGGCAUUUGACAUUGGGUCUUACAGGAGAACGAUCAACCAGAUGGACUUGCUUGUCUUGAACUUCUUGUACAUACAAAUGAGCAGUUUGUUGAUACAUCUGAUCAGAUAAUGUCAACCCUUUAAAUCUGUAUUCUGGAAGUGACUUAAAUAUCUGUGUUUCAGAAAUUGAAAUUGAAUGUAUGAGUAUUUGUUUUAAAUAUUGUUGGUAGAAUACUUUUAGUAAAAUUUACAAAUCUUUAGUAAUUUAAAAAACUAUAUCAGAUCACAUGAGUAAUGACACAAAAGGCCAACGUUGAGAUUACUUCAGCUCAAAGCUCACAUAUAUGCAAGGAGGGCUUCACAAACACUAAACAGAGAACUACUCUCUAAUCAAGUGAUUAGUAAUUAAACACGGAGAGAUCCAAACCACUGUUCUUUUCCUAGGCACCAUUUCAAGAUUCAUGAACUUCCAUAGAUUUAAACCAACAAACGAAAAACAUAAAUAAAACACUGGAUAAAGUCUUUUAAGUUUUAAAGGUUUUAGAUCUUAAACCAAGAACAAACCUUGAGUCAGAAUCCACCAAAAAGCUAAUAUAAAGGGACUUUAUCCUUCUCUGACACCCGUUGCUCAACGCUCUUGUCACCUCACAAUACAGAUACUGCUGUAGAAUCAAGUUCAAAAAGCUCUUUCAACUCUCCAUCUACCUCCUUUAUCACCCGGGAAGCAGCAAUCUGAUGAGAGAAUCUCAGCACUUUCAACUUUGGGAUUGUAAAUAUCACCUCAUCCCCAUCAUCAAAAUCACGUGGCCUACUCUCAGCUGCUCCAAAAACUCUCUUCCUCUCUUCAUCUCCAUUAAACUGCAACGCAGGCUCCAGCGCUAACACCUUAUAGUCCAAGGCGUCAUCAAGAACUUCGACAAUGACGUAGUCCUCAUAGGUUUCUUCAAGGAAACCAUUCCAGAAUCUCUAUAUCGCCCACACUUGGCCAACCUUAGGCAGAAUGGUAUACGUAUAUUCAUUUCCUUCCAUGGAGGUUCCAGGCACCAUCAGAUGUGAAAAGUUAUUAGGAGCGAGUGCUACAUGAACUCUAGUCACCAAGAAAGUUCCACAACUAACAUGCAGUUUCUUGUCCUCCCAAGGGAUGAUGACUUCCCCAGGUAAACGCUUGGGCUUUAACCGACAGGAGACUAUUUUGUAAACUGGAGCCUGCUCAAAUGUUUGAGUCACACUGAUCUUAUGGAUCCUACAGUAGUCCCUAGGCAUGUUGUCAUUGCAUCCGAUGUAUGACCAGAUCUGACCAGUUUUAAAAACCUUUCCGUUUAUAGGAAAGCAGAGAGCUUCUGGCUUUGGAGGUGCAAACUCUGGUAAUAGAUGUGAAGGGACGGUUACCUCUUCGAUUGUUGCAGGUAACGCAGCUUGGUCCAGCUCGUAAGCAUACUUUGGCAGACCUUUGACGUCAACUCCAGUCAGUUUGAAGGAAGGGAUCCUAUGGGAGAAUCGGUACAAACUGUGAGGUGAUAUGUGCAAUGUCUCUGCAUCACCAGUUCCCAUUCGGAAGAAAACACUUGCAAAGCAUUUUGCUUUAUGCAAGAAUGCAACAGAUACACCAGCAGCUUCAGUGCAAUAAUAAUCUGACAAAAUCUCCACAAACUCAUACUCAUAUUUGCGGUGAGAAUCUGGCUCUGAAGACCAGUUCAUAUCCCAGUUCUUGAAUAGAGCCCAAGUCUCUCCUUUUCUUGGAGAAAGAGUGAUGUGACCAGAGUUGCUUCCUUCGUUGCAGUGGAUAACAUGUGAGAAUAACGAACGCUCUUGAGUGUUCUCAUUCUUCCCAAGCCUGAACUGACCAGUAGAAACAGGCAAGUCUUCUUCAAACCACUGGAUCUCUUUCUCAUCAUCAGGAUCCGGCUCUAGAUAUGUGAUCCUAAGCCCAAAAGAAGGAACUGAAACUUUUCUGAUGAGAGCAUACUGUCUAGGAACCUUAUCAGUUGUGUCAUAGAUACCCCAAACCUGGCCAACUGCAAAGUUUACUUCCUCCCUCAGCUUAUCAAAGUCGUUAAACUUUAGACCAGCAAUCUUUGGUUGUACAUCACCUCCUGAACUUGAAUCACGUAAACCAAAGUUGUUAUCCACCUUAGCAUUCCCAGAGCUUGACGCUUCAUCUCCAUUACCAUUGAAUCCUCUUCUGUUAUUGUCUACAGCGCUACCAAUAACACCAUCAGGCUUGCUGUGAUUUUGAGAUAAAGCAGCAACCUCUUCUUCCCUCUUUCUCUUCUCACCAACAACCUUCACAUCACAUCUCAAACCAGGAGAGCUUUUCUUUCCAGAGACAGACGCAGCCUCGUUCUUGCACAUGGAUCUAAACUCUUGGAACCAUUUGUUGAACAGAACCUCGCCUGAUCUCGCAAGCACUUCCAUCGCAAUGGUUUCCUCCCUGCAACUCGGACAAACGAACCAUUUGUCUAAAUACACUCUAAGAUAACGAUGUCUACACCCACAGUUUCGACACGUAGUCCAAAAGCUUGGACCGGAACUGGAAGGAGCAACCGGAUGGUACUGAUGUGUUUCACGGAGCAUUUGACUCAAUAUCCUUUUAGGUGUACUGUCUUUAGACGAAAGGCCUUGAAGAGGGGUCUCACGCGCGGUGAAGUUCUUGUUACAACAUCGACAUCUUGUCUGUUUGCUGACGAAGCUUCUAUGUAAUCUGUAACACACGGAACAGAAUGGACACGUGAGAUCCAUCUUCGUGCUGUAGAAGAAGAAUACAUAUUAUUAGUAAGAACCCUAACCUAAAGCAAUCGUCUUUAUAUACUAAGGAACCCUAGAUUGAGAUAUUAAGGAGCUCACUCUGUCUAAGAAGAGGCCGAUGUCGGAGUGCACAGCGGCGAAUGUUCCGUCGUCUUUGGAGGAGCAUGAAAAAAUCUCACUCUUUUACAGUUGUGAUAUUCCCUUUUCACGGAGGUGAAAAAGCUCUGUUCCCAAUUCAUUUUGGCGGGAAAAUAGUUGACGAGAAGAAUGUAAAUGGGCUAACGAAUAUUAUUGGGCCUAGAAUGCCCAGAUAAUCAUUUUGAAUUUUCAUAUGUCAAAAAGUAAACAUAUUAACCAACCAGUGUUUUUAAAACCGGACCGACCCGAUGGUUAGACCGGAUUCGACUAUGAACCGAUUAUAUAGCCGGAUUGGGUUUAGUAAUUGGUUCGACCAUGAACCGACCACGUAGAUAGAUUGGAUUUCAAAAUUAUUAAACCAAUAAAAACCACUAAACCUAUCAAAAAUCUAUAAACCAUCAAUUAAACAUAAAACUAACUUAUAUUUAUAAUGUUUUAUGUUUAAAACUUAUUUAUAUUUUAGUUACGUAUCAUAUUUAAUAACAUUGCUUUAAAAUUUAUAUACUAAAAAUAUAUUAAACCAAAGUAUUAAACCAAAUUUGACCAGAUCGAACCAUAUUGAACCAUGACCCAAAAAAAUCCGGUUCGGCUUCCGGUCCGGUUUUAAAAACACUGAUAUUAACACAGAUCCGGCGAAAUAUAGCUUCCUUCUUUCAAAAUGCAGUAAAAAAUAUUCUAAAUUUGUACUUACAUUCUCAAGUUGGUCUACUCUUGUUUUUUUUUUUCUACAAAGGAUUUCAAAUUAAAAAUUUGAAUGUUUACAUGAAUAAAUAGAUAGAAAAAGUUUGCAUGAAUAAACUUCAUGACAGAUAACAUUUCUAACCUAUCGUUCUCAAAUUUUUUUUUUUUGACAGAUUUACUUCAACUUGAGAGAUUUAAUUGAGAUUCGACUGAUUUAUUUUUCUUUUGGCCACAGAUUUACUACAUUUUGACAGAUUUAAUUAUAAUUUGAUAAAUCUAUUUUCUUUAGGCCACAUAGUUACUUAAUUCUAAUAGAUUUAAUUAGGAUUUGAUAGAUUUAUUUUUCCUUUAUUGACAAAUUUAUUUAAUUUUAAAAUUUUUAAUUAGGAUUUGAUAGACUUGUUUUUUUAUUUUGACCACAAAUUGGUUAAAAUUAAUAACAGUAACAACCUAGUUAACUCUUUUAAAAAUCGAAACCAGAACUAUUUUAGACCCGAAACCAUUUUUGCUUCAUUUCUUAGUGUGUUCACUACUUCAGCUACAUGUAAGAAAAGAGUACCCAACGCCUCCACUCAAAGAAAUUAGACUCAUCAAAAGGAAAAAUAAUGUGUCCUUUUUAUGUAAGAACACACUGUAGCAAGGGUUGUUUGUGAUAAAAGACAACGCAGGAACCAAAAGACGUUUAACAAGGAAUCAUUUAUUUCAGAAGAAAGAAGCAAAUGAAUUGCAUAUGUAUAUAUAUAAUCAGUUUUCGCGUAUAAACAAAGUGCAAAAAAAAAACACAGGGAAAAUGGAAACUUAGUAGCCAUCCUUGAGAUCGUUUACAAAGUCGUAAAGAUUGGAGUGACAGUCUCCAACGGUCAUACCCUUGGUCAUGAAACCAUGCUUGGACUUUUAGGCUGUCUAUUUGUGCUGAUUGUCUCUCCUACAGAUUUAACUGCAGCCUUGAACUCAUCGUUCUUCUCCAUAGUUUGAACUCUUCAGCACACCUUGACUAAUGGAUGUGCUCCCCACACAGAUGUAGCCUCUUUCUUAUGACUGUUCCGGUCGAAAGUCUAACACCAACUGAACGACAAAGUGAGUAGUAAAAGAGAACUAGAUUUUAAUCCGCGCUUUAAAAGCGCGAGAUAAAUGUUUGUUCGAAUAAUAAUUUACUGCAAAUUAGAAAUUUUAUACAUAUGUGUGUUUUAUAUAAUUUUUAAAAAAUAUAUAUAUGAUUAAAUUAAAAUUUCCAUAAAUAUAAUUUUAUGAGAAUAAGAUAAUUCCUUUAUAUACCCACCCCAGAUAAUUUUACUUAUACUUUAAAGCUUAAAAUUAUAGCAUGAAUUUAUCUUUAACUUUUUAUAUCGGUCAAAAUUUAUUUAAUUAUAAUAGAAAUUAACUAUAUGUAAUUCUACCCGUCUCAUACUUGAUAAAUAUUUUCAUUAUUAUAAAAUAAUCCGCAAAAAAUUGUAAUUGUUAAACAUAACCUAUAGUUUGAUGUAACCUAUAAUCAAAUAAUAUUAAUAUCAACAUAAUUUAGUAUUGUAUUUUUAUCAAAUUAAUAUUUUAAUAUUCUAAUAUUCUAAUUUGAAAAUGUAAAAUAUAAAAUUGAUUAGUUUAGAUAUCUUACUUUAAUAUUUUAUUUUAAUAAGUUGAAGUAGUUUUUAAAAUUCAUGAAUAUAUGUUAUUCUGUAUAUAUAAUUAUUUUGAAUUUUAAAAUUUAUAAAAUAUUUAAUAAAUGGAUUAAGUAAUUUUAUGUUUAUUAAUUGGUCUAUCAGUUUAAUUAUGAAUAUGAAUUAUGUAUAUAUAAAUAUUAUAGAAAUUCUGUUUCUUAUUCUACAAAUAAAAAAUGAAUUAAUAUUCAUAUAUAACUAUAUUUAAUAUUAAUUCCGAAUUUAUUAUUUAAAUAUAUAUAUAUAUAUAUACAUUUAAAUAAAAACUAUUGAAAGAUAUUUCUAAAUGUAAUCUUAGAAAAAUAUACUUAAGAAUAUCUUUUAGAUAUCUUAUUUUGAAAAUAUUAAAAUAAUAUAUUAGAUUAUAGUACAUAUUUGAUAGUAACUAAGUUACUUGUAUAAGAAAUAAUAGGAAGUUAAAUAAUAUAAUGGUCCAAAUAUGACUUUCUGUAAAUAGUUUUUUAAGAUUUUUUUGUUUUAAUAGUAUAGACUAGUCUAGAACCAGCGCUAAAUUUGGAUUAUGACUUUUUCUAUUUUGAUUUACAAAAUUAAAAUUAAAAUAAUAAUGACAAAUUUUGAGAUGAUAGUGUUAUGUUAUUUUUUUUCCUUUUUGUGAUGUUUAUUUGAGUUUUAGAUCAAAUAUUUUGGUUUGUACCUAUUUUCAAGGUGAUGAUGAUCGUAUGAUUCGUAUCAAUAUAGGAUUAUUUUAUCAGUUACAAUGUAAAUAUUAUAUUUAAAUAUUUUGUAUAACACUUUUUCUUGACAUCCGAUCUUUACUUUAUGACUUAUAAAAUCAUGACAAAUUUAAAUGCAACAUAACAUGGAAUAGACAAUACUUGAAUUAAUUACGGUUGUUACUCAAUUGGACUUUCUAAAUAUAAAAAAUAUCCUAUUUAACAGGGAAUCAUUUUAGUAACUGAAAUAUAAUAAAUGUAUUUACAAUGCUCUAACUACGGUUACAUGUUUUAUUGGAUCUUUUAAAAUUUAAUGAAAACUUUUUACCGGUCGAUAAAAAAAUAGUACUCUAAAUUAAUAUAGUAGAUACGUUACCAUGUAGACUAGAAAUUUAAAGACUGAUACUGAGAUGAGGCAAAAACGAAUCAAAACAUCACAAGAAUCAUUGUGGAGUCCUUGAUCUCUAUGGACUUGUGUGAAACGCUGGAUCUAUAACUCUUUCGGGUCUUACAGAAGGUACAUACUGGACACAGUAUGACACCAAAUAGCAUAAAACAAUACAGUAAACCGAAAUUCAAAUAAAAAAGAAACUGCAUUAUUUGUAAGAGUGUUGCAUCACGAGGUUCAUUGUCGAUCUCCGAAGGAAAAAAAAAAGUUUGCUCUCACCUCAAUGAAUAUAUACCGAAAUUGAGACUAGACAGAGUUAGGGUUUUCUUUGUUCGUGCAGCCUCGACGGAGAAAUCGAUGGUCGUAGUAGAAUCGCAUGAACCCUAAAUGCGAGUUUUUAGAGAGAAAGAUGUUUUAAUUUGGAUUCAUCGAGCAUAUUUUUAAAUAUAUAUGCUUUGAUUUUUCAGUUUUACUUGUUAAUAAAAAAAGAGAGAAAAUGGCAUUAUGGUAGUAACUGUCAGUAACAAUGGUUUUGUGUCUUUAACCUUAUUAAAGAGCAUGUCUAAGAUUACUCAGAGUUAAUCUUGUAAUUAACUAAGAAAUAAGAGUUAAUCUGAAUAAUUUUCUCUACAAAAAACAAUAUAAUUCUGCGGUUUAAAAGCGCAGAUCAAAAUAUAAUAACCAGUUAUAUUUUCAGGCUCCAAAAAGUUUCUUAUUGCUAAUGAUGCACGAGCAAAGAUACUGAAAUUUUUACAUAUCACUCAGCUCAGUAAAGACCCAAAGCCCCCCCCCCCCAUCAAGUUGUGUUGCCAUUGACUAUAAGCAAUCAUCAUCUCUUCAUGUUAAAUUCUUAUUGUCUUACAUUUUUCAUGGUUAUGUGAACUUGUAUGACUGGAAGUCAGAGUAAUUUGUGACUUUUGAUUAAUUACAUAAUUUAAAUUUUUAAUACAAAGUUGUAUUCUGAUAUAAUUUUAUUUUUCUCAUAAAUAUUUUUUUAAAAUAUUAUUACAUGGAUUGAAUCAAACUAUUUCAAUCUAAUAAUUUUGAUUUAUUUCAAUUCUUGAUCCUAUAUUGACAUAAAGCAUGAAAGUUGUUGAUGUUACUUUCAAACAAAUGCCAAUACAUUUUAUAAGAUUAUUUUAUUCUGAACGCAGACUACUUAUCUGUGACAACAACAUUUGUUCGGUUCACACCUGUCAUAAAAAUAAUUCCACUGGUAACAAAACUGUGAGCACCCAUAUCGCCCUGCUACAUCACACGGCGUUGAGAUCUGGAAGCACACUACAGUCGCCCAAUUGAUUCCAUAAUCUAUUUAUGUGAAUAAAAUUAUUAAACCAAUAAGUAUAUUAAUCAAAAAGAAUGAAAUUGUACAUAUAAUUAAAAAUGUAGUAUAAAAAUAAAUUGUUACCAGGAGUACUAGCAGGGGUAGUAGCCAUAGUUGUCGUAUGACAAUCAACAAAAGAUAUGAUGAAAAAAGUAGUGAAAACAAACAGAACUAAAGUUUUCAUAGCGAAGACCAUUUUAUAAGUAAAUUUAAAACUCUGUUGUAAGAUAUUCAGUUUAACGUUUUUUUGUUUGGUGUGUGUUUUCUUUACUUUUUCUGAUUAUAUAUAUAGUGAAACAUACACAUUAUAAUUAAAUAUUUUCUUGGUCAAAUAUAGAUAAGAGAAUAUAACAUUUCCUUUUAUUUCAAAUUUAAGAGAUUUUUGGUCAAAUUAUAAUCCAAGAAUUAACUAUAGAGAGACACAAAUCUAUUUAUAAAUAUAAGAAAAUUGUUAUAAUUUGAAUGGUCUAUGAUUUUAAUUUUAAUUUAAUUUUAAUUUAUUAUAAUUUGAUCUAAAAUAAAAGGUAAGACUAAAUAAUGAUUUAUGGUAUUAAUUGUCAAAAUUAUAGAAAGAAUAAUAAUGUUAGAUUAAUUAUUCUUUUAUAUAUUAUAAACUAUAUAAAAUAAUGAACAAAAAACAUUUUUAUAUAUUCACCACUAUAUAUAUAUAUCUUAUAUAUAUCAAUUAUAGGAAAAAAACUUAAAUAUAUUUAUAUCAAUAACUACUACAAAAAAUAUAUAUUCAGCAAACUAAUUGACUUAAACCUCAUAACCUUUUUAUUUAUUCAUCCACUAUAUAUAUCUUUUAAAAGUAAUGUCAACUAGAAGUUCACAUCGUUGAGUUUAUAUUUUAUGAAAGGAGAAGAACACAAAAAGGAUGUUGGUUUUCUCAAAGAAGAAUCAAAAGUUGAAUUAGAGAUAUUUUCGUUAUAUUGGUAAUUACAAAAUUUAUCCAACAACUAUGAAUGAGUAAACCGCCAAAUAUAGUUUUUAUAGAGGACAAAAUAAAAUAUAAACCGGAGAUAAAUAUCCUAUAAAUGUUAAUUAAAAAUUAUUUAAAAAGAUGUAAACUCAAUUUUGUAUCAAUUACAUUUUGAAAUUGUUGAGGUGUCACUUUUAAGAAUUUUUUUGUGCACGUGUCAGCUUAAGAAUCAUUCUUUAUCAAAAUACAACUACCCAUAAAUUCCUAGAAUAAUUAUGUUUGCCAUUUAAUAUUUUCUUAGUCGACCCACAUUUUCUAAAGCUAUCUAACAACUUAAGUUUAUACAUGAAAGUUUAUACCUUGCGUAUAAAGCACCAAGAGUCUGUUAAUGUUGAUUUUCUCAGUCGUAUAAAGCACGAAAAAUAUAAAGCACCAGAAAUCUGUCGUUUUCUUCUUCUCUUUAACAUUCACAACUUAAACUGACAUUGCUUAUUGUGACCAGUGAUGAUCAGACCUCCCUUCUAAUCAUCCUCUACCUACAAUGAGUACAUAGAUUAAUCUUAAUGAUUUUAAAUCUCAUGGUUGUUAUAAGGGAUAAUUGCUGUCUCUUUGUGUCUGAAUAGUGUGACGACAGAGCAAAAUUCCAGUAAUCAUGCGGAACAAUGAGUGAAAAAAAAUCACAGAGCAAUAUUUCAAGUUCACGUUGUGUAGAUAACAAAGCAUGUAAUUUUCAGAACAUUAUGUACGAAACUAAACAGAACUACAUCAGAAACCAAAGGUUCCACACAGGAAAUGUUAUUGUACAAAUACCAUGGUGACUAUGAUUUAGGACGUGAUUGAUUAUAGAGAAGAUCAACCACUGUAAUAGAACUAUGCUACACAAGUUUUAGUUAGUCUUUUUCACAUAUCAAUUUCAGUGACUAUAUUGUAUAUGUAUUAUAACGUGGUUUUACCAGAAAAAAAAAAUCAAUCAUAACGUGGAAUUCAUCAUCACAGGGCCCUUGCUUCUAUACAAAAUAAUUGUAUAUAAAUGAUACAUGUACAUUACUCUUGAGUUUCACAUGUUUCAAUAAGUACUUCAUUUGAGCUUAACCGGUUCAUAUCACAAAAUAAUUUAGGGAUAUUUUAAACCGGUUCAUAACCAGUUUUUAAUGGAAAGAAUAAUAAUCGUGUGAGACAAGUUUGUAAACUAUGUUUGUUAUGUCUUUGUGGCCAAUGCAUUGUAUUAAUAUGCUAGGUAAUGCGCAGGAUGAGAAGUCUGUAAAUUAUUUGAUAAACCUAACAUAAAUAAAAAGUCACCGAUUUUAGUGUACUAUUUUUCAUCAUUAUAUUACAUUGUAUAUAUAAUUGAUGAUUCAUGUUACUAAGAAUAUCGUAUGAAUAAUAUUGGUGUACUUAUUUAUAUUAAGUUCCAUAACACCAACUAAAGCUCCACAUGAAUUGGUUAGGUCCGUACGUACUUUGUUGUAAACGGUCGGUUAUUGCCUAAUUGGCAUGUGCCAGAACUGCAAAGCAUAUAAUCCAUUUUUUUCCUUUGAGUAAUGUGGAAAAAUAAUACUAUAACAGAUUUUGAUUCGCUCUCAAAACCGUUGAGUUUAUUAUUAAAAUUAAAUAAAUUCUUUUGAUAUAACUUUAUAAAGAAGAUAGUAUAUAUGUUUAAGUACAUUUGUCCGGAACCGAAAAAUCAAAAAAUGAAAAACAAAUCAAAUUUCAUAAAUAACUAAGUGGAUCCUAUAUUUUUGGAACCGAAAAAUAGAAACUGAAUUGGAACCAAACCAAGAACCGAAUGGGUAGUCAAAAUUUUAAAAUAUAAAUUAUAUUCCUACAAAUAUAAGUUAAUAAUUUGUUUGUUAAUGAAAAAAAUUCUGGAUCCAACUUUUAUAUAUAAUUAUAUUUUGAUAUUAAUACUUUUAUAUUUUUAAAACAAUCAAUAAUAUUAUAAUUUUAAUGUAGAUAAUUUAUUUAUUUUUGUUCAUACGCAUACAAUGAAUUUAAGUCUUUUAGUAAAUAAAAUUUAUGAUUACUGGAAUGAGUUUUUUAAUGGAUUUUUAAUGGUAGAUAUAUAUUUUGAAGUCAAAAACCAAAUGACCAAAAUAUCAUUAAUUAAUUUUGUUAAUCCUUUGUAAAAUUUAUAGUAUUUUUGGCAAAAUUAUGAUUUUUAUCGAGGAGUAUAAGAGCUUCUCCAAAAAGACACUCUAUUAGGAAGUUUAUAUUUGAAGUUUAUAAGUGUUAUUCUUUUAAAUAAAACUUCAAACUUAACUUCAAAAUUAUUCAAAAGUAAAAGUGCCUUUGAUCCAAGUCUCUGUAACGCCAUUAAUGGUGAGAUCCAUCUUCGUGGGCAGAACCCUUUUUUUUUUUUUCGUGGGCAAGAACCCUAACCUAAAGCAAGCGUCUUUAUACUAAAAGGAACGCUAGAUUGAGAAAUUAAGGAGCUCACUCAGAGUAAGAGGCCGAUGUCGGAGAGAACUGCGGCGAAAGUUUCCGUCGUCUUUGAAGGAGAAGGACAAAUCUCACUCUUUUACAGUUGUGCUUUACCCUUUUCACGGCGGUGAAAAAGCUCUGUUCCCAAUUCAUUUUGGCGGGAAAAAAGCUGACGAGAAGAAUGUAAAUGGGCUAACAUAUAUUAUUGGGCCCAGAAUGCCCAGAUAAUCAUUUUGAAUUUUCAUAUCAUAUGUUGAAAGAAAUAUGUUAAUAUAGAUCCGGUGUAAUAAAUAUAGCUUCCUUUUUUUUUCAAAAUGUAGUAAAAAAUAUCCUAAAAUUGUACUUAUAUAUUCUCAAGCUGGUCUACUCUUGUUUUUUUUUUUUUGACAAAGUACUUUCAAAUUAAAAAUAUAAAUGUUUACAUGAUAAGGCUUCGUUGCCUUAAUAGAUAGAAAAAGUUUGCAUGAAUAAACUUCGUGACAGAUAACAUUUCUAACCUAUGAAAGGAAGAAACGAGUUGAACCAAAAAUGGACUGAGAGAUAGAACUAGCGAGUAGCGAGUGGUCUACUCUUGUUUUAGUUUCUGAUUUUGGCUCAUUGGUUUGCUGGUAGGGCGUGAAAUUUGAGUAAUUAGAAGAAGCUUUGUCCGGUUUUAAAAACAUUGUGGAAAUGAUAGACAUAGAAAUAUAUAUAAAACAAACUUAGAAGUGUUGAAUAAUGCCUAUUUGUUCUCAAACCACACAAAUAAAACGUGGGAAAAGAGAGUAAUAAGUUAAUAAUAAGAUAAAUGGAGAAAGAUCUAGAGAAUUCUUGUUCUCUGUAUAAAUAUGUAAUGGUCCUCUUGUGUAAUUUAAGCAACUAAGAAAUCAGUUCUCUACUUCAUCUUUCUCUAUCUACCUUUCACUCAUACGUUCUACACACAAACAUUCCUCUGUUUUCUUUUCUUUGAACAAGAUCAAAAACAGAACAAGAUCAAAAACAGAACAAGAGAAACAUGAAGAAAACCUGCAAUUUUCUGAAGUUUGCAACAUGGUAUCAGAGCUACUGCUGAUCUCUGGAGCCUUGUUGAAUAAGACUGAAGAAGCUUGAACAAGUCUGAACAAGAAAAGAACAAGACAGAACCAGAAAAUUAAAAGAACAAGAAGGAAAGAAAAAGAACAAGGAGAAACACACAUGGCGUCAAACCUUCAAUCUUCACAACUUGUGGCUGUCUUUGAAGGAAAUAACUAUGAAUUCUGGGCAGCUAGGAUGAAGACAACUCUGAUGAACAGAGAGCUUUGGGAAAUAGUUGAAGAAGGACUCCCUGAACCACCAUCUAGAUCACCGGAGAUGUCUGGAGCUGACUAUGCAAAAGAGCUUGGAGACUGGCGAUCCCGUAAGACGAAAGACACAGCAGCUCUACAACUCAUUCAACUUGCUGUAGCUGAUGUUGUCUUUGACAAAAUUCUUUCUGCAACCUCAGCCAAGCAAGCAUGGGAGCUACUUGAACAUUCCUAUCAAGGUAAUGAAAAAGUAAAGAUGGUUAGACUACAAGCCUUGAGAAGAGAUUUUGAGAAUCUGAAAAUGAAGGAAGGAGAAAAGGUCAAGCCUUACUCUGAAAGAAUCCAGGCUGUAGCUAAUCAAAUGAGAGCUCUAGGUGAAGGAAGAUCAAACUUUGAUUUGGUGGUUAAAAUUCUAGCUUCUAUGCCCAAGAGCUAUGCUCCAUUGUCAUCACUGAUGGAAGAAACUAAGGAUCUCAAGACAGUAACCUUUGCUGAGUUGGUGGGAUCUUUGGAAGCUCAUGAAAAGAAGUUCUUCCCUGAAGAUGAAGAAAAUGGUGAAGGUGCAUUUCAUGCACGUUUUAGAAGCUUGAAAGUCAGAGACCAUGGCAAGACAAGCUCAUGGAAGACAAGCUAUAAAGGAAAAGGGAAGAAGUGGUGUAGCUUCUGCAAGAAAGAUAAUCACAAUGAAGAUGUCUGCUAUCUAAAGAAUGGAAGAAAUAAGCAAGACUUCAACAAAAACAAAGGUAGAAGUGAAUGCUACAACUGUGGAAAGCCUGGUCACUUUUCAAGAGAAUGCAGAAGCAAGAAACCAGAACAAGCACAAGUGUCUCAUCAACAAGAAGAAGCAGAAGAUAAUCACUUGUUCACCGCAAGACAGGAUGAUCAAGAGUCAUUUGAAGAGAACUUAUGGCUCAUUGAUAGUGGGUGCACUAAUCACAUGACUCCAAACGAAAAGGUGUUUUCCAGAAUCAACACAAACAUCAAAGUUCCAAUAAGAGUUGGUAAUGGAGCUGUGUUGAUGACCAAAGGAAAAGGAGACGUUGAAGUCAUGACAAAGAAAGGCAAGAGAAUCAUUCGAGAUGUUUUUCUUGUGCCAACACUUGCAAAGAAUCUGUUAAGUGUCCCUCAGAUGAUUGAAAAUGGAUAUCAAGUCACCUUUAAGAAAAGAUGUUGCAUCAUACAUGAUGGUGCUGGAAGAAAGGUAGCUGAAGUGGAGAUGGUGAACAAGAGCUUUCCCAUCAAGUGGUCCUCAAGCCCUGAAACAGCAAUGGUGGCAAAAAAUGAAGCUGCAGAAUUAUGGCAUCAAAGGCUUGGGCACACUGGUUACUCAAAUCUGAAGAUCUUGCAGUCAAUGGAUAUGGUUCUGAAUCUUCCCAAGUUCGUGGUGGAGAAGGAAGGUUGCGAGAGCUGUAUUCUAAGCAAACAUAGUCGUGAUUCAUUUCCAAAAGAAUCAGAGACAAGAGCAACAAAGAAACUGGAGUUGAUUCACAGUGAUGUGUGUGGACCAAUGCAGAGUUUAUCAAUCAUAGGGAGCCGAUAUUUCCUCACAUUCAUUGAUGAUGCAACAAGGAUGGUCUGGGUUUAUUUCUUGAAGUCAAAAUCAGAAGUCUUUCAAACCUUCAAGAAGUUCAAAAACCUUGUCGAAAAUCAAGCUAGCUGCAAGAUAAAGAAGAUUAGAUCAGAUAGAGGAUCUGAAUAUCUCUCUGGAGAAUUUACAAAGUUUUUGGAAGAUCAUGGCAUUGAAAGGCAGUUAACAGCAGCAUAUUCUCCACAACAAAAUGGUGUCUCAGAAAGAAGAAACAGAAGCCUAGUGGAGAUGGCAAGGGCCAUGAUCAAAGCUAAAGACUUACCAAUGAAGUUCUGGGCAGAAGCUGUCCAUACAGCAGCUUACAUUCAGAACAGAAUUCCAACCAAAGCACUUGAGAACAAGACGCCGCUUGAAGCUUGGAAUGGAACAAAACCAUCAAUGAAUCAUUUAAAGGUGUUUGGGUGUGUAUGUUAUGUACACAUACCAGAUGAAAAGAGAAAGAAGUGGGAUGACAAGUCUAAGAAAGCAAUCUUUGUUGGCUACAGCUCUCAAACUAAAGGCUACCGAGUCUAUUUGCUGGAGCAAGACAAGAUAGACGUUUCAAGAGAUGUGAUAUUUGAUGAAGGAAGCAAAUGGGACUGGAAGCAAAAAGAAGUGAACAAACAAUCUGUUGUAUCUCUAGAACCAGAUUGUAGACAAGAAGAUCUAAGGGUUGGUGAUUCAAGUUCUAGCGAUGGUGAAUCCAGAGGAAGAAGAAUCAUUCAGCCGGUGCCCUUUAAUCUGGAUCCUGACAGUCCAGAAAGCAGUUCAAGCCAGCCAAAUAGAAGAACCAGAUCAAUGAAUGAUAUCUUACGUACUGCUCCACACGUUGAUGUUGAAUCUGCUGAAGUAUGUGAAGGAUGUUACUUGAGUUUUGAAGAACCAGCAACAUUCGAAGAAGCUGUAAAGCAUACUGAGUGGAGACAUGCAAUGGAAGAAGAAAUACACAUGAUCGAGAAGAACCAGACAUGGCAAUUGGUUAAAAGACCUGCAGACAAAAAUGUGGUGGAAGUCAAGUGGAUAUUCAGGCUCAAAACAAAUGCAAAAGGAGAUGUUGUGAAGCACAAAGCAAGGUUAGUGGCUAAGGGGUUUACUCAGCAGUAUGGAGUUGAUUAUUUGGAGACUUUUGCCCCAGUUUCAAGACAUGAAACUAUCAGAUUACUUCUUGCUGUUGCUGCUCAAAGAAAAUGGGAAUUAUUUCAACUUGAUGUCAAGUCUGCUUUUCUAAAUGGAAAGCUAGAAGAAGAGAUAUAUGCUGAGCAACCACCUGGGUUUGAAGAAGAAGGAAAGGGCGACUAUGUUCUUCGUCUACACAAAGCUCUUUAUGGUUUAAAGCAGGCGCCUAGAACAUGGUACAGCAGAAUUGAUGAGUUUUUCUUGCGAGAAAACUUUAAGAGAAGCGACAAUGAUCAUGCCUUAUACACAAAAGAAGCUCAUGGAAAGAUUUUGGUGGUGUGCAUCUAUGUGGACGAUCUUAUUGUCACUGGAGACGAUAAGAAAAUGGUGGAUGAUUUCAAGAUGGCAAUGAAGAAUGAAUUUGAGAUGUCUGAUCUAGGACUGUUGAACUAUUUCUUGGGAAUGGAGAUUGUGCAGAGUGAAGAAGGAAUUUUUCUAUCCCAAGAAUGCUAUGCAAAGAAGCUGCUGGAGAAGUUCAACAUGAAAGAAUGCAAGAUCAUGAGAACACCAUUGGCACCUCAAGGCAAGAUUCAAGAUGAAGAAGAAGAACCUGCUGAUUCUAAAACUUAUAGGAGCCUUGUGGGAGGUCUGCUGUAUCUAACAGCUACUCGACCUGAUCUGAUGUUCUCUGCAUCUUAUUUGUCUAGGUAUCUGAAGGAACCUAAAGCCAAGCAUUUCAAGGAGGCAAAGAGAGUUCUCAGAUACAUCAAAGGGACAGCUGAUAUAGGAUUGAUGUUUUCUGCAGUCAAGGAGCCAAAGCUUGUUGGAUAUUCAGAUAGUGAUUGGGGAGGAUGCAAAGAAGAUCUAAAGUCAACAACUGGAUAUUGCUUUAGUAUUGGGUCUGCAAUAUUCUCAUGGAAAACCAGCAAGCAAGACACUAUCGCUCAAUCCACCGCUGAGGCAGAAUACAUGGCUUUGUGUGCAGCAACAAAUCAAGCAAUAUGGCUAAGGCGUUUGCUUGAAGAUUUGAAGUUCAACACUCAAGAGGGAGUUCCUAUCUACUGUGACAGUCAAUCAGCCAUUGCAAUUGGGAAAAAUCCAGUCCAGCAUAGAAGAACCAAGCACAUUCAAAUCAAGUAUCACUUUGUUAGAGAAUCUGUGAAAAAUGGAGACAUCAAGCUGGAAUAUUGCAAGAGUGAAGAGCAGCUGGCUGAUACACUCACUAAGGCAUUGGGAGGACAGCCUUUUGAAAGGUUUCGUGUUCAACUUGGUUUGAGGAACAAAAAGGCAAGAGGGAGUGUUGAAUAAUGCCUAUUUGUUCUCAAACCACACAAAUAAAACGUGGGAAAAGAGAGUAAUAAGUUAAUAAUAAGAUAAAUGGAGAAAGAUCUAGAGAAUUCUUGUUCUCUGUAUAAAUAUGUAAUGGUCCUCUUGUGUAAUUUAAGCAACUAAGAAAUCAGUUCUCUACUUCAUCUUUCUCUAUCUACCUUUCACUCAUACGUUCUACACACAAACAUUCCUCUGUUUUCUUUUCUUUGAACAAGAUCAAAAACAGAACAAGAUCAAAAACAGAACAAGAGAAACAUGAAGAAAACCUGCAAUUUUCUGAAGUUUGCAACAAGAAGAAGGAAGGCUUUUGUGUAUUUCUUCAUUAUCAUAAUUGUUUGGUUUCCAAUCUGUACUCAUGUCGACAAAUAGUAUAUAUCUAAGAAGUCAAGAAAAGUAAUAACAUAAAAUGGAUGCUGAUCAAACAUAUACAAGAAAGGGUUUUUGCUGUUUUAUUCAUUAUCAUAAUUGUUUGGUUCCAAUCUGUAACAUGUCCACCAGUAGGAAUGUAGAAUAUAUAGAAUAUAUGUAGAAGUCAAGAAAAAUAAAUUUAAGAAAAUGGAAGCUGCCAAGAUCAAACAUAUAGUGAAAAAAUAAAUUAAUGAAUUUCUUCGACGAUUUGACAUAUAUUUAUUUAUUAGGAGAUUUUCUAUGCUACACGGCUAUACGCAAUGGUAAUUUAAAAAAAAUAAUAUUCUAUUAUAUUAAAGGGAAAAUUAGUCUAUAUAUAGUCUGACUUUUUUAUAAGAUUUUAAUUUUAUCAAUUGAACUUAAUUAUUUGUAGUGUUGAUCAAGAUAUUUUUUCAACAUAUAGCAAAUAAAUAAACAUUACAAAAUCAAUGAUAAUUUGUAUUCUCUAGCACGCGGUUUUGUACAUCAUCUAGCUGUAACAUGUUCUGAAUAGUCAAAUAUUAGAGAUUAUAUCCUGGAUGGAUAAUUAUGGAUGUAAGACUUUUUGAGGUUUCCUUAUAUUGUAGACUUAACCGUUCACCGUUUAUUGUAGAUUGUUCAUUUUAAAUAGUUAGAUGUGUUUGUUGUGAACGUUCUAUUGUUAUUUGUAAUAUUAAAAUUGAAACAUCUUUGUGACAAACAUAUAAUGUCAAUCAUUUGCCUAAUCAGUGAUAUCUUCCAAUGUUCAAUCGAUUAAACGUUUUGAAACUAAGAUUUUAUUUUAAAACCAUUUUGAGAAUCAUUAAAUCCCAACCAGACCCUACCGAAACCUUUAAAUCCUUUUGUUAAUUAAUAGAACUCAGAAGAAAGCUUAUUUCGAUUCACUCCGAUGUCAUUUACAAUGGCUGCACGUGAUCAAUGUGGUGCUCUAUUUUUAUUCUCGGAGAAGCCAUGUUUAGGUAAAUGCUGCUGCCGAAUGAUAAACGGCCUUGUUGAUCAGACAGCCAGUCUUGUAUUCGCCGUUGUAGUAGAUCCAUCCUAUUGCGUAGUCUUUUAUUUUUCAUAAGCCCAUUGAAUCUCAUUAUUUUCGUUUCUAAAAAAAUCUCAUUAUGGUUGCGUAUCCUACUGUCUAUAGAUACAUGCUUGUAUAUUCACUUCUAUGUUUGAUAUAUAUAACAGAUAAACCAAGAAAAGAUCGAUGACCAUAUAAGAUAAAACUAUGGUUACAAUUAUUAAAAAAAAAUGGUAAACCAUUUCACGGAGAGAGAAUGUGAAAGCUCCGGUGGCCACGCGCCGUGGAAAUCUGGUAUGGUGCGGAUUCGAAUUCAGGUCUUUUGGGGAUCCACAGAACGCCUUGACCACCCGACCACAGACGCCUGGUUUACGGUUACAAUUAUAUUUUACAAAUAACUAUGUAAUAGCCUAGCAUGCAUUAUCGUUACUGUUAUUAUUUUUACCAUCUACACAUGAAUUUUUGAAAGAAAAUAAUCAAUGAUAGCGUUGUCACAUCGUGCAUAUAUUUAUUUUUCCCUUAUGUUACAUCGUUACUAAAUAGUGAUCGGAAUUACACAAUAUCGGUGGUGGGCAAAUUCUGCGUACAUAUUCAACGUUGCUAACUCUUGUAGCGAGAGCACAAGUUAAGGAGCUCUCGGGGGAAAGAGUUGUCACAUCGUGCAUAUAUUUAUUUUUCCCUUAUGUUACAUCGUUACUAAAUAGUGAUCGGAAUUACACAAUAUCGGUGGUGGGCAAAUUCUGCGUACAUAUUCAACGUUGCUAACUCUUGAAGCGAGAGCACAAGUUAAGGAGCUCUCGGGAGAAAGAGUCUACAAGACUUUUCCGUUUCUCUCUUAUAAGGAGGCCUUCUUUGUAGAGCUCCACAAGGCGGGGAAGGGCUUACGCCUAUCUUUUCUGUCCAUUUCACAACACCUAUUACAAAAUUAACCCACCAGAAUUAGAAAAUUUAUUUAAAGUAAUAACUUACUAAACUGUAAAUUUUAUAAUUCGCUGAGUAAAAAGAGACUGACCUAGGUGACGGAAUCUUGCCUCUGUCACACCAACCUGUAAGGAUACACAUAAAAGUAUAUGAACCAAGCUUAGAAGAAGAAAUUGUAUUGUUUUCCUCUUUGUCAUUGUUUUUCUUGUUCUUUUCGUCUAGACCAGUAGUGGAUAUAUAUAUGGUUUUGAGUAGACAUAAUCAACCGUAUCGUGAAUAAAUAAAGUUGAAGUAUUAUAUAAGCUUCUACGACUUCUUGUUUUUUUCAAGAACGCGGUUUUCUACAUCACCUAAGUACCAUCUUCUGAAUAUUCAAAUAAAAACUUGACAAAAAGUCAGUUUCAAGAGUCAAGCUGGGUAAUUACGGAUGCAAUACUUUUGGAGUUUUUAAAUAUUUUAGAUUAAUUGUUCAUUUGAAUUGGUUAGGUACGUACGUACCUGUAAACGGUCGGUUAUUGCCUUAUUGGCAUGUGCCAGAACUGCAAAGCAUGUGAUCCAUAUUUUUCUUUUCUUAUUUUAGAGUCUUCCUUUUUGGUCCAAAUUUUUCGACCAAAAAAAAAAAAAUUAUGAUCCAAAUUUGAGUAAAUGUAGAAAACUGAUACUACGUUCGUAUACAAAUAGUAUUUUUAAUAGAUACUGCACUAUUAAAAACACCAACUGAGAAAAGUACCUAUAGAAGAGGAUAAGACUCACAUGUUACACUUGUUCCCCGUUUAGUACUACUAGUGCCUUAAGGAACUACAACAUUAUCAAAUACACAAACCACAAUUUACAAAAUUCUACAAAAUACUUGUGAAAAUGUUGUAUAAAUUAUUCACAAGCAAUUCUCGUCUCAAAGCUCCUCGAGAAAAUGGCAAAAGCCUGGAUAUACUUUGCAUUUUCAAAAGCUACAGCUUACUCCUAGUUUAACAACGAGAAUGUAGACAUACUUUGCAUUGUACAAAUAACAAUAAAAAGACUUGAAUCGUUAUCAUAAACUGCUACCUUGGUUCAGAAUAGUCCAAAACUCAACGAGGCAACCUCUGCAACUCCACAGCAACUAGCGAAGCGACGAUGUUAAGACCCGCGACGUCUGAGUUCUUGAUCUCAGAGACAAUGGCGUUGAUCUUAUAGAUAUCAUAUCCUGAUAUCGACAAAAUCAUGGCAUGCGAUAGAUACUGCUUGCACGCAUAACCCAAACAAUGCAAGAUUCUCGUCAAUACCAACACUUGUGUCUCCGUGCUCUUCCUCCUGCGCCACGAGUCGAGGAUCGGUGUGAUCUUAGGAAGAUUGGUUAAAAACCCCGUGGCGGCUUCUCUCGAAGCAGUCUUAAGUAGCAACACGACGCAUUCAGAGGCAAUAUCUGCUACUGCGAUGCUCGUGUCAUCUGAGGCCGCGAGGUCCAAGAGCAAGCCGAUGUUGCUACCGAAGUCUGCAAUGUCUCUUAUACAUUCUUGUGGAUCGACCUCGAAUGUGAAAGAUGCCUCUGAUAAUAGCGUUGGCUCUUUCGUGUAGUUUGAGCGGAGACCUUUCUUGUUCCCAAGUGACCUUAACAAGAAAGCUCUGCAGAGACUUAAAGUAGGCUCAAGGAAAUCUUCCAUGUCUUUGGCAUUCACAAAUUCUAGCAGGUUCCCGAUCCUCCUCACUACUUUGAGCUGAGAAAGUAGUUUAGUUUCCAUCUCUGGAGCUGAGGCCAAGGCGAGACAGAGCUUGACGUUGUUCACAUUCGCGCUUGACAAGUCUCCGAGAAGAAACUCGAAGCACUGUGAAACUGUGUUCUGUUGCAAAAUGCUGGAGAUUUUGAUGUAGUCAAACUCAACUAGCAUGAGGAGGAGCUUUUGUGCGUAAGCUGGGAUUGGAUCUUCGUCUUGGAGCAGUGCAGGGUAGAGUGGGAGGAAAUGAGAGUUGGAUACUGAUUUCAAAUCCUCAGAGGUUUGUUGUUCGAUGUCUGUGCACUCGGUUAAGAGAAUUGUCAUUGUAUCGAACCAGAUCUUCAAACAGAGAAACCGAGCAUCCCCAUCUUUGUUCCCAUUGUAAAUUGCAGCCAGAGAUGGGAGAAUCUCACGGAAAAUAAUAUCAGCAUUUUGUGUAACCAGAGGAGCGUCUUCUGCUAUGCAUUCUAGAACUUGAAGAAGGGUUAUACGGAAGUCAUCUCUUCCCUGCAAAUUGUUAACAAGUCAUGAAAAAUUGACAAGUAUGUCAUAUCAAAGUUCACUGUGUCAUAAACCAUGAUUAGGACAAGAGAGAAAAUGGAGAAAGUUCUUCAAACAUGUUAGAUCUUAAACACACAUCUAUAGUGAAAGUUCCGAUAAUAGUUGUAUGAGAUUCUUUCCUAUCCUGUAAGCAAUCCUAACCAUAUCAUAGAAUAGUAGUAACUAGCAUAAGGCAAGGAAUUUAAACGCAGACGAGCAAUUAUUCAAUCCCAUUAGCGCAAGAUAAAACACAGAGCAUUUCAUUUGAAGGAAGAGAGUAAUACAAAAAGGGCAUCGGAAAGUUGUAACUACUGACCUGAAAUGAGGCUUCCACAAAUUUUGUAACAUUUGCCAGCUGGCGCAGGAUUUGUUGGGUUAUCAUUUUGUUCUUAAACGAAGAGCUUCCAAGAAGAUGAAGAACCACAGGAAACAAGUGUAGAUUAGUCUUUGGAGCAGCUCGACCAUUAAGGGGAGAAACAGGUGCAUGGCGUUUUCCUGUCAUUAGCUGCUGGAUAUCACUGGUUAUCGUAUCCAGCAAACCCGGUAUUAUGGAGGCAAUGACAUGCACGAAUGCCUCAAGACAUUGUUGCACAUAAGUGUCUUUUUCUUUGGCUAAUCUGUCCACCACGGGAAGAAAUCUUGUAUUGCAAAAGAAAUUUGUUAGCCACCGCCUACUAUUUUUGCACAAAAGUGCAACGAAGAGAACAGUUUUUCCCCUCAGAACUUCAGUUCCUUGCUCUAAGAUGGAAAGCAGACUAGGGAAAAGAUUUUUCUCCUCUGUCAAUGACACAAGAUGCCUUCCAAAGCUUGGGCACGUGUGACUUCCAAUCAUAGCCAUAUUCAGAAGAUUUAAGCAAGUUUGCUGCUCCCGUGCGCUACCUUUGACGAAAGAUGAAGCUAUUUCCUUCAAUGAGAGCUUUUCUACAACCGUCUGAAUGCAAGGAGGGUUAAAACGAGAAAGACGGACCAAACAUGAUCCAGCAGUCUGCCUCAUGCUCUCUUGUUUACCAGCUGCUCUGUAGAUAUAGCAGAGAUUGCUUAUCAAAUCUUGGCUAGAGAAACGGGUGGCCCAGUAAGCACCUUGACUGCAGAUGUUUUCUAUUGUCCUUAAAGCGUAGAGCUGAGUCAGGUCAUCUUCUCCUUUGCGUAAGGUAGAUGAUACAAGAGAGAUCAAGGCACCUGAAACCUAGUUCAAGAAAAAGGAAUAUUUUUAAACCGGCAUCAGUGAAAAGAUAAGACCACUAAGAUUAAGCAAUGUACUUUGGUCCAUGAAUAACACCAUGAACAUUAAAAGCCAAAUUAAGAGUAACAAUCCGGGAAUGCUGACCUGCCAACCCGAUGUAGACCGGGUUUCUUUGGAUGGGGAUUCUGUUGGUUUGAAAUCCUUAUGCUCAUUUUGAGUUGAGAUGUAGAACAUCAAUUCACCUAGGGCUGCCAUAGAGAACCUUCUCACUUUUUCAUGCUUGUCUCUGAGGCCAUUGGUAAGAGAGUCUAAGAUACCAGAAUUUGCCAACUCAUCUUCGAUAGCAGUAGAAUGCCGAAUUAACAAACCAAUUAGUGAAGCAAUUUGUACACGAAACGCCGGGGUCUUGGAUAAUCGCAGAACUUUAACAAGCACAAGCAUUAUUGGCCCGUUGGUCAAUAUGUUGGCUGCAUCAGCAUUGCUACUCAGUGCCUCGAGGUAUCUGAUCAAAUUCUGUUUCUCUGAGAUGCCAGCACUACUCCCACUUAGAACCGUUAUGAUUCUAUUGUUAAGCGGUUCAAGUUCUUGCUUUCCCAUCUUACCAAAAUCAGAAGGCUGUGGUGCUUCGAAUGAGAGAGAAGGCACAGCUUCUUUGUCAGAUUUUCUGCUGGGCAUGACGGGUCUAACAGAAAGAUCGGAUAAAUGCCAAACGACGUCACUGAGGCUAUUAGGUGAUUUAGACGAGUCGUGGUGAACAUUAAUCCCAGAAACAUCUCUUCCUCUAUGAGUUUUGACUUGAGGACUAGCACUAGGUAGCGCAGCUGACACUUCAAUAGGUUCUGACUGCUCUUCAUGGCAAUCUCUGGCUUCACCCGAGGUUCCCGAGGUUGGUGUUUCAUUCGCAGACGAGUUCUCAUCAAGCACAUUAUUGCUCCUAACUCCUUGCCUUCUGUGACUCAAAACUCUUUCAUCUUGUGCACCAGAGGUGUUCUCAUUUCCUUCUAAUUCAUCUGGACCAUCCUCAUCAUUGUCUUCAUCAAAAUCAAGUUCCAUAUCAGUGUUAUCGAUCUUCACUUCAGCACAGUUCUCGUUGCUAUUAGGUAAGGGUCUCCUGUAGUUUUCCUUCUCAUUUUCCUUUUGGAGAUUUGCCUUUGCUAUCCUGGACAAUCUUAGAAUAUUCACCUGUCGGUUAGCACCCGGACAACCUCCAUGCUUUUCCUGAGUUGCCUUACUAUGAAGCUUUGUUUGUGUUUUUGAACCAACAGGAGUACCCUUUUGUGGCGUCUCAUGGCCCCUUGAACCUUGAGUGGAGUUUUCCUUGUGCUUUGAACCACCUUUUGGAUCUUUCUCCCGAGACUUUGGAGGGGUCUUGCAUGGUCUGUCUCCGUUAUGCUCAGAAAGACAUGGCUUUGUGUAUAUGCCAAUCAUAUUAUCAAAAGCAGGCUGAGGAGGCAACUGUACUAAAUUUAUCUUACUCUUCCAAAAUGCAUGACCACAGAGAUCUGCCCACUGUAUUCUUUGAGCUGGGUCUUUGAUAAGAAGAGACUCGAUGAGAUUGACAAAUGAACGGCUUGCAUUUUCAGGGAGUGGAGGAGUUGGAUCUGAAUGAAUGGAUUUCACAAGCUGGGUGAACUCUCUUGCCACAAAAGGAGGUCUCCCAGUGUAACAUUCAUAUAACACACAGCCAAGGGCCCAUAGGUCGGAAGCAAAAGAAUGAACCCCUCCAUCUUCAUAUAGUUCUGGAGCCAUAUAAUACGGAGUUCCACGUUUUCCCUGAUGCAAGUUAUCACAAGAGAUGAGUAUUUAUGUCAUACAUACAGUUUCCGGUGUAAUUUGAAAUCAUAGAUUCACUAACGCUGUAAAGCCUAUAUAUAGAAAAAAAACGGACAUAUAAAUACUCUUUACCGUGGAUGGAGAUUUAGUAAUAUCAUCUAGCUUCCUUGCCAACCCAAAAUCACACAGCUGCAACACAAAGCAAUAUGAUAUCAUUUAAACCAAAUAAACUGCAUACCGGCAUAGAAAAGGCAGAAAAAAUGAUUACCUUAAUAUGUCCAUUAUCAUCAAGUAAGAUGUUUGAUGGUUUCAGAUCACAAUAUGUAAUUCCUCUCGAAUGUAAGAACCUGGAAAAUUCCGGAAAAAAUGUCCAUAAGAGAAAGCAUAUUAUUGAUGCACCUAGAGUUAGUGUCAAACUAGCAAAAGAAUGAUCUUACAGCAAGGCUAUGACAAGAUCAUAGGCAAGACCAUAGACUGAAUCUUCUGGCAGCUUACAGUCCUACAAAACAAAUGACGUUCAGAAAACCUGUGACCUACCAUCAAUAAGAGAGUUGAAGUAGAAGCAAUACCUGCUGCAAUAACGUCCUGAGAUCACCCCCAACGCAGUAUUCCAGAACUAACCACAUGUGAGCAGAAGUUUCGUACCUGAGAGACCACAAGAAGAAGAUAAUCAGAAACAAGUAAACAAAGAGAGAGGCAGAUAACUGUUUAGAUAAUAGCAAAAGUCUAUACCACGCAUAGAACUUGAGUACAUUUGGAUGAUUUAGCGAGUGAAGGAUCCUGACCUGAAAAAGAGGUAAAGAGUUCAAAUACCAAAGCAGUUAGAAAAACUCAGACAUCGUGAAAAGUCAAUUCGGCCUUUCUCACAAACAAAUCAUCCAGAAAAUAGAAACUUAAGAUCUCUAACUGAUGACGAAUCUAGAGUGAAUCCGUCACUAUUCAGAUACCAGCUCACUAAAAUCAAGCAAUCAAUCUCAGGUAAACCAAGCAUGAAAUCACUGAUUCGGCAAAGAGGAAACAGAUCUCUCGUGCGUGCGUACCUCUUGAAGAACCUUGCUCUUGCGCGACUUGUCGACACUCUUGCAGGCAAAAUACUCGAUCGUCUUCUUCUUCCUUCCUUUGUACACAGUCUGCAACGAAUUUACUAAGUGAUUUAUGUAGAAGGGAAGAAACUUAGAUGUAACAGAGAAGAAACUUGUGCUUUCUUAUUACUUUUAACUUGACGGCAAGACUUGCCCUUUACAUCAAUAUAUAUACAGCAUAGAUUUAGGUUAACCUCAGCACACUGUUGUACAGCUGUCCAACCUCUCAAACCUAUUCUUUGUCUCCACACAGUGAGCUGGCUUGACCGUACCAUGCUCACGCAAAGCUUGCUUGUUCACUGAAGUUGCAGAAGACGACAAAGACUUGUUCUUGGGCUGAGAGACAGCAACGGUCUUCUUCCUUUCCUCCAAAUGGGCUUCGAACAACGGCCCAGUAUUCAUACUACCUUUACUCCCCCUCAAACUUGGCGUAGGAGGCACGACAACACCAAGUUUGCUUCUCCAUUUGUAGAAAGACUGUUGUGACAAUGACUUUGUAAACACAUCCGCAAUCUGAAGUGUGGCCGGAAUGUGUUUUACUUCCAGAGCUUUCCCUGCUACUCGUUCUCUAACAUAAUGAUAAUCAAUAUCAAAAUGCUUAGUCCUCUUGUGAAACAUUGGAUUCGCUGUCAAACAUACUGCAGACAGAUUGUCGCAGAGAAGCAGCGGCGUGAUUCUCUGUUGCAGCCCCAUUAUCUUCAGAAGAUUUUGUAGCCACACAAUCUCUGAAGUUGCAGCAGACAUUGUUCGAUAUUCUGCCUCAGCAGAUGACUUAGAUACAGUAUCAUGUCUCUUCGCAGACCAGGAUAUAACAUUUGAGCCAAGCAUUGUACAAAAACCACCAGUUGAUCUUCGAGUGUCUUUGCAUCCGGCCCAGUCUGAGUCACUAUAACAGACUAAAGUUGAAUCCGUAUGACCUUUGAUACUCACUCCCAUAUCAUAUGUACCCUUGACAUAUCUUAAGAUUCUCUUUAGCAGACUGAAAUCAGACACACUUGGCUGAUGCAUCUUCUGACAGAUAUAGUUCACCGAGAACUGAAGAUCUGGUCUUGUCAAUGUUAAGUACUGAAGUUUGCCUGCUAAGCUUCGGAAAUACGAUGGCUCAGCAAAUAAUUCAUCAUGACCAUGAAGAUUGUCUAGCUUCAUCGGCAAAGGAGUAGGCAUUGGAGCACAGUCCCGCAUACCAGCACUUGUGAGAAGAUCCUGGGCAUAUUUGGCCUGAUUCAGAAACAGACCGUCUUCAUUUUGAUGUACCUGAAUGCCAAGAAAGUAGUGUAUCGGCCCCAUAUCCUUCAUACGAAACACGGUACUCAGCUUCUCAAGAAGUGUCACUAGCAAGUUGUCAUUGUUGCUUGUCAAAAUCAUAUCAUCAACAUACAGUAACAGAUAAAUAACAUCUGUUCCUUGAUGAUAAAUGAACAACGAAGGAUCUGGGAAGCUACACUGAAAUCCGAACUCCAGGAGAAAGGUACUGAACUUAUCAAACCAUGCUCUAGGAGCUUGUUUCAGACCGUAUAUUGCUUUCUUCAGUUUACACACAUAAUCUGAUCUCAACUGAUCUUCAAAACCCGGAGGCUGAAUCAUAUACACUGUCUCCUUCAAGUCUCCGUGUAGGAAGGCAUUCUGAACAUCAAGCUGCUUGAUUUUCCAUUUCUUUGUUACUGCCACAUGUAAUACUGUCCUGAUAGUAGCCGUUCGCACCACAGGACUAAACGUUUCAAGAAAAUCUACUCCUUCUUCUUGUUGAUUUCCUCUAGCUACUAGACGCGACCUGAGCUUCAGAACUGUUCCAUCAGCAUUGAGUUUAGUCUUAUAAACCCAGCCACAGCCUACUGGAUUUUGUCCUUCUUCUGAUGGAACUAACUCAUAUGUCCCUGUUUCUUCCAUGUUAUCGAUUUCCAGGCGCAUAGAAGCAUUCCAACGUGGAUCAUUCAAAGCUGCUUUGACACUUCGAGGUUCAGAGUGUUCUGUUUUCACAGUGACCAUUGCAUAUCGAGGGUUUGGUUUGAUAAUUCCUGCUCUGGCACGUGUUGUCAUAGAGUGAGGAACUGAGACUACGGGUUCAACUUGCUCUUGCUGUUCAACUGCAGCAUCAUCAUCAGACUGAUCAGUUGAUGAUGUAGUAGCAGAUUCUUCUGUGUCAUUACCUGUCUGAACUGCUGGAUUCUGCGGCAAUGCAGCUGCUGGGGCAACUACAGUCUUGAUCACAGUCGCUGGUAAUUCUUCAAUAUUCUCGUCACUUUCUUCUUCUUGCUUGGACUGAAACAGAUUCACACUCUUCCAGGAGUUGAGUAGAGAUGAGUCUGAAUCUGUGUGAAAGUGGCUGUAGAUAUCUCCAAAUGGAAAGUGAUUCUCAUCGAACAAAACGUGUCUUGAGAUAAACACUUUCCCUGUUGGUGGAUACAAACAUCGGUAACCUUUAUAUCUCUCAUUGUAACCCAAAAACACACAUACCAGAGACUUUGGAUCAAACUUAUUCUUCAUGUAAGGCCGAAGAUAAGGAUAACACUUGCAUCCAAACACUCGGCGUGACUCUCUGUUGCAGCCCCAUUAUCUUCAGAAGAUUUUGUAGCCAAACAAUCUCUGAAGUUGCAGCAGACAUUGUUCGAUAUUCUGCCUCAGUAGAUGACUUAGAUACAGUAUCAUGUCUCUUCGCAGACCAGGAUAUAACAUUUGAGCCAAGCAUUGUACAAAAACCACCAGUUGAUCUUCGAGUGUCUUUGCAUCCGGCCCAGUCUGAGUCACUAUAACAGACUAAAGUUGAAUCCGUAUGACCUUUGAUACUCACUCCCAUAUCAUAUGUACCCUUGACAUAUCUUAAGAUUCUCUUUAGCAGACUGAAAUCAGACACACUUGGCUGAUGCAUCUUCUGACAGAUAUAGUUCACCGAGAACUGAAGAUCUGGUCUUGUCAAUGUUAAGUACUGAAGUUUGCCUGCUAAGCUUCGGAAAUACGAUGGCUCAGCAAAUAAUUCAUCAUGACCAUGAAGAUUGUCUAGCUUCAUCGGCAAAGGAGUAGGCAUUGGAGCACAGUCCCGCAUACCAGCACUUGUGAGAAGAUCCUGGGCAUAUUUGGCCUGAUUCAGAAACAGACCGUCUUCAUUUUGAUGUACCUGAAUGCCAAGAAAGUAGUGUAUCGGCCCCAUAUCCUUCAUACGAAACACGGUACUCAGCUUCUCAAGAAGUGUCACUAGCAAGUUGUCAUUGUUGCUUGUCAAAAUCAUAUCAUCAACAUACAGUAACAGAUAAAUAACAUCUGUUCCUUGAUGAUAAAUGAACAACGAAGGAUCUGGGAAGCUACACUGAAAUCCGAACUCCAGGAGAAAGGUACUGAACUUAUCAAACCAUGCUCUAGGAGCUUGUUUCAGACCGUAUAUUGCUUUCUUCAGUUUACACACAUAAUCUGAUCUCAACUGAUCUUCAAAACCCGGAGGCUGAAUCAUAUACACUGUCUCCUUCAAGUCUCCGUGUAGGAAGGCAUUCUGAACAUCAAGCUGCUUGAUUUUCCAUUUCUUUGUUACUGCCACAUGUAAUACUGUCCUGAUAGUAGCCGUUCGCACCACAGGACUAAACGUUUCAAGAAAAUCUACUCCUUCUUCUUGUUGAUUUCCUCUAGCUACUAGACGCGACCUGAGCUUCAGAACUGUUCCAUCAGCAUUGAGUUUAGUCUUAUAAACCCAGCCACAGCCUACUGGAUUUUGUCCUUCUUCUGAUGGAACUAACUCAUAUGUCCCUGUUUCUUCCAUGUUAUCGAUUUCCAGGCGCAUAGAAGCAUUCCAACGUGGAUCAUUCAAAGCUGCUUUGACACUUCGAGGUUCAGAGUGUUCUGUUUUCACAGUGACCAUUGCAUAUCGAGGGUUUGGUUUGAUAAUUCCUGCUCUGGCACGUGUUGUCAUAGAGUGAGGAACUGAGACUACGGGUUCAACUUGCUCUUGCUGUUCAACUGCAGCAUCAUCAUCAGACUGAUCAGUUGAUGAUGUAGUAGCAGAUUCUUCUGUGUCAUUACCUGUCUGAACUGCUGGAUUCUGCGGCAAUGCAGCUGCUGGGGCAACUACAGUCUUGAUCACAGUCGCUGGUAAUUCUUCAAUAUUCUCGUCACUUUCUUCUUCUUGCUUGGACUGAAACAGAUUCACACUCUUCCAGGAGUUGAGUAGAGAUGAGUCUGAAUCUGUGUGAAAGUGGCUGUAGAUAUCUCCAAAUGGAAAGUGAUUCUCAUCGAACAAAACGUGUCUUGAGAUAAACACUUUCCCUGUUGGUGGAUACAAACAUCGGUAACCUUUAUAUCUCUCAUUGUAACCCAAAAACACACAUACCAGAGACUUUGGAUCAAACUUAUUCUUCAUGUAAGGCCGAAGAUAAGGAUAACACUUGCAUCCAAACACUCGAAGAGCUGUAUACACUGGUGCUUUGUCAUUUAACACUUCAUAAGGACUCUUUCUCUCUUUCAGAACUGAGGAUGGCAAUAGGUUGACAAUAAAAUUUGCAGUAAAGAAGGCUUCAACCCAUAGUUGUUGCGGGAUUUUACUAUCAAACAUCAUUGUCAGCCCAAGUUCUGUUAUAUGUCUAUGCUUCCUCUCAGCUAAGCCGUUCUGUUGAGGUGUAUGAGGACACGACACAAGCUGCUUGAUGCCACAAGACUGCAGGUGUUGCAUAAAUCUCUUGUUGAUGAACUCGCCUCCUCCAUCACACUGGAACUGAGCAAUGCACUGCUUGUAUUGAUUCUCGACUAGACUUUGAAACCGCACAAAGACAGAAAAGAAUUCAGACUUGAGCUUGAGAGGAUAAAACCAAGUGUAUCUUGAAUAAUUAUCAAUGAAAAUGACAUAGUAUCUGAAACCUUGCGAUGACAUUACAGGACUAGGCCCCCACAAAUCACAGUGAAUCCUUUCCAAAGGAUGAAUAGAAACAGACUCAGAGUUAACAAAGGGAAGCCUUGAACUCUUUCCUAAUGAACAAGCAUCACAACACAGACGUGAGCUUGUUUUAUUCAUUACUAUAGAUAGACUUCUUGACAAAUGCUGAAGAACAUCCAUAUUUGUGUGCCCCAGCCUUCUAUGCCACACUUCAUCACUUGCGGCUUGUUGACGUGUUGAAUAAAAAGCUUGAAACCGCAUGUCCUUCAGUACAUACAGGUCUUUAAGUCUUCUUCCUUGUGUUAUCACUCUCUUUGUGGCCUUGUCCUUAACACACACCGAAUCAGAAUCAAAAGUAAACUCACAAGGAUAAUCAGAUGUCAACUUUGAUACGGACAACAAUGAUUUAGUUAUACCAGGACAUAUCAACACAUCAUUGAGGGGCAAGUUACCUUGUUGAGUUUGAAGGGACAGAGACCCGACAUGAGUGAUAGGUAGGAAGUCACCGUUACCAACUAUAACCUGAUCAUUCCCCAAAUAUGGCUCUGAAGACUGGAGUUGAUCACUGUUGUUUGUGAUGUGAGCUGUUGCAGCAGAAUCUGGAUACCAUUCAUAACCUGACUGACCGGGAUGAUCUGUGACUCUCAUCGUAGCAAGAGCAGUGUGAAUGUUGUCAGGAGUUCGAUAAUCCUGAUCAAAGCGGUUGUAGCAUCGAUCUGCAGUAUGACCAAGGCGGCCACAGAUUUGACAUGUAGGUCUUGAACUUGCAUUGGAACCAGAUCCUCCUGAGAACUGCUGCUGAAAACCACGACCUCUGGUUGAAUAAGAGUUGGUGUUGUUACGCCCUCUGUAUCCUCCACGAUAGUUGUAGCUUCCACGUCCUCUGGUGUUAUAACCUCUUCCAGUAUGGAACGCCAAGUGAGGAUUUACGUCAGGAGCUUGAUUGAACUUCUGCAACUUGUCAUCAAACACCACCAACUUGAACACUGCAUCCUCAAAACUCAUCUGUGGAACGGAAUCCAUGGAAUGCUCUAUCACAGUACAAAUAGACUCAUACUCUUUUCCUAACCCACUGAGAGCUCCAUAUAUCAUCUCUUGUUCAGUAAUAGCACAACCGAUUGAAUCAAGUUGAUCACAAACUCCUUUGACCUCACCCAAAUACUCUGUCAUAGACUUUUGACCCUUUGACAUACCUUGGAGCUUACGUUGUAGAUCUAACUUGCGAGUUGCUGAGACUCUGUUAUACUUCUUCCCAAGACUGAACCACACUUCUUGAGCUGAAUGAAGACCAUAAACUGAACGCAGAGCUUCUUCAGUCAGCGAACCGAACAGCCAAGACAUAACCAACUGAUCUCGGCGAACCCACUUCGCAAACUCUGGGUUUGCUGCUUCAGUAACUACAUCUCCUUCUCGUGUUGUCUGAGAUGGGGAAGGCCGUGGUGUGGACCCGUCAAGAUAGCCAAGCAAAGACUGACUGGACAGAAAAGAUUCGAACUGAGUCUUCCAAAGAAGAUAGUUCGAAGAAGAGAGCUUCAGAGUAACACACUGUGAGAUACUCAAAGAUGGAGUUGAAAUCGUUUCUGAAGCCUCAUCCAUGGCUCUGAUACCAUGUAGAAGGGAAGAAACUUAGAUGUAACAGAGAAGAAACUUGUGCUUUCUUAUUACUUUUAACUUGACGGCAAGACUUGCCCUUUACAUCAAUAUAUAUACAGCAUAGAUUUAGGUUAACCUCAGCACACUGUUGUACAGCUGUCCAACCUCUCAAACCUAUUCUUUGUCUCCACACAGUGAGCUGGCUUGACCGUACCAUGCUCACGCAAAGCUUGCUUGUUCACUGAAGUUGCAGAAGACGACAAAGACUUGUUCUUGGGCUGAGAGACAGCAACGGUCUUCUUCCUUUCCUCCAAAUGGGCUUCGAACAACGGCCCAGUAUUCAUACUACCUUUAAUUUAAGCACAAAUAAAAAAUGGUUGGGUAAUGGUAAAGCAGAGUAGAAAUUACCGAGCAUUUGCCAUGCCCAAUCGCUUCGUAUAUGUGGUACUGGUUCAUCGUCAAAGCUUCAACUCGCCCGCCUGAGAUCCGAUUCGGAAUCUUCUCAGCUCUAAGGUUAAUUAGUGUCGUCCGUUGUUGAAUCGAUCUGGGAAGGAAGAGAAAGAGAGGGGAAAUGGUAGAGAGAAAAUAAACUGGAAAUUUUCAAAAUUCAAACCCCCUAGUGGACAAAUUUAGGAUAAUUUUGAAUUUGAUUAAUAUAUUUUGAAAAAUAAAGAAGCUACCGGAAUUUAAAAUGAAGAAACUGGGCUUGUUGGGCCCAUUUAUCCUUCUCUGUAAGAUAUUUCCCGCCCAAAUGAAUUGGGAAAUGGGCUUUUUUACCGCCGUGAAAAGGGGUGGGGGGGAAGCGGUAAAUCGAGUAGCGCAAAAAAACUGUGAAAGAGUGAAAUUAUUCGUUCUCCUCCGGAGACGAACGGAACCUUCGUCACAGUUUCUCUCCGACGUCGGCCUCGUAGACUGUGUGAGCUCCUUAACCACCUUUCUUCUUUCUUCUUCCUUAUCCGGUGGCGAAACUCACCGCCAAUAUAUUCGAUUUACUCUCCGUUAUUGCGUAAUCCUGAUCGAAUAUUUCGUCUUUUAUACUUUCCUGGAUUGUAUCGCUGUAUCUCAUUCUCUUAUCGUCUACUUUUUUGAAAGUUUCACUCUUUUUUAUUUACGAUGUGGUGAAUGUUGAGUAUAUGCCUCCCUUGAGGAAUACAUUUUGGUUAUUGCAGUUAAUCUUGUGAAAAUUUGUUUGACGUUGGCUUGGUGUUUGAUUACUCUAUUUGUUUCAUUGUUGUUAGUGAAAAGGAUUGAACUUUACCAAGUAGAGAUCAUACCAGAGGGGAGAGACUCAAAGCUAGAACAUUAAUGGAAGAGACCAACCGUGAUGGUGAUGGAGAGCUUUAUCCAUCUGGUGUCGAACAGGUUCCGGCUGAGAAGAGAAAGAGGGAAGGAUUGGUGAGUGGAGAAAGAGAAGCUGAAGAAGUUAUUUUAGUUGGUGACACCAAGGCUAUAAAAAUACUUGGUUUUGAUGGAGGAGAGCUGUCUCAGUCUCAGUCUCAGAGGUCUUUGUUUAGCAAGCGACAGGCCUUUGAGGUGCAAAACAACAUGAAUCUUAAAGGGUCUUUGCUAAAAGAAGAAUCAGGAGAAGAGCCAGCGAGAGGAAAGCAGGAUUAUUCAACUUUUAAUGACUUUGAUAAGCUGAGGGAAGAAAGAAAUUUUGCAGUUGGUCAGACAUGGGCUCUUUAUGAUGAUAAAGUGGAUGGGAUGCCUAGACUGUACGCUCAGAUCACAAAACUCUCAGUUCCCGGUUCCUGUCUUAGCGUCACAUGGCUUGAGCCUGAUCCAGACGACAAGGAAGAACUACAGGGCUAUGAAAAAGACUUGCCUGUUUCUGUCGGUUGGUUCAAACUCGGCAAAACGGAGGAUAUAAAAGAUCACAGAAGGUUCUCUCAUCUUGUUCACUGCAACGAAGGAAGCAGCAGCGCAGGUAGAAGAUUCAGCGUUUAUCCCAGAGAAGGAGAGACGUGGGCUAUCUUCAAGGGUCGCUACAAGCGCGAUAACUCCUGGAGCUACCGGGACAUUGACUGGUCAGCUGAUCCCGGUUCUCACCGUAAAUAUAACUAUCAAUUUGUCGAAAUCGUGCCAGAAGAAGAUGCUCAUACAGAUGCUCCACCUGUUGGAUUCCUGCAUAAGGCAAAAGGUUUUUCAAAUGUGUUCUGUCGCUUUGCUAAGGAAGUUGUUAAAUCUUACAUUCAAUGUAGCCAUACAGAGCAAUUCUCCCAUCGUGUUCCAUCGUUUAAGACGACUGGAAUAGAAGCAGAAGGUGUGCCUCGAGGUGCUUAUGAGCUGGAUCCCGCAGCGUUACCAGAAAACAUCAAGGAGAUUGACGUCCCUUUACAUCUACUAGAAGAGGCUAACUCUGAGGAGGAGGAUAAUAAACAUUCUCAGUGCGUUUACUUUGCUAGUAAAGGAAUAACUUUUCAAACGGGACAAGUCUGGUCAUUCGGCAGCGGCGACGACAACUUGCCACGGUACUACGGCAAGAUUCAGAAGAUCACGUUUGUUCAGGCUUUUGAGCAAGAUCCGGUGGUUAAACUGCAUAUAGGUCGUCUUAAGGCUAGACCUAUCAAAGGCGUUAUCCAGUGGAUUGACAAGGAGAUGCCCAUCGGGUGUGGGAACUUCCGGGCGAGGAAAGUUCUGGAGAUAUUCACUGAUCUUGAUGUGUUUUCACGUCUGAUAAGCCAAGGCUCCUCUGGAGAUGGGGAUGAUUACAGCAUCAUGCCCAAGGCUGGUGAUGUCUGGGCAAUAUACAGAAACUGGAGUAAUGGCAUUGAAGUCGCUGAUCUGCAAUCCCAGAGUUAUGAUCUUGUGGAAGUUCUUGAUGAUAAAGUGGGCUACGAGGUGCUGCUGCUGGCUCUUGAUGAUGGCUUUGAAUCAGUUGAUUCUAAGGGUUUUGGUUCGGUGUAUGUGGCUGCUACUGAGCAUUGGAUGGAUGGCGAGGACGUGAGAUUCACAGUUCCGGAAUGUGAACUGCUUAGAUUCUCGCAUCGAGUUCAUACUUGGAAAGUAACAAAGGAGAUGCAUGGAGUUUUGCAAGAAGUCUAUGAACCUAAUAUCUGAGGUAUUAUUGCCUGUUGAGUUGAUUCUCUGACUUGUACAGCUGAAACAGCACGGUGAAAAGGAAGAGCAUAGAUUGACCUUUUUGCGAUGAUAAAGUCACUGAACUUUCUUCGGGUUUAGUAGUCCCUUUGUAACAUUGUGAACUCCCCUAUCUUUAAAGUAGGAGGUAUCUGUAGUUUGGUGUUAAUCUGUGCUUUUGUGGUGAAGUAAUCCUUACGUUGGCCUUUAGGUGUGGUUUCAUAUUUGAAAACAAGACUAGAAACGUUUAAUUUUCAAAACUUUUUGGAAAACAAGACUAAAAAAAUGUUAAUUAUUGUUAUAUAUAAUUUGUUUAAAGUUAAAUAAAAAAAACAUCAAACCAACAUUCUCUUGUUCUUUUAAUCGUCCUUAUACCUGACACAAUUAUUCUGUAAUCAGAAAAUUCAUAUGAUUCUUCAGAUAUUUUACGUUUUAUCAUAUUUUAAUUUGUUUCCCCAAAUUGCUAACUGCGACUUUUCCCGCUAAAAGGAGAUAUUUUAAGUUACACUUUAUCGCACGUGUGCGCGACUAGUCGUCUCACUCACUUGUAUUUUCCCCUCCGGCAAAACUCUCCGCCACUUACGACCGCUGCUUGGUAUUUGCUUCCGCAAUUGCGUGAUUUGGUUAGUAGAUUGUAUCCAAAUGUCUUGUCUCUUGUUUUCUUGCCAUCACUCAUCAAUCCUGCACAUAGUCUCAAUUGAUGAGUGCAUGCUUUAGGGUCAUUCUCAUCUGAUAACCAUUAAAUAAUAAUGUAUUCUUCUUCUACAGGAGAAACCCACGAGAAGGCCUCACGUUGUUAGAAGAUGGAUAUCACCAUCAAUGGCGUUACAGAGACUUGGAUUAAUAAAGAGAGUCCUUCCUCCGACCAAACUCCUCCUCCUUCCACUGCCAUUCAAAAGUUCUGGACUUGGUGUACAGAGUGUAUGGCGUGGUACAGAUUGCAUAGAUGCUUUCUCCACAAAUCGAACACGUGUCGAUCUUGCAACAAGGAGUUCCUCGCGCGUGAGAUACCUCGUCAUGGUCUUUUACCAGGGAAAGACUCAUCUAAAGAUGUUAUGCACAAGAGGGUACUGAUUAAAAGGCUCCUUGGUAUACAGCAGAGCCAUCCAGUUGCAUCCAAUACACGUCCAAGCUUUUGGACCACGUGUAGAAACUGUGGGCAUAGAGAGCGUUUUCUUAAACUGUAUGUGGACAAAUGGUUCGUUUGUGAGAAGUGCCAUGGGGAGACCAUUGCAAUGGAGGUCCUUGCUAGUUCCGGCGAGGUGUUGUUCAACAAAUUGUUCUUGGAGUUGAAACCCGGGCGGAAGAAAAAUUAUUCCUCUGGUUUGAGCUGUGGCGUGAAGGUUGUUGGUGAGAAGAGAAAGAGGGAAGAGGUUGCUGCUUUAUCUCAAAAUCACAGCAAGCCUGUCGACAAUAACAGAAGAGGAUUCAAUGAUAAUGGAGAUGAAGCGUCAAGCUCUGGGAAUGCUAAGGUGGAUGACAACUUUGGUUUAUGUGAUUCAAGUUCAGGAAGUAAUGUAAAACCAAAGAUUGCUGAUCUGAAGUUUAACGACUUUGAUAAGCUGAGGGGAGAAGUGAACUUUGCAGUUGGCCAGGUGUGCGCUCUCUAUGACACAACAGAUAAGGUUCCUAGACAGUAUGCUCUCAUCAGAAAAGUUUCAGUUCCUUCUUUUGGGCUUAGGAUCACAUAUCUAGAGCCGGAUCCUGAUGAUGAGAAAGAGAUCCAAUGGUUUGAAGAAGACUUGCCUGUUUCUGAUGGUAAGUUCAGGCUUGGGAAAAAUCAGAACACUCAAGAGCGUUCGUUAUUCUCACAUGUUAUCCACUGCAACGAAGGAGGAAGCAACUCUGGUCAUUUCACUGUUUCUCCAAGAAAAGGAGAGACCUGGGCUCUAUUCAAGAACUGGGAUAUUAACUGGUCUUCAGAACCAGAUUCUCACCGCAAUUAUGAGUAUAAGUUUGUUGAGAUUUUGUCAGAUUAUUACACUGAUGGAGCUGCUUGCGUAUCUGUUGCUUUAUUGCAUAAAGCAAAAGGCUUUGCAAGUGUCUUCUUUCGGAUGGGAACUGGUGAGGCAGACACAUCGCAGAUUCUACCUCAGAAUAUGUAUCAAUUCUCACACAUGAUCCCUUCCUUCAAACUGACUGGAACUGAAGCAAAAGGUGUGCCAAAGUAUGCUUAUGAGCUGGACCAAGCUGCGUUACCAGAAAAAAUUGCAGAGGUAACCGUCCCUUCACAUCUAUUAGCCGCUCCAAAGCCUAAACCAAAAGAGCUCAGCUUUACUAUAAAUGGAAAGGUUUUUCGAGCUGGCCAGAUCUGGUCAUACAUCGGAUGUUUUGAUAACAUGCCUAGGAACUACUGUAGGAUCUAUAAGAUCAGUUUGACUCAAGCGUUUGAGCAGGCUCCAAUUUACAAAAUGCACGCGUUCCGGUUUAAGGCUACACCUUUUCCUAAGGAUAUCAUCCCUUGGAAGGAGGAGCGAUAUGGGGAGAAGAAAAUGCCUGUUGGUUGGGGAACUUACUUUUUGACUCAAGGCUCCUUAGCACUCACCCCUGAUCGUUUCUCACAUCUUAUAGUGCCUGGAACCUCCAAGGGAAGCAAUGAAUAUACUAUUCUGCCCAAGAUUGGUGAAGUGUGGGCGAUAUACAGAUUCUGGACUCCUUACCUUAGUGCCGAUGAAAUGGAGAAAAACUACGUGGACUAUGGCAUUGUAGAAGUUCUUGAUGAUGCUUUUGACUAUAAGGUUUUAGCGUUGGAGCCUGCGUUGCAGUUUAAGGAAGAUGUAAGGAAAAAGAGAGUGUUUAGAGCAGCUGAGAGCAAGCCACUUGAUUUUGAUGAUGAUGAUGAUGGGUCGGGAGUGAUCUUUACAAUCCCAAGGUCGAAAAUGCUGAGAUUCUCUCAUCAGAUUGCUGCUUCCCGGGUAGUAAAGGAGAUAGAUGGAGAGUUGAAAGAGCUUUUUGAACUUGAUUCUACAGCAGUACCUGUAUUGUGAGGUUUCAACAGCAUUGAGCAACGGAUGUAGGAGAAAGAUAAGUCCCUUUUGUUAGCUUUUUGGUGCAUUCUGACUCUCAAGGUUUGAUCUUGUUUAAAGACUUUAUCCAAGGUUUAUGGAUGUUUUUCUUUUGUUGGUUCAAAUCUAUGGAAAGUCAUGAAUCUUGAGAUGGUAAUGUAGGAAAAAGAGCAAGUGGUUUAGAUCAGACUGAGAAACUUACUGAACUCUCUCCAUGUUUAGUUAGUUACUAGUCAUUUGAUUCAAUAGUAGGUAGUUCUCUGUUAAGUGUUUAUCAAGCUCUCUCCUUCUUGCAUAUACAGUAUGUGUUUUGAACUGAAGUAAAUCUCAACGUUUGUGUCAUCUCUUAGCAGCUUCUUCAUCUGCACUUCUUAUUAUUAAUCAUGUGAUCUGAUAUAGUUUUACAAAAUUUAGCAACGAAUUAUCAAAUUUACUAGAAAAAAUCCGACCAGCAAAACACAUAUUCAAACUCAAUUUCAGAAACACAAACUAAAGCAUAAAUGAUCAAAAUAUUAUAACGUGUGUUUAAAAAAAAUAAUAAUAAUAAUAUGAAGAUAUAACAUUUUUUUGUUUCCCGCCAUUAGCGGUUGGACUUUUCCCGCUAAAAGAAGAAUGUAUAUUUUAAUUUAGCUACAUUCUCUUGACGACGAAUCAUCUCUCUCUCUUUUCUCGGGCAAACGUCUCCGCCCUUUGUGACAGCUUCUUGCUCCCGCUCCCGCUAUUGUCUGAAUCGGUUAGUAGUAUGUAUCCAAAUGUCUUGUCUUUGGCUUUCUUAAUGUACACACGCUUGAUUUAGGGUUCUUAUUAAUUUGUUCUGAUUCGAAAUGCUAUCAAAGAACACAUGCUUUGGCUUUCCAUAAACUGUAUUGUAUUCUUCUUGCAGGAUCCAAAGAGAAGAAAGUUAUUAGAUUCUUUGAUGGAUAUCACCAUCAUGAACGAGCUUCACAGAGAGAAAGAAGCUUCAGAGACUUCCACUACAGCUCAAUCAAGUGACCGUUCAAUGGUUUGGACUAUAUGUCCUUUCUGUAGCGUCAGGUACAAAUCCUACAUAAGCCUUCUCAACAAACCCACACGAUGUCAAUCUUGCUACUUGAAGUUCCUUGCUAGCGAGUCUCUUGUCAAAGGCACUACGACAAUGGAUAAAGCAACUCAGACAAGCUUGUCUACCAUAGAGAAAAGUAUGUGCAGUCAAAACCAUAUUACUAGGAGCAAUGUGGUUGCACCGACACCGAAGAGCCAGGUUCAGCCUCAGACUGCAACAUCUAGUCUCAGUCCAAGACUUUGUGCUAUGUGUCCAUUUUGUAAGCUCAAGUAUCGUUUCCCGAUCAAAUGGACCAACAAAUGGUUCGUUUGUAAGUGCAAGAAGAAGUUCAAAACGGUUGAAGUGAGUUCCUCCUCGCCCCAACAGAAGGCAGCCACGAGUAAGAUUCAAGCCACACAUUUCUCUGGGAAGGCAAGCUCUCCUGGUUUGAGCUGUGCUGUGAAGGUUGGUGAGAAGAGACAGAUGAACGAGUGCGGGGAAAGUUACAAUGCUGGAAACUGCAGUGCUCUACACAAGAACAAAAGGGUUACCAGUGAUAGUGGAGAUGCAAGAGAAGAUUCUGAAAGCGUAAAGCAAGUCCAUGUGGUUGAUCUUUCUACUACUGAAGACCCAAUUUCAAAUGCCAUAAACCUGAAUCAGAAGAUGGAUAGGAAUCAAGAUACUCAAGUGGGAACAGUAGUGGAGAACUCUGAAGAUGUUGUUGACAAUAACAGAAGAGGAUUCAAUGAUAAUGGAGAUGCAGGAAGGCAAGAAGGCAAGAAGAGUCAGGAUGGGGGAAGCAACUCCAUCAAGUUAAUUGUUCUGAAGUAGCAUUGCCAAAUAUCAUAGGGAACUCAGCGAAUCUUGAGGUGAAUAAACACUCUGAAGAUGUUCUUGACAAGCCUGUAGAUAAUAACAGAAGAGGAUUCAAUGAUGAUGGAGAUGCAGCAGGAAGGCUAGAAGCGUCAGAAUGGGGGAAGCAACUAUGUGAGGCUGAUCGUCCUGAAGUAACAUUGCCUAAUGUCAUCAGCAACAAUCAAAAGUUGAAUGAAAAGAACAAAACCCCUGGUUUAUGUGAUUCAGGUUCAGGAGAUGAUGUACCAGUACAACCAAAGAUGUCUGAGUGUGCUGGUCUGAAGUUCAACGACUUUAAUAAACGGAGGGAAGAUGCAAAAUUUUCAGAAUGCCAGGCGUGGGCUCUCUAUGACAAAGCAGAUGGGAUGCCUAGACAGUACGCUCUAAUCAGAAAAGUUUCAUCUCCUUCCUUUGGCCUUAGGAUCACAUACUUAGAACCAGAUCCAGUUGACGAGAAAGAGAUCCAGUGGUUUGAAGAAGACCUGCCUGUUUCCGUUGGUAACUUCAGGUUUGGGAAAAACCAGAACACGAAAGACCUGUCCAUAUUCUCACAUGCCAUUCGUUGCCAAGGAAGCAUCAUGACCGGUAACUUCACAGUCUCCCCAAGAAAAGGCGAGACUUGGGCGUUAUUCAAGAACUGGGAUAUUAUCAACUGGUCUUCAGAGCCAGACUUUCACCGCAGUUACGAGUAUGACAUCGUUGAGAUCUUGUCUAACACCACUGAUGAAGGAGUAUCUGUUGCAUUCUUGCACAAAGCAAAAGGCUUUGCAAGUGUCUUCUUCCGGAUGGGAGCUAGUGAAGCAGAAGUUAUUCAGAUUCCAUCUCACAGCUUAUACCGUUUCUCUCAUAUGAUCUCUUCCUUCAAAAUGAAAAGAGUUGACGUGAAAGGUGUGCCAAAAGAUGCUUACGAGCUGGACCAAGCUGCGUUACCUAAAGCAAUCGAAGAGAGAGUCGUCCCUUUACAUCUAUACGCAGAGACUAAACCGGAAGCUCUUUGCUUUCCCAAUAAGGGGAAGGUCUUUCAAACCGGCCAGAUCUGGUCGUUCUACAGUGGUUGUAAUGAUAGCUUGCCUCUCCACUACUGUAGGAUUCAGAAGAUCACUCUUGUACAAGCGUUUGAGGAAGAACCAGUGUUUAAACUACAUGUGGGCCGGUUAAAGGCUAAGCCUUUCGAUGAGGAGGUGAUCCAGUGGGAGGACAAGAGAAUGCCUGUUGGUUGUGGGACUUUCUUGGUGAGGAGAAUCAACGAUGUGAUCACUGCAGAUGAUGUUUCACAUCAGAUAGUGCCUCAAAACUCGUUGGAUGGAAGUGAGUACACCGUUCUCCCCAAGAUUGGGGAAGUUUGGGCUGUGUACAGAUUCUGGACUUGCAAGAAAGAGUUCAAGGACGUGGGGUGCUGUGAGUAUGACAUUGUCGAAGUUCUUGAUGAUAACUUGGGGUACAAGGUUUUAGCGUUGGAGCAUGUGUUGUCUUCCAGUGAAGGUGGAGAGAAAAGGAUACUCUUUAGAGCAGCUGAGAGUAGGCAUCGUGAUUGUGACGAUGAGGAUGGGAGAGAAGUGAUAUUCACAAUCCCGAAGUCGAAAAUUCUGAGAUUCUCGCAUCAGGUUCCUGCUUCUCGAGUAACGGAGGAGAUGCAAGGAGAAUUGAGAGAGGUUUUUGAAGUUGAUUAUAGAGCAUUACCUGCAAACGUGAGGAGGGCUCAAGAUCAUUGAGCAAAGGUAGUCGUGAAGGAAGGGUAUAAGGGAUGGUUGGACUCCUUUUUGUAAGCUUUUGGUGCAUUCUGUCAAAAGACCCCUCAGACUUACUUGAUGACUUUCUCUGUGGUUUAUUUAUGUUUUUCUUUUCUUUUGAUUGGUUCAAAUCCAUGACAAAUCAAUGUACUUUGAGAAGGUAGUAGUAAAAGACAUCUCUGUCUAAUGGCUACUAAUUCCUUUGAUCCAUUGUUUGUCAUCCAUUUAUGAAGUAGCAUUAUUUGAAGGUUUUAAACUCACUAGCAUAUAUAUCAUAUGUGAUUUUGAGCAUUUGUCGUUAAAAUUAUCUCUGCUGAUCACAGAUUUAGUCUCUUCACGGUAGUGCUAGCCAUUCAGGUUAACGGUUUGUGUCGGGUUAAGAUGUUUAGGACCCGUUUAAAAACUAUACAUUUUCCGGAUGGGUUAAAUAUUGUCGGAUUUGGGUCUGUUUUCUAUUUUUGUAAAACCGAAACAAAAUCGAAUUAGAAAUAAGGUAAUUUGGAUUUAGUUCGGGUUUAAAGCAAAAAAAACGAUAAAAAUCAAAAAUUCAAGUUAAACCCAAAAAAUCAAAAAUAAAAUAUAAAAUAUAAUACAAGUUUUUAAGAUAAUUUAUAAAUAUAUUUUAUAUAUUUAUUUAUUUCAAAAUUUAAAAUAAUUAUUAUUUGGUAAAUAAAUUAUAUUUCGGAUGCUCGAAUAUCAGUUCGAUUUUGGUUUCUCGGAUUUAGAAAAAUAGAAACAGUUUAGAUUUUUACACAUUUUAGUUUUUUUGGUUCGCUUUCUUUCGAUUUGGUUUUUGAUGCCCUGGUGAACGGUUACAAAUGUAAAAUUAUAAUCUUUUAUUUGUUUUCCGCCCAAUAUAUUGCUAAUGCUUAUUUUUACAGCGAAAUAUGGUGAGCAGCUAGCAAAUAAAGUUCCUUUUAUUCCCAAUAAACGUCAUAUCCUAAAUAAAUAAGAGUGCCUUUUACAGUUCGCUCAAAUUCACUACUUUCCCGGCGGCAAAAGUCUCCUACGCGGACGACUUCGAUUUUGCUGUUGCUUGAAGUUGUUCAAACCGGUUCGUGGACUGUAUUCAAUCUGUUUCUUUUUUUUUUUUUAAAGAAUAGUAGUUAGUUGAUUUGUAUUUAUAAUGUAUCUGAGCUUAGAGUAGGGUUGCUGGCACUUUAGCCCAAUAUUAGAUUUAGGUUUGUUAAUGUAUAAGUGAGUUAGAUUUGGGGUUGAAAUGUUUAUACUAUAACUUUUCUGUUGUCGUUGUUGUGUGUUUGAAUUUUUUUUUUUCUAAGUGUCCUUGUUUCAACAGAUUCUUGCCUUGUUAUACUUUUAUAUGUGAGAGUAUCUGAUGACUGGAAAUGAGACUUCUUCUGGUGAGAAGAGAAAGAGGAGCAUUACUGAAAACUGCAGUGCUGAACAAAACAAUAGAAGAGGUUACAAUGUUACAGAAAGGGGAGAAGGGCUGAUGAUACAACCAGAGAGUACUGAAUGUGCUGGUCCAAAAUUUAACGACUUCGAGAAGCUAAGGGAGAACGCAAACUAUGCAGCUGGCGAGACUUGGGCUCUUUACGAUACAGCGGAUGGGAUGCCUAGAGAGUAUGCUAAGAUCAGAAGAGUUUCAGCUCCUUCCUUUGGGCUUAGGAUCACAUACUUAGAGCCUGAUCCAGAUAAUGAGAAAGAGAUCCAGUGGUUUGAACAAGACUUGCCUGUUUCUGUUGGUAAGUUCAGACUUGGGAGUUCUGAGAACACAAAAGACCGUUCCAGAUUCUCUCAUCCUAUCCAAAUCCAAUGCAAUGAAGGAGGAACCAACUCUGGUCAUUUCACUGUUUCACCAAGAAAAGGAGAGACCUGGGCCCUUUUCAAGAACUGGGAUAUUAUCAAGUGGUCUUCAGAGCCAGAUUCUCACCGCAGUUUUGAGUACGAGUUCGUCCAGAUUUUGUCUGACUACGCAGAUGGAGCUGGUGUAUACGUUUCAUACUUGCAUAAAGCAAAAGGGUUUGCAAGUGUCUUCUUUCGAGUGGGAACUGGUCCUGAAGACAUACUUCUUAUCUUAGCUCACAGUUUGUAUCGAUUCUCCCACAGGAUUCCUUCCUUCAAGCUGACUGGAUUUAAAGGAAAAGAUGCUUACGAGCUGGAUCAAGCUGCGUUACCAAAAACAAUCCUGCCUACAAACUCUGUGAGAACAGAAAGCAUAAAGGCCAGGCCAUCUACUUUGCUAGGAAGGGGAACGUUUUCAAGACUGGUCAGAUUUGGUCAUUUUACAGUGGCAAUGAUGAUUUGCCUCUACACUACUGUAAGAUUCAGAAGAUCACUUAUACUCAAGUACUCGAGCAGGAGCCAGUUCUCAAACUACACAUAAGCAGGCUCAAAAAAGCAACUCCUUCCCCCAAGGACGUCAUCGACUGGGAAGAUGGGAAAAUGCCUCUCGGCUGUGGAACUUACUACCCUAAAACGGUUCUCGAAAUCAUCACUCCAGAUGCUGUUUCGCAUCAGGUAAUGAUGCCUCAAAUCUCGUUAGGUGGAAAAGAAUAUACAAUUCUCCCCAAAACUGGUGAAGUUUGGGUGAUAUACAGAUACUGGAGACGUGACAUCGAGGCUGAGAGGUUGGAUUAUUGUACUUAUAACAUUGUCCAAGUUCUUGAUGAUACCUUGGACUACAAGGUCUUGCUACUGGGGCGCGAGUCUGGUCAUGAUCGAGGUGAAUUCUAUGAAAUUAGUUGGUUCAAGGAAGUUAAGAAGUAUCAGCAUUACGAUGAUGAUGGGUGGGCAGAACCAAUAUUCACCAUCCCGAAGACGGAAAGGCUUAGAUUCUCUCAUCAGGUUCCUGCUUCACGUGUGACCAAAGAGAGGUUUGGAGAUUUAGAAGACCUUUUUAAAGUUGAAUCUAGAGCAUUGCCUAUAAACCUCUUAGGUCACUGAACACAUGAAGUGGGAAAGGAAGAGAGGCUAGCGAUUCUUUUUUUUUUCUUUUUUGCUAGUUUAUUUUGGUUAAGAAUCCUAAGACUUUUUCUAUGAUGUUUCUCUAUGUAGCACGGGGACGUCUAUUUAGCUGCCGUACUGGUACCGGAAACGUUUCGGGGACGGGUACUUCACGGGGACAGCACUGGUACGGUUUGGGGACGGUUAGACAACAUAGCUAUGAGUAAGACUAGUUUUCACGGGACAUAAUCCUUGUGCAAUUGUUUUUUAACUGUCACUGUUAUCUUGUUUCUAAUUUUAGUUGGCAAAAUAGACAUAUUAUAGUAAAUUAUAUCUAAUUAUGUUAUAUUCACUAUAUAAAUUUAUUUUUUUAUAAAUAUUUUAUAUUUUUUACUAGUAUAUAUUUGCCGUACAUGUAUCCAUAAUUUUUAAAUUUUCCCGUUUUUCGUCCCCGUUUCCGUCCCGGUGCAUCAUAGAUGUUUCUUAUCUAUGAUAUGAUUUGAAUCUAGUUAUAAGUAUAACCACAGAUUUGACAAAAAAGAGGAUCCAUCUACAAAAUUAUUUUGUAGAGAUUUAUCAUUUAAUAGCUGUAUAAAAACAAUAUAAAAAUAACUAUAUUUAAACAUAGUAGUAAUAAAGUUAGUGCAGUAAACAAAAAUGAUAAAAGCAUCUAUCUAUAACUAUAAAGUUGAAGUAUCUGUCUUUUUAGGCUGUCCACGAGAGGAGGGGAAAUAGUGACACGUCAGCGUUUCUUAAGUUGUUGUCUCUGGAUUCCAUUGUUUUGUUGGGCCUUACAGCAUGCAGCCCAUCACGUGUUUUAGAAUAUAAUGGUGACUAAACGCCCCGUUUAGGAUUAGGUUUACGCGGAGUGCUUCUCGUGUCUCCAGAUCGAAAGGCGACACACCUCUUGCGCAGCUGGCCUUCCGUCUCCUUCGUCGCAAGCACUCAAAAACCGAUCAAUCAAUCAUCUUUAACCCCCCCCCCCUUCCAUUAAUCUAUCACCCACGAUCUGGAUUCAAUGCGAUAUUGUUGAUGUGCAAGGCGUUUGAGUCGACUAUAAAAAGGUAUGCAUUAUUCUCUCGGAGACUACAUCUCAUUCGUUCUUAACUCAUCAGAAAAUACAGUGCUUUCGGUAACGUGACUUAUAUGAUAUACUGCAGAUUUCACGACAUCAUCUUUAUGCUACCCGAGAACUUGGACUGAGAUAGAAAAUAAUUGAGCUUUGAUAUGCUUUAAGUUUUAGAUCUUUCAGCCUCAUGUCAUGUUCAUAUGUCAGAUUUUUUGAAAAAUUUGACUGAGUGGAAUAUGCAUUCUUCCGCAAAGGAUCGUGAAUAUGACUCAAAGAGACAUGUAUGUUCAUGAUUGAAACAACGAUGGUUUCGUUUCUUUCUCUGAAUGUGUCUUCUCUUUUGAAUUAAUCCAUGGACGAGAGCAAGCUCAAGAGAUGCUCCACUUCAUCCACCCAUGUAAUUUUCUUCUUUUUUGUAAUCACUUUUAUUUUAUCUAUUUAUAGUUUUUGUUUUGUUUUUCUUAGGCUGAAGCAGCUGAUUAGGCGACAGAUCCUUUGCAAAAGGGUAAGAAAAUAAUUGAGUUACACACUUUCUGAGAUGCUUUUGUGGUCCAUAUUUUUUUAUUCUAAUUGAGCAUGCGGCUCUGUAACAUUUAAUACAGAGAGUGUUGAUGUGCAAGGCGUUUGAGUCGACUAUAAAAAGGUAUGCAUUAUUCUCUCGGAGACUACAUCUCAUUCGUUCUUAACUCAUCAGAAAAUACAGUGCUUUCGGUAACGUGACUUAUAUGAUAUACUGCAGAUUUCACGACAUCAUCUUUAUGCUACCCGAGAACUUGGACUGAGAUAGAAAAUAAUUGAGCUUUGAUAUGCUUUAAGUUUUAGAUCUUUCAGCCUCAUGUCAUGUUCAUAUGUCAGAUUUUUUGAAAAAUUUGACUGAGUGGAAUAUGCAUUCUUCCGCAAAGGAUCGUGAAUAUGACUCAAAGAGACAUGUAUGUUCAUGAUUGAAACAACGAUGGUUUCGUUUCUUUCUCUGAAUGUGUCUUCUCUUUUGAAUUAAUCCAUGGACGAGAGCAAGCUCAAGAGAUGCUCCACUUCAUCCACCCAUGUAAUUUUCUUCUUAAGUUGCAGCUCCUAUCUUUGAGUUAAGGAUCACGAACUUAGAGCCAGAUCCAGAUGAUGAGAGAGAGAUACUAUGGUUUGAACAAGACUUGCCUAUUUCUGCUGGGCCCCCCCCAUUUUUUUGCAGACAUGCAGGAAGCAUAGUCACUGGAGCAGCUCCAAGUGGUGCCGACACAAUAAGAAGCCUCCAGCUGGAGCAGCUUCCAAGAUGGCCAAGAAAGCAUGGAUGGCAUAGGUUAAGAUAAUAAGAGCUCUGGAUGCAGUAUUUCCUAUUUAAAUAACACAUCAGUGUUUCUUUACAAUUUUAGUUUUGUUUUCCCCCUCUGGAGCUAUGUUUGGUUCGGACAAUCUUUAUAAAAUUUAAGUUCUUUUUUUAAAACAAAAUAUGUCUAAGUUAAAUUAGUCGAUAUAUUACUCAUGUCAUUUAACUACUCAAGAUUAGUGUUUUUGUUUGUUUUUGUCUAGGAUCCAUUACUUAGGAUUAGUUUAAGUACGCGACAUUCAAAUUCUACUUCAAAUAAAAAGAGGUUUUAAGGGUCAACUAUCAGAGUUGUCUUGAACAAGAUUAACAUGAAAGAUCUGUGAAUUGAAACAAGGAAUCAAACCCAAAUACCACUCCUUACGAGUCCACAACAAAAUAAACUCCAAGUGACCCCCAAAUAUGAGCUAAACAUCUUUAAAAACAACUAACAUCAAGACAAUUCUAAUCCACCAAGGCCGUCCUAGAUUAUAGUAAGACCCUGUUCAAAAAAAAAAAUAUUGACUAUAUAUUUAACAAUGUAAUGAAAUAAUUUUAAGAAUUAAUAGUUUUAUCUAUAAAUAUUUGAGGUUUCUCUUCGAAUUAUAAACUAUAAAUUUAAUAAUACAUGAAAUUUUAAACCAAAAAAUGAUGUAUGAGUAUUAGUAGAAUUUAUACUUUAACCGUGCAAAGAGACAAAUCCUAAUAAAACUCCAUUGAUUCGGUCUCCUUACUUGCUAAUUGUAAUGAACGUAUUACCAUAUAUUUUAUGAUAUCUUUCCCAAAUGGCAUCAUUGUAUGUUGACCAAAAUGAUCCUCGAUCGUUAAUUUAAGGAAACAUAUCUAUUAUUAUAUUUUGGUACAUCUAGUUUGAUGUUAUUUUACAAUAAUAACUACAACUGAAUCGUGGAAACACCGUAUUCUACUGGUUAAGAUUUAAAAACUUCUACACCCAGGUCUGAAGUUUAAAUUACAGACUAUGCAAUUUCUUACAGAUUACAGGAAAUCCAGGUUUAAAGUCCAUGAGAGAGCGAUUUAUUAUUGCAGAUUAUAGAAGAAAGGCGUACAAAAGAUCUUCAACAUGGUGCAAGUAAAUCUAGUCAGAAGAUUUUCAUAGGACAGUUCGGAUGAUGUCUUUAAAAAAAACCACAACUGAAUAGGCGUAUCCACCAAUUCGAAUAACCAAACAGUAGGUACUGAAUCAACAUAUAGCAUAGUAGAAGGAGAACUCAUAGUACAUAGUACAAGCUGGUCCGUAUUGUAUUAUGUGCUUUUGUUAUAUGCGUGAUCGAGAAGUUAGGGAAGAAUUUCUUACAUCGUUGAAAUUCGUCCAUAUGGGUAGUAAAAACUGACAAUUCUUAUGGUGUCGAUAAUCUGUUGUAAAAAACCAUGUAUGAUAUCUUUAGGGUCUUCAUAUAUGCAAAAGCUUCACAUUAUGCAUGUAAAUGUGAUAAGCGUCGUCGGAUAUUCAUGCCCCCAUCAUAUGAUUGUCUUAACAUGUGGUUCAAAACCACCAUUGACCUUGACCUGUAAAAGCUACGUGUUCUCUCCAAGCUCCAUCAACAUAGCACCUUCUUGUGUCUUCUAAAUCUGUCUCAUAAAACUAUGAAAGAUCUCCUCUAUUUCUUUUGACUAUCUAAGUUGUGAUUCAGCCCAUAAAACUCCUUUUUAUUUUUGCAAUGCGCAAAAUUUCCAGCGAUACCAUUUUUGUUUUUGCAAAUCUUAUCAUUCUUAUUCUUCCAACCACAUAAUCCAAGGAAAAUAAUUAAACUCAUAUUCACUUGGUACUCUUCAAAAUAGAUCAUCCAUGUUGGCAUAGACCGAUGAUGUUGGAAAAUUAUGGGGCUGGAAGGUAUUUGCGACAAAGCUCAUGUUUGUAGCGCUGGUGGGCACUCAAAAAUAACAGAUUCAAUUACCUCUACUCCAUAUAUAUUGCAUUUUGUGUUACAUUGUAUGCCUCAUGAUUGCAAACUCUUAGUAACUAGUAAAAUACCCGAUAUAAUCUGCUAAACAAAGUGUCUUAAUUUUGGCAGACAUUUUAGCUUCCAUUUGUAACCUAAAUGAGAUUUAGUCUGGUUCAUAAAACACCAAUCCAGUAUUAUUAUCUGGAAAAAUUUUCCUCUUAUAUCCCAAUUUAACUGAGUAUUUACCUGACACUGUAAAAUGCCACCCAUAGAAGUUUGGUCUAGAGAUGCGGCUUAUCGCCAAAUCCUUGAUGAUUUUUCAUCAUCCGGGUGUAUAUAUGUGUUAAGCAAAUCCAUAUUCCAAGAGAGAUCCCACUGAUUAAUAAGCCGUUUCACCUUUAGUGAAUGAUUUAAGAAUUGAGAUUGAUUUUUCUGUAUUGCUGGCCUUAACGAGAUGCAUGUAUCCAUGGAUCAUUCAAACUGAAAUGGACUUCUCUGUACAUCUAGUUUGAUGUUUGAGCUCAUUUUUUUGUAGAAUUUUCCUGAAUAAUCUAUGACUAUAAAGUUGAAGUAUCUGUCUUUUUAGGCUGUUCACGUCAUUCUGGAGAGGAAGGGAAAUCGUGACACGUCAGCGUUUCUUAAGUCGUUGUCUCUGGGUUCCAUUGUUUUGUUGGGCCUUACAGCAUGCAGCCCAUCACGUGUUUUAGAACAUAAUGGUGACUAAACGCCCCGUUAAGGAUUAGGUUUACUCGGAGUGCUUCUCGCGUCUCCAGAUCGAAAGGCGACACCUCUUGCGCAGCUGACCUUCCGUCUCCUUCGUUGCAAGCACUCAAAAACCGAUCAAUCAAUCAUCUUUAAUCCCCCCCUUCCAUUAAUCUAUCACCCACGAUCUGGAUUCAAUGCGAUAUUGUUGAUGUGCAAGGCGUUUGAGUCGACUAUAAAAAGGUAUGCAUGGUUCUCUCGGAGACUACAUCUCAUUCGUUCUUAACUCAUCAGAAAAUACAGUGCUUUCGGUAACGUGACUUAUAUGUUAUACUGCAGAUUUCACGACAUCAUCUUUAUGCUACCCGAGAACUUGGACUGAGAUAGAAAAUAUUGAGUUUUGAUAUGCUUUAAGUUUUAGAUCUUUCGGCCUCAUGUCAUGUUCAUAUGUCUGAUUUUUUGAAAAAUUUGACUGAGUGGAAUAUGCAUUCUUCCGCAAAGGAUCGUGAAUAUGACUCAAAGAGACAUGUAUGUUCAUGAUUGAAACAACGAUGGUUUCGUUUCUUUCUCUGAAUGUGUCUUCUCUUUUGAAUUAAUCCAUGGACGAGAGAGCUCAAGAGAUGCUCCACUUCAUCCACCCAUGUAAUUUUCUUCUUCUUUUUAAUCACUUUUAUUUUAUCUAUUUAUAGUUUUUGUUUUGUUUUUCUUAGGCUGAAGCAGCUGAUUAUGCGACAGAUCCUUUGCAAAAGAGUAAGAAAAUAAUUGAGUUACACACUUUCUGAGAUGCUUUUGUGGUCCAUAUUAAUUUAAUCUAAUUGAGCAUGCGGCUCUGUAACAUGUAAUACAAAGAGCGUUAGGUACAGAGCUUUUGGAGACUUUGGUUUAGUAUGGUUAAGAUGGACAUUGGAGAUGAAUAUAUUUUCUCGGUCCUAACUCCUUUUGGAUUCUUUCCUUUAGAACUUCAACAGCAGCUCUGUCAAUGGCAUCUUUAUAUGGACAAAAAUCGCCUCUGUUGACUUAGAUUAGGGUCCUUCACCAAUCUACAAGCAGUUCCUUACGCCAGGCGGUGUAUUCACAACUAUAAAAGGUCAGUCUUCAUCCCUUGAAAAUCAUUCUCUUCAUUCGUAAAACACCAAAGAAAACUUAUUUAAAGUAUAAUGGCUAAUUCAUCAAUCCUUCUUGCUGAUUUGAAAGACGGGCGAUGUUCCUCCACCGUUGAGGUGCGACUGCUCAGAUUCUUGGCAGCAAGGAACGUCAAACUCGGUGGUGAGCUGAUGGCAUCGAUAUGCUUCUCCUCAUGAUUCUAAGGUUAUUAUGUUCUUAAAACUCAUGAUUAUCAGACCUUUGCAUUCAUAUAUUCAUUGAAUCACUUUUAAAUGCGAAAUUUAGAACCCGUCGGUUGAUUAUGAUUUCUUCUUCACCUCAUGAUUAUAAGACUUUUGUAUUCAUAUCUUCAUUGAACCUCUUUUGAAUAAUAAAUUUAGAACCCGUUAGUUGAUUAUGAAUUCUUCUUCACGUCUGUUUCACAAUGCCACAUCAGAGACACAUAGCUGUUUCGACAAGGAGACUUAUGCAGGGGAAAGUUACUUUACAAGUAAGUAUCUUGGUGAUUAUUAAAUGAUUAAUUAUAUGAGUACGUUAUAUUACUUAUCCUGCACUCAAUCUGCCUGGAUAUUGUUCAUCCAUGUAGGCUGGUCUCCAAAGACACUGGGAAUACAUCAGCAGCUUCACUUUUUAGAGGCUACGUAAAGGUUGAACGUUUGACCAUGGCUGAUCACAACGAGUUUAUCAUCACUACUCCAUCUCAGGUUGUACAACUAGCUUUAGAAUUUGUUAGUCCUGCAUUUUUGAACUUUGUAUGUGAUUCUAAUAUUCAAAGAAUGUAGGAGAUUGAUUUCGUUUGCCUGCACCUGGAAGGUCAACGGCAUCGAGAUGGACAAAGGGUGGUGUUAAGUUUCUUGCUCCAAGUGUACCAAGAAACUUCAGUGGACUGUCUCAUCCUUUACCUGCGUGCACUGCAACAAUACUAAUGUUGUUGGUGUCCUCCGGUAUGUAUCAUUCAGUAACAUUUUUUUAUCAAUCAUUUGCACCAAAAGUCCACACACGCAGAUAUACCCCUGAUUUUAAAUGCAUGUUUACUGACUGAUAUCGUGUGGAGAUGACCAUUGCUAAUGAUACUUCUGAAGGUCUAUUUGAUGGUUUUGAUUGGGAAAUGACAAACUUACAUAACAUCAGUGCCUGUGAAGCUGGUUCUGUUGGUACGUCAAUUUCAGCGCAUAUCAUUAUCCACCAGUUUGCUCUGAAUAUGUUCUAAUAUACUUCCAACCAAUCAUUGAUCACUUAGGUUGGAGAGUUUGUGAACCCAUAGGAAACUCAGGUCCCCCUCCCCAUUUUUUGCAGACAUGCAGCAAGCACCGACUACUGGAGCAGCUCCAAGUGGUGCCGACAAUAAGAAGCCUCCAGCUGGAGCAGCUUCCAAGAUGGCCAAGAAAGCAUGGAUGGCAUAGGUUAAGAUAAUAAGAGCUCUGGAUGCAGUAUUUCCUAUUUAAAUAACACAUCAGUGUUUCUUUACAAUUUUAGUUUUGUUUUCCCCCUCUGGAGCUAUGUUUGGUUCGGACAAUCUUUAUAAAAUUUAAGUUCUUUUUUUAAAACAAAAUAUGUCUAAGUUAAAUUAGUCGAUAUAUUACUCAUGUCAUUUAACUACUCAAGAUUAGUGUUUUUGUUUGUUUUUGUCUAGGAUCCAUUACUUAGGAUUAGUUUAAGUACGCGACAUUCAAAUUCUACUUCAAAUAAAAAGGGGUUUUAAGGGUCAACUAUCAGAGUUGUCUUGAACAAGAUUAACAUGAAAGAUCUGUGAAUUGAAACAAGAAAUCAAACCCAAAUACCACUCCUUACGAGUCCACAACAAAAUAAACUCCAAGUGACCCCCAAAUAUGAGCUAAACAUCUUUAAAAACAACUAACAUCAAGACAAUUCUAAUCCACCAAGGCCGUCCUAGAUUAUAGUAAGACCCUGUUCAAAAAAAAAAUAUUGACUAUAUAUUUAACAAUGUAAUGAAAUAAUUUUAAGAAUUAAUAGUUUUAUCUAUAAAUAUUUGAGGUUUCUCUUCGAAUUAUAAACUAUAAAUUUAAUAAUACAUGAAUUUUAAACCAAAUUUAUGUAUUGGUUUUGAAAAAAUUUCUUAAUAUUUUAAUUUUAUUUUUAGACUUGGACCUCGCUCAAGUGUUCCACUAGCACACGUUAUUAAACGACCAUGCAUACCACCUAUAUUUUUUCUUUCAAUCAAACAAUCCACCCAAACAUAAUUACAUACAAAAAGACAUUAACAUACAAUAUCACCCCCAUUAGUAGUCAUAACACACGAACAAAAAAAUCAAACAACAAUUCCCAUAGAUCAAUGAAAAUUAAAAACAUUGAAUCUAAUAUAUUUUCCUCUUUUAAAACUUUUAUGUCACGAAUUCCAAAAAAGAAUCUUAAACAUAAAUCUAAUAGCGAUAUGAAAAAAAAAUAUAUAUAUAUAUAUAAUUUAACUUACUGAAUUAAAGACAUAAUAUAAAACAAUUUAACAAAAAAACAUCAAUGAAAUAUUCUAAAAGUUUUACAGCCCAAAAAUAAAAAUAAAACAUAGCUCUACUAAAAUAAUCUACACAUUCGUUUUAAAAAAAAACAAUAACAAAAAUAAUGAUUUAUACAUAAUAUAUACCCAAAAAUUUCAAAACAAAAAAAUAAAUAUAAAAAGAAUAUUUUAUAUAGAAUAUUAUAAUUUUAUAUAUCACAAAUAAAUUAUAUCCCGACCCUAGUAUAGUAAUAAAGGAAAAAUGUUACAGACUUACAGAGAAAAAAAUGGAAAUUUUCAAAAUUCAAAUCCUAAGGAUAAUAAUGGAGUAAAGAAAAUAAGGAAGCUGUUUUAAGUGCAAAAGCUUGGGCUUGUUGGGCUCAUAAUGAUCGUUAGCCCAUUUAUAGUGUUCUUCUUUGAUAUAUUUUCCCGCCAAAAUGAAUUGGGGAAUUAGGGCUCUUUUUAGUGCCGUGAAGUGUUGAGAGUGAGGCAAAAACUGUAAAAAGAGUGAAACUGUUCCUUAUCCUCCACCAAAGACGACGGAACCUUGCCCCACAGUACUCUCCGACGUCGAUCUCUUAAACAGAGUGAGCUCCUUAAACGUUGCUCUUCUUUCAUUCAGUAUACUUUCAUGGAUUGUAUCUUCGAAUUUUCUUCCGAUUUUGAAAAUUUCAGCUGUCUUUGUGAAAUUGAAUAUUGAAUUUGUGCCUAAGGAAUCAAUUGCUUAUAGUACCAUUUUCGCAUCCGAAUUUAGGGUUAUUGCUAAAUCUAGGGUUGUUGGUGUUCUCGUUUUUUUUUUAUCCAUCUAAAUCGUCAGAUUUGGGUUUCCAUAGAUGCUUAUUAUGGUUUGUGAUGCUCUACUUGGCGCUUGAAAAUACUUGUAACCACUUAUGAUUUAGGGAGCUUGAGCAUUAUCUAAUCAGUACUAAAGUAUUAUCUAAUCAGUACUAAAGUAAUAUAAUGUUUCUUCCGCAGGAGGUGAAAGUCGUCUUGUGCUUAUACUUUAUUUGUCUGAUGAUGGAUAUCACUUCGAAAAGGCAAGCUGUCUCAGAGACUUUGAUCAAAGGGACCGGUACUGCAGCAUUGUAUUCUGCUUCUGAUGAAACUGUUCACUCCCCUCGUUUGAGUUGUGUUGGCGACAAGAGAAAGAGGAAUGAGCAUGAUGGGUCAAAUGGUGACACUGCUGGUCUCAAGUCUAACGACUUUGAGAAGCUGCGGAAAGAAGUAAACUUUUUGGUUGGGCAGACUUGGGCUCUUUAUGAUCAAGUUGAUGGGAUGCCUAGGUUGUAUGCCCGGAUCAGGAAAGUUGCAGCUCCUAUCUUUGAGUUAAGGAUCACGAACUUAGAGCCAGAUCCAGAUGAUGAGAGAGAGAUACUAUGGUUUGAACAAGACUUGCCUAUUUCUGCUGGGCAGUUCAGGCUUGGGAAAAAUGAGGACAUGAAAGACAUUUCGAUGUUCUCACAUGUUAUACAUUGCAAGGAAGGAGGCAACACUGGUCAUCUCACUGUUUCCCCAAGAAAAGGAGAGACUUGGGCAUUAUUCAAGAACUGGGAUAUUAUCAACUGGUCUUCAGAGCCAGACUCUCACGGCAGUUACAAGUAUGACAUCGUUGAGAUCUUGUCUGAUACCACUGAUGGAGCUGAUGGUGUAUCUGUUGCGUUCUUGCAUAAAGCAAAAGGCUUUGCUAGCGUCUUCUUUCGAAUGGGAACUGGUGAUGAUUCAGACAUAGUUCAGAUUCUGCCUCAGGAUAUAUAUCAAUUCUCCCACAUGAUCCCUUCCUUCAAACUGACAGGCUUCGAAGCAAAAGGUUUACCAAAAGAUGCUUAUGAGCUGGACCAAGCUGCGUUACCUGCAACAACAGUCCAAGAGAAACCCGUCCCUUCCCAUCUAAUCCCAGUCCCUAAACCAGAAGCUCUCUGUCUUCCGAGCAGUGAAGGAAAAGUUAUUAAAACUGGUCAGUUCUGGGCAUUUGGUGGAAAUUACGAUGACACGCCUAGGUACUACGGUAGGAUUCAGAAGAUCACCGUAAAUCAGACAUUCGAGCAGACAGCAGAAACAAAGGUGCAUGUAUGUCGUUUAAAGGCUACUUCAUUCCCUCAGAAUGUCAUCAAGUGGAAGGACAAGAGCAUGCCUGUUGGCUGUGGAACAUUCUCGAUGCAUAAAAAUUGCUCAACGCUCUAUCCGCAACACCUUACACAUCAGAUAUUUCCUUAGACCUCUAUGGAUGGAAAUGAAUUUACCAUUCUCCCCAAGGUUGGUCAGUUGUGGGUGAUUUACAGACUUUGGGCUCCUCACUUUGGUGUCGGAGCACUAGACGAACACUGCUUGGACUUUGACAUGGUCCAAGUUCUUGAUGACGCCUUUAACUACAAGGUUUUAGCGCUGGAGCAAGUCUUGGUUACUAGUGAAGAGAAGAAUAAGUUCUUUAGAGCGGCUAAGAGUAGGCCAUCUUAUUGUUAUGAUGAGGAUGGGCCAGGAGUGAUAUUUACAAUCCCACAGUCGAAAAUGCUCAGAUUCUCUCAUCCGAUUCCUGCUUCCCCUGUAACCAAAGAGGUAGAUGGAGAGAUGAUAGUGCUCUCUGAAGUUGAUAAGAAAGCGUUACCUUAUGGGUGGUGACCGUUGAGCAAAGGAUGUGAGGGAAGGGUUCCUUUUUGUUAGCUUUUUUGGUGUUCUUUGCUGGAGAGAUAUAAAGACGCUUAAACUUGAGUCUUUUCUUUGGUUGGUUCUAAAUCUAACGGGAUAGUAUGUAGUUUGACAAUGUAUGAAAAUACUUUCUCCAUGUGGUUUGUUGAUGAAAACGCUAGAAUCUUUGGUUAGUUUCAUACGUAAACGAUAAACUCUCACUUGUCACCAUCUUUGUUCGAUCACUCGUGUGUUUAAGCACACAAGAUUUACCCAGUUUCAAGUCUCAACUGAGAGUGCUACUUGAUCAGAAAUCCACUAGAAAACUUCGUUGAACACAAUUUGUAAGUGAUAAAGCUGCGUCUCUUCUCAUAAACCUUUCUUAGCCCUAAUGUCUCAGCUAUGAUCUCUCUAUGUACAACUAUCACAUGUGCCAUGCUUCUCUCUCUCUCUCCUCUGCUUUCACAGAAGAAGACAAAGUUAGUAACAUUUUCUUUUCUUGGGGAAAGUCACACGGCGCAGCGGAAAUACUAAUGGUCGUGUUCCCCUGACCUUCUGCGAACCUGUGAAGAAAAUACUUCGACGAUGGCAAGAUAUCAAAGUUGCGAUAACUAAAUGAGACACACAAUUUUUACGUGGAAAACCUCCACGAUGUGAGAAGGAAAAACCACGGGACCGUAGUCCACUCAAAAAUCCACUAUAUAAAUGGUAUGAGUACAACCACGUCUCUCUUCUUUCUCUCUUUUGUCUCUCUCUCUAAACUCUAUUAUUGUGAGUCUACAGUGCAAAGGGUCAUGAGAAUUAUUAUUAUGUCUCAUGCCCACUUGGUUCUCUCCAUCUAGGAGGGACCCAACAUCUUUGUCAAUAGCUGAGACCUUCUCCUAGGGUUAAUAUAAGAACAUAAAACUUUUAUAUCGGAUUAACAUGACUACUAUAAAAGAGAUUUGAAUUAAUCCAAUUAUUAUCGAUUGGUUUCAAAUUUUAAACCAUGAUAAAUUCUGACUUGAUUCCAGUAAAUUGAAACAUUGGAAUGACCCUAGUUUAUCCGUUUUUAUAGUUUGUAUAUAUAUAUAUUAAUGUAAUUAUAUAAAACAUGUCUUACAUUGAAUAACAGAAAAUGAUAUUAAAAAGUACAAUUCUCUCAAAUAACAUAUUUUUAAAUUUUUGUCACAAAAAUAACCAUAAAAAAAUGACCAAAAUAGCUUCUUUUUAUUUUGAACAUUUGAGUAUUUAUUUUAUUUUAUUUUUUUUUUUAAAAAAAAUUUGAAACUUUAUCCUUAAACCCCACCCCUUAAUUCUAAAUCAUAAGUCUAGAUUAGUUAAACAUAAGGUAAAAAUAUAUCUUUACUCUUUAAUAAAACUUAUUUUGGUUAUUUUUUUCGUUGAGUGAUAUUAAUUGGUUAUAGACUUAUCUUUAUUUUUAGAUCUAAAAAAAAUAAAUAAAAAUUAAAAAUCAUCGACCAAUCAAAUUAUAACAAUUUUGUAAGAGUUUACUUAUGAUCGACACAAAAGUCAAUAGAUGGACUUCUCAAUUAAUAUAUAGUAGAAUUUAGAUGACUCAUUUAGAUGAACCAUUUACAUAUACAAAUAAACAAUCACAUAAAAUUUGGAUAGAUCAUCUACAUAAAUCAUAUAAAUGGAUCAUUUGGAUGGAUAUGACAGAUGAUGAAACAAACACCCUCUAAAUGUAAAAAAAAAUGUUAGUCUUGUGUUACCAUUUAAAAGCAAGGGUGUUUGUCUAAUGGUAGAUUCCUAGCUUUGGGUGCUAGAGGUCCCGAGUUCGGUUAUCGCCGAUAACUUAUCGGAACGCCCCCCUUUUUUUAACAUAUUUACGGCUGGCAAAUUUUACUGAACUUUAAAAACCCUAAAACUUAAGGGAGACGAUCACUUGAUAGAUCGAAUAAACAGGAGAGAGCUUCAAUGGAGAAGUUCUUCUAUAAGUUCCAAAAGCGGUAAGCCCUCUUUCAUCUUCUUCUCUCCUUCCUUGCUUGUUUGUCUGUUACUCUACCCUGUUUACCUCUUGGAACGCAGUAGCUUUUGUAAGGAAGUUAAAAGUUUCGAUUUUUGUAGUAAUCUUAUCAAGUUACGUGUCGCUUCUAGGUCAGUUCGAGAAGGAGGAGUAGUUAUCAGAGGGGAAGAUAGGAUAAGCUUAUUACCUGAACCGUUGUUAUGUCACAUACUCAGCUUUCUUACCACCGACCAAGCGGUUCGGACAAGUGUUUUGUCCUCAAGAUGGAGACAUAUCUGGAAAUGGGUUCCUAGGUUAGAACUAGACAGCUUUGAUUUCACAAACGACAAAGUCUGUGUGGAGUUCAUCGACAAGUUUCUUGCUUUCCAAGGCAAGUACUACCUGCGUGAGUUCAAAUUAACCAUUGACCACGAUUUCUUCGAUGGUGAGGCUUGUCUCAGUAGAGUGGAUAUGAGGAAGCUUGAACGUUUCCAAGUCGAGAACCGGUUUAGACUCAAUAGCAUAUUUUACAUAGCGACACCCUUAAAGCUUUCCUUGUGUGAGGCAUUGGUCUGCUUAAAGCUUCAAUUUGUUAGGCUGUAUGAUUUGAAGUCUCUUUCCUUGCUCUGUCUCAAGAUCAUGUUCCUGGAAGACGUUGUUCUGCCUAGCGACGCGGCUGCAGAGGAGUUGAUCUCUUGCUCGCCGGUUCUAGAAGUUUUGAAGAUAUGCCUGAGUAAAGAUGAUUUCGUGGUAGCUUUACGUGUCUGCUCACUGUCACUAAAGAGCUUCACUUUAAAACGAGCGGAACCUGUUCAUGCUGAUGCUCGUGCUGUUAUACAUUCAUUUGUGAUCGAUACCCCAAAACUCGAGUAUCUGAGUCUCAUGGAUUACUACGAACUCGUAAGCUUCGAAAGCUUUGAGAUAAUCAGUAUGGCUGAGUCUGUCAAAGUUAAUUUAGAUUUCAAUUUUGUGAUGACAAGAGAGUACUUUUCGGGCAUGGAAAUCCUCUACAAUCUUCUCAAGAACUUUUCACGUGUUGGAGAUGUGACCAUGUCAUGGAGAACUCUGCAGGUAUAUAUAAACUUAUAAUAAAGCUCUAAACUUUCGUAUUUUUAUUAUUGUGUCUUAUUUUCUCAUUCGUGCUCUUCUCUUUCUUACAGUUUAUAUAUGUCCUCUAUCAUAAGGAUCCACUCCCAAAAUUUCAUGCCUUGACCCGUUUGCGUGCCACUAUGUGCUUAAACACAUUGCCUGAUCUGUUGCCAAUUGUUCUUGAGACCAUGCCGAACCUGAAACACUUGUCAUUGGUAACAAUUUGCUUAAACGUGUUGCAAGUUCUUAUCUAAGGAAGAUUUUUUAUCUAGUUUGAAUUCUGUCGACUUGUGUUUUACAGGAGCUGUUUCGUGAUUUAUGGUUGGGAAGGUUGUCUGAAUUCUCCACUGUGCUGCCUCGUUGUUUGGUAUCGUCUCUUGAAUCUGUUGAAAUGGAAAGCCCGGUCACGGAGAUAGCUACUGAAUUGUAUUUGGCUAGAUACUUUAUGAAGAACUCUACAACACUCAAGAAGCUCGUGCUACGUUUGAAUCAGUCUUCAACUGGAGAGAAACACAAGCCUGGUGUCUUGGAACAACUCAUUAAAUCUCCAAGACGCUCUACUUUGUGUCAGUUGGAAGUUAUUACUGUGGUUCCAGCGUCUGAGGAGGAUGUCUAUGUAAAAUCCAAUAGGUUCUAGAGCUGGAUUUAAAUAAGUGUAAACAUAUGCAAAGUAUGGCUUAAGACUCCAUUUGGUUUGGUUGAAUGUUUUUUGAGUACCUUUAUAAUUUAGGGAUUAACCGAGGGUUCUUAGCGGAAAAAUUCGUUUUUACAGUAUAAGUGUAAUGAGAUUCGGUUUUGGUAGGAAAAUUCGUUUUGCGAUUUUGACGGAAAAACUUGAUUUUACGGUAUUGGUGGGAUUUUUUUUUUUUUUUUUGCGGUUUUGACGGAAAAUUCUAUUUUUGUGGAUUUUAGCGGGAAAACUUAAUUUACAGUUUUGGUGGAAAAUCUUGUUUUACUGUUUUGGUGGAAAGACGAAAAAUCUCAUUUUGGCAAGAAAUCCUGCUUUUUCGGUUAGCGGAAAAUCUUGAUUUUUUUUGUUUCAGUGAAAAGACUCAAUUUUACAAUUUUCUAAGAAAAAUUCAUUUUUGAAAUUUUAACCAUAUACCAAAUAUUUGUUGUUUACAAAAAAAAAAAGUAUCUAACAGGGUUCAACCCUGUCAAAACUCUGUAUUUCUUUAAUCCAACUCUAAGUUAGCCAUGAAUAGUUUAUGAGUAAUGCAUUAUGGUUAGGGCUCCUAAUUAUUUGGAUGGGCUGGACUAACCCUAAAUCUCUAAACCCUAUAUAACAUCCCUAGUUAUAAGCAAUAGAUGAUAUGUUAUUACUUCCAAGAUUAUGCACAUAGAACAUGUUAACGCUAAUAUCAUGCUCUGGUUUGAUUAUGACAUAUGCGUCUGUUUUACGUCACUUAAAAGCUUGACUACUUGUUGAGUUUGCCCAGUUGAAAAGUAGUUUGAAAAUAAAGAAGCUGUUUUUGAUGCAAAAUACAAAAUAUUUAGCUUGGACUUGUUGGGCUCAUAAUGAUCGUUAGCCCAUUUAUACUCUUCUCUCUAAGAUAUUUUCCCGCCAAAUUGGAUUGGGGAAUAGAGCUUUGUUAUCCACCAAAGACGACAGAACCUUGCCCACGCCACAGUACUUUCCGACGUCGACCAUAAACAGAGUGAGCUCCUUAAACGUCGUUCUUCCUCCUUACCCCGCGUUAAGUCUAGGGUUUUAGGUGUUCUCUCUCUUUUUGUACGUCAGAUUUGGGGUUUCCAGAGAUUCUUAAUAUAGAGCUCUUAUUAUUAUUUUUAUUAUGGUUUAGUGAUGCUCUACAUAAUCUACACUUGUUUUAGGCGCUUGAAAAUACCUAGCCCCUUUUGAUUCAGGGAGAUUGAACAUUAUCUUAUCAAUGUUAAAAGUAUAUACUGUAUUUUCCGCAGGAGGAGGAGGAAGUGGUCUUCUUGUGUGCUUAUUAUACUUUUAUUUGUUUGAUGAUGGAUAUCUCUUCGAAGGAGCUUCUUAAAAGGGAAGCUGUUUCAGAGAAUUCGAUGAAAGGGACCGGUACUGCAGCAUUUUAUUCUGCUUCUGCUGAAACGGUUCACUCCCCUCGUUUGAGUGGUGUUGGCGACAAGAGAAAGAGGAACGAGCAUGGUGUGUCAAAUGAUGUCAGUGGUGGUCUCAAGUUUAACGACUUUGAGAAGCUGCGGAAAGAAGUAAACUUUUUGGCUGGGCAGACUUGGGCUAUGUAUGAUAAAGUUGAUGGGAUGCCUAGGUUGUAUGCCCGGAUCCGUAAAGUUUCAGCUCCUUCCUUUGAGUUGAGGAUCACACACUUAGAGCCAGAUCCUGAUGAUGAGAGAGAGAUACUAUGGUUUGAACAAGACUUACCUGUUUCUGCUGGGCAGUUCAGACUUGGGAAGAAUAAGAACAUGAAAAAAGACUGUUCGAUGUUCUCACAUGUUAUACAUUGCAAGGAAGGAGGCAACACUGGUCAUCUCACUGUUUCCCCAAGAAAAGGAGAGACUUGGGCAUUAUUCAAGAACUGGGAUAUUAUCAACUGGUCUUCAGAGCCAGACUCUCACGGCAGUUACAAGUAUGACAUCGUUGAGAUCUUGUCUGAUACCACUGAUGGAGCUGAGGGUGUAUCUGUUGCGUUCUUGCAUAAAGCAAAAGGCUUUGCAAGUGUCUUCUUUCGAAUGGGAACUGGUGAUGCAGACACAUUUCGAAUGGGAACUGGUGGUGAGGCAGACACAUCUCAGAUUCUGCCUCAGGAUAUAUAUCAGUUCUCCCACAUGAUCCCUUCCUUCAAAGUUCAAACUGACAGGCUUUGAAGCAAAAGGCUUACCGAAAGAUGCUUAUGAGCUGGACCAAGCUGCGUUGCCUAAAACAAUCGAAGAGAAAGACGUCCCUUCCCAUCUAAUCCCAAGGCUUUCCGAGUAAGCAUACGAGAAAGGUUUUUCAAACUGGUCAGUUCUGGGCAUUUGGUGGAGAUUACGAUCACACGCCUCGGUUCUAUGGUAGGAUUCAGAAGAUCAUCCUAACUCAGGCAUUCGAGGAGGCAGCAGAAUUCAUUCCCUGAGAUUGUCAUCAAGUGGAAGGACAAGAGAAUGCCUGUCGGUUGUGGAACUUUCUCGGUGCCUAAGAGUUGCUCAAUAUUCGUUCCAGAACUCCUUACACAUCAGAUAUUUCCUCAAGCCUCCAUGGAUGGAAAUGAAUGUACCAUUCUCCCCAAGAUCGGCCAAGUGUGGAUGAUUUACACAGAAUGGGCUCCUCACUAUAAUUUGGUAGCACUAGAAAAACACACUACUUGGAUUUUGAAGUCGUUGAAGUUCUUGAUGACGCCUUGAACUACAAGGUUUUAGCUUUGGAGCGUGCCUUGGUUAGUAGUGAAGACAAAAAUCAUUUCUUCAGAGCAGCUAAGCGUAGGCCAUCUUAUUGUUAUGAGGAGGAUGGGACAGGAGUGGUAUUUACAAUCCCACAGUCGAAAAUGCUAAGAUUCUCUCAUCCGCUUCCUGUUUCUCGUGUAAUCAAAGAGGUAGAUGGAGAGAUGGAAGUGCUCUUUGAAGUUGAUAAGAAAGCGUUACCUCAUGGCGCAUAAGGAUGUGAGGGAAGGGUUCCGUUUUGUUAGCUUUUUGGUGUUCUUGACUGGAGAUAUAAGAGAGUUUAAACUUAGCCUUUUCUCCAUGGUUGUUCUUUUGUUGGGUUAAAAUCUUGUAUUUCGACAAUGUGGGAAAAGACUUUCUCUAUGUGGUUCAUUAGAAUGAAAAGUUUAAGCACUGUAAAUUUGCAGCAAGUCUAAAGAUGUUAUUGUAAGAUCGGAAGGAAUUAUGUUUAAGUUUCAGCUUUGCGUUGUCCUUAGCCUACUGUUAUCAUCUAACAUCAAGGGCGUUUGGUCUAGUGGUAUGAUUCUCGCUUUGGGUGCGAGAGGUCCCGAGUUCGAUUCUCGGAACGCCCCUUUUUUAACAUAUAUUUUACAGCCGUGACAUUUUAGUGAGAAAAAGAAAACGGCUCUAUAUAUUCCAUCUCAUUCACUUGAUGUGGAACGUUCUCAAAUCAUAAAAUCACAGCCGUGACUUUUUAAUGAAGAAAGAGAAAACGACUCUAUAUAUUUCAUUUCAUCUCAUUCACUUGAUGUAACGUUCUCAAAUCCUAAAAGGCUAAAAUCUCGCCGUGACUUUUUAACGAAGAAAGAGAAAACGACUCUAUAUAUUAAUCUCAUUCACUUGAUGUAACGUUCUCAUACCCUAAAAUCUCAGAGAGACGAUCACUCGGUAGAUCGAAUAAACAGGAGAGAGCUAGCUUCAAUGGAGAAGAUCUUCUACAAGUCCCAAAAGCGGUAAGCUCCUCUUUCAUCUUCUCCCCUGUUUGCCUCUAUCGUAUGCAAUCUUGCUUUUGUAUGGAAAUUAAAGUCUCGCAUUUUUGUAAUAAUCUCACCAGGUUAGGUGUCUCGUCUAGUUCAGUUCGACAGGGAGAAGAACGUGUUGUUGUCAGAGAGGAAGAUCGGAUAAGCUCAUUACCUGAUCCUUUGUUAUGUCACAUACUCAGCUUUCUCACCAUCGACGAAGCUGUUUGGACAAGUGUUUUGUCUUCUCGUUGGAGACAUCUCUGGAGAUGGGUUCCUAGGUUAGAAUUAGACAGCUCUUAUAGUUAUUUCCCUAGCGACAAAGUCUGUGUUGAUUUCAUCGACGAGUUUCUUGCUUUCCAAGGCAAGUCCUACUUGCGUGAGUUCAAGUUAACCAUUGACCACGAUGUCUUCUAUAGCGACGUUUCUCUUUACGAGCCGUGUCUCGGUAGAGUGGAUAUGCGCAAGAUCGAACGUUUCCAAGUCGAGAACCGGUUUGAAAAACUUAGCGUUGAUAACAUUGCGACGCCCUUAACGCUCUCCGCGUGUGAGGCGAUGGUCUGCUUAAAACUCCAUUUCGUUAGGCUAAACGAGUUCGUGUCUCUUUCAUUGCCCUGUCUCAAGAUCAUGUACUUGGAAGACGUUGUUCUGCCUAGUGACGCGGCAGCAGAGGCGUGUGAUCUCCUCCUCUCAGGUUCUUGAAGUCUUGAAGAUAAGCCUCAGUAGAGAUGAUGUUGUGGUAGCUUUACGCGUCUGCUCAGCGUCGCUUAAGAGCUUCACUCUAAAAGGAGUGGAGCGUUGCUAUGUUUGUGGACACUAUUCAGUAUUGAUUGAUGCACCCAAGCUUGAGUACCUGAGUCUCAUGGAUUACUACCAUUUCAGAAGCUUUGAGAUAACUAGUGCGGCUGAGUCUUUCAAGGUUGAUAUUGAUGUCGAGUUUAUGCUGAUAAAAGGUUACUUGUCGGAAACGAAGAUGAUCUACAAUCUUGUCAAGAGUUUUUCAGGUGCUGAAGAUAUGACCAUAUCAUGGAAAUCUCUGGAGGUAUAAGAAUAUGUUUAUAUGAUCAUGACAAAAUCUCUAAAAACUUUUCCCAUUUAUCAUAUAUGGUUGUUUUUUACUCAAUUUGUUUGUGCUCUUCUCUUUGCUUUACAGUUUAUAUAUAGUAGUUUCCAUCGUAUGAAACGACCUCCCAAGUUGCAUGACUUGACUGUUUUGCGUGCCACCAUGUGCUUAAACGCAUCCCCUAAACUAUUGCCAGUCGUUCUUGAGAGCUGCCCCAAUCUGAAACACUUGACAUUGGUAACUAUUUGGCUUCUAAAACUUUGCAAGUUGUGAGAUUAAGUCGUGGAUUUGAAUUCUGUCAGAUUUUGUGUGUUUUGCAGGAAUUGGUUAUUGAUGAUGAUGCUGAUGCAGGGAGUACUAAACUCUCCACUGUACUGCCUCGUUGUUUGGUGUCGUCCCUUGAAUCUGUUGAAAUGGAAUGCCCGGUCACGGAGAAAGCUACUGAACUGAAAUUGGCUAGAUACUUUAUGAAGAACUCGACUACACUCAAGAACUUCGUUCUGCGUUUGAAGGAUUGUACACUCAAGCCUUGUGUCUUGUGAAAUCUUCAAGGCACUAUGGUUUGUCUCAAUUCGAAGUUAUUCCAGUGGUUCCAACUCCAAAUCCAAGGCCUGAGGGGUAUGUUUAUGAAAAAUCCCGUAGGUUCUAAAGUUGGCGUUGAAGAUGAAACUAGUUGGCUCAGCCUUUCCCAUUGCUUUCCUUUCCUUUUCUUUCCUUUUUUUUCUCUUUUCUAUGUGAGGUACUGAUUACUCCAUUUGGUUUUUGGUUGAAUGAUUUUGAGUCUCUAUUAUUGAACUUUGUCUCAAGAUUACGCACUUAGAAUAUAUGUUAUUAUUUCCAACGUUAAUAGCAUGCUCUGUUUUGAUUAUAAGGUCACUUGAUCUGCACUUGUUUAGUUUACCGUCAACAAGACAGUUCAAAGUAGUUGUGAUCAAUACAAGCAUUACGCGUUCACUCUGGAACGAGCAGAUCCUGGUUGUGUUGAAAAUACGCUGGGAGACAGUUUGUGAUCGAUACUCCGAGACUUGAAUAAGAUUUGAUGAUUAUAAAUUUAUAAUGUAAACUGGUAUAAAGAGAAAGAAAUGGAGAGUGGCCGUUGAAAUAACAUACUUUUGUCUCCUUAGUUUAAGAGCAUUUUCCUUUCAAAAUGAGAUUGAUUGUUGGAAAUACUCUUGAGGCCAAGUGAAAUCUUCGAACUGGAACUUACACAAAAGUCUAAACCCUAACGUAGCUGGCAAGGUAAAGAGAAACAGGUAACUAGAUUGUGGCCAGGCCCAAUUGAGCAUAGAGCCAUACAAGCUGACCCGGUCUCGGUCUGGAUCCGGAUACCCGGUUAUUUGCUUACACUCUCAUAAAUUUAUUUAUUUUUCCGAGCAAAAGGAAAACAGAGAGACCCAUGAAGAGCUUCUUCUUCUAAGAACACAAACCCUAAAAUAUGAGGGGAAGACGAUUACUUGGAUCAAAAUCAAAGAUAAACAGGAAAGAAGUAGCUUCAAUGGAGAAGCUCUUUAACAAGUCCCAAAAGCGGUAAAGCUCCUCUCCUUCCUUGCUCGCUCAAUUUUCUUGUUGCGCUCAUUUCUUGUGUUAUAGUAUACGCAUAUGUUAAAGUUUCGAUUUUUGUAAUAAAUCUUAUCAGGUUAGGUGUCUCGUCUAGUUCAGUUCGAGAAGAAGAAGAACGAGUUGUUAUCAGAGGAGAAGACAUGAUAAGCUCAUUACCUGAACCGUUGUUGUGUCACAUACUCAGCUUUCUUACCACCGAGCAAGCGGUUCAGACAAGUGUUUUGUCCUCUAGAUGGAGACAUAUAUGGAGAUGGGUUCCUAGGUUAGAACUAGACAGCUCUGAUUUCACAGACGACCAAGUCUGUGUGUAUUUUAUCGAUAAGUUUCUUGCUUUCCAAGGCAAGAACUACUUGCGUGAGUUCAAGUUGACCAUUGACCACGACAUCUUUGGUGGAGAUGCUUCUCUUUACGAGCCUUGUCUCAGCAAAGUGGAUAUGCGGAAGCUCGAACGUUUCCAAGUCGAGAAUACGUUUGGACCUGUUAGCUUUGAUGACUUCCCGACACCCUUAACACUCGCCGUGUGUGAGGCGUUGGUCUGCUUAAAGCUCCAUUACGUUAGGCUGAACGAUGAUUUGAAGUCUCUUUCCUUGCCUUGUCUCAAGAUCAUGUUCUUGGAAGACGUUGUUAUGCCUAGCGACGCUGCUGCAGAGGCGCUCAUCUCCUGCUCUCCGGUUCUUGAAGUUUUGAAGAUAUGCCUUAGUAAAGAUGAUUUUGUGGUAGCUCUACGUGUCUGCUCACCGUCGCUUAAGAGCUUCACUCUAAAAGGAGUGGAACGUUGUUAUGUUUGUAGACACUAUUCAGUAUUGAUUGAUGCCCCGAAACUUGAGUAUCUGAGUCUCAUGGAUUACUACCAUUUCAGAAGCUUUGAGAUAACCAGUGCGGCUGAGUCUUUCAAGGUUGAUAUUGAUGUCGAUUUUGCGGAGAAGAGUAAUUUCAUGUUGGAAAUGAUGAUCAUCUACAGUUUUCUCAACAAUUUUUCAGGUGUUAAAGAUAUGACCAUGUCAUGGAGAACUCUGCAGGUAUAUAUAAUUAAACCGACGAUAAGCUUUUUAAAACUUUCUCAUUAUCAUUGUUUUUUUUUUUAUCUCCUCUCACUUUGUGUGCGCUCUUCUCUUUGCUUUCAGUUUAUAUAUGAAAUCCAUCGGAUGAGCACACUCCCCAAAUUUCAUGACUUGACUCGUCUGCGCGCCACUGUGUGCUUAAACGCACCCCCUGAACUAUUGCCAAUGCUUCUUGAGAUCUGCCCCAAUCUGAAACACUUGACAUUGGUAACAAUUUUGGCUUUUAAAACUUUUCAAGUUCUGAGAUUAGUCCUGGAUUUGAAUUCUGUCAGAUUUUUGUUUGCAGGAAUUGGUUAUUUAUCGAUUUGCAGUGAGUACUAGACCCUCCACUGUGAGGCUGCCUCCUUGUUUGGUAUCGUCUCUUGAAUCUGUUGAAAUAGAAAGCCCGGUCACGGAGGAAGCUACUGAACUGGAUUUGGCUAGAUGCUUUAUGAGGAACUCUACAACACUCAAGAAGCUCGUGCUACGUUUGAAUGAGUCUACUGGAGUUAAACACAAGCCUUGUGACUUGGAACAACUCCUAGAAUUUUCAAAGCGCUAUGGUUUGUCUCAAUUCGAAGUUCUUCCAGUGGUUCCAACUCCGAAUCCAUUGCCUGAGGAGUAUGUUUAUGUAAAAUCCCAUAGGUUCUAAAGCUGAAGUUAAAGAUGAAACUAGUUGGUUCAUCCUUCUUUAGCUUGAUUCCCAUGGCUUCCCUUUCCUUUCCUUCUUUUUCUUCUUUCUGUGUGAGGUACUACUGGUAUGGCUUAAGACUCCAUUUGGUUUGGUUGAAAUUAUUUUUUAUACACUGUGGAGUAAUUUGUGUAUUGCUCGACAAUGAUAUGGUUUCAAAUUCAAUGAGGACAAGUUUGAUGUGAUACCGUCAAAGAGAUCCAUUCUCUAUAACAUUUCUACUUGUUAUUUUUUUUUUUUUUUUUGAGAUUUCGCAUUCAAACAUAUCUUUACCUUUUUAAAAUUUUGAACGAGAAUGAAUAGAGCAUCCUCAAAUUUGUAUAAUUAUAUAUGUUUAGUCAUAUCAAAAUUAAUUUUAGUAUUUUCAAAUUGUAUUUUUUAUUUGUUUAUAAAAAUUUAGUAAACUCAAAAAUAAAUUUGAGAUUCGCAGUUGGAGUAACAUACCCUCACCCUCGUAUGAUUGUUGGAGAUACCCAGUCCAGUCCCAAAAUACCCAUACAAGCUGACCCGGUCUGAAUCUGGAUACCCGGUUUUUACUCAUUAUAGAAAAAGGGAUUUUAUUUAUUUUUGUCCGAGGGAAACAAAAACAGAAGAGGCCCAUGAUUAGGCCUUGGGCGUUCGAGGGGCCAUCGGUUUCGGUUCGGUUGAUUUAGAUUUCGGAUCUUCGGUAUUAUGUUCAUAAGUCUCGUUCGGAUUUUACUAAUUAUUAUCAGGUUGGGUUCGGUUCGGAUCGGAUUGUAACCAAUGUUUGAAAUCUUCCAAACUAUAUUUUUUAAACCUCAAAACUUGAUAAAAUGUUUUUUUUCAAAAUAUAUAAAUUAUUCACAAAUCUAAUUAAAAAUUAGAUAAACUAUCUAAAUUAACUAAAAUGUAAUAAAACAAACUAGAAUUUUUUUUUUAUAGAAACAUUAACAUAUUUGACUAAUUCCAGAUAUUUUUGGAUUCUAGUUUGGAUUUUGGUUCGGUUCGGGUUAUAACCAAACCCCAAAAGCUCAUAGAUCCCGUUCGGAUAUUUUUUAUAAUAGUUCGGAUGUAGUUUUGGUUUUUUCGGUUCGGGUUUAGGUAGAUUUCGGAUUGGGGUAAAAACGUCCGGGCCCCGCCCAUGAUGAGCAUAAAAACAAAAAAGAAGUAGACGACGUUUUACAAACCCUAAAAAUUCAGGGAAGCGAUUAAUCGAUCAAAUUAAGAUAAACGGGAGAGAAGUAGCUUCAAUGGAGAAGCUCUUUUAUAAGUCCCAAAGGCGGUAAGAGCUCCUCUCCGUCCUUACUCGCACAAUCUUGUUGUUGCGCUCGUCACUCAACCCCUGUAUGCAUGUUGAAAGUUUUCGAUUUUUGUAUAUACAUAUUAUCAGGUUGGGUGUCUAUUCUAGUUCAGUUCGAGAAGGAGGAGAACGAGCUGUUGUCAGAGGAGAAGAUUUGAUAAGCCUUUUACCUGAACCGUUGUUAUGUCACAUACUCAGCUUUCUUACAACUGAACAAGCUGUUAGGACAAGUGUUUUGUCCUCUAGAUGGAGAAACAUCUGGAAAUGGGUUCCUAGGUUAGAAUUAGACAGCUUUGAUUUCACUAAUGACAAGGUCUGUGUUGAUUUCAUCCACAAGUUUCUGGCUUUACAAGGCAAGCCCUACUUGCGUGAGUUCAAGCUGACCAUUGACCACGAUGUCUUUGGUAGCGAGGCUUCUCUUUACGAGCCGUGUCUCGGCAGAGUGGAUAUGCGGAAGCUUGAGCGUUUCCAAGUCGAGAAUAAGUUUGGACGUGGUGGUGGCUUUGAUGACUUCCGGACACCCUUAACACUCAAAGCGUGUGAGGCAUUGGUCUGCUUAAAGCUCCAUUUCGUUAGUCUGAAUGAUGACUUCGAGUCUCUUUCCUUACCCUGUCUGAAGAUCAUGUACUUGGAGGACGUUGUUCUGCCUAGCGACGCGGCUGCAGAGGCUCUGAUCUCCUCCUCUCCGGUUCUAGAAGUCUUGAAGAUAAGCCUCAGUAGAGAUGAUUUUGUGGUGGCUUUACGUGUCUGCUCACCGUCGCUUAAGAGCUUCACUCUAAAACGAGUGGAACCUAUUUAUCCUCGUGGACAUUCUGUUUUGAUUGAUGCCCCGAAACUCGAGUAUCUGAGUCUCGUGGAUUACUACCAUUUCAGAAGCUUUGAGAUAAUCAGUAAGGCUGAGUCUUUCAAGGUUGAUGUCGAUGUUGAGUUUGAGCUGCUGACUGAUUACUUGGCUGAAAAGAAGAUCGUCUACAAUCUUCUCGACAACUUUUCAGGUGUUAAAGAUAUGACCAUGUCAUGGAAAACUCUGCAGGUAUAUAUAAACUGAUGACAAGCUUUUAAACUUUCCCAUUAUCAUUGUUUUUUUUUUGUUUUCUCUGACUUUGUUUUGUGCUCUUCUCUAUGCUUACAGUUUAUAUAUAGUUCCCAUGAGACAAACCCACUCCCCAAAUUUCAUGGCUUGACUCGUCUGCGUGCCACUAUGCGCUUAAACGCAUCCCCUGAACUAUUGCCAGUCGUUCUUGAGAGCUGCCCCAAUCUGAAACACUUGACAUUGGUAACAAUUUUGGCUUUUAAACUUUUUAUAGUUCUGAGAUCAGUAAGGUAUUUAUCUGGUCAGUCCUUGAUUUGAAUUGUGUCGAUUUGUAUUUGCAGGAAUUGUUUUUUGUUUAUCCAAUCAGAUGGCUGUCUGAACUCUCCACUGUGCUGCCUAGUUGUUUGGUGUCGUCUCUUGAAUCUGUUGAAAUGGAAAGCCCGGUCACCGAGGUGGCUACUGAACUGGAUUUGGCUAGAUACUUUAUGAAGAACUCGACUACACUCGAGAAGCUCGUGCUACGUUUGGAUCAGUCGAGUGGAGAACAACACAAGCCUGGUGUCUUGGAACAACUCAAGAAAUAUUCAAGGCGCUAUGGUUUGUCUCGGUUCGAAGUUCUUCCAGUGGUUCCAACUCCGAAUCCAUUGCCUCCGGGGUAUGUUUAUGUAAAAUCCGAUAGGUUCUAAAGCUGGCGUUAACAGAAACUAGUUGGCUCAGCCUUUAGCUUGAUUCCCAUGGCUUCCCUUUACUUUUUUUUUCUCUUUUGUGUGAGGUACUGGUAUGGCUUAAGUCUCCAUUUAGUUUGGUUGAAUGCUUUUGAGUCUCUUUAUUAAACUUUGUCUCAAGAUUAUGCACUUGGAAUAUGUUAUCAUUUCCAAAGCUAAUAUCAUGCUCUGGUUUGAUUAUAAGCCAUUUGAUAAUGACGUAAGAGUUUGUGUCUGUAGCACUUGUUGAGUUUGCCGUCAACGAUGCAGUUGAGAAGUACUUGUGAUCAAUACAAGUGCUUUGGUGAUGUUUAAUAUCUAUUGUGGACGUUGAAUGGACCCAUAACUUAUGGGUAGUGACAGAAAUUUUUAAAUACUAUACUUAGUCUCAAGAAUAAUAAGUUAAAGCUGCAAAAUGCAUCCAACUUUGACUACAAAAAACAAGAAAUGUCAAAGAUAACAAUGAGGGUUUCAUCUCCGCCGGAAUAUUCAAUCUCUGGUGAGUUACUAUGUCCAUAUAUCUACUUUACUCUGCUGGUCUAUGUAACUGCAAAGUUUUUGGUUUAAACGAUAUGAGCAUAUGAUCAUUUGAAUUUUUCAGGUCUUUUUCUCUCUGAAAGUUAAAAGAAAAGCUAUGCAAGGAAGAAGUGGAACAAGUGGUGAAGACAGGUUAAGCAUAUUGCCUGAAUCGUUGCUAUGUCAUAUACUCACCUUUCUUACUACCAAGGAAUCUGUUAGGACAAGUGUCUUGUCCUCUAGAUGAAGAGAUCUCUGGCUAUGGGAACCUAGAUUAGAUCUGGACAAAUCUGACUUCUCAGAGAAUAACACGUGCCUGAGUUUCAUCGAUAAGUUUCUGAAUUUCCGAGGUGAGUCCUACUUGCGUGGCUUCAAGCUAAACACUGACCACGAUGAUGAUGAUGAUGAUGAGUCCCAAUUCUUCAGUCCAAGUCUUACGCAUCCGCUCCAAGUCAUUAAAGAGCUUCACUCUAGAACGGGCAGAUCCUGAUGGUGUUGAACACAAUUUGGAGACAGUUCUGAUGGAUACUCCGAGUCUCGAGUAUCUGAACUCAUAGAUUACCAAUACACAAGCUUCGAGAUAGUUACUAUGAGUGAAUCUGUCAAGUUUGAUGUCGACGUCGUGUUAUUCAAAACUUUGAAUUUUUUUAACCUUUGUUUCACAUGCUAGAGAUAUGACCAUCUCAAGGAGGACUCUUGAGGUAAAAUACUCGCACACUGAUUGAUUGAUCUCUUUCACUUGAGAGUUUUUACUAAAUUUAUGUUAAAGUUUUGCUAUCUGGCAGUCCAUCUUUUAUCCCCUGGAAAUAAACGGACGAUCCAGAUUUCAUGGCUUGGUUCGUCUUCGUGCUACUAUUUUCUUAAACUCUUCUCCUGCGAUGUUGCCCAGUCAUUCUUGUGGCAUGCCCGAAUCUUAAACACCUCACCUUGGUGAUGAUUUUUGUCUACCACUUUUACACAUAGAUUCUUGCCCUUCCAUCCACUCAUCUUUUGAUUCUAUGUAAUAAAAUUUAUAAAUAGUUUCAAAAUUUUAAAAUAUUUUAAUUUUUAUAUUUAUAGAUAUUUUAUUAAUUAUAUUUAAGUAUAACACUUAACAUAAAAUAAUUUACAACAUGGUGAUGUUUUUAUUUUAAAUAACAGCCACUAUAUUUUAAAUUUUUUUAAUGGUAAUUUAAAAAAAAAUAUUAUUUUAAAACAAUGUAUUGCUUAUUUUAUAAAAAAAGACUAAGAAUAAAAUAAAAUCAAAAUCUAAAAACCAAAAACCAAAAUCAAAAGCUGAAAAUCAAAAACCAAAAUCUAAAAGUUAAAAACCAAAAACCAAAAACCAGAAUGUAAAACCAAAAUCUAAAAACCAAAAACUAAUGGAAACAAUCAUCACCUAAACUUCAAUGUUGCUUAAAAUUUUAUUUGAUUGAAUAGUAACAAUAUUACUGGCGCAUAAAUUUGUUUAAGGAUUCUUUGAAUACACGGACGUGUUAGUCUGGUGGUGAAUGGCUUGCAGCUGCAAGUACGGUCCUGGAUUCGACUUGUACUAGCCACCAAAGUUUUCACAUAUGUAUUUUUGGCUCGAGAAGAACAAUAUGUGGUAUGAGGUUCGUCCUUGUCAAAGGUUCUAAACUUACUAUAAGUGUGGCCAGGAAACAAUAAGUGUGGCCAGGAAACACCUAGUAAAUAUCAAAAGAUCGCUUCAUCUUCUACUCAGUGAAGAGGAUCGUACUUGCGGGAACUCAAGCAGUCCCUUGCUAUACUCUUCACUGACCCAGGCCCAUUUGAGCAAAUGAGCAUAGUCAUAGAAGCUGACCCGGUCUUAAUCCGGAUACCCGAUUAUUCACUCCUUAGUACGUUUAUUCAUUUUAUUUUUCCAAAGAAGGAAAGAAAGAAAAACAGAAGAGCUUCUAAUAAGAAGAAAAAGAAGAGGACGACGACGACGGCAACGUUCACGAACCCUAAAUUUUCAGGGAAGACGAUUUUACUCGGAUCAAAUCAAAGAUAUCAGGAGAGAGAGAGAGAGAGAUUCAAUGAAGCUCCUUUAUAAGUACCAAAAGCGGUAAUCUCCUUUUCUCCUCCUUCCUUACUCUCUCGCUCAAUCCUAUCGUUGCGCACAGUUCUGGCGUCACUAUGCAUUGUUGACGUUUCGAAUUUUGGUAAUAAUCGUAUAAUAUCAGGUCAGGUGUCUCGUCUAGAUCUGCUCGAGAAGGAGAAGAACGAGCUGUUAUCAGCGGAGAAGAAGAUAGGAUAAGCUCAUUACCUGACCCGUUGUUAUGUCACAUACUUAGCUUUCUCACCACUGAGCAAGCGGUUUGGACAAGCGUUUUGUCCUCUAGAUGGAGAUACCUCUGGAAAUGGGUUCCUAGGUUAGAACUAGACAGCUUUGAUUUCGCAAAUGACAAGGUCUGUGUUGAUUUCAUCGACAAGUUUCUUGCUUUCCAAGGCAAGUCCUACUUGCGUGAGUUCAAGUUAAGCAUUGACCAUGAUGUCUCUAACAGUAAUCUUUCUCUUUACGGGCCGUGUCUCGGUAGAGUGGUUGAUAUGCGGAAGCUUGAACGUUUCCAAGUCGAGAAUGAGUUUGAACAUGGUGGCAUUGUUUACAUCCGGUUUACUCUUUCUGCGUCUGAGGCAUUGGUCUCCUUAAAGCUCCAUUCCGUUUGGUUGAAUGGUUUUAAGUCUCUUUCCUUUCCCUCUCUCAAGAUCAUGUUCCUGGAAGACGUUGGUCUUCCUAGCGAUGCGGCUGCAGAGGAGUUGAUCUCCUGCUCUCCUGUUCUACAAGUUUUGAAAAUAUGCCUUUGUAAAUAUGAUUCUGUGGUAGCUUUACGUGUCUGCUCACUGUCGUUAAAGAGCUUCACUUUGAAACGAAUGGAGCCUCGUUAUUCUCGUGGACAUUCUGUUGUGAUUGAUGCCCCGAAGCUCGGGUAUCUGAGUCUCACGGAUUACUACCAUUUCAGCAGCUUUGAGAUAACCAGUGUGGCUGACUCUUUCAAGGUUGAUAUCGAUGUCGAGUUUGAGCUAAUGAGUGAUUACUUGAUGGAAAUGAAGAUCGUCUACAAUCUUCUCAAGAAUUUUUCAGGCGUUACAGAAAUGACCAUAUCUUGGAAAACUCUGGAGGUAUAUAAACUCUAUGAAACGCUCUAAACUUUCCCAUUACCAUUGUUUUUUUUUUUUAACUUCUCACUUUGUUUUGUGCUCUUCUCUUUGCUUACAGUUAAUAUAUAGUUUCCAUCAGACGAACCCAGUCCCCAAAUUUCAUGGCUUGACUUGUUUGCGUGCCACUAUGUGUUUAAACGCAUCCCCUAAACUAUUGCCAAUCGUUCUUGAGAGCUGCCCCAAUCUGAAACACUUGAAAUUGGUAAAAAAAUUGGCUAAAACUUUUCAAGUUCUGAGAUCAGUAAAGUAUUUAUCUGGUCAGUCCUUGAUUUGAAUUCUGUCGAUUUGUGUUUGCAGGAACUGUUUCUUGAUCCAAUCAGAAGGCUGUCUGAACGCUCCACAGUGCUGUCUCGUUGUUUGGUGUCGUCUCUUGAAUCUGUUGAAAUGGAAAGCCCGGUCACGGAGAUAGCUAUUGAACUGGUUUUGGCUAGAUACUUUAUGAGGAACUCGACAACACUCAAGAAGCUCGUUCUACGUUUGAAUCAGUCUUCUACUGGAGUGAAACACAAACCUGGUGUCCUGGAACAACUCAAGAAAUAUUCAAGGCGCUAUAAAUUGUCUCAGUUCGAAGUUCUUCCAGUGGUUCCAACUCCGAGUCCAUGGCCUGGGUAUCUUUAUGUAAAAUCCAAUAGGUUUUAAAGCUGCAGUUAAAUCCAUUGGAUAGAGUUGUGAUGGAUACUACGGGACUUGAGUAUCUGAAUCCAUAAAUUACCAGUACACACUAGUAUGAGUGAAACUGUCAAGUUUGAUAUCGACGUCGUGUUAUCCAUCACUUGUAAUUUUCUAACCUUUGUUUCACAUGCUAGAGAUAUGACCAUCUCCAGGAGGACUCUUGAGGUAUAUAUACACACUGAUCUCUAAACUUUUUUUUCUUGAGAGUUUUACUUAACUGUUAACUUAAAGCUAUCUGGCAGUCCAUCUAUUAUCACCUGGAAAUAAACAGACGAUCCAAAUUUCAUGGCUUGGCUCGUCUUCGUGCUACAAUCUUCUUAAACUCUUCUCCAGAGAUGUUGCCAGUCAUUCUUGAGGCAUGCCCGAAUCUCAAACACCUCACCUUGGUGAUGAUUCUUGCCUUGCUACUACUUUUGCAAGUUUGUACACAUUGAUUCUUGACUUUCCAGUUUCCACCCACUCAUCUUUGUUUCUAUGCAGGAACUGGUUCAUGAUUUUCUGGUGACGGAUGGAACAAGUAGACUUCUGAAUCUGUUUCCUCCUCCUUUGAUAUCGUCCCUUGAAUCUGUUGAUAUCGAAAGCCCCAUCACGGAUAAAGCAACGGAACUGGAGCUGGUUAGAUACUUUUUAGAGAACUCAACAGCACUCAAGAAGCUUGUUCUACGUUUAAACUCUGUGACAAGCUUUAAACUUUCCCAUUAUCAUUGUUUUUUUUUUCUUUCUCACUUUGUUUGUGCUCUUUCUCUUUGCUUACAGUUUAUACAUAGUUCCCCUCUGACGAACUUUCUCCCCAAAUUUCACGGCUUGACUCGUUCGCGUGCCACUAUGUGCUUAAAUGCAUCCCCUGAACUAUUGCCAAUCGUUCUUGAGAGCUGUCCCAAUGUGAAACACUUUGACUUUGGUAACAAUUUUGGCUUUUAAACUUUUCAAUUAGUAAGGUUUUUAUUCUGUCGAUUUGUGUUUGCAGGAGUUGUUAAUUCAUUAUCCAGAAGUGAUAGCUAGACUCUCCACUGUGCUGCCUCCUUGUUUGGUAUCGUCUCUUGAAUCUGUUGAAAUGGAAAGUCCGGUCACGGAGAUAGCUACUGAACUGGAUUUGGCUAGAUACUUUAUGAAGAAUUCUACAACACUCGAGAAGCUCGUACUACGUUUGAAUCAGUCUUCCUCUGGAGAGAAACACAUGCCUGGUGUCUUGGAACAACUCAUUGACUCUCCAAGACGCUCUACUUUGUGUCAGUUUGAAGUUAUUCCAGUGGUUCCAACUCCGAAUGCAUGGGUCCUGAGUGGUAGGUUUAUGUAAAAUCCAAUAGUUUCUAAAGCUGGAGUUAAAGAUGAAACUAGUUGGCUUCCCUUUCCUAUUAUUUGGCAUGGCUUAAGAUUUGGUUUGGUUUGGUUGAAUGAUUUUGAGUCUCUAUUAUUAAACUUUGUCUCGAGAUUAUGCACUUAGAAUAUAUGUUAUUAUUUCCAACGCUAUUAUCAUGUUCUGGUUUGAUUAUAAGCCAUUUGAUAACGAUGUAGAGUUUUAUGCGUCUGUAGCACUUGUUGAGUUUGCCGUCAUCAAGACAGUUGAAAAGUUGUUGAGUUCAAUACAAGUGUUUUGGUAAUGGUUGAUAUUUUAAUGUGGACGUUGACUGGACCCGCCAUAACUUAUGGGUAAUGACUAAGAAAUUUAAAUACUAUACUUAGUCAAGGAUUAGUUAAAGCUGCAAGCAAAAUGCAUCCAACUUUGAGUAUAAAAACAAGAAAGGUCAAAGAUAACAAGGAGGGCUUCAGAAAAUAGACAACGAGGGUUUCAAUAUUCAAUCUCCGGUGAGUUACUUUCUCCAUACUUCUACUUGGCUCGGCUAAUCUAUAUGUAACUGCAAAGCUUUUUAGUUUAAAAGAAUUGAGCAUAUGAUCAUUUGAAUUUUUUCAGGUCUUUUUCUCUCUAAAAGUCAAAGAAAAAGCUAUGCAAGGAGGAAGAAGUGGAACAAGUGGUGAAGACAGGAUAAGCAUAUUGCCUGAACCAUUGGUAUGUCAUAUACUCACCUUUCUUACUACCAAGGAAUCUGUUAGGACAAGUGUUCUGUCCUCUAGAUGGAGAGAUCUCUGGCUAUGGGUGCCUAGAUUAGAUCUGGACAAAUCUGACUUCUCAGAGGAGAACACCUGCGUGAGUUUCAUCGAUAAGUUUCUGAAUUUCCGAGGUGAGUCCUACUUGCGUGGCUUCAAGCUAAACACUGACCACGAUGAUGACGAGUCCAAUUCUUCAGUGGAGGCAUGCCUGACGCGAGUGGUUAACAAGUGUAAGAUUCAGCAUUUCGAAAUCAAGAACUACUUUGGGUUUUGCUACCUUGAGAUGUCUCUAGUCUUUUCAAUGUGUGACACAUUAGUUAGCUUGAAACUCAGCUUCGUGAUGAUGAGUGAUUACGACCAGUCAUUUUCUUUACCAUGUCUCAAGACUCUGCACUUGGAAAAAGUUGAAUUCCAAAGCGAUGAGGUUGCAGAGGCACUAAUCUCAUCCUCUCUGGUUCUCAAGGAUUUAAAAAUGAGCCAGAGUGAAUAUGAUUCUGUGCAAGUGUUACGCGUCCGGUCCAAGUCACUAAAGAGCUUCACUCUGGAACGGGCGGAUCCUGGUCGUGUCGAAAACAGUUUGGAGACAGUAGUGGUGGACACUCCGGGACUCGAGUAUCUGAAUCUCAUAAAUUACCAGUACACAAGCUUCCAGAUAGUUAGCUUGAGUGAAUCUGUCAAGUUUGAUAUCGACGUGGUGUUAUCCAACACUCUUAACAUUCUAACCUUUGUUUCACAUGCUAGAGAUAUGACCAUCUCCAGGAGGACACUUGAGGUAUCUACACACUGAUCUCUAAACUUUCUUUAUUGAGAGUUUUAAGCUAACUCUAUCUGGCAGUUCAUCUAUUAUCACCUGGAAAUAAACCGACGAACUAAAUUUCAUGGCUUGGCUCGUCUUCGUGCUACUAUGUUCUUAAACAGAAGAAGUGGAACAAGUGGUGAAGACAGGAUAAGCAUAUUGCCUGAACCAUUGGUAUGUCAUAUACUCACCUUUCUUACUACCAAGGAAUCUGUUAGGACAAGUGUUCUGUCCUCUAGAUGGAGAGAUCUCUGGCUAUGGGUGCCUAGAUUAGAUCUGGACAAAUCUGACUUCUCAGAGGAGAACACCUGCGUGAGUUUCAUCGAUAAGUUUCUGAAUUUCCGAGGUGAGUCCUACUUGCGUGGCUUCAAGCUAAACACUGACCACGAUGAUGACGAGUCCAAUUCUUCAGUGGAGGCAUGCCUGACGCGAGUAGUUAACAAGUGUAAGAUUCAGCAUUUCGAAAUCAAGAACUACUUUGGGUUUUGCUACCUUGAGAUGUCUCUAGUCUUUUCAAUGUGUGACACAUUAGUUAGCUUGAAACUCAGCUUCGUGAUGAUGAGUGAUUACGACCAGUCAUUUUCUUUACCAUGUCUCAAGACUCUGCACUUGGAAAAAGUUGAAUUCCAAAGCGAUGAGGUUGCAGAGGCACUAAUCUCAUCCUCUCUGGUUCUCAAGGAUUUAAAAAUGAGCCAGAGUGAAUAUGAUUCUGUGCAAGUGUUACGCGUCCGGUCCAAGUCACUAAAGAGCUUCACUCUGGAACGGGCGGAUCCUGGUCGUGUCGAAAACAGUUUGGAGACAGUAGUGGUGGACACUCCGGGACUCGAGUAUCUGAAUCUCAUAAAUUACCAGUACACAAGCUUCCAGAUAGUUAGCUUGAGUGAAUCUGUCAAGUUUGAUAUCGACGUGGUGUUAUCCAACACUCUUAACAUUCUAACCUUUGUUUCACAUGCUAGAGAUAUGACCAUCUCCAGGAGGACACUUGAGGUAUCUACACACUGAUCUCUAAACUUUCUUUAUUGAGAGUUUUAAGCUAACUCUAUCUGGCAGUUCAUCUAUUAUCACCUGGAAAUAAACCGACGAACUAAAUUUCAUGGCUUGGCUCGUCUUCGUGCUACUAUGUUCUUAAACACCUCUCCAGCGAUGUUGCCAGUCAUUCUUGAGGCAUGCCCGAAUCUCAAACACCUCACCUUGGUGAUGAUUUUUGCCCUAUCUACUUUUGCACAUAGAUUCUUGACUUUCCACCCACUCAUCUUUGUGUUUCUAUGUCCUUGUUUUGUUCCUUUGUAGGAACUGGUUCAUCAUUUUCUGGUGACGGAGGGGACAAGUAGACUUCUGAAUCUACUGCCUCCUUCUUUGAUAUCGUCCCUUGAAACUGUUGAUAUCGAAAGCCCGGUCACGGAUAAAGCAACGGAACUGGAGCUGGUUAGAUACUUCUUAGAGAACUCGACAAGACUCGAGAAGAUCGUUCUACGUUUGAACCAGUCUUGUCGGAAAAAUCACAAGCCGGGUUUCCUGAAACAACUCGUUGAAUAUCCAAGAUGCUCGGGUUUGUGUCAGUUUGUCAUUCUGCACUGUUGAACUUGGAUAAUACUUUAAAGAGUAGUUAGCGAUGUAUUGAUUGACAAUGAUAUGGUUUCACUACUGAAAAAAACUAUGAUUUGAGAAUUAAAGAGACCCACUUUCGUUUUUGCCUUUAAAAGGGUCAAAAUAAUCCUCAAAACUGAAGCUUACAAAGUCUAAACCACAACUUAACUUGAGAGCUUAUUUCAUUGAUAGAUUUGUUCUUGGAAAGCAAUGAAACACACGCAGACAAAAAGAUCACUUCAUCUUCUGCUCAGUGAAGAGGACAUGGCGAUUGACACGAGGAUCGUACUUGCGGAACUCAAGCUUCUCAAGAAGACCCUUGCUACUCUUCCUCUUGACAUAGAAGAAUCCAGUUCCAGCUGCUGAGACUAGACGGAUGAACAUGAACGUCUUCUUCCUCUUGUCUCCCAUUUUUUCUCACUUCAAUACACCAAACCAUAGAAACAUCAACAAAUCUCAAUUUUGAUACUUGCAUCAUCAUGCAACAUAACAACCAUAAAGAUAACAAUGCAAUCACGAACUUUUCCAAAAUUUCACAGAGAGAAGCAAACAUAAACCCUAGAUCAUUUUUUCAAUGCAUCGAUGAAAUGAGCCAGAACUUAAAGAAAACAAAAGCUUCCGCGAAUCCAAAAUUGAAACAAAUGAAAUUCACAAGAAAUCAAAGAUAGGGGUGGAGCAGCAGAAACUUACCUAAAGGCAGACGGCGACGAGACGGCGGCGAUACGACGGCUGAGAGGAAUCAAUCGGGAGUGAGAAGAAGCUAAAUACAGGGAUUAUUAAUAAUAAAACAAAAAAGCCCAUUGAUUAUGAAUGGGCUUUCAAAAGCAGUAUUUGUUGAUCAAAUAGCCCAAUAAGGCCCAUUAUUCAUUCAGCUACUCUCUCACCUGGUUCUGUUCUCUCUCUCUCAUUUCGCGUUUGUAACUCAGUGGAGAAGAAAGAUCCAAGUCGAUCCGUUGCAAAAAGGUACGACGAUGAUCAUUGUCUGCUCUUAGAUUCUACUGUAUAUCUUGAAUUUGAUUUUUGUUUCGGUUAACGGGGAAGAUUGCGAUUGAUUUUACCAUUUCCCUUUGGAUUCAGUUUUAGGGAUUUCGAAUUUUCCGAGCUAUGUCGAGUGCGGUGGACGCGACGGGUAACCCGAUCCCUACUUCCGCGGUGUUGACUGCGUCGGCGAAGCAUAUAGGUUUAAGAUGUAUGCCGGAGAACGUCGCCUUCCUCAAGUGCAAGAAGAAUGAUCCUAACCCCGAGAAGUGUCUCGACAAGGGUCGUGACGUCACUCGCUGCGUGCUUGGCUUGUACGUUUCUUUAAAGCUCAAUUCUUUUUUGGGUUCUAUGAUCUCUUGCAAGCUUAGUAGUUUUGGGUUUUCUUUGGUUUGGUUGUGAAUUGUGAUGAAGAUAAUGAGUAUCAAAUGGGUGGUUUAGGGAUUGAUUCAUUCUUCAGUGUGAAAGUUUACUUCUUUCGUUGAAGUGAGCAUAGCUGCUUCAAUGUCUUAACCACAGGCUUAGCUAUAUUCUUAGCCACGAGCAUGAGGUCAUUAGAUAGUUUGGAACACUGUAGAUUAACUAGUAACUGUUUGUUUAUUGUUUAGAGUCCAGAAGAGCUAUCUGUGCCAUGCAUUUUCGUGUUAUGAUAUCCUUGAAACUGGCACACACCAAGUAUUAGAGUAGCCUUUUGUGUUCACUAGGCAUGGUAGAAACAGAUUCAUACAUUGCUUCUGUUGACAUCUUCUCAUUGUCGUUAAGAAGCCAAGUGCUUUCCUUGGAAUGUUGGUUUAAGACUCCAGUUUUGUUGUUUAGAAGUUGUUUACUCUUAUACAAUGAUACGAUGCUAUGAUUAUAUCAAUCAAAAAAAUUUUGAACCUAUCAAUCGCACUGUGUUUCAUUAAUGAUGUUGAUUCCACAUUGCUAACAUUAUUCAGUUUUGUUGAUGGUUUUGAUGAAUGUUUGCAGGUUGAAGGAUCUUCACCAGAAGUGCCAAAAGGAGAUGGAUGACUAUGUUGGGUGUAUGUAUUACUACACAAACGAGUUUGAUCUGUGUAGGAAAGAGCAAGAAGCCUUCGAGAAAGUGUGUCCCCUGAAAUGAGAAUCACAAGUUAUUGUCAAUGUUUUUAUUUGCAAUCUCCUAAUAAAGCAAAAUGUUCAUUUUUGAAUGAGCUUUACUCUUUUUUCUUUUGUUGUCAUCACCAUUUUUUUCUCUCAAAAUGCUUCCGUAGCGAGUUAUCAAAGACAAUGAAAUGACUCGGUUUUCAUUGUUUGAUGGUUCUUUAAUCAGCACAGAAUGGAUUUCUCGAGUAAUAAUCCCUGUUCAUGAGCUUUAUCGGUUACCUUAAAAGUAAAAAACUAGUAUGAGGAUUUUGUUUCAAUGUUGUGAGUAGGGGUGGGCACUUUACCCGAUAUCCGAAGUGGCACCCGAACCCGAUCCGAAAAAUCCGAACCGAAGUAGCAGAAUAUCCGAACGGGUAUUGAAUUAGGAGAGAUUGGAUAUCCGAAUCCGAACGGAUAAUAUCCGAACCCGAAUGGAUAUCCGAAAAUAACCGAACAUAUGUAUAAUUAACCUUAUAUUUCUAGCUUACAUCUCUCAUUUUAUAUAGAAUAUUUAUAUUGAUACUACACAUGUUUUAAUUUCAUAUCAUAUACAUACAAUUACGGAGAAAAUGAUUUUCUACUCACUUAAAAUGCAUGUCAAUCUUUUUAUUUCAAGAAUUAACAAAAACUUAUAUCAAAAAUUUAAAAACAAUAAUCAAAUUAAUGUCUUUUUAGUUUCAAAAUGUUAUGUCGAGAUCUAUUAACCAUUCAAUCUAUUAAAAAUAAAGAAAUUAGUUAAGUGAAAGUUAUAUCUUUAAAUACAAUAAAUUUGAGAAAUGAAAAUUUAAUUUUGUUUUUUCAAAAUCUAAAUAUCCGAACCCGAUCCGAAAUAACCGAACCCGAACUAAAAAUAUCCGAACCCGACCCAAAGUACAGAAAUACCGAACGGGUUCUACACCUCUAUACCGAAAUACCCAAAAAUCCGAAAUACCCGACCCGAACUCGAACGGAUACCCGAACGCCCACCCUUAGUUGUGAGAAUAGGUUUAUUUUAUUUGUUUGUCCAUCAUUGUUAAAUGUUCACAUAAGCAAUUAAUGUUAACUAGAUCUUGAUCCGCGCGUAUGAAUUUUCGGUUUUUAAUUAUUUAUUUUAUUAAAUGAUAUAUUUGUAAAAUUUAUUCAUAUUAUAUUCAUUAAGUAAAUUUUUUUUUUGCAUCUUAAACUAUCUAAUUUUUUUAUGAAUGUGUGAUAUCAUAUAAAAAAUAUAACAUCCGAAAUAACCGAACCCGAACUAAAAAUAUCCGAACCCGACCCAAAGUACAGAAAUACCCGAACGGAUUCUACACCUCUAUACCGAAAUACCCGCAAAUCCGAAAUACCCGACCCGAAUCCGAACGGAUACCCGNNNNNNNNNNNNNNNNNNNNNNNNNNNNNNNNNNNNNNNNNNNNNNNNNNNNNNNNNNNNNNNNNNNNNNNNNNNNNNNNNNNNNNNNNNNNNNNNNNNNNNNNNNNNNNNNNNNNNNNNNNNNNUAAAAAUACAUUUACAAAAAUAUUGUUUGAAAGAAAAUUCAUUUAUCUUUCAAAUAUAAAAUGAAAAUAUUAUAAUUAAAUAAUAAAAAAUAUAAAUAAAAACCAUAAAUUUAGCAAAUGACAACUGAGUUAUAUUAUGCUAAAAUUUUAUUUCUAACAAUUUAGUAAAUGACAAAUGAGUUAUGAGAAAAUAAUACCAUAUAAUUUUUAAAAAUUUUUGAAUAAAUAAAUAUUUUUUAAUUUAAUCAACUGAAAAUAAUAUCCGUACAAUUGUGUGAGUCAAAUUCUAGUUUUAUUGAUGCAUGUUAUAUAUUAGUGUUGUAUGUUUUAGAAAACAUUUUAAUGAUGCACGUUUUUAAAAAUCUCCUUUGUUAAAAUUAUGCACGUAAGGAUAACUCAUGAGUUUUUUUUGUUGAUUAAAUGACACUAUGUCCAAAUUUAUUUAAGGAUAUUUCAUAAAGGUUUCUGAAAAAGACAAACAAUAAAAUAGGAAGUUUAAAUUCAUUUAAACAUAUUUUAUUAAUGUAACUGAAAAGACAAGUAAUAAAUUAGGCAUUUUUUGUUUUAGGAUAUUUCAUAAAUGCAACUGAAAAAGACAAACAAAAAAAUAGGGAGUUUAAUUAACGAAAUAAGAACAUUUUCAAAUGAGUAAUUCUUUUUUUUUUUUUUUUUUGAUAAUCCAGGGUAAUUCGCGGUUUAUUCCCUGGGCCCGGUCAGGUAGCGGACGGGUUUCACCCGGGAGGGUAUGUCCUGAGUUCGAAGGCUCAGUACCCGUUUUUGGUGACAUGGAAGAGCAGUUCGCCUCCGGCUGGCGUCAAACUCGGAAGCAUGACAAUUGGUCUCCAAGGCUCUAACCAGUAGAAGUGACUCAUCCAGUCUAUUUGAUAAAUACCAAAUGAAAUUUCCGAGAAAAAUAACACUUAUUUAAUACGAUCCCCGUAGUAAAAGAUUAUGGUUGUACCUUCUUUGCAAUGUAUCCAUUAAAAUAUUCAAAUCUAGUUACUUGAUUUACGACUUCAAAUAUUGUAUGUAUGUAUAGUUUUAAUAUGUUUUGGAAAAUAAAUUUAUCAUGCAAACUAGAAAUUUUUAUUUUAAAAAAAUGCAAACAAGAAAUACAUAACAUACAUAUAAUAUUAUUGUAUUUUUAACUAUUGUAAACAAUAUAUAUAUUGUAUAUAUAUAUAUAUAUAUAUAUAUGAAGAGGCAUAUGAAAACUAUAAUAACAUUAUUAUUUACAUACUGAAAUAUGUUAAAACACGUUUUUAAUAUGAUGGUCGGAGGAGUGGACGGUGAUGGCAUGGACGGUGAUGUUAGGUGGCUGAAAUUAUUGACGUUGGUUUUGUCAAAGAUUGUGAGCUCACCAAACACAUUCUUCAUGCUUAUAAAAGGAGAGAUAUGGUGAACCAUUUCAUUCAUCCCAAAAUCAAAAAUCACAGAGAGAAGUGAGGAAGAAGAAGAACGUGAGAGAGAAAAAAAAAAAAAAAAAAAAAAUUCUUUUUUUAAUAAUAUAGAUUUGAGUGGAGUUUGAUACGUUUAUAACUUUAUAGGGAAUCUUUAUCACAAGUCCUAUAUUUAGUGUUAUGACCAUCAUAGAUUCAUAGUUAAAUGGACUGACAAGAAUAGUUCACCAUCCACCAUCACUUGGUCAUUUUUCAAGAUUUAAUUCUCUGAAAGUACAGAGCUCUUCAUAAUGAUGUAGAGUACCUAAUGUAGAGUGUCUUAAAAAUUGUUAAGAUGUUAAAAAGAAAUCAGAUCCUUGGAUCAAUUCAAUCCUUGUCGUUCAUUUUGUAUGUAAACUAGUAUUUAAGUAUUGAGAUCAAUUUAUGUAAGCAUUACAUGUACAUCCAAACAUUUUAUAAACAAUACAAAGGAGGACACAUUUAAUGCUCUGAGAGCUCCAGAGGCUUUCGCUAACUGAAUUACCCAGUUACCCCUGCCUCUCGAGUUUCAUAUUAGUGACGUGGCCUAAUUAAUCUGCUGGGCCCUAUGAUGUUCUUUCUUUUUCUAUAGACAUUUUUAUUUAUUUAAGAGUUUUUCUGAUAUCUCUCAAAGAGAAGAGUGAGUGAGAGGAUCAAUCAUCGAUGGCGUCUCCAACACCAACGAGAAUCUCAUUCCGUAUACUGAUCCUGAUCGCUUUGAUGGUGCUUCUAUUCUAUGUCGGCCGUCCUCUCUACUGGAAGAUCUCCGCAACCAUCCACGAUAUCCGCCACAACAAGCAAUCCGUCAGAGAAGGUAACCCUCGACCUCCCCCUCUAUCUAUCGGAUUGACUCUCUCGUAUCUUUUCUUAUUACGGUCGGUGCUGUUUGGAUACAGGUAUAUCUCAGAUCGUACAAGAGGCGCAGAGAUCGGUGGGAUGGUAUCACGACGAGUCGGACUCUGGGAUCUUAGAGGUUCAUAACAAGAAAUCGAGAGUCUCCGCCUCUCGGAGGCUUCUUUUCGCCGGUGAUCAGUGAGAAAAUUUCACAUUUGGUUUCUUCUAAAUAAUUUGUACUACUGCUGUGUUUGUUGUCUGUGUGUAUGUUUGAUCGUGUCGCCACUUUACAAGAAUAACAUUAUCAAGUUUUAUAGGUCGACAUUGUCGUAAUUCGUAUUCCGACAAGAUAACAUAUCUACAUGACCUUAUUAAUAAGGUAGAUAUAUUAAACUAUAUAGAGAGCUAGUGAAUUUCUGUUUGUAUGAGUUUUUGCUUGAAACUUGCCAAAACUUGUUUACGAGUCUCGUUUAUGUGCAAACUUGUUUAUAUCGUACGUGAAAAUAAACGCCAAAAACAAACAUAUUUCAUACAUAAGAUGACAUUACCAGGUAAUAGCUUUAGUUAAAGAGUGAAAUAAAAAAAUAGAAAGAAAAACAUCAUGAUCAUAAUCAUAUACAUACACCAUAGUCCAACAUGUUGAAGCAACACUGAAGCUUUUUUUAAUCCUCUCUUGUGCUUUAAGUAAAUUGUUUCAUGAGUUUUUAGAUGUUCCGAGAACAGUCUCCAUGUGUCGGUUAAUAUCGUUCAAAUAUCUUGUCGAGUUGUAUUCUUCGUUAUCCAAUAGUUCUUCCGAGUAAGUCCUCUGCAGUUUGGAGUUUUGUCGUAGUUUUAGCUGGUCUAAACUGCCCUUGUCACCUCUAAAAAUCUCCACAACCUGAAUAUAUAUAUACACACACUUCAUUAUAUAUGUUACCAAAUUAAUAAGAAAAUUGGUGACUUAAUAAAAGAUGGAGUUGAAUGUUUUAGUAUGCAUGCCUGAUUCAUGUGAGGUCGGUUCAUUGAGGUUUGGUGUAUGCACAAGGAUGCUAUGAAGACAAGACGUUCCAACUCUUCUAAGUCGUAGUCAUCUCCCAUAACCGGAUCAACUAGUUGUUUGAUCUUGUUCUCUUUGAUCAAUGGCUUGGCCUGCAAGAACAUAAGUGGUGGCCCAUGUUAGUAAUUUCACAACUAAAUAGAUAUAACACAAUCUACUUCUUAAUCAAGAUCCAGGUCAAGGAAGUAUGAGACAAGGAUUCCAUCUAGCUAGGGUUUAAGAGAGAGUCAGACAUCACAUACCCACAUAACAAGGCUAUGCUGUGCGCUGUCUAGGGCUUGUUUACCAGUAAUGAGCUCAAGAAGCAGGACACCAUAAGCAUAUACAUCUGUUUUCUCGUCUACAAUCCCAUGCAUAAAGAACUCCGGUGGAAGGUAACUGAUCCAUGAAUUUAUACGAGAUUGUGUGAGAUAAUAUGAAGCACAAGAGAUGUGAAUCUGCGUAUAUGAUCUAUAUCUGUGACUGAGAGGAUCCAAACCCGAAUGUUCCUUCUAUUUUCGACACGGUAUGGUGAGUCCAUUGGUCUGGUAACCAUUUAGCCAGCCCGAAAUCAGAUAUCUAAGCAAAAAAAUUUAAAAGAUAAGAAUUUAAGUUCAUUAUUGACUCAUGAUCAUAAAUUGAAAAGCCUAUAAAUUAGUUUUCUCUUCAUAAUUACCUGAGCCUCAAAGUUCUCAGUGAGAAGAAUGUUAGAAGCUUUGAUGUCUUUAUGAAUGAUCCUUCUCUGGCAACCUUCAUGGAGAUAGUACAGUCCUUCAGCUGUUCCUGUCGCCACUUUGUAUCUUAUGCUCCAACUCAACUUCUCUUUCGCCUCUACAAAAUGUUACAAGGAUCUUAAUUAGGUUUUUGAAUAAACAAGACCUACUAUAUACAUCACUGAAACCUAUUUUCAUAUAAAUUUGCUUUUACUUAAAUAUUUGUCUAGAAGUUUCAUAUAGUUUUUAAAGAUUGCUUUGAAAACAUGAGUUAGAAAUAGAUUUUAUCACCAUAGAGCAAAGAAGCGAGGCUUCCAUUAGGAGAUAGCUGAAGAACAAGAUGCAUUCCUCCUUCAACACAAUAUCCAAUAAGCUUAGCAAUGUUUGGAUGAUCUACAUGAACUAUGAUCCCUAGUUCUGACAGAUAAUCCAUUGUCAUCUCUUCCGCAGAACCUCUAGUUAGUUUCUUUAUUGCUACUAUUUGCCCAUCUGCCAUCUGUCCCUUAUACACUUCCGCAUAGCCUCCUUCACCAAUCAGAUUCUCUGCCAAAAAUAACCACAAUUUUCAUGUUAUAUUACUUCACAUAUAAACAAGUUGUUCUUUACAAGAUUAGUGUUCAGACCACGGCUGUAGCCAUUGGUAGCGGUUUGAAUAUCUUGGAGGGAGUAGUUUCUCCAGGAGGGUUUGAAACAGAACAAGUCACCAGUGUCAAGAGAAGUAGCAGGUAGAACAGGGACCAUGUUGUCUCUUAUGCGUUUGCUUUUACGUCUGGUCAGUUUAGGGACUCCUUUAAGAGGUGUGUUGAAUGGCAUUGCGGAUGAUCCUUUCUUGAGUAAACGGACGAAACGACCUCUCCAUUGACCGCUAGUGAGGCCUAUAUGGUGGUGGGAAUGGUGAUGAUGAGGUUCUGAUGAUGAUGAGUCUGACGUGCUCACCACGGGACAUGAUGUUCCAGAUUCUAUGCUCCUUGAUAAGUCAUCGUCUGAUUCUGUUUGGUUGGGGUAGAGUUUAAUGUUUUCUUGAUUUGAACAGAAUGAUUGUAAAUCUGAUGCAGAGAAAAAGAUUUUUCAUGCAAUCUUUUAGCACAAGGAACAACAAAGUCAGUUAAAUAUUUGUAACCUAUUGAGUCAAUUACUAAUUACCAUGAGAAGAGAAAGAAUCAGAGAAGCCAGCUCGAGAUCUCCUUGUCGAGAAAGGACUUAGUUGUUUUCCACGAUUCUCAACGUCUACAUCGCUGUGAGAUCAUAUGUUUUGUACCAGAAAAAAAUGAGUUGCAUUAUAAAUGAAAUGACUUGCGAGACAAGGUACACAACCAUUUGCAAAUCUUGUUUUGCAAGCAACGUUAACAGCGUAUGUCUCUGAAGACAAUUAAGCAUUAUCUCUAGAUGUUUUAUAAGGAAAUUACCAGGAGGGAGACGAAGAAGACGUUGUCGUGGAAGCAAGAGUUUCUGAUGAUUCUCUAACGCGCUCCAUAGAUUAAUUGGAGACAGAAGAUGAGGCAAGGAAGGGAAAUAGAAGAAAUGACUAAGGAAAGAGAAGAGAGAAAGACAUGAUCAUUUUGUUUGAUUUUUGCACCCUUAUCUUCUCUGUUGUUAUAACUGAAAAUCCGCCUCUUCUCUUAGGUUCUUCUUUCUUAAUUUUAAAUGAAACUAAAGUCCUAUCUUUUUCUUCGAAAUAGAAAAUUCCCAGAGAUUAUCCUCAAUGCUUUGAUCAACAUUUCUAAAUACUAAAUUUAGAGUAACAGAUUUACAUUUUUCCACGCACACAAAAAGGCAUUUUUUUCAAGUGAAAUAAAAUAUUUUCAAAAGGAUCCAUAUAAGAAUGUUACAUAUUGAUGAGGUUCUCUUUAAAGUAGAAAUUUUUUUUUAUACUAACCAAAGAUAUUUAAACUUUAUUUUCCGAAUAUUUUGUGUGUGAAAUUUUCAACUAUUUAAAAUAUAUGUUGUAUAAAAUAUUAUUUUUGAUUUGUGAAAUAUUAUGAUGAGAAAUUUCCUAAUAAUAAUCCAUAUACAAAUUGGUGGAUGUGACCACCUCCCAAACUCCCGCAUUGGUGGUUGACGUCACGUGGCAAACUCCAUUUCCGGACAACCCGACAAAGGUUAUCAGAAGUCAUUAGAGACAGACAUCAAUCUAGUAGUACUGUUUUACCUUUCGAAUGGGCUUGGGUUCUAAAAUAAAGCCCAUUAAAGUAAAUAAAAGUGCCCUGAUUUAUUAAUAUCUGAAUCUUCUUCCUCCGCAACCGAAGAACCCAAAUUUUCGCCGUUGAAAUGGAGAAAGCGACGGAGAAUCCCAAUUCCGAGACGCAACCUCCUCCUCAUCCGAAUCAUCAAAUGGAUGCAGACGAUGACGAUGAGAAUGUGAAACAGCUCAAAGAGUGUUCUUCUCUCUACUUGUCGUUACAGGUUCUUUUGUUUUUCCAGAUCAUCAUCUCUUCGAAUCCUCGAUCUUCCUUGUGUAUCCCCCUAAAUCGUUACUACUUUUUGCAGGAUUGUCUCGUUGAUAGCAACAGGGACUGGAAAUCAUGCCAGAAACGUACGUCGUUCUCUAUCUCAGUUUUACUUAUCAAGUUUAAAUCUGAAAUCUGAGGUUUAGGGUUUUAGAACUAGGGUUUGGGGUUUUUAACUUUAGAGAACAAAUUGGGUUUAUUUAUAUUACUGACUAGUUUAUCUGUGCGAGUAACUGGCUAUUUUUGGGCAUGGUGUUGACUAUCUUUUGUUGUUUGUGAUUUUGUUGUAAAGACGUUCAAGCUUUGAAGGCAUGCCAUGAAAGGAGAACCAAGAAAUGACAGAGAUGACGAAAAGCCACACCUGAUUGGGAAGUGUUGAUUAGUUGAGUUUUGUCUCUGAGAUUAAUGGUUAUUUCGCCGUAAACAAAUAACAGUUAGAGUUUUGUCUCUGAUCCUGUCAAGUAGUUGAGUUUUGUGUCUGAGAUUAAUAGUUAUUUCGCCGAAACAAAUAACAGUUAAACAAAUAGCAAUAAUAAAUGCAUUUCAGAAAGCUUGGUUUCUUUUCUUCCUAGUUGAAUUUGGUUCAUCAGAGUCAGAGGAUAUCUCUGUUAUGUCUCUUAUUUGAACCCUUGUUAAUAGAAAGCUGAUUCUUAUGAUGAAGAACCUGGUUUUCUUCAAAAGCUACACAACCUUGAAAAUUUUAUUCUACUUAUUUAACUCAGUGUAGCAUGAAUCUUGUGAUUGGACAGUCACGGACUAGUCAGUGGAGACGAUCAGAGAAACUUUCUUAAAACUGAGAUUUAUUUUCAUUUGCUUCCACUCUGAAACUUCACUUUUAUAACAGACUACAUAUUUUCUCCGCGUUACGCGCGGAUAAUAUAUUUAAAUUUGUUACAUUUAUUAUUUUUAUUUGCAUGUGAAUUUUUGUAUAUUAAAUUAUAUAUAACUAAUUUUUAAAUUUGAUUUUUUUUUAUAUUUUUAGUUUGAAGUAAGUAUUUCUAUUAUAUGUAACACAAUUAACUAAUAAAAUAUGAAGAAUCAAGUCCGAGAUUUUAGAGUUAUGUAAAAAAAAUAUAAUUAUGUAUAGAACAUAAAUUAUCUUAGUUUAAAAGAUCGGAAUCUCAUCUCGAAUAAAUUCAAGAAAAUAAAAAGUACUCCAAUAACCUACUUAAAAUAUAAAACCCUAUUUUCAAAAAAAAAAGCGUACUUAAUAAUACUUUUAUACGUGUAAUAGUUGAAAACUGACAAUUGAAUAUCGAUCUAGAAUAUUAUUUUAAUAUAUCUAAUGGUAAAAUAUUAAUUGUAAUAAAUAAAUUUUGCAUUUUGUAAUAUUACAUGAAUUAGAAGUCUUUAAAAUCUAAAAUCUAUUUUAUUAACAUCAUAUAUUUUUUAUUCAUUUAUUAUUUUGACAUUACAAAAUAUUGCUUUAGUUUUAUUUGUAUAUUAAUUUUUUAAUAAUUUAGUUUCUUUUUAAGUAAUUUUAAAAUUAUCAAGAAUAUAAUAUAUUUAAAAUUAUUUAUUUAAAUAUAUCCAAAUAUGAUGUCUCAUUUUAAUGUGUAUUUGCGUUGAGCAUAUUUAAUUUGUAGUUUGUAUAUUUAAUAACACCUUGUUGCGUGUUCUAUGGUUUUAAUAAAUGUGUUGUCAUUUCAUUUUUAUUACUACUAACAUGAUUUUUUAGUGAUCAGUGAUAAUGUAUUUUAACGUUAGGUGUGAGCACUUUACCCGAUCUCCGAAGCCGCACCCGAACCCGAUCCGAAAAACUAGAACCUAAAUCCGAACCGAAAUCCGAACCGAAGUAGCAAAAUAUCCAAACGGGUAUUGAAUUAGGAGAGAUAGAAUAUCCGAACCCGAAUGGAUAGUCGAAUAUAUGUAUAAUUAACCAUAUAUUUCUAGUUUACAUCUCUCAUUUUAUAUAAAAUAUUUAUAUUGAUACUACACAUACUUUAAGUUCAUAUGAUAUACAUAGAAUUACGGAGAAAAUGAUUUGCUACUCAUUUAAAAUGCAUGUUAAACUUUAUAUUUCAAGAAUUAACAAAAAGUUACAUCCAAAAUUUAAAAACAAUAACCAAACUAAUGUUUUUUUAGUUUUAAAAUGUUAUGUCCAAAUCUAUUAACCAUCCAAUCUAUUAAAAAUAAAAAAAAUUAGUUAAAUGAAAGUUAUAUUUUUAAAUACAAGAAAUUUGAGAAAUGAAAAUUUUAAUUUUUUUUCUUCAAAAUCUAAAUAUCCGAACCCGAUCAGAAAUAACUGAACCCGAGCUAAAAAUACCCGAACCCGAACCGAAGUACAGAAAUACUCGAAUGGGUUCUAUACCUCUAUACCGAAAUACUCAAAAAUCUGAAAUACCCGAUCCGAACCCGAACGCCCACCCCUAUUUAACGUUAUGUAUUAUACUUUAUCGUAUAUUUUCUAAAUCUUCAUGCUGGCACUUUUUUUAGAAUCAUUUUAAUUAGAUAAUAGAUUUGAAGAUGUAAAUAAAACUGUGUAUGUUGUAAAUUUAGACUUUUUAGUAUAACUGAGCACUAUCAAUUAUGUAAAUUAUAUUAUGAUUUUAUUUUACUAAAUCUUUCUUUAUGUGUAUAUUUUUUGUUUUAUUUUGUAUUUUUACAAUUUUAUUGUCUUAUUCUUUAAUUGCAGAGAAUUGUUGUUUCCAAUUUUUGUUUCUUAUACCUUAAAAGUUUUCGAUUGAUUUUUGUUUGUUUUCUUUCUCCAAUUACAAUGUACAGUUUGACCGUUUCUUUUUUUUUUGGAUCAAAUUACUAAUAUCAUCAGAUAGAAAAGCUUAAACUCCAAGAAUGGAGUGAGUAUUUGUGUUAGAGAAAACUGAUUUAGCCACUAAUAUAGUGAUAUAUUAUAAUAUUAGAAGGUAUGAAAACUCUUCUCUGUUGUCCUACGCUAGACAUAAUUAAGUUGUUGUCAAUUGAUUCUAUAUUUGUGAUAAGUGGAAAUACAUCUUUAUGUCUUCCUUAUAUCAUCCUUAAUUGGUUUACGGUUCGACCAUUUUUAAUAUACUGAGAGUAACAUAAUAUUAGAUGUUGAUUAUCUCUUUCCAAUUAGGAAUGCACAGAAUGAAAGAAAUUCAAGAUGAGACCACUUUACAAUUUUGUCCUCAUAUCUAUAUAGAGUUAGUUUAUAGAUUACUCUAUCUGUUUCAAAAUGUAAUCAUUUUUAAUUAAAAUCUGUAAUAUUUAAAAGUUAUUACUUUGAAAAACUGUCAUUUAAUAUAUAAAUUUAAUCAAUUACACAUAAAUUUAUAUAAUUUAAUAGGCCACACAAUAUCCAAUAAAUAUAAAGUUACAUUGAAAUAUAAAAAUAAUUUAUAUAGUGAAACAAAAAAUACUUUUAAACCAUUAUAUUAUAAAACAAAGGGAAUAUUCAAAUUAUAUUGAAACAUUAGAAUAGUAAAAAUCAGAAAAGCUGAAAUCUCAACGUCGAUUAUUUACGUCGGUCAUGCCUUAGACCAUCUCCAAUGUAUUCUUCUAUUUUUUUCUCUAAAAUAGAGGAAUUUCAUAAUAGAGAUGGAUUUGUCUCAGAUGUAUUUUUCUAUUUUCUCUCAUGAAAAAGAAUAUUCUUGAUAUUUUUUUUCUAAGUUUACAAAUAAUACUUUUUAUUUGUGAAAGUUGAAAACCAACCCAAUUUAUUUUAGUAUUUUAUAAAAUUAUGAUAUUAUUUACACUAAAUAUUUUUUUACAAACUGUUAUGUAAAUAAAAAAUAUAAUUAUAUUUAUAUAAAUAAUAUAUUUUACUAAAAAAUAUUUUCGGUUAUAAUUUUUUAAGUAAAAAGUUUAAUGAUCGUUUUGUAAAAACAAAUAGAGGAGGUGACAUGGCAAAAAUAUAGUUUUUCAUUGACCGAUUAUUUUCGUCUACGUGGACACUCUAUCUAAGGCUUAUAUCCUCUUUUUAUUACUUGUUUGAUGAUUACUAAAAUUUUAGUUCUCUUUAUAACCACCACUUAAUCAUCAAUUUAGUAAUCAACUGUUACAAAGGUGAAGUUUCAGAGUGGAAGAGGCUUCCACUGCGCAGGGCCUCAGAGGGUAUCUUAAUUUAAACAAAACGAAAACGAGUUGCGUUUUGCUACUAUAUCUUAGUGCAAACAUAUAACGAAAUUGUAGUUUACUUUUAGCUAAUUAUUGUCACGUGCAAAUUGUAUAUUAGUAUGUUGGAGUGCAUAAAGAGUUUACAUGCGCGAUUAUUAACAUAAUAUUAAUUUUCUUUUUAUAAGGUCAAUAUCUAAACUGACAUAGAAUAUAUCAGCGUGAGACUAAUUAAUUCCCACAUGUGUUUGUUAACAGUAACACCAAAUGUAACUUAAGACCGAUAAAACAUAACGAAAACCGGUUAAACAAAACUUAUGCCAUGUUUUACUCUGUGGAGGAUAUCUUUGGUAUCCACAUAUUUGCAUGUGUGUACAACAUUAUAUUAGGUGUAAUUUAUUCUUUGGCUCUGUAAAUAUUCUUCUUAGAUUCUACGGUGAUGAUUGAAUUAACUUGCAACCAUAUAAGUAAGAACAAGUAAACCGUAUAUCAAACGUCUGAUAUAAGAGAUUUAAAUUUUAUAAAAACAAACAUAACAAAGAAAAGAAGAAAGAAGUAAAGGAACAAACAUUUUUACCUUCUCCGCCACUAAAAUUCUACAACACUGAACCUCAAAAAGGCUUUAGGCGUGACACACUGACAACACUGCCACAGGUGCAAAGUGGGGUGCAUGCCUAAUCAUAUGUUCCCACUUAAUAUUUUUAAACCCAAGUCAACCAAUCAUUUCCCUCCACGUCACCACCUUCCUUUUCUUUCUCCCCUCGACUAAUUAAAAUCUAAAACCUUUUUUGUUCUCUUCCGGCGACACCUAUCUCCGGCGAGGCGUGAAAGACUGAAAAACAACUGUUCCAGAUCCCGGAAACUCAUCCAUUAGUCUGCUCCGACACUUGAGACCGAGCUUCUUCGCCAACACUCGCUCCACUCGCUUCGUCACCUCGUGGUCAUAAUCCUCGCCGCCGUAAGUGGUGGCGAUGGAGACGCAACUCGGCCGGAAAACAUCAAUAGCGCGAGUCAACACCUCCGCGAUAUCUCCACGACCGUCGUCGUCGUAAAAAGACAACCCGCACUCGAAGCUCGCGUAGCUAAAACCGUCUUCCGGCGUGACGUGGAUAGUCGAGUAACGCUCUCCGUCGACUCCGUUCAUCGAGUAACCGCAAGGAUCAAACGCGAAAUCGCAUAUAAACGCGUUUUCGUUAAUCAUAUCGAUCCCGCUCAGCCGCGUCAUCUCUUUCCCGGCGGAAUCGCUAUUUUUCUCGUCCCCUUUCCGUCUGAAGAAGCUCCGGGCGUUGACUCGGUCAAGCUCCGUCAUGCAAACCUCAACGACAACGACCCUCUCAUCAGGUUCCACGUCAGCGCUAGCCGCGAACACGUGCCAAGCACGCGAGGGGUUAUUAGACGGCGUCAUGACGGAGGCUUUACGGUGACGGAGAGAUUUCGGGAGGCUUUCUUCGAUGAUGACGACUUCGUCUUCGAAGCUCGUGUAAGGGAAAGGCUGUGAGUUCGGGAAUAUGAAGCUGCCGCGAGAGUAUCUACACGCGCGUAGCGUGAGGUUGAGAGUACGCGCGAGGUGGAUGAAAGGACGGAUUGAUUUGAGGAGUUGAGUGGUUCCGCAUGUUUUGAUGAUGAUUUUGGUUGGGUAGACGAAGAGGCUCGACUCGGAGAGGACGUAAGCGUCGAAGCUACGGUUCGCUACGGCGGAGACCACCGUGCACUGCACUUGGGUUAGGACUUGGUCUAGUGAUUCGAAGUCGAUUAGACGGAGGCCCAUUGGGUUUUUAUUGGUUGUUGAGUUGUCGUGGAAGAAUCGAAGUUCGAGUCUUUUCUCGAAACCCUCGAACCCAGACACUGCCAUUGUAUGGUCAGAAGAAGAUGUGGGAGUGAAACAGAACAGGGGAAGUGUGGCGAUAGAACAGAACAGAGGAAAUGUUUUUGUGUGUAGAGAAGUAGUGGUGAUUAGUGGAGGAGAAGUGGUAUUUAUAGGAGAUAUUCUAGAGGAUAUAGAAACAGGAGCAUGCGAGGUUAAGAGACCAAGAAAUCAUGAUUACAUGCAUAAUGAAACGAGAAAGAUGAUGAGAGUUUGUGUUUUGCGUGUAAUGUACCUGUGAAUCUUAGUGUAUGUUAGAGAUCUAACUAGUGUGUGUUUCUGAUUCUGUUCUGGUUUCUUGUGUUCUGUAAUGAGAAAGAUCCGUAGGUUAUGACAUACGUUUCUGAAGUAAUGGAUUAAUGUAAAUUUGCAUAAUUAUGGUAUCGGUAAAACUGUAUAGAAUCGUUAAGUCAUCUGUAUAGUGUUUGCAAAUGUUAGCAAUAAAAUUUAAUAUCGCUUCAAAAGCUACCAAUCAUGUUACUAAAAGAUUGGCGACAUCAACGGAUAAUUGAGAAACAAAAGAGGAUGAAGAUGAAAUAAAUGUUUUUUUUGGUGGUUUAUCAUGGCAUCCAAAAUUAUUCUUUAGUGAUUUAUUUUGCGAUCAAAAAUUUCAAGGUGAAAUAAUUUAUUCUGAUAGUCAUUUUUUGUUUCUUACGUUCCAACAAACAGAAUUGCCAAACCAUUGAACGUAGCCCUGGGCGUUCGGGUAUCUACUGGCGUUCGGAUCGGGUAUUUCGGAUUUUGGUUCUUUUUUAUAACACCUCCUAGAUCUCAUUCUAGUAAAUUUGCAAGUACGGGACGGGUUCGUUUUGGGUCGGUUUUGUAUCACAUCAUAGAAUCCAUAAAGUAAUCAUAUAUCAUUCGGAUUCGGGUUAUAUUGGAUCGGUUCGGAUAUACCCGAAAUAAAAUCUAAAAUUUAAAAGUAAAAGUAAAACAUAAGAAAUAUAUAUUUAUUUAUAUAUAAUUAAGUAUUUAAGGUAGUUAUUUAUAUUUUAAAUACUUAUUGUUAGAUAACAUAUCAAAAUAAAUAUGAAAUUCAAUAUUUGAAGUAUAUAUUCAUGUUUCAUAUAAUUAUAUUGUAUAUUAUUUUGGACUUUCGGAUCGUUUUUUUUAUAUCUUUUUGGAUUUUUUGGGUUUUUCGGUUUUUCAGGUUAACCGUUCGGGUUCGGUUAAUAACACUUCGGGUUCGGAUAUGUUUUGUACCACCUUACAAGACCCAUUCGGAUAUUUUUUUACAUUUCGGACCGAAUACGGAUCUGGUUUUUCGGUUCGGGUUCGGUUCAGAUUUCGGAUUUUGGGUUACGGAUAUUAUGCCCAUGCCUAGUUGAACGUAUGCUCCGAGAAUUGUUCAGUCUAGAGAUUAGCUAGCUAUGGAAAUUUGUUGGUGUGCGUGUAAUAACCAAAGGACAUGUCCAUUAAUUAAAGAACUGGGUCCAACCAAAAGGAAAUAAACCAAUUGAUGUAGGACCUCUGGUGAGAAAUGAACUGACUAGAGUUUGGCCACAAACUUAUCCGAAAGAGUCAACAUUCAGUUUGUUCAAAAUAGAAGGUCAAACCUCAGACCAAGGUGAUGAUUGUUUAGUCAGUUUUUAGUUUUUGUUUUUGGCUUUUGGUUUUUAGUUUUUAGUUUUUGGUUUUUGAUUUUGCAGUAACUUUUAGUUUUUUGAAAAACGUGAAGAUGCUUUUAGAUUUUGGUUUUUGUUUUCAAAGUAAAAUAAAGAAUUAAUAAACAAAAUUUAAAAAAUUACUAUUAUCACUAAAAAUAAAUAAUUAUAUAUUAAAUAUUAUUUUUAAAAUAAACAACAAAAAUAAACUGUUAUAAAAGAUGGUAAGAAUGAAUAAAAUUUAUGAAAUUACAGUUUUACAAAAUAAAUAUUAAUAUCCGGAAUUGAAAAGUAUAUUUAAUCUUAGACAAUGAGUAGUUAGAUUUUAUAUCAACAGAAUUAAAAUAUUUUUUUAAAUGGUAAGAAUGCAUAAAAUUUAUAUAAUUAUAACAUACAAAGUAAUAACUAGAUUCUAAAUUUGAUUUGUUGUUUAUCUAAUCAUUUCUUCUAAAUAUUAGUUAUAAGUAAAUUAUUUAAAUAAAUGUGACAUUACUGAAUCAAUAAAUAAAAAAAUUAACUAUUUAUAUUUUAUCAAUAAAAAUAUGUAGAUUGGUUUAUUUUGAAUUUAAAAAUAAUAAUCAUGUUAAUAUAUUAAUACAUAAAUAUGCAAAUAUGCAAAUAUUUUAAUAAGAAUAAAAGAAAUAACAAACUCACGUACAAUAUUAAAAAACCAAGAAUACAAAAGGUUAAUAUAUUAAUACAUAAAUAUACAAAUAUUUUAAUAAGAACAAAAGAAAUACAAAACCCACGUACAAUGCUGAAAAACCAAGAAAAUCCAACCAAGAAAAUCUGGUUUUUGGUUUUUACUUGAAAAUAGGUAGUUAUUCACAAAAUCUGGUUUCUCUAUACUUUAGGGAAUCCAUUUUCUCAAAAUCUUGAUUGACAAAAAAAUGGUUUUAUGAAAAACAAAAACCAAAAACUGUUUCAAAAACCACAAACAAUCAACCUCUAAAACUAUCAUAAAACUAUCAAGUCAAGCAAAUAAAAAAAAAAACAUCUAAUAUGUUCAAAUAGGAUUAGUCAUAAGAAGCUCGGAAGAGAAGAUGAAGAGCAUGAAAAGAUGAUCCAAUCCGGAUAAUCUACAUUAGACAAUGUGUUCUAAACUCAAACACUAUCUUUUCUUAACUCAAUCAAACUUAGGUUUAUUUGUUCCUUGUAUUUCAUUCAAAAUCAUAUAUAAACAGUGAUAAUCAGCUAUAGUAAAUAAAUAAAAAUCCAUAGUUUCGAAAUGUAUCCUGGCUCCAAAAUUCAAACAAAAGAUAAGAACAACAGCCUGAAAAAGAUGAAAAAUUACGAAUUUUUAAUACAUAGCGAAAAGAAUUAAUUAUUGAAUGUAGCAUGAAACUCUUUUAUGGUUGGAAAGAGAAAUGAUAAAUCGUGUGCUAAUUUGAAGAUGAUUUUGUUGGGGACUAACUUUAGAGGGACCUUAUUAAAGUUUGAAUCAUAAGUGAAGUCCAUUUGGUUGCAUCAACAUGAAUCAUUACACAUUAGCUCUUCGAUUCAUUUGACCACAACUAGCUCGGUCAUAUCCGAAUGUGUAUGUACAUACGUUAAAUAUAGCUAGGACCGCUAGAGAGGGAUCAAGACUGCUAAAACAUAAUAAAUAAAGUUGGGACACAUAUACUUAGUGAUACCAAAAGAGAAAAUGAUUAUAGUUAUAUGAAAGAUAUGAAUUUAAUCACGACAGACUAGUAUUCAGCAAUAGUCGCUCGUCGACACCACUAGUUAGUAGUUGAUGUGUUCAAUCACGAUUUCGAUAAUGAUACCUUUCAUUCUUAUAGUUUUUGAUUUUCAAUAAUAAUAGACGAAGAAGUCUAACCAAAUUUAUAAUAUCGAACGGUUUUAUAUUUUGAGUCCGAAUCCAUUUUUAUCCGAUAAUAUACUUAUAUCCAAAGAAAUUCAAGUUCAAUAAUUAGUUUUUUUUUUCUGUUGUUGCUCUAGCUCUUCAGACAAUUCAAGUUAUUGGAUAUAUAAAACUUAUUGUAUAUUUAAAUAAAUUUUGAUACGAUUCCAGAUUCGUUUUUUUCUACAAUUUCAGAUUAGUUACUUCGGAUUGGUUACCAUUCAAAUGAGAACGGUGUAUCAAGACUGAGCGCACUCUUGUAAACGGGAUAUUAGCAAAUAAAAACGAUCAGGCGUGGCAAUUUGAUAAUUAUAUAUUUUAUAAUUUUAAUUUAGGACAAUGAAAUGAAUGCUUCGCUACGUGACACCAAAAGUGCCCUUUCAACAUCAUUUCUAGCUUCCAUGCAAUUUUGUCUAACUGUGUGUCUGGCAUUAUCAUUGUCCAUUAUUUUACAUGAAUGUCGUUAUAUGAUGUGUCAAAAGUCAUUAGAUAUGUAUGUAUAUACACCACAUGAAAGUAUAAAACAUACCCAAACUGAGUUGAGUUUACUUUGUUUAGAGCCAACUUUGACUCAACUGAGCAAAUCAAAGCACAUAAGAGCAUGAUUAAUCGAGAGUUUUUACGGUGGGUUUCUUAUCGGAAUAUAAGAAACUAUUCUUUAACUUUUAACUAAAAAUCUAAGAACCGGUGCUUAAAUAAUGAUGCACUAACGAAACCAAUAUUGUUUGGAAUAAGCUGAAAAUAAAUAACUAACGACCCAAAUAUAUGUUAAUUGAGUUUGGAGUAAGCUUAAACAAAAUAAUAACUAACUACUGACACCCAAAUAUAUGUUAAUUUAUUUAACUUCGAAGGAAUAAUGAAGACCAAUUGCAUUCUAUUUUUGGUCAGAAAAACAAAAUUAUUUUUUUGUUCAAAAAACAAAUCUUAUUAAGAUUUUAUUAAAAUGGAUAAACAGAAAAGGACAAAACAAGGAGAAAAGGUUUAGGGGUAGGAGAGCAGUAAGCAUUAGGCCAUGAUUAUCGCGCAAAAAAAAGUGAAGUUAUUAACACUUUUUGUGGCAUGGACCCCACAAAAAUCACAAGAUUCGUCUUCUGUAUAUGCAAAAUAAGAACCGAUUGUGGAUGGAUUUUUGUAUUGUUCACGGACCCACUGACACGUGGCGUCCCGCGACUGGUUUGCCGUAUAAUUUUUUUUUUUAAGACAAAAAAAAAAAAUUAGAACUUCUAUGCGUUAAUCAUGAUCUUAUGACCACAAUCCCACAAGUAGAGAGCUGCACGCGCACCCACCAAUCGUCUCUCCCACUUGUCUCUUCCAUCACUCCCACACCCAAACAUUAUUAUUUAUUAAUCAAAUAAUUAAAGGAAGAGAAUAUUCCAACCAUAUCUUAGUUGCACCGUAAACAAAAUUUGAAAGAUUAGAUAUAAAUAUAACUUGAUCCGCGCGGAUAUUCUUUUUUUUUUAAUUAUCUUAUAUAAAUGGUAAUAUAUAUUUAAAUAAUUUAUAUGUAUUAAAUAAUUGUUUAAUAUAUUUCUAAACCCAUAAAUUUUAUAAUUUAUUGUGAAUAAUUUUAUUUUAUUUUUUGAUCCGUCAAUUAUUAUAUCCAUAUUUUAAAAUAUAACCCGUGUAUUGGUGUAAAUGUAUUUUUUAUGGAUAAAAAAUUUAGGCAAAAUAAAAAUGUUGGCUAUAGUUAUAUUUGAUUUAUACGAUCAAAUGAUCGAUUAUAUAUUAUUUAUAAUUUUGUGUGUUUUAUAUGAUGUAUUUUUUAUAACAUUUUCUAUGUUUUUUUAGACAUAGUUAAUAUACCAAAAUAAAAAAUAACCAGUCCGUAUAAUGAACAUUUUGUUAUAUUUUUGGUAUUGAUUAAGUGUAAUUUAUUAUUUAAAUUGAUUAUAGGAAGUAUUCCUUAAAUAAGUAGGACAUAAUUUGUUGUAUCUCAUUUCAGGAAAAUGCAUUCAUUAAACUAUAAAAGAUAAGAAUACUAAAAAAUAGGUAAAUUUAUUACUUUAGUGGCAUUGAGAUGUAAAUAAAUUAAACAACUAAGAGUUAAUUUAUAAGUGUAUUUCUAUUUUAAUAAAAUAGAUGUGCUUUAUAUUAUGUAUUUUUUAUAACAUUUUCAAUUUUUGUAGACAUAGUUAAUAUACCAAAAUAAAAAAUAACCAGUACGUAUAAUGAGCAUUUUGUUAUAUUUUUGGUAUUGAUUAAAUGUAAUUUAUUAUUUAGUUUGAUUAUCGGAAGUAUUCCUUAAAUAAGUAGGACAUAAUUUGUUGUAUUUCAUUUUAGGAAAAUGCAUUCAUUAAACUAUAAAAGACAAAAAUACUAAAAAAAAUAAGUAAAUUUAUUACUUCAGUGGCAUUGAGAUGUAAAUAAAUUAAGAAACUAAGAGUUAAUUUAUAAGUGUACUUCUAUUUUAAUAAGAUAUAGAUGUGUUUUAUAUUAUGUAUUUUUGUAACAUUUUUUAUGUUUUUUAGACGUAGUUAAUAUACCAAAAUAAAAAAUAACCAGUCCGUAUAAUGAACAUUUUGUUAUAUUUCUGGUAUUAAUUAAGUGUAAUUUAUUGUUUAGUUUGAUUAUAAGAAGUAUUCCUUAAAUAAGUAGAACAUAAUUUGUUGUAUUUCAUUUUAGGAAAAUACAUUCAUUAAACUAUAAAAGACAAGAAUACUAAAAGGUAGAUAAAUUUAUUACUUUAGUGGCAUUGAGAUGUAAAUAAAUUAAAAAACUAAGAGUUAAUUUAUAAGUGUACUUCUAUUUUAAUAUGAUAUAUAUAUAAGAUUAACCCAUUAUUUCAACUAGGUAUGUGAAAUGGAACUAUAUGCAUAGUGGAUCACUCCAAGCCUGUUAAAUGGAUUUAGGUAUCUCUAUAAUCUCUUAGACUAUCUCCAAUGGCACAUAAUAAUGUUUUCUAUAUUUCACUUUAAAUAGACUAACUCUAUUAUAGAGUUGAAUUUGCUUCAAUAGUUCACUCUAUAAUAGAGUGAAAUAUAGAGUAAUCUUAUUUUUUUACUCUAUAUUUGGAGUAAAAAAACAACAUUCCUCUAUAUUUCACUCUAUUAUAGAGUGAACCAUUGGAGCAAAUCCAACACUAUAAUAGAGUUACUCUAUUUUAGAGUGAAAUAUAGAGUAAAUUAUUGUGUGCCACUAGAGAUGCCCUUAAAUACGAAAACAAAACAUAUACACAAUACAAUGAGAGAUCAGUGGGAGCACAUUCAUAUUAACCAUAUAGUUGUAUAAACUCAUCGCUUAAACCAAAAUAAAAAAUAGAAGAAUUAUCGCCAAAAGCUCGAGAGUUCAAGCAUGUCAUAUCUUAGCUAUAUCAGCAUAUCUUGUGGGCACAAGUCGUCUUCUCAACAUAUGUUGCAGGUCAUGGAUUUGGAAGGAACAGCCUAUGUGGAAAAGGGCCACACUGAAGAGGUGAGAAUUUUACAGCAUCAUUGUAAAUGAGCCCUGAAUCGAGGACAAUAAGAGAAAAGUGGACUCCACAACUAACAAAUCCAUUCCUUAAGACAGUGACAUGUGAACAUAGUGGCCUACUUAAGUCACUCCUCUGGGUGACAACUACGCUUAUGUAGUUAUAUUUGGUACGUUUUUUUCUUUGACAUGUCAUAUGUCAAAGGAUUAUAUAAAGUUAUACAGAAGUAACUUCAGAUGGUUUAAGCAUGAUUGUUAGUAGAUUAAAAAAAAGUAUAGUAAAUAUGUUUGUUAGUGGAUUAAGAGAAAGUAUAGUAAAUACGUUCUUAUCGGUCAUGUACAUGUAUGUAAGUGUAUAUCAUAGGUUUAAUGCAAAUUUGCUUACAAAGAUUGGAGUUACAAAAAAUUAUCAAGAUACUUAUCAGAUGGUCUUUUUUUUUUCUUGAUAAUUAUCAAGCUACUAAAAACCAUGAUUCAACUGUCAGAUAUGAUUUAUAUCAAAACAUAUAACAAUGUUACUGGACUUAUUUUCAAUCUAAAUCUUUUAGUUAAAAACUUCACUGUUUGCUGUCUCUAAUUAAAUAUUAUUACUAAAUGACUAAAUGGAACAUAGACUAAAAAUGGGAGUAGGGGAAGCUUGUACAAAUGAGGAUAAAUUGAGUGCUACUGUAUCAUGCGCACACAAGUUUAUAUCCAAGAAUAGUUAACCAAAGAUGCCCACUAUCUUUCACACACCAUAUGCUAAUUCAUCACUAUUUCAUGUUGUGCUCCCAAUAAUCUUUCUCAUAAUCUUUUGUAUAUGCUGUUGUUUUUAUUUGUUAUGCUUUCAUAUCUAAGAGUAUAGAUAUUGUGACCACAUAUCUUAUUUUUACUCAGUCAGAAACCAUGACCAGCUUGGAUCAUUUUUGGGAUAAUCUCAUCUGCUAUACUUGGACCAGAACUGUGAAAUCCUCCAAGAAAAUAUCUCCACUCAGACUAUUCCAGUUAAGACACAUCCAAUAAUAUAUAAAUUAAGUAGGAUAACUUCAUCAAAUCAUAAGAUAAGAAUCGAUACAUAUAUAUAUAUAUAUAUAUAUAUAUAUAUGUUUAAUUAUUUAUUGCUAUUGGAUUAAAUUACAAAAUUAUCAUAAGAAGUUUACAUACAAAAUAUUAGGUCAUCAGAUUCCAAUUUUAUUAAUAAGUUUCUUGCGUUAUUAUAUUAAUCUCGAAGGGAAAACGAACAAAAGAGAAGCGCAUGCUGAAAACGCAGACAGUGCAUGCAUAUAACAAUAAGAUGUGUCUCGAGCCCAAAGACCAAAUCCAGAAUGAUUCUCGAUACUCCAUAGUGUUUUCUUUUCACAUCAAAAAAUCAUUAUACUAUUAUUUAAGCUUGAGCUGAUCUAAAAAACAAAUAGCUAGUGUAAUUAGUUGGUAUAUUAAUCUAUACGGUAUAAUAAUAAUAGAGUAUUUACAUCUUAGCCAAAAAUAAAAAUAAGAGUAUUUGUAUAGUUUUCUUGUGAGGUUGUAGGAUACAAAUGUGGCAAUUUAUUAUUCGAUGCAAAUCAUUCCCCGUGCCUCAUGCUAUGCUUUCCUCUCUUUAUUACUAACAUCAGAAUAACUAUUUUUAAUUUGGUUGUAGAGAAUAAGAAAAUAAGAUUAUAAGAGGAAAUAAUAUGACCCUUAUGGUUUCUCCACGCAGGAAUCAUUUUUCCAGUGAAAGGGCUGAUACAUGCAUGCAUUAUACUUUCGAUUCCUGGACCAACACUUGCUUCAUUAAUUUUUAUCCGUUUAAAUGAUUUAGACUGCUUCUGUUUUUUGCUACUGAAGUUUCUAGGACCAAAAUUACAUAUCUAGAACUGUACUUAUUGAUUUGAUCUCAACACUGCAACCGUACAAUUGAAUGUGGUUUUCAUGUAAGAGUUUAUUUGAUCGAAUGGUGAAACAAAUUAACCAAGCACAAUUUUAUAACUAACCAAAGUUAAAAAGGUUUAAUAACUAUAAUAUAUACGAUAAUAUCAUGCUUCAACCAAAGGACCAAAGCCGUAGACUCUAUACAAAGAGAAGUACAUCCGUUAUCUCUGGUAUAUAAUUUUAUUUUUAUAAAGUUGCCUCAAUAAUGAGACGUGUUGGCGUAAGCAUGCGUCAUCUCUUUGUCAUAUUGGGCAAAUCCAGCAAGAUAAUAUUUGACACUUUUGUCAUGGAGAGACUUUCAAGAGAUUUGGUUCAGUCUUUACGAAAAUAAUUAAGAUAGCUGAUGAUGAGAGAACGGUGAAGCAUGGAGGCCAUCAUGUUCCCUCUUCCCCGAACCCCCUGCCCUCUUCAAAAGGUAACUGAUUUUCUCUUUUUAAUUUCUUCCAUGUACAGUUUAGUACAUUAGAAUCAUUUUCCUCUACACGACUACUGCUUCUAUAGCUUCUGACUUAUUUAAAAGCGUUGUAUUUGUUUUUUAAAAAUGUUAACUUUGAGGUUUCGUCAAAACAAAAAGUAUAUAUGCAUGCCUGAACUAAAAUCAACUUUGGAUUUUGCUACGAGGAGUGCUGCUUCUAACGCGAGGAUUAUCAAUAUAUCUUGGAACUAUAAAUUAUAUAUGAUGCAUUGACUAAUAGCCAGCUAUUUAGUUUAUUACAGUAUUUUGUACACUUUUUUCAAAAGAAUCUUUGUUCGUUGCUGCAUAUGGUUAGAUUAAUAAACAUAUGCAUGUAUCUCUCAUAAUGACUUUUUUGGUGCAAUGUUAUGGAAUAUUUAACUUAGCUUGGCUUGUGGGCUCAUUCAUAUUAUGCUUAUACUAUCUCCAAUGUAUUUCCCUAUUUUUUCUUCUAAAAUAGGGAAACUCUAAAAUAGAUAUGGGUUUGUCUCCAAUAUAUUCCUCUAUUUCUUCAUCUAAAAAGGAAUAUUUUUGAUAUAUUCUUUUCUAAUUUUACAAAUAGUAUCUUUUAUUUGUGAAAGUUGAAAACCAACCUAAUUUAGUGUAACAUUCAUAAAAUUAUGAUAUUAUUUAUACUGAAUAUUUUUAUAGAAACUAUUAUGUAAAUAAAAAGUAUGAUUAUAUAUUUAUAUAAACAGUAAAUUUUCACUAAAAAAUAUUUAUUUUUUUUUUUUAUUUAUUUUUUGGUCAAAAACUAAAAAAUAUUUAUUUUGGUUAUAAUUGUUAAAGUAAAAAGUUAAAGGAUCAUUUUGUAAAUAAAAAAACAUGCCUCUAUUAUAGAGGAAUGCUAUUUCUUCCUCUAAAUAUAGAGGUGAAAAUAGCAAUCUCUAUUUUAGGGGAAGAAAUAGAGUAGAGUUGGAGUGGUUUUAUCUCUAAAUACUAUUAUAGAGACAAAUAUAGAGGUGGGUUGGAGAUGCUAUUAUAAAACAUGUCUCCCGUCUAUUCUAACUAUUGCAUAUAUAUGUACUGGUUAAUAAAUAAUGAUCAACCUACGAAACCCCUAUAGUAGUGACAAUCACAAUGUCAUGUGAACAUCUACUCAAAACUUAAGAGUUUGUAAGAACAAUACAUAAUCAUUAAAUCAACUUAACAAUGUUCUGUAUUUUUAACAAUGUUCAAAAAAAAUAUGUUCUGUAUUUUUAUUAAAAAGAUGGUUGUAUCCAAUGAGCUUUUAGUUUUUUCUUCUUCUAUAUAUGUACUUAAUUUAUGAUAUAUUUUUUAAAAAGGUUUCUCUUGACUGAAAAUAACACUAAUAUCUGUGAGAAAACUUAUUAAAAAUAUUCAUUUUCACAUGCUAUUCUAAAUAUAUUCACAAAUCUCUGAAGACUUUGGGAUGUUAUUUUAUUUGCAUUUAUCAUAUAUAUAUAUUUUGAGAGCAAAAAGGAGGAAGCUAUAUAUAUGUUGAUGAUGUUUUGAGGGAUAUGACGAAUUUGAUAGGGAAGGGGCACAUUGAUAUGACAGUGUCUCCAAAUCAGAAGCCCUAAACUCCUAUGCAAUAAAAACAUAUGUUUGGGUUUUAGGGUUUCACUUUUUAACUCAUUAAGGUAGACAAAUCAUAAGCAUAUGGUCUAAGCAAAUAUAGGGGGAGGGACUUGACACAUAUAUAUAUAUAUAUAUAUCCACUCUAGAUAUUGCAUUUAUUUGUUUUUAUCGAGAAAUAAAUUAAUCAGGCUAUUACUGACGUAUCAGGUGUGAUUGGUGACCAAGAGAAUAAAAAGAAAUAUUCAAUUCUUUAUGAUUCCCAUAAAAAUAUACCAUUCAUAAGGAAUUAAUUUUUCUUUUUAUUCUUUAUCAUUCUUUUUUUUUGUAGAGAAUAACAAAACAAAAUUAUUCCUCAUUAUUUUUGAGGUUUUUUAAAUUUUAUUCCUCUUCAUUCUUUUUUUUAUUUGUUCGUAGUGUUCCUCAAAUGGUCACUAGUCACAUGAAUUGAACCAAAUAGUAAUGUAUUAAUAUUUGCCUAUUUGGCGUAUGAACCAAACCAUUGUAUCUCAUUAUCUACAUGAUACAUCUCAAGAAAAUUUAUAUGCAUAUUCGUCAAUUAUACUUAGAAAAUUGCAAACACUUUAUAUUGUAUUUUAACUGGGAUGUCGAUCUUCAAUAAACUAAGAAGACCUAUAAACUUUUGACUAUAGAAUAAAUAAUGGAACCAUUAAACGAAAAUUCAGUUUGUUAUAUUUAUAAGAGAUUUUGGCAAUUUGUGCGACUGAGAUAAAGUAAUGCACAUUAAAAUAGCAUACUAACUAGACAAUUACUACUCAAGUUUAAAACAUUCAGCAAAGUCGUUGUAGUAUAGUGGUAAGUAUUCCCGCCUGUCACGCGGGUGACCCGGGUUCGAUCCCCGGCAACGGCGCUUACUUUUUGUUUUUGCGUUGCUGGUCACAUGAUAUCGCAACAAGAAGAUGAUGGCACAACAAUAUUCGAAAUGACAUAUCGUUUAGGCCCUUAUUGGGCCAAAAUAUUUUAUUUGUGUGCUUACAGAUCUUUGUUGCGAAUCCUAAUAAGCCGCAAGAAGUGAAGAUCAUUUUAGCAAGAAACCAUGAGAAGUUACUUGAACUUCUUCACAACUUGUCCUCCAGCAAAGGUAUUCUUAGAACUAAUUCAAUACUGCUUUAUAGACAUUACACUCUAAACUAGUUUUGUGAACUCACACAAGACACUCAACAAAAUUAGUUUCUUUCACGCACUCUCCAGAAUCUCGUUUAAGGAAGCUGCAACAGAAUCAGACAUCUUCAGAUUCCUCAUCUUCCGGAGUGCAGCGUAAGUCCUAUCAGAAGGCUUCACACCUAAAAGCCUUGAGCUCCUUAAACAGACUAACCCCUCUCUCAACUUUACUCUCCUUGCAAAAAACCCUUGAACCAAAGCGUUAUACGUGAGAUUGCGUCCCGCGCCACUCCAGUUUCACACAUUCUCUCAAAAACCUCCAAAGCCUGAUCAGCUCUUCCAUACGAGCACAGCCCCGUGAUCAUCGUAUUACAACUAACCGUCGUUUCUCCAAACCCAUUCCUAAUCAUCUCUCCGCAGAGUUCCUUAGCAAGCACAACUUCGCCUCUUUUCAAGUGUAAGUGAACUCGUUAGGCCGCAUCCCUUUCUCUUCUAUCAUCUCAAACCACAGCUUCCUCGCCCCCCCCGAACCACCCCAUCUCGCAUAAACCAUGGAUCAUCGUGGUGUAGAUGACUCUGUCAGGUGCGUAGCCUCUCUCUUUGAGAUUGUUGAACACGCAACACGCCUCAAACUGCUUCUCGUUCUUGCACAACCCUUUUAUAAUCUCCUGGUAGGUGUAAAUACUACGGAGAUGGUUCCACGCGAUCAUGGUGUAAAGAGUCUCCGACAUAGAAGCGUAGCUCCCAAUCUUACAGAAGCCAGAUAGACAUCAAUUGGGGAUACACAGCGUGUCCUGGAUCAAGCCCUUGUUUCAAACUCUUCUUGAGAAGCUCAUAGGCUUCUGAAACCUCCCCACCUUCACAUGAAGCUUGAAUCAAACAAUGUAUCCUCACAACAUCAACCUCAGACUCUCUCAUUCCCUGGUGAUAAAGCUCCAGAAGCGAUCGAGUUUCUUCUCUUUUAGUAGAGUACACACUUUGAUACCUUCAUCAACCAACCCAUCUUUGCAAAGACACUUCACGUAUCUCUCCAGCAACGUUACCUCCGGGUUAAAACCGGUUGAAUCUAAAAAGCCUUUCGCAGCUCUUGCAUCCAAAAGGGAACCAAAGAGAAGGCUUAGAGACACAGAAUCAGGUUUGUAAUCAAAGGUGGAGCAAAGCCAACGGAAGAACCAGAUAGAAAACAUAACGUUGUUGUUCUGUAAUGACAACAGUUCUCUGAAAAACAGAGGAUCCGCGAAGUUAAACGAGGGGGAAAUCAAAUAACAGAGUUUGCUGCCAUCUCCGUCUCUCUCUCUCUCUAAUGAUCGUAUAGACAGUUUUAGCCCAUUCCUGAUUUCUGCAGCUCGUCGGACUUGGAUUCACUAUCUCGACAAGACUCGAGGGUUAGACUCCGUAUCUGGUGUGUUGAGUGGUUCUGUCGAGUUCUGUUUCUAAUGAGAGUGAUCAGAUACGACUGACUCGAAUUCAAUCUCGAAGCAGCAACACGCGAAUCGUAGAAAGGAGUGAUUUUUAUUCACCGGAACCCUAGAUUUGGAUUUUUCUCAAGNNNNNNNNNNNNNNNNNNNNNNNNNNNNNNNNNNNNNNNNNNNNNNNNNNNNNNNNNNNNNNNNNNNNNNNNNNNNNNNNNNNNNNNNNNNNNNNNNNNNCGUGAAUUCCAAGCUUCGGAUCCCACUGUGCUGGAAAGGAACUUUGGGUUAACUAAUAUAAAUUUAGAGUUUAGAAGUGAGCGAUGAGAUUUUGGAUAUAAAUUUCAAAUUUUAAAAGUAUAAAGUAAAUAUUACAAUUUUCAAAAUAAAAAAGGAUUAUUAAAGUCAUUUUUUUAAACGUUAUUUUUGUGACAAAAACUUAAAAAUAACUAUUUGAGAGAAUUUUCUUGUUUUCAAGUAUAUGUGGGAGAUUUAUUUAAUACACGUUGGAAAUUAAUCCGAAGACUUGGAAGAUUAUUCCUCAAGUCGUUGAUGCUUAGAAUUAGUGAUCAAGUGCCAUCAUCACUCAUCAGCCACUUGCAAAAGCCCCACUACGCGUUUCCACUUUCCACACUUAAAGAUUAUAUAUGUAUCAAUGAGUAAUUUUCAUAUCAAGCCACAAAAGUGAAUACAAGUUGGUCUUGAAUCUUUCUUUUUAAUUUAAAAGGUUCUCCAUUUGCUAGCCUAUUUGCUCUAUAGUAUGAUUGUAGAUACUCUACAUGGUUAUCAUUGCAAAACAUAGUAAGACCAAAUACAUUUAACUAACUUGGCUGUUGUCGGAAGGACAAAGAUACGACCUCAACUUUGACCCAAGCUUUUGUCUGAGUUUGAAACUUGCCAUCGAAAGGGACUUUAAGUCUUUAAUAAAACACUCCGAAAGAAGUUUCUUAGGCAGCCUCCCUCGUGCUAUUUAAGCAUAUAAGACUUUGCUAUGCCAAAAAAAACUACAAAGUCAGAGAAGUUUUGAGAGUCUAUAAGAGACAAAAGCUGCUAUAUAUCUCUCAUAAGUGAGACAAACACUUUUACCAAUCAAAAAACUAAUGGCCCUUUCACCAAUUCUCGUUCCUCUCCUUCUCAUACCGAUCUUUCUUGGUUCGGUUUUCGCCAUUUCACCACUCAAAACCGAUACACUGAAACCGGGACAGCAGCUCAGAGACUGGGAGCAGCUGAUCUCUGCCGGUGAGGCCUUCACUCUCCGGUUCUUUACACCUAGAGAAUCAUCAACCUUCUUACUUGGUUCAGGCGCUGGUCUUAGGUAUAUUUGUAUCUGGUCUCAAACUGAUCCAGUUUGGGUGGGUAACCCAACCGAACCAGUUUCUGAUUCAUCUGGUUCUCUAUCCAUUGAUACCAAUGGUGCUCUUAAGAUCACAAGGGCAAAUGCUUCUCCAAUCAUGGUGAGCCCACAUCUUUCCUUGGCUGGUAACGUCUCCGCCACUUUACUCGACUCUGGAAACUUCGUGAUCCGAGAUGCAGGACGAGGAGGAGGAGGAGGACCGGGUCGGAUUCUAUGGCAAAGCUUUGACCAUCCCACCAAUAUAUUACUUCCAGGGAUGAAGAUUGGGUUUAACCUAAAAACCAAGAAAGAAAUUUCGGUAACUUCCUGGACAAGUAACCAAGUCCCAACCCCAGGAGCAUUCAGACUAGGUCUAGACCCUUCAGGAGCUAACCAGCUACUCGUCUGGCGCCACGGUGAAAUCUACUGGUCCAGCGGGAUACUGACAAACAACGGAAGCUCUCAACUAACCUUACAGCUAUCCAGACGCUACAUUGAUUAUGAGUUCAAAUUUCAUUCAGACAAGUACACGAACUACUUCAGUUACUCAGUCAAGAAAACUAAAGGUUCGGUCUCUUCCAGCUGGUUCUUGGACACACUAGGCCAAAUCACUGUUACAAACAGCCUCAGGAGCAACACAUGCGCCAGGGGGACUUCUGAAAGCAGUGGACCGUGCAAGAAGGAUUUGAAGAGCAGUUCAGCUAUCUGCAUCGCAGAGAAGCCAACGGCGUGUAGGAAAGGGUCAGAGUAUUUCGAACCGAGAAGAGGAUACAUGAUGGAUAAUGCUUAUUAUGGUGAUGGUUUGAGCUCCGGCAUAAGUGACUGCCAUGGAAGCUGCUGGAGAAACUGUUCUUGCAUAGCUUUUCAAAGCCUUCCUAGAGGACGAUGCCAUUAUUGGGGAAAAGGGUCAACGUUUGUGCCUUAUGAUAACUUCAACGUCGGCCUAGUAUUAAUAGUGUAUGUUCUAGAUUCUGAAAAGUGAUGUGUGGUUUGUAAGAGUAAUUAUGUAACCACACUAAUCCUACUAUAUAAAAGGAGCUAAAUCAUUACUUCCUAAGUCUAUCCACAUGUGCACAAAUAUUCAUCACCAACCAAUAUGCCAGGUCAUCACGAAAUAGGCUUGCAAUUAAAAAAAAAAAUUCAACAAUUCGCAGCCCAUUAGACCCAUCUCCUAGCCCACUCCCGAGCCACUCUCUCAUAAGUAUAAUCCCGUGUUCUAAAGAUCCCGUGUUAAAUUUUUUAAAACACUCAUAUCUUAGAAAUAGUUUAGAAAAUAUGUUUAUAUAAAUGUUUUUUUCUUGAAUAAUAUUUAAUUAAUUUUUUUGUAUCUUUUUAACUUUUAUAAUAAAAAUAUUGUUUUCAGAUAACAACAAAAUAUAUAUAAGAAUUAUCUUAUUUUUAAAUUUUUUUUAAUUUUAACCUCCACAGUACCAAAGAAACGCUCCUGCUAGACAUCCUGGAUAAAUGAAAGAGACAUAUUUGGACUUGGCUUUGUGUUAAUGGAUGGUGAUUUUUCAAUGCUGUUUGGAGCAAGGGCCGAUAUACACGCACCAAAUCACCACUGCAAGCGGAAGCUGAAGGUUUACUAUGGGCAAUGCAAGUGAUACUGAAGUUUGGACACAGAGAGAUGGUCUUUCAAUCAACUGUGAACAACUGGUUAUACUCAUUCAAAAGGAGGAAGAUUAGCCUGCAUUGGACUCAGAGCUCGACGAAAUACAGGCUGUAUCCAAAGAAUUUUUUAAACUUUCUAUUGCUUAUAUUCCUAGAUCUUUAAAAUUCCGUACGAAUAGCCUAGCAAAAGGUGUCCGAUCACGCGCAUCUCGAUCAGCUUUUGUAAACCCUUUUGCACCAAGUUGGCUAGCCCCACAAGCUAGCAUGAGGGUGCCAAAAAAGAGAAUAAAAUUGAAAGUGAAACUAAAUAUCCCAAUGAACAAAUUUAUCAGAAGUCCAUAUUUAUGUGGAUGUCUAUAUGGGACAAACAAUUUUUUAAGACAAUUAUAGAAUAUAGUCACGAAAAUCAAUCCUAAAAUAUAUAAUUUAAAAAAACUAUUUAAACUAACCAUCAAAAUUUUCAAUAUUACACCAAAUAAGAAUAUAAAGACCAACUAUAUUCUCUUCGUGUAUAAUGUGUUGUAGUAAGAUUCAAAAAAAUUAACUUACUUUACAGUAAGGAAAAAUUAGAUUUUUAAUUCCAAAUUUACAGUAAAAAUAUAACAUUUUAUGAAACUAAACAAUUGACAUAAUAGUACAAAAAUAUGAAAAAAAUUCAAAAUACUAUCCGCGCGUAGCGCGGACAAGGACCUAGUAUCAAUAAAGGGCUUUAACUUAUCAAGAAACUAUAUAAUGAAGCAGUGAUCUGUACAAAUGUUAGCAAAGAAAAGAAUUCUUCAGUAUUAGUGAUCUGUACAAAUGUGAGUAAAGAGAGGAGACAGUGGGACAUGGUGAUAAAGAAAGAACAAAGCUACAAGAAUCUAUAACAAUCUUAAGACAUAACUACAAAAAGUCAAAUCAUAUGGCUCUGUUUGAUUCUGCAAGUUACAAUGGUGACACAUUUUUCUCAGGUGUCAGCACAUGAAACAUAUGGACUUUGAUCUUGAUGUUUCACGACGGUCUUCAAAACCUUUCAAGAACCAUCUGAUGGCGAGGUGCUCUGAAGCAUAAGUCAUGUAGGCAGCUAAAACUAUGGCUACACCCACCAUUAGACCCAACCUGCUCAAUAUGUAAAGUGAUGAAACAAGUUAAAAUGUAGGCUGAACAGUAACAAAAACCAUUCUCAGCAAGUUUAUUAAGAAGAUUACCUCACGAAUAAAGCGGUGAUCCCUAAUAUAUAAGGCAAAGAAACUGCAGCAAUAGCUAGAAACACCAUCCCUAAUCCAUAAUACAAUGUAGUCACGUCACAAGACACACCUCCUCGCUGAUGACCUGUUAAUACCAAAACAAAACAACUUUGUAGAGAAUGGUAAGAAUAUCUAGGCUUAUCAUUAUCUUCUUAUUGCCGUACCUUUUCCGGAAUCAUCCAAGGACGAGGAUUCUGUAUGAACUGCUAUUUUCUUUCCAUGUUGAUGCACCAGAAGCAAGAAGCAACCAAACAAAAGAAAGAAGAUUGUAAACGUCCAUUCAUAUACCAAGAUCAACCCAGUCCACGGCAUGAUUUGCCUCGGCACAAUCAUAAAGGAAACUCCAACGGAUAUGAGAACAGCGGUGAAACAGACUACAACUGAAACCGCGCCUAAGUGCUGAGGAACCUUUGACUGUGAGUUGCCAUUGUGGAGCUGUUAAACAAGCAAUAGAAGAUGUUAAAAUGAGAUCCAAACAUUCUUUUUAAAAAAAACUCAAAAAUAACAAUUUAUUGAUGACUAAACUCACUUGAUGGCUGGGAUUCAUGGUGGAAAAUGUAGAAACACCGCUAUAACCAAGUGUUCUAUUAGAUCUAAUUUUGUAAUAAAGAUAUCUAAAUUGACUGCACAGUGAACCCUCAUAACCCUGAAAGAGAAACAAAAAGGGAGAAUGAAUUUGUAAUCCAAAAAGGAUGAAUGUAGCAGAGGUGAAGGUAACAAAACAAAAAAGUCUUAAACCUGAAUGGAUCGGUAAAUGCAGAACAAAAGCGCACAAAGAGGUAACAAGAAAAGAAGCUUGACGACGAGUUCAUCGUUUUGGUUUUUGCCACCUCCAGUUCCAGGAAGAGUUUCCUCAAGCUUUACCCUAAUGCUCUGAAAGUGUUGCAGUGAAAUCAGAAUUAGUGCAAAUUUAGUAGAUAGAAAACUCAAAAGCAAAAGAGAAGAGUAAGACAUACAUGCCAGGCAUCAACAGGCUUCACAAGCCACGCUGUCCACCAGUCCCAAGGCUUGAGAGGGCCUAGUGUGUAAUGAAUCACAUGAAGUUUACUCUCAUCAACCAUCCACUGCAGAAAAAUAACUUAAAAACAGAUUAAAAUCCAUUCCUGAAAUUAACUAACAUAACCAAAAGGCUAAGUAUACGUUUUGUUUCCUAAUCGAGAAAGGCAAAGAUACCUUAUUAGCAAGCAUAUAAAGACCAACAUCGGCAUUAUAUAACGUCGAAAGCCUCUCCAUAUCAGGAACUGGUCUAGCUUUCAACGCUUCAUGGCUUAAACUAGGAUCGAAAACACGAGCAUUCUGAAAAUCUGGAUAGUAAGAAUUCAAGAACCCUUGGUCUCCUCCGGUGUAAGAAGACAAAGUCUUCACUUUUCUCAUCAUGUCAUUAAAUAGAGCUUGGGACGGUUCAACAACCAUGACACCAGAGUUCAACCUCUCGGAGUGCUUCAAGUUAGCGCAGAACUUCGAGCAUUUGAACAGAUCGUCAAUGUUCUUUACCACAAUGGUAUCAGCAUCAAGAUACACAACUACACAAAAACACAAAAAGCUUUAAAAUUCAAAGUUCUCAAAUAAAAACACCAAAAGAGUUUACCUUUCUUGUAAUCUGUCAUGUUAAAGAUCUUGAGCUUUGUGUAAACACCCCAGAACCUUGUCGGAUGAACUUGGUUCGGGUUCGCUAGUAAACUGAUCUUCUCUACUUUCCAUCCAUCAGCCUGUUAGUAUCAAAAAUUCAACAAAGUAAUGAAAAAGACAAGAUUUUUUUAAAGCUAAAACUUCGUUGUAAAUUUCAACAAACCUUGAGAAGCUUCUUGGAGUAAUCUGAGACGCCAUCAGAGACCAAAGCGACCAUGUCUUUGUCGGAUCCAGUGUCACGUAUCGAUUUGCCUAAUACUCUGACUCCUAAUAAGAACUCAUCACCGUAUAAGAGUGUCACGUAAGCUUCCUUGCUUGAUUCAGAUCCAAACGAACCCUUGGAAAGGAGCAAGAUUGAGAAGAGGAGAACACAGAGACUCGCCUUGUCUCUCAACAUAGUAAUAAUCAUUCGGAUCUAACUUUCAGGGAGAGACUUGGAUUAAACAAGAUCUUAAUUUAAGGAAAGUAUACGUUUGAAAAGUAGAGUUUUGAAACUUCUUCGUUGUUAUGUUUGUUCCUCCUUUGCUGUUCUGUCUCUGUCUGAGACUUCUCUUUAUUCCUUUCGCCGCCGUCGUUUUAGAAACCGUAACAUGUUCUAGAUAUUCAUUCAAUACUUCCUCCGUGUAGAACAAUGUUUUUUUUGUUAAAAAUUAAAUGUUAUUUAUGAAUUUAGUGCAAUUUUAUUUCUAACUAAACUAAUUAAAAUAAUAAAUACAAUAAAUUUUUAAUUAGAUAGAAACAAACAGUUUAAAAUUUUUUGUAGAAAACUUUAGAACAUCUCAUUUAAAAUUAAUAAAUUAGUAGAACCUGAGUGGGAAUAAUUAUGGGCGAUAUUAUUGAAAACAUGACAACUUUGAUGACUUGGGAUUUUAUGAUUGGUCCCCCUUCUUACAAAACAAUUUUAGUUUUUAGAUAUAUGUGCAAGUUCACGUAAAAUUCGGAAACUAUUUUGUUUCCAAUAAUUGUUCUAUAGAAUCUGUUUGGAUGUUUAUAAGUUUGUAUUUGGUUGGAUUUUGAGUUCAGUUAUAAAUAUUUAAGCCUAUUUUUUUACUGGAAUAAUAAAUUGAAUUUAAGUAAAAAUAAAAAUGAUCAAAAUUAUAUAACUUCUUAGUUAAAUAUAGAGUAAUUAGAUCAUACAUAUACAUGUAAAUUUUCUGCUUUUGUCAGCCAUCUCAAACUUUGAUUUUAUACAAACACUAGACUUGACAAAAUAUUCAACAACAUUCCUAAACGAUAAUAGAAUAAAUAAUUACUACAUUGGUAAAUACUAAUAGAUAUAAAUAACACUAUUUUAUAAUUAUUUGCAUAAACACAGUUUGGAGGGAAAACAAAACAUCAUCCGUUUUUCUACAUUGGUAGAUAAGUGUAUAAAUGGCAUUAAUUUCAAAAUUUAUUUAGAUAUAUAAAUGACACUAAUGUCAAAUUUAUUUAGAAUCAGACAAACCCAAAAAGACAUCCUCGUUCAACAAUUUAAGACCAAAAGAGCUAAUAAGAUUGGUUCGUCAACGAGUAAAUUAGAUUUAGUUUGACAUCAGUUUACAGUCUGUCGCAAAAUAAACUUUUUUACUUUUUGAGUAAGUCUUUGUCCGUCACAAAGUCUCCACCUUUGUUUCGUUUUCGUCGGUCGUCACUUUUGUUGGGCAAGCUAAUAAAAAAGAUAAAUAGGAUUUUAUAUAUUUUUCUGGAACACAGCUAAACUUCAAUCUUUCCCACUGACAUCUCUGGUCUUCCAUUUUUUUCUUGUUCCUUUUUUUCAAUCUUGGGUCUUGUCUGUAGGUUAGAGAGAGAUCCUUCCCUUCCUACAAAGAUCCAAAGCAGGGAACUUUCUAGUCAAUGCUGCUAAAGAUCUGACUUUCUCCUUCCAUGUCGCUCUGAAGUCCCCCAAAAUUUCGCCCAUCAGGUUUGAUUUCUCUCUCAUUUCAGAACCCUAGUUUUAUAAUUGUAAGUUCUUUGGUCUUCUCUGAUUUUGCUAAGCCGUGUUUAUCAGACAAUGCGAUGGAGACUUUCUGAUAAGUUUCUAUUGUCGGUAGCGAUUUUUUUCAUGUACAUUAGCUGCUGAGGAGUUUUAUUUUUGUUGUCACAUGUAGUUUACUUUCCAGCUUAAUGUUUACCUGGCGAGUGGUCUGAGAACUGAAAGUCUGAAACUCUGGGACUUAGACACAAUGCUUGUUUGUAUGAAUCUGAUUUUGCCUUUAGUCUCUGUUCAAGUUCUUGUCUUUUUUACUUGUUCCUUUCUACUUUAAACUCUGAUUGUCUCUUCUUUAUUUAUAAAAGAUUUUUUAAGUGUUCUUGAGUUCUAAACUCUUCGGUUCUCCUCUUCCUUUUCAGGUGGAUAAAGCACUAGUAGGAAGAUGGGAACUAGUUUAAACAACGCAUUAUCUCGGAACUACAAUGGUUUGGAGCUCUGGGAGAUCAUAGUGAUUGUUCUCUCAGCUAUUUUCCUAGUAGUUUUAGCACUGUCUAUAUAUCUUACUUUCAGAAGAAAAAAGUCUAGACCAUCUUCUACCCAAAUCCCUCUUAGCUUCCAGACACCACCUAAUGUUCCUGAAGAGAUCAAAGAGAUUAGAGUCGACGAGGUUUCAUCAACCAACGGCGACGCCAAUGGAUACCCUUCUAUUAGUGAGAAGUUUGGUGAUAAAGAGCCUGAGAAAGGGGUAGCAGCAGUAGUAGUAGAGUCAGAGAAUGGUGAUAGUAGCAGAUCAGGCUCGUUUAAUCACAUGGAGAAGAAAGAUGGUUCAAGCGUGUCUUCAGCUAAUCAUCUGACUGCUCCUUCUCCUUUGUCUGGUCUCCCAGAGUUUUCUCACUUAGGAUGGGGUCAUUGGUUCACUCUCAGAGAUCUCCAGAUGGCUACGAAUCAGUUCUCGAGGGAUAAUAUUAUCGGUGAUGGUGGGUAUGGAGUUGUGUACCGUGGUAGCCUUGUUAAUGGUAGUCCUGUUGCGGUUAAAAAGUUGCUCAACAAUCUGUAAGUGAAACAAGAUUCAAGAGUUCAUUUCCUUAAUUUUGUUUUUUUUUAAAUGGUGAUGUUUUGUAUGUUUGUAGUGGACAAGCUGACAAAGACUUCAGAGUAGAGGUUGAAGCUAUAGGUCACGUUCGCCACAAGAACUUGGUCCGUCUUCUUGGAUAUUGCAUGGAAGGAACGCAGAGGAUGCUGGUGUAUGAGUAUGUUAACAAUGGGAACUUGGAGCAAUGGCUACGUGGAGACAAUCAAAACCAUGAGUAUCUAACGUGGGAGGCACGGAUGAAGAUUAUUAUAGGAACAGCCAAAGCGUAAGUCCUUGUGUGAAAGCUUUAUUUGUUUUUUUUUUGUUUUAUCUUCUCUUCAUCUGAGGUGAUUUUGGGUGGUGCUGUGUUGCAGGCUUGCUUACCUACACGAGGCUAUUGAGCCAAAAGUGGUGCAUAGAGACAUAAAAUCUAGCAACAUUCUGAUUGAUGACAAAUUCAAUUCUAAGAUCUCUGACUUUGGACUUGCUAAGCUGCUUGGCGCUGAUAAAAGCUUUAUAACUACUAGAGUAAUGGGUACCUUUGGGUAAGUGUUGUUGCCUCUCUCUGUGUAUGCUUUCUGUGUAAUUGUUGGCCUUUGGACAUAACUUGUUGUCUUGCUUUCAGUUAUGUAGCUCCAGAGUAUGCGAACUCUGGUCUUCUGAAUGAGAAAAGUGAUGUCUACAGCUUUGGGGUUGUACUAUUGGAAGCUAUAACCGGUAGAUAUCCAGUAGACUAUGCUCGCCCACCACCUGAGGUAAAAGACCCCCUUAAAGAAACCUUCAAACACACGUAACUCUGUUUCCUAACUUUCUUUUUUCUCUCAUUAUGUAGGUACAUUUGGUGGAAUGGCUGAAGAUGAUGGUUCAACAAAGAAGAUCAGAAGAAGUGGUUGACCCAAACCUCAACACAAAACCAUCUACAAGUGCAUUAAAGAGAACACUCUUGACUGCUUUGCGAUGUGUUGAUCCCAUGUCUGAGAAACGACCGAGGAUGAGCCAAGUUGCACGUAUGCUUGAAUCCGAGGAGUACCCAAUUCCUAGAGAGGUAUGUAUGAACAUCUUUGAAAACUGCUUCUUAUAGUUUCUUUGUUGAGUUUGGUUGUUGAAAGCUCUACCACUUUUGAGAAUUUCAGGAUAGGAGAAAACGAAGGAGUCAGAACGGGACAACAAGAGAUUCAGAUCCUCCUAGGAACAGCACAGACACUGACAAGAGUGAGUACCAUGACCUAAAGCCUGAAGCUGGAUAGGUCUUCUUCUCCAGAUCUUAUGUGUUAUGUCAUAUUUGUUCGAUCGUUCUUUGGUAAUAAGGAGAGAGAAGAGUGAGAGUGUUCAUUGUUUCUGUUUGGUUUGUUUCCAUUAAACACCAUUUGCUUGUAUAGUGUUUGUUUGUUUGUUGUAUUAUCAUUUGCUUCUCUACGUGUUGCAGUGUAGGUUGUUUUUGGACCAAGAAAACGCCAGGUUUUGUAGGAUAUGUUAAGUCUGUGAGAUAAACGACGUGUAGUUUGGUUUGCUUGUGGAAUUCUUGUUUGUUUAUCUGAGACCGUCUGAUAAAGGUCUAUUCAUUGCAAAUCAUGCGUUGUGUUAAACGCAAACCGGCUAUUUAUUACGUUCCCAUUAAAUAACUGAGUUAAUCAUGAUUAGCAUUAUUUUUUAAGAUCUUCGUUUAGUUGACAAGUAAACAUGACCUAAAUCAAGUUUUAGAAAGAAAAAAAAUUAAGACAUGAUGAUACAACGUUCAUUAAAAUAACUGAGUUAAACAUGAUUAGCAUUAUUUUAUAAGUUCUUCAUUUAGUUGACAAGUAAAUGACCUAAAUCAAGUUUUAGAAAAAAAUUUAAGAUAUGAAGAUACUACAGCGUAAUACAGUUUUAUAUAAUAUCAGAUCUAAAAUGUAAGAUAGUGUAAUAAUUUAUAAAAAAGAAAUUACAAAAGUGGGACAAUUAGCCGUAAAUGUGCUAUGUAAAUGUAUUUUUCUUCAAAAAUAAAUAAAAUGUAAUGUAUCAUCAAAAUUAAGAUAAAAAAGCGUUGACUUGACUCAGAUCUGACAAAACUGAAGCCUAUAAAACCCGAAAAAUCAAACUCGCGACGGCUAGUUAAUUCAACCCGUCUUGCAACACGUCUACCUCUCUCUCGACCUCAGAAUGACGAAAACGCCCCUAACCGUCGUCGCCCUCCUCCUCCUCCUCUUCCUCGCCGCAAUCCCUCCUUCUACCGCAGAGAUCAAAUCACUAGCCAUCUCCGACGACGCACGCCCGAUGAUCCUCUUCGAAAAAUUCGGAUUCACACACACCGGCCACGUCACCGUCUCGGUCUCCUCAGUCUCCGUCGCCUCCUCGGAUCCGAACGCAGACCCCUCUCGCCUCGGAUUCUUCCUCCUCUCCGAAGAAUCUCUCCUCCAGGUCCUCCUCGAGAUCCAACAAAACUCCAGAUUCUGCGUCCUCGAUUCCCACUACGUCACGCAUCUCUUCACCUUCCGAGAUCUCUCCCCUCCCCCGAACUCACGAUUCAACCAAUCCUACCCGGUCACUUCCCCUGACGAGUACUCUCUCUUCUUCGCUAACUGCCUCCCCGAGACGAAAGUCUCCAUGGCGGUUAGAACCGAGAUGUACAACAGAGAUCCCAACGGAUCUAAAGACUACUUACCCGCCGGAUCCACCCAGCUCCCCUCUCUCUACUCCUUCUUCUUCCUCUGUUACCUCUCCUUCUUAACCUACUGGAGCUACACUUGCUGGACGAACAAACGCGUUGUCCAUCGGAUCCACCUCCUCAUGGCGGGACUGCUUCUAAUCAAAUCGCUUAACCUAAUCUGCGCGGCGGAAGAUAAACAUUACGUGAAGGUCACGGGGACGCCGCACGGCUGGGACAUACUCUUCUACAUCUUCCAGUUCAUUCGCGUCGUGUUACUUUUCACCGUGAUCAUCUUGAUCGGAACCGGCUGGUCGUUCUUGAAGCCUUUCUUGCAGGAGAAGGAGAAGAACGUCUUGAUCAUAGUGAUCCCACUUCAAGUGCUAGCCAACAUCGCGUCGAUCGUGAUCGGCGAAACGGGGCCGUUUAUUAAAGACUGGGUGACCUGGAACCAGGUGUUCUUGCUUGUUGAUAUAAUCUGUUGCUGCGCGAUUAUCCUCCCUAUCGUUUGGUCGAUUCGGGCCUUGAGAGAGACGUCGAAAACCGAUGGGAAAGCAGCGAGGAACUUGUCGAAGCUCACGUUGUUUAGGCAGUUCUACAUUGUUGUUAUUGGGUAUCUGUACUUCACGAGGAUCGUUGUGUUUGCGCUUAAGACGAUCGCCGCGUAUAAGUACCGGUGGGUGAGUUUUGCAGCGGAGGAGAUUGUGAGUUUGGUGUUCUAUUUGAUUAUGUUUUAUAUGUUUAGGCCUGAGGAGAAGAAUGAGUACUUUGCUGUUGAUGAUGAUGAAGAAGAAGCUGCUGCUAUUGCUCUUAGAGACGAUGAGUUUGAGCUUUGAGUGUCUGUCUAAAUACUCCAACUAUUUUUGUUCCACUGUUGCAAACUUUUUCACCACUUUUUUAUAGCAUUUUUCAUCAAUACGGAUUUUGAGGUUAUGUAGUGUUCUUCACAGUUUAUCAUUCAGCUUUAUGCUCAUUCAAUACAAAUAGUUAUCGAACCACAAUAUUACACCAUCUAACAACCACAAUUCAGAUAUGGAUGUGAUUAUGUGUUACAGCCAAUGUUGUAGAAACGUCAAGAAGCUCCUUUACAAAAAGCUAGAGAGGCUUAUAGCAUUUUGAAAAUAGCAAUAGCUUCGUCCUGUGACCUCUCUUGUGAUGAUAAGGUUCUUGAAAGUGUAGUAGAGGACUAUUUAAUUAGCCUAAAAGAGUUUUUAGUUGCUUAAUAGUCACGGUUGAUAGCUCAGCUAGCAUAGAUCUGAGGUACUGUUAAGGUGUUCGUGUUAGGUCUAGUGCAGGACUAUUGUAACUACCAUUCUUGUCCGGCAAGGAAGUUAGCUUUGCCAGCUUAGUAACAAGGCUUAUCGGUUAGUUGAGAGCUUAAGGGUUAAAGAGGCGCUAUAGGAAUUAGUUUGGGCUAUGAUCUUGGUUUGGGCUUCAGGAGAGUUUAGGGUGCUCUAGAAUUCAACCCAGUGUUCUAUCUUUGGUGAUUUGCUUUAAUUUGUUCUCUGUUCAUCUUAUUUAUUGAUUCAAAGCAUGAAUAAAAGGAGAAUCAGAUCUUGUUCUCAUCAGCUAUCCUAGAUUUUCUAGUAUUUUUGUUGACAUUAGGGUUGAAAGCUAGAAGUUAUUCCGAGAUUUUAGCUUAGCUAAGAAAAUUAGUAUCCGAGCCCAACUCUCACCUUCAAAGUAGCUUUAAAAGAGCUUAAAAAUCAUACUUAGCAUUCGUCAGAUGAAAAUGCAUACUGACUGUUGCCUGAAAACUGUGGACUAAAUUUUGCUCACUUCAGAGUACUUUACAAUGCUCGUUGGUGAAUACAACAUAAUACACUAAUAAGGAUAGAUUUACUUUUAUCCGAUCGAGCCAAUCCGAAUGAAAAUAAAGUACAUGCAUCGGUUAUAUUACUAGGGAACAUAUUAUAUGGCAGAAUGAGUCUUUCCUAAUGUCUCCUAAGUAUCGAAUGUGAAGGCAUUAUGUUAAUCUACUGGUAGAUCAGGUGGGGCUUCGAGUUCAUCAGGAAGAAGAAUCCAACACGUUGCCUCAUUUGAAGACGUCAAGGUAUCUAAUUCUCCUUAGCUACUCUCUUUCAUUAUAUCUGGCCAGGGAGUAACUUUUAAAGAAUAUGUUCUACUGACCAGUUCUUAUGCCUUGUUCGUCAUGUUUAUAGGUAUCUUCUUAUGACCGAUUAGAUAGAGAACACUAAGCUUAACAAAAAAAAGAAAAAGAAGAAGAAAAACAAAAAGCAUAAGGCCUCACACUUUUUCUCUUAUCUCAUCUUUCUACUUGCUUUUUCGUUUUCCCCCACAUGAUUUUAUAGUCUUUUAACGUUACUUUCUGGAUUCCGUUGGAAAACUUUUUUGAAAGCAACAUAUCACAGUCGAUGAAGAUGCCAAGUUGAAAAGACCCAACAAGAAGUUGAAGGUUUAGUGUCCAUUAUUGCUUUACGUUGCUUAGUUGCGUCUUUAAACAAAGUCAAUCACCAGUGUGUGUAUGUUCCAAUCGAUCGGUUUGUCUUAUUGUUUUAUCUAAGAUUAGGGUCAUGACUCUUGAGUUUAUUUUUUUAUCGGGUUUUAUUUGGUGUAAAACUGAGACUGGAGUUGUUUGUGGUUUUAGAACAUAUAGCUUCAUGAAUCCGACAUUUGUAGUUUCAUUGAAAAUUUAUUGAUUUUGUUUUUAGCCUUUUAGAUAAUGACUAUGAAACCGUUCCAGUUCGUAAUGAUCUGUAUCAGUUCAUUGCCGGAUAGUAUACAUAACGGUGCUCAUGUGUAUAGCCGUUUGUACCACUUCCAGGGAACCAGAGGAGACACAAUAAUAUAAAACAGGUUAAAAGUUAAUAAUUUAUUUGAUUUUCUUAGAUUUUGAUCAUAUGUAUUGUCUACAUCUGAUAGAUGAGGAUACCAAUGCUGUGGUCCAAAAGAUUUUUGGGAGAAUAACACAAUCUCCAAAGGCUGCUCACAUGUGGCCAAUGCCUCUCCAAGUCAAACCUUCGAAUUCUAAUUUUGAUUAAUCAGAGGUUUAUAUUUCUCAUGCUCCUCAUGAAAGCAUGUUUAUAAGUUAUAGUGCCUUCACUUGAUUUAUUGAUUUUCACUCUUUGGGAGUGAGUGGCUCGAAUAAUAUUUUAUACAGUGUCACCUUUUUAAGUGUUCCGAACAUAACCCACGCAAUGCAACCUCACAGUUCCUUUUACGCGGCUUAACUUUCACGCGCUUCAAUUAUUUCAAGACGACCAAAACAAAAACGACAAUAAAAUUAGGUGAUAAUAUUCGAUAUGCCCAAGAUUCAUCCAACUUGUGCAACUUGUCGCCUAGUAUGGUUUUGUAGUCGGGAGACAUAUCAUUCAUGUACAGUUUACAACUUUACAUGCAUCAAUUCUUAAAUAAAUGUAUAUUGUAUCGUUUGCUGAACUAUUUCUAAAGGUAUAUGCCAAAAUCUUAUAUUUGCACAUCAAUUUCUAAGUAGCCAUCAACUAAAAUUCAUUAUUUGUGACUUCUCCACAUACAAAAAAAUGAUAAAUCCAAACUCACGCUAUUCCAAUGACAGGUGAAAAAAAAGACAACAAAACUUGAAUGCGUUUUGACAAAACUAACUUAUACUAUGAUGAUCUUGUUGUAAUCGAUCAUCCAAAGCAUUAAAUGGUACGAUCCAUUGAAAUUUUGUAAGUGGUACUACUAGUCUAAUAUAUGCUUUGUAGUGCGAAGUGACUUUUACGUUUGGUGUUGGGUGCGAUUCACACUCUUUGCGUGAGCGUGCAUGGAAAUUAUUUCCAUAUUCUUCCUUCUCAAUACGUGACAUAUAUUUUUUGUUUCAAGCCUAUAUGUUUUAUAUAUUUAUUAUUUGUAUUUUUAGGUUUCCCUCUAGACAAUUAAACUUAAGCUUAAACAUUACAUAUGUAAUUGUUACAAAACAAUUCCUGAUUUAUAUAAAGACAGACUCAACACUCAACAGAGUCAACUAGCAAAAAAAAUCUGUGUAGAAAAAUACAUCAAACCUAGAAUAUAAGGAUAGCAUAAUAUAUUCAUAAAUAAUAUAUCAAAUUUAAGAAUAUUCGAUAAAAGUGGAAUGAAAUAGAAAAGAUUAGCAUGUUUCCUGCACAAAUAGAAAAAUUUAAUUUAGAUAUGUCGGAGUCAACAUUACCACAAAAUUAGUGACUAAUCAGUUUUCUCCGAAGAUAAGAUUAAAAAGUGAUUGGCAGACCAGGAGGAGAUGGAAUGGUUGGUUGAGGAAACAAAAAACGUUAACAUCAGUCAAUAAAUAACACAUGAGUUACUGUUUUUUUUUUCCAUUUCUCACGCAUGGAUUGAUUUUGACAUAGAAUUUGUCUUGUUGCUAUAUUUGCAACUUGUACCGACAGUGUUUAUUUUCUUUGACUUUUUUUUCUUAACCAUUAUAAUUUCUAAACAAUAUUUUCCAUUUUCAAAAUAAUAUAUAAAAAUAAAUAUUGAAUUUGUAGGAAAAAUCAGUAACAUAUUCUAUAAAAAAUAUUUUAUUGAAUUUGGUGUAAUGUAUAAAACAACGAAAAGAAGAAAAAUAAAAGUUAGAUGAAAUUAAAAAAAAAAGUAAUAAGGAAAGAGAGAGAAGUGAUUGAUUGUAUGUUUGGCGCGUAUAUUAACCACCACCGGCAAAACACCCACAAAAGAGGCGAUCACGCUUAAAGAACCGAUCAACACUACACCUAUCCCUUCAGCUACACAUUACCAAAAAAAUGCUUUGAGCAAAGAGAUCAAGCGACUGAGAGUGUUGUGAAGACAUAACCAAACCACGAUCUGUACUUUUUUGUCUCUUUCUCCAAAUAAGAACAAAUAAAAACAAAAUUUCCUUCCGGACACUCCCAUUUGAUCGGAGAUCAACAUUGCUUGGUUCUCUUUCACCAGAGGAAAGAAACAAUGGAACCCGGUGAAGAAGGAUCGCGGUCGGAUCCAGGAAACGAAACCGGCAUUGAAGGUAACGUUUAAUGAUGGGUUUCCUCUAUCACUUUCUCUUCCUGUUAAUGCUUUGAUUUGAUGAGAAUUAUUAUUUUUUUAUGCGGGUGUAUGUAGCUUCGAUGUCGCGGUUAGGGUUGGGAGGCGGAGGAAAUGAAUCGUACCCGGAGAGACCCGAUGAGCCAGAUUGUGUCUAUUACUUACGAACCGGUGUUUGCGGGUACGGGUCUAGAUGUCAGUUCAAUCACCCACCAAACCGCCCACCGGUAAUAAAUUCUCUGUAUGUCUGUUUUGAUAAAGUUAUGGCCUUUUGUCUGCUUGAUGUGUUUCGAUUUUGAUGCAGUACUCUAUGAUUUCAUUUUUCAUGGAAGCUCUUAACUGAAUGUCUUAGUUUCAAAAUUUUAGGUCUUGGGAGGUCUCAGAGCAGAAGCUGGAGAAUUCCCAGAGAGAAUGGAACAACCCGUGUGUCAGGUAUAUUUUCCAUAUAUCAUUUUAUACUAUUGAGAUUAUGUAGAGAUUAAUAGGCCAUAAGCCUUAAUCUCUUAAUAGUGUGUGAAUAUAAACUCUUUAUCAUGAGUUUCAAUGGGACAUGAGUAUAAUAUAUAAUGGACAUGGACCACUUGCAAUCACUGUUAUUUUAGGUUGAAGUCCAGGAAACUUAACACAUGCAAUACUACACCUAUGCUUCUCAAUAGAACAUUCUCUAGUGUAGCCAAUUCUCACUUGUUAUGCUUUAUUUGCGCAGCAUUUUAUGAGAACGGGAGAAUGUAAGUUUGGUGCUUCUUGCAAGUAUCACCAUCCUAGACAAGGAGGAGGAGGAGGAGGAGAUUCUGUUACUAGUCCUAUCUCAUUUAAUCACAUGGGAUUCCCAUUACGUCCGGUUUGUUCAAUCUCUCUCUCUCUCUCUCUCUGGUCUAGGUUAUAUACUUAUAUCAGUCUUGUCUUAUGUUUCAUCCUUGAGGGAAAAAGAAAUGUUUCUUAUUAAUGGACUUCACAGGGUGAGAAAGAAUGUCCCUAUUACAUGAGAACCGGCCAGUGUAAAUUCGGUUCCACCUGUAAAUUUCACCAUCCUGUUCCUCCUGGUGAUCAAGUUCCAUCGCAGCAGCAGUUAUCAACUGGUCCAGCUAUCCAUCCAUCGCAGCAAUUCGGAGUAGUUGUACCAAGACCUCAGCUUUUGCCAGGCUCAUAUGUUCAAAGCCCUUACGGUACUUACAGCCAAAUGGUUCUUCCUCCCGGCAUGGUUUCAUACUCUGGCUGGAACCCUUACCAGGUAAUGCUGCUCUUUUUAUUUGUACACUUUUCUUUCUCUUUAAUCUUAACGAAGCCUUGUUCCAUUUUUAUUUAAAGCCUUCUGUGAGUGCAAUACCUUCUCCUGGGACACAACCGUCUAUGGGACCAAGCUCUGUUUAUGGAACUACACCGUUAUCUCCUUCAGCGCCUGCUUAUCAAUCUGGUCCAUCUUCAAACAAGGAACACUCUUUUCCUCAGCGACCUGGACAACCUGAGUGUACCUACUUUAUGAAAACAGGAGACUGUAAGUUCGGAACCUCUUGCAGAUACCAUCAUCCUCUGGAAGCAGCAUCGCCCAAGGGAGUUGCUCUCAGCAAUAUCGGCCUCCCACUUCGUCCUGUAAGUCUCACUCAUUUGCCAAAGCAUCUGUGUAUGUAUAUAUUAUAGCUUUACGCCUUGAGUUAUUGUCAUGGAGGAUUCCCAUUACGUCCGGUUUGUUCAAUCUCUCUCUCUCUCUCUCUCUGGUCUAGGUUAUAUACUUAUAUCAGUCUUGUCUUAUGUUUCAUCCUUGAGGGAAAAAGAAAUGUUUCUUAUUAAUGGACUUCACAGGGUGAGAAAGAAUGUCCCUAUUACAUGAGAACCGGCCAGUGUAAAUUCGGUUCCACCUGUAAAUUUCACCAUCCUGUUCCUCCUGGUGAUCAAGUUCCAUCGCAGCAGCAGUUAUCAACUGGUCCAGCUAUCCAUCCAUCGCAGCAAUUCGGAGUAGUUGUACCAAGACCUCAGCUUUUGCCAGGCUCAUAUGUUCAAAGCCCUUACGGUACUUACAGCCAAAUGGUUCUUCCUCCCGGCAUGGUUUCAUACUCUGGCUGGAACCCUUACCAGGUAAUGCUGCUCUUUUUAUUUGUACACUUUUCUUUCUCUUUAAUCUUAACGAAGCCUUGUUCCAUUUUUAUUUAAAGCCUUCUGUGAGUGCAAUACCUUCUCCUGGGACACAACCGUCUAUGGGACCAAGCUCUGUUUAUGGAACUACACCGUUAUCUCCUUCAGCGCCUGCUUAUCAAUCUGGUCCAUCUUCAAACAAGGAACACUCUUUUCCUCAGCGACCUGGACAACCUGAGUGUACCUACUUUAUGAAAACAGGAGACUGUAAGUUCGGAACCUCUUGCAGAUACCAUCAUCCUCUGGAAGCAGCAUCGCCCAAGGGAGUUGCUCUCAGCAAUAUCGGCCUCCCACUUCGUCCUGUAAGUCUCACUCAUUUGCCAAAGCAUCUGUGUAUGUAUAUAUUAUAGCUUUACGCCUUGAGUUAUUGUCAUGGAAACUAGAGUUAUUUGGUAAUGAAUCAAUGAUGAAUUCCGUAUAGAAACUCUGUUUCUUGAUUUAAUUACCGGAAACAACUAAGUGGUACGUCUCUCAUGAUCACUGACAGUUCAUUCUACUUUCACGUAUACAAUAAUGCAUGUCAUAACAAAUAAGAAAGCUAAUAAUAAAUAUCAUUUUUCAGGGCACGGCACCAUGCAGCCACUUUGCGCAACAUAAAAUUUGCAAGCUUGGGCCUGCAUGCAAAUUUGACCACUCCAUGACCUCUUCUUUGAAUGACCAAGGCACAGAGCUUCACUCUUCGAGCUCCAUUAAACCCACAACCACAACUAGUGGUGGUGGCUCAGAAACUACUGGUGCUGCUGGAGUCUCUUCAUCUUCUUCUAUGACCGUUGGUGUAAGCCAUUCCGAGUGUACUGAGAGCAAAGAUGGUGACUCAGUUAGCAUUGAGGUUAAGACUUCAAGUUAAAAGAGACAAAACUCAAAAGGAGAGAUGAGAACCUCACUCUACUCUUCUUAGAAUUUGCCUCUCUAUCUCUCUUCUUCUUUUUUUCAUCAAACUUUCAUGAACUCAUGAAUAUUUAGAGAUUAUUUUUUUUGGGUGGAGAGACAACAACAAGAAGCAA